rnacentral:lncRNA from 1 species
CCUUUCUUCCUUUCUUGUUUUCUUUCUAAAAUAGAAUCGAGUGUGAGGAAAAAGAAUUUUGCAAGCUUCACCAUCAGCUAACCAAAAUAAAGCAAACAAAGGCAGAGAGACAGGAGAGAUAGCUGGUGCAGACGUGAGGGAACAAGCUGGAAAGAAAAUCUAAUCCUGUCUGCAAUUCCUAACACUAAAAGGCAAAAGGUAAAUUUUUGUGACUAAUCUCUACUUACUGAGUAUAAAUAAGUGUAUAUUCGAAUUGUAAGCCGAGUAUUAGCAGAGGAAAUUGAGCUUCGACUGAGGAAAAAUUCUGGUUUGAAAUCUGAAGGUUCACUGACUGGACCUGUGAGAAUUGAGUGAUGAUCGACUGAAAUUGCAGGUUGUUAUCAAAGGAAAAUGGAAGAGUGUUGUAGAAAAUGUAUGAAAAUGCCUGUUUCUGGCAUAAAGUGAAAUUUAGCUGUAGAAACUUGUAAAAGUUGGAACUUUAAGCUGAAUUUAUUGAAAGAAACCUGAUGAAAAUCUGUUAGCUUCACACGAGAGAAAUGGAGCUAAGAAACAUUAGCUGUCUUCUGCAAAUUUGGCUUUUAAACUUUUGUAUCAAGCUGUGAUGUGUUAUAAAACAUCUUAACUUCGUCAAGCAAGACAGAAAUGAGUGGAAACUAAAGUGAACGAAGAAUGAAUUUAAUUGACUGCAGGUAGGUUGGCCGAGGGAAUGAAGCAGGCUAUGCAACUUGUUGUUGCUGAUUCUGGAACUUUUAUUAAUGAACACAUAGAAAAUAUGUUAAUCCCUUGAUUUAACAGAUAGGUGCCUUUGAAAUUAGCAACCUUAAGAAAAGUCUAGCUGAAUUUGGUAAAAGAAAGCUGAUGCAAUCUGCUAUGAUACUAAAGGGAAGGAAAUCAGCUUUUGGAGCAGCUUGUCUUCUAAUGUCUGAUUCUGUGAACUUCCACAGGUAGAACUAAGGUUACUCUGUGGUUUAGUAACUAUGACUAGUUCCAUGAGUAGAGUUGAACUAAGGCAAAUAGGGAGGAAAACUAUGAAAUGUGCUGCUGAAUUACCUCAUGGCCGAGAGAAGAAGGGAAGAGUUGAUCAGUCUUUUCCUCUAAGUUAGCUGCAAAAUUUUCCACGUUCUGUACAGGGUUACUUUGUAGCUUAAUAAAUGUAAUUAACCUGUCUAGUUGGGAUAUAAAAUUGGAAGGAGGAACUUGAGAGAAACGGCAAACGUUGGACUGAUAUAUUGCUAGGAAGCUACUUGAAGGCCACGAUAGCUGAUGGCAGUUUUUGUAGGGGAAUUUGGUCGAAAAACCUGUUGAAAUUAUGAGUCAUGUACCUUAAUUCAUGUUGGACAGAAUGUGUAUUGUGUGUUUGGUGAUCUAGGCAAGUAAAAGUUAGAAACUCUACCAAAAACUUUGAAGUAAGGUUGCUGGAAAUUUGUUUAAUGGCCGAGAGAGGGGCUGAAACUCUCAUGUGAUAUUUGGAAAAUUUCAUGAUAAUUGGCUACCAUCUUGAAUGAGACGUUGUACAAUAUCCUGUCACUGUUCUUAUGUGCACUCUAUUGACUUUUAACAUCUGAAAGGUUGGUAAAACCUUAGGAAAUUCUAGCUAAAACUAGUAAAGAAAAGCUGAGAUCCAAACUAUUACAUUGUUGGAGAAACUAACGUUUGAUGGAAUGGAUUGCUGGAAAUAGAUGCUGCUUACCUUGAUCUAUGCUAGACCGAAAGUACAUUGAAAUACUUAAAACUGUAAGCAAGUAAAAGAGUAAAGUUUUAUUGAAAACUUGAAGUAUACAGCUGGAAUUUCGGUUUGUUGGUUGAAAUGGGGGUUAGUUAAGCUUUCUAUGAUAUUUUUGGAAACUCUAAGGUAACUCGUUAUAGCUAUAUACAUAACAUGGUUUCAAAUCACCUAAUCUUGUCCUCACAAGCAUUUUAAAGAUUUUAGAACUUGAAAGAUUUUAGAACUUGAAGGACUAGUAUAGAGAAAUAAAAUCUAAAUUACAAAUGGCUUAAAGUUAAUUAAUAAAAGGGAAUCAAUGGAGUGUUCCUAAGCUUUAAUCUUAGAAUAUUCAGUGGAAAAUGGUUUAAUUAUAAUUUAAAUAUUUUAUAAAUUAUACACUUGGAAAAUACAUAUAUUUCUUGGUUUAAAAUGAUAAAGUCAAAAAGUCGCGAAAUGAAAUGUAGAAUAAAUAUUGAAUAUAUUAUAUUUUGUAUUUUGAAGUCAAACUUGAUUUUAAUAGUUCAAAUAAUAGGGUAAUAAAUGGUAAAUGAACAUUUACAAAUUGUAUAUUUUUUUAGAGUUAUAAAUUGUCUCAGGGGAUAGCUGUGAGCCAGGAAACAAACCCGAGACUCGAGAGUAAUUUAUUUGGAUAUUUGGUGAGUGUUUCCAAAAUUUAAUGUGUUUAACUGUUUAUGUUUACUGUCGCGCCCCUUUUUUGAGAAAACUAAAUAAACGGUUUAAAAAGUGAAUUUUUGAUUUGAAAAAUGAAUCUUUGAUUUAAAAAGAAAAAUGGGCCUAAAUGGACUUGUAAUGCGACGAUUUGGGCCCAAAAUAAGGUUUAAAAAGGGUUUUUGAAUAGAAAAUCGGAGUCGCCACUUGGUAUUGAGUUAAGGUGUACCAAGUCACCUAAAAAUGAAUUUUGAUGAAAUCAUGUAAAACCCUUUUUAAACGACUCCUAAGUCUACGAAAAUUAGAGAAAAAAGAUUCGGGAGUCACAUUUGAAGAAAGGGAAGGCAAGGACAAAAAUCCGAGGCAUCCUUUCAACCUAGCCAAGGCUAGUUGCGUGAUUUAGUCAAAGAUUUUCUUGUUUUAACCUAAAGAUUUAUCACAUUUGAAUUGCUAUAUGAAUGCAAACUGUAGACACCAAAUUUUUACUCUUUUAUUUAUUUAUUUACUAUUUUUGUUUAAUUUAUCUCAAAAUUUCAUUUUUUUAGCAUUUUGGACAUCAAAUCUUUUAAUUUAGUUUUACUUGUUAAUUUUAUUCAUUUUUGCUUAUUUGUCUAUUAGUUUUAAGACGUUUAAGCAUUAAUAUUUUUCGGGAAAAAAGAGAAUUGCUCACAAAAAAAAUAUUCUUUAAAUUUUAGAUUCAAUUUAGGGAGGUUUGCUAUUUAUUUAUUUUGUUAAAAAAAAAAAGGGCUCAUGCACCAUGCGGCACUGGAUCCAAGCUCUUUCUCAAUAUUUCAAGGCAGAAACAAGCUUCAGACAUCACAAAAAAAUUGCAGCUGGCUUUUUCUUCCCAUUUGAUUCGUUACUCAAAGGGUUCCCAGUACAAACGGGAUCAAAGGGCAAGAGCAGGCCACAUAAACCCAUUUCUGGGGUUUGACAUCUCGGCCUUCCAUCGUAGGUUGAGGUUUUGGGGUUCCUUUAAAUGCUAGAGCCGCAGCCAAGAAGGGGGGUAACAACUGACGAAAGAGAGUGGGACGGCUAGGAAAAAUCUGGGACAAAGAAAUAGAGCGGUGGCGGAGACAGAGAGAAAAGAAAAACCAGGGGAAUGAGGAGAGCUUGAGAGGCUAGCGACGGCUGGGAGGUUGAACAGUGGCGAGGUUUUUGAUAGAGAAAGAAACUAAGAAAACGCAGGGCUGUGGGUGGUUGACGGCUAGAAAAGAAAGAGACUAGAGAGAGAGGAGGCUGAGGACGGCUAGGAAAAAGAAACCAGAGAGGAGAAAGGUGCAGCGGCUGGGUCUUGGGAAUCUGGAGCUGACGGCUAGGGUUCUGGACAAGAAAGCUAAGGGUUUCAGAGAAGAUCUGGGGAAGUAAAGGGCGCGUAGAAAGAGAUCUGAAAGGGAGAAAACAGCAGAGGAAAAGGGAAAACGAGGUGCUGCUACCGCUGCAACAAAUCUGCCUGGGCGUUGUUUUUCCCAGAAACCAACGUCACUUUCCUGAGCUUUCCCGUUUGAUUUACUUCACAGACGUUUGCAGGUGACUCUAGCCUUUCUUGCUGCCAUUUUCAUACCAUUUUGUGAAGAUCUGGGGUUCAUUGCAUGAAUUUCCUCCUUGUGCAUGCAUGUUUGUUCCCUUUCUUUGUGGUUUCAUCUCUGGUUCUUUGUAGAAACCCGUGUGGCCAUGUGGUAACUUGUUUCAGCUCUAUAUCUCUGUGUUUGAAUCGUGUGUUGUUAUAGUUCAUGAAAACCCAGGGUAUAGGAAUCAUUUCCAGCCUCCCCUUAGUCGAUGAUUAGUCUUCAUUUUGCCGAAAGGAGGUUGUAGAAAUUUUGGCAGGCUCUUUCCUCUAAUUUUUGUAUUUAAACAUGAGAGUUUUGUGGCUCAAAGUGAAAAAUGUGCGGUCAUGUUGUAACUUUGAUUCAUGUUUCAUCGAUUAAAUCGCCAGUAGUGGUGUUUGAAUGAACAAAACCAGAAAACUGCAGCAAGAAACAGGCUACAGACGCAAAUGAAAGAAAGCUGCAUUUCUUUGUCAUGUUUUGCUGCUUUACUUUUGUCCUGUAACAGCCACGAAGUUGAGUUUCCUCACUUUGUUUGCAUGCUCAAUCUUAUGUCAAUGAUAGUUGUAGAGAAAUUGAUGAGGCUUGGGUUUUUGUUUAUAGCUUUGGCCAUCUUUCUGGUUUGUUAACAAGCUGCGAUAUGGUAGGAAAAAUGCAGCAGGCUGCACUUUCGAUUGCUGAAGCUUUUAGUUUGAUUGAAAUUUGUGGUUUUAUACCAUGUACAUGCUCACACUGAGUUUCCUACUCUUGUAUCUUUGCUGGCAUUUUUCACACACGAGCACUUUAGGUGAAUGUUUAAAUGUUGUUUUGAUCAAGCUUAGCUAGAGGUUGCUGAAAUUCCAAAGUACGGGAAAAACCAUGAGUUGUCCAGAUUUUGUAUGCCUUUUGGCAACUUUUUGGUGUUUAAAAUGAGAGGAUAAGAUAGUGGUCUUGUUAUUCUAAGGGUGAAACUUGUUAAGAGCUGCGGAAAACCUGCUAUUCUACAAAUUGCAGCAGAGAUGUUGGCCGCAAAUUGCAGAAAGCUUUGCUGCGCCUUUUAUUCUUCUUCUUUUGCUAUUUAAUUUUUUUACCCUUUGAUGGUCAGCCUCAGUUCUUGUUUCAAUCCUGCAAUGAAGUUGCAUGUUUAGUCAAUGAUUGAUACUUUAAAUCCUGGCAUUUGGUGGACAUGGUUGCAUGAUGAACUGGAAAGAAAGUCACGGCAGGAAUGGUGCAGAAAAGAAAACUCCUUCUACGUUGUUUGCAUGCAUGAAAUAAAGGAAAAAUUGCAUUUUAACCUUUAAUUUGUGUUUAAUUCUAUUAUGGCCUGGAAAAUUGGGAAGACUAAUCAAUUGGGUCCCAUAAAAAUGUUGUCUUUGAUUGAUAUGUUCAAUGUAGUUCUUGGACAGAUCAUUCAUGAAUUUUAGAACGAAUUUUUGAGGUUUAAUCGUUUGAGGGCUUUAUGAUUUUGAUGUGUUUUUUUUUAGUGAAAUUUUUUGAGUUUUGUUGUUUAAUUGUCACGAGUGAUCACUUUUUUCGUGAAUUUUAGCAUUUGAUUGAUAGGUCUCAUCUCAAGCCAUCAAUUUUGGUAUUUUAUUGUAGACCCUUAAAAUAAUUUUUUUUUAAUUUAAUCAUUUUAUUUAGGACCUUGUUUGCUUUAAUUUCUGGCAUAUGGAUGGUUUAUUUUAUGUCAAUACCCUAAGUGACUCCAUUUCGUGUUUAGUUUUCAUUUCGUGUUUAAUUUCAUGUAAUUAAUUAUUAAUUAAAGUGAUGCCUUGACCCUUUUUUUAUUUUUUGGAGGUAAAUAUAGUAAAUUCCGUCUCCUUAAGCCAUCAAUUCAAGGGAGGUACACUCUAUCCCUUAUUUUCACUUUAUUUGACCCUACGUGCAUAUAUGUGUCUUAUGUGUACAAUUGCAUGAUUUUAAGUGUUUAUUUCAUUUUUACUUUAUUUAUUUUUCUAGUUGCUUAUUUUUUGCUUUAAUUUUAGUUCAAUUUUAUCAUUUGGGAGGCACUUGAAUGCCAAGUUGUAAUAGUUAGGUUUAUUUUAUUCAUUCCUUCUUAUUUCCCCUUUUAAAUUGUAGUAGGCCUUCCCCCUAAAAAUGUAAUAGUUAGGGCCUUAAUUGUCUUGUGUGUUUUGCAUGUCUAUGUGUUAUGUGUUUAAUCGCUUUCUUAGGUUUUGGCAUCUAGAUAUGCAUGCUUAUGUGUUAUGUGAAUUACGUGCUCACAUGUCUACUUGCUUUAAUUAUGCAUAUUACUUAUAUAUGUGUAUGAUCGAUGCAAAUGCACGUAACCGUGGCUAGUCCAAUGCUAGGGUUGUCCCUCGAGCUCUUACAAGUCCAAUGCUUGUGAGAGAGUGUAGAUGUGGGCUAGUCCAACGCUAGACCCAAUAGGGCCCUUCUCGCUAGUACAUACUCGCAUGCCUUCACUACAUCUUCAUUCAUUCUUUUAGUUUUACACUUUUGCAUGACCCUUCACUCCCUUUCCCUUGCACAUUUAGGAUUGCAUUUUCAUUUAGACUAGCUCAUUUGCUUGUAUAGGUUAGGAAGUCACCCUUCUGGUAAGGGAAACGAGCGAGUAUGGCUACACAUAGCCUUAGCACGCUAGUUCUUCAUUCUAACCAAAAGGCUUAAAAGUCAGACUUAGAGUCUCCCGUACCCAUCUUGCUUGCACUCCUCUAGGGUUCAUGCAUUUCAUUUACCCCCUAUCAUCUACACAACUCUUAUUUUGUACAUCUUCACUCUACCACUCGCACUUUAUAUACUAUCACUUGCACACAUGCACUUUAUGCUAUCACACAUACAUUUUACACUAUCACUUUACAUACCUCACAUUGCACACUCAUUUUUGCACACUCCCACUCAUACACCAUUAUCUUUUAGUACUUUUCUUUUACUUCACACAAGCUCAUGUUUUCACAUUACAUACAUUCAUUCCACUCAUUCUUACGUCAUUAGCAUUAUUCAUGACCUCUCCAAAGGAUCAUUAUUGGGCAUCACAAUUAAUGUGAUUGGCACCACUCAAUCUUUGAAGAGAAAUUUUGCCCCCGAUGUCCCCCUAGGUCUAGGUUUUGCAUUCAUAAAGUGCAUCCAAAUGUGAUAAAUGUUUUGGUUAAAACAAGAAAAUCUUUGACUAAAUCGCGCAACUAGCCUUGGCUAGGUCGAAGGGGUGCCUUGGAUUUUUAUCCUUGCCUUCCCUUCGAGUCAAAUGUGACUCCCGAACCUUUUUCGUUGGUUUACGUAGACUAGGAGUCGUUUAAAAGGGAUUUUCUUUUUACCUUUUCCUCUAAAAAAUCAUUUUUAGGUGACUUGGUACACCUUAACUCUAUACCAAGUGGCGACUCCGAUUUUUAUUUCAAAAACCUUUUUAAACUAUAUUUUGGGUCAAAUCGUCGCAUUUUCAAGUCCCAUUUAGACCCACUUUCUUUGUAAAUCAAAAAUCACUUUUCAAAUCAAAAAUUCACUUUCAAAUCAUUUAUUUAUUUAUUUAAUUUAUUUUUCUUGUAAAAAAUGGGGCGCGACACAAACCACUAGACCUAGGGGGGCAUCGGGGGGCCAAAAUUUCUCUUCAAAAGCUUGAAUGGUGCCAAUCACAUUAAUUGUGAUGCCCAAUAAAGAUUCUUUGGAGAGGUCACGAAUAAUGCAAAAUAUGAGACUCCAAGAAAAGAAAAGGGGUAAAAUAAUUAUAGAAAUAUACAUGUCCUAAAGGAGUGCAUCAUGUCGGGUACGGGGGACUAAUGUUCGUGACUCAAUUUUUCCUUUUAAUAGAGGGAAUACGGGCGUGCUAAGACUAGAAAGCCAAACUCGUCCAUAUCCCAUAUUCAAGGGGUAACUUCCUAACCUAUGCACGCAAAUGAGCUUAUUAACUAGAAUGAAAUGCAAAAACCCUAUUAUCAUACUUCAAAUGUGGGAAAAGGGCGAAGGGUCAUGCAAAAAUGUAAAAAUACUAAAAAGAAAAAAAAUGCAUGAACAUGAGAUGAAGGCAAGCGAAUGUACUAGCGAGGGACGGUCCUAUUGGAUCUAGCAUUGGACUAGUCCUUCACUAGUGCUCUCUCACAAGCAUUGGAUUUGUAAGAGCUCGAGGGGAAGACCAUGACUAACGUUGGACUAGCCACGGUUUCGUGCAUUUGCAUCCAUCAUACAUACAUAAGUAAAUGUGCAUAAUUAAAGCGAGUAGGCAUGUGAGCACGUAAUUCACAUAACACAUAAUACAUAAGCAUGCAUAUCUAGACGCCUAACCCUAAGAAAGCAAUUAAACACAUAGCAAAUAUGCAUGCAAAUCGCACAAAGAAAAAAACAAAAGAAACCCUAACUAUUACAUUAGGAGGGGGAAGCCUACUACAAUCUAAAAGGGGAAAUAAGAAGGAAUAAAACAAUUAAAUUCCUAACUAUUACAAUUUUGGCAUUCGAGUGCCUCCCAAAUGAUAAAAUUGUACUAAAAUUAAAGCAAAAACUAAGCAACUAAAGAAAUAAAUAAAGUGAAAAUGAAAUAAACACUUAAAGUCAUGCAAUUGCACACAUAAGACACAUAUACGCACGUAGGGUCAAAUAAAGUCAAAAAUAAAGGAUAAGGUGUACCUCCCUUGAGUUGGAGCUCUAAUGGGGUGAAAUGACUUAUUUACCCUCCAAAAACAAAGAAAAUGUCAAGGCAUCACUUUGAUUACCAAAAUAAUCACACGAAAAGGAAAUAAACAUGAAAUUGAACCACCCAACCAUUCAAAUAAACUAAACAACUCAUAUUCAUCAAGUUGAAACCAACAAUGACCCAAUUGAAACAAUUAAAGAAGUUAAAGGGGCCAAUUUGAUUAUUAUCACAAAUAUUAAGGGUCCAAAAGAAAAUAAAUUAAGAUUAAGGGCUCACACAAAUGACAAGGCUUCACACAAACAAAUGACAAGGCUCGCACAAACAAAUGAAAACCAAUUUGCUAGGAUUAAACAACAAAAUUUUCAAAAUUUCACUAAAAAUUCAAUCAAAAUUAUAAAUCUAGAAAAAGUUACUGAACCCUUCAAAUUCAUCCUAAAGCCCACGCAUAUUCUAUCCAAAAAUUAUGUUAAAGCGUACCAAAGAAAAAUUGGAAUUUCACAAGGACAAGAUUGAUCAAAUUUCCAAUUAUUUGGGUCAUGAUAACAUCACUUAAAAACAACAGGGGGCAAAGUGCGAUUUUAUAAAAAUUCCAUGCAUGCAAACGGAUGCUUUCUUCUUCGUUCACGAUUUGUUUUCUGAAAAUUUCAGCUACAACCUUCCAUCCAUUUCAUCAUGCAAACGAAUUCACCAAAUACCAGGAUUUGAGCUAUCAAUCAUUGACUAAACCAAACACGAAAUUUUGUUGCAGGAUUGAAGCAAAGAAUUUGAGCUAACCAUCAGGGGUAAAAGGAACUAAACAGCAAAAGAAAAAAAUGCAACAGGAGCAUUCUCUGCGAAUCUUCUUGAGUUCAUCUUCAACAAGAACAUGUUUAUUGUUUGUCAAAUUUCAGGCCCAAAUACACAAAAUCUACGCAUCCAAACAACACAACCUCAACAUCUGAACAAGCAAAAGAAAAAAUUCAGAAUAGGAACGGAGCAUUGCAAUUCUUCUUUGCUGAUUUUUUUCCUACAGCUUGGCAGGCUUUUGCUGCAAAUUCACAGCUCUUCUCCACGCAAGUAUCUUACGCAAUCUCAAACCAAGCCAACAAACUCAUUUACCCAACCCAUUAAAAUUCAAAUCACUUGAUUAAUACAACACUAGAUGCAGGAAACACAAUCAUUGAAUAUCAAUCGAAUAACCAAACGGGCAGCAUGCAACAAAAGAGAAAAAGAAACAGUUUUGCGGUGAGUCCUAGAUGAGCUUAUCGAAAGCUAACAUCUUUUAGCCAACCCAUUGAGCUAUCAAGCAUCAAACUAGUCUAAAGCUUUGACAAAAUCAAAUCAUCAAAAACCCCUUUCUCUUUUAUGUCCUUUCGGGUUUGAAAACAAAGGGACAACAGACCAUUUUCAUCAAAACAAAUCAUCGAAACAUGUCUCAAGUUACGCUUCAAAAAUCACUGUGAUAAUUAAAAUGAUAUGGUAGUACUUCAAACACAUGAUUCACAGUCUCUCACAAGCUCAUGUAACCCAGAUUUCAAACAGGAUGAUCAGCAAGACAACAAGGAAGGGAAAUAACUAUAACAACCCAGGUUAUCCAACCUUGACAGUAACAAAUAACUCAGUAUUCAUGGCUAUGCAUAUGAAAACCAGCGCUAAACAACAAAAGGAGGAGUUUGUGAUUACCUUAGAGGAGUAAAAUGAACGUGCAACACCUCCCAAGAAGCCGCGCUAAUUCCAGAAAUGAAAGUCGCGAACUUCGUCGCCGACGUUCAGGGUUGAUGAAGACACCAGUUUGUGACCAGAUUUGAUGAGCUCCCGUGGUGUUUUCCUCCAGACGUCUGAACCGAAACUACUCCUUUUUACUUUGUAGAUUGAGCAGAUUUUAAAAUUUCCUUAAAAGAACCAAAGGUCGGAAAGAUAUGAGAGCUCCAAGAUGGCUGACAAUCAGCCUUUGUUGAGAGAAAAAUUGCAGCUUUCCUUCUUUUUCUCUUUCUUUCGGAUCUUUCCCUUUUCUCUCUUCUUUCUUCUCCCCGGCAGCCUCUCUCUCUUUUUUUGAUUUGGCCUGAAGCCCUCUUCAUGUGAGGACUCGUAAAAACUAUUAUUUUAUGCCUAAUUCAUGGCUUAAUAAAUUAUUUAAUUGGAUUUUAUCCAAGGAAUAUUUUCUAGUCUUAUUAGACUUAAAUACAUGGUAAUAUAACUUCGUUAUAUUUUUAAAGUGAUUCGUUCUAAAAAUUAAUUUCCUGGAGUACGUUUAGUAAAAAUAGUGAAUAGUACUUGGAGAUUUUAUCCGCGUAGUAGCACAAUAAGCUUGGAAUAUUUGGAGACUUGUACUAUGGUCCUAAAAUAGGUAAUCUUAUGAGUAAUACUCAAGUGAUAGUUAGUAGUGCAAUCGUUAUAAGAAUUUAUUGGAAGUUUCGCGUUAUAGCGUUAAAAUUGACGGUACGCGUUUUCACACGCGCGAUUUGAGGGACUUUAGACCCUUAUUCGGGACAAUUAAGAGUGAAUAAUACUUACAUGAAUAUAAAUGCAUUGGAGGUUCAGUGCACUAGUGAACCAAACGCGCGAGAAAAUCGAACCUAAUCGCGCCAAACGCACCCUAAUAAGAGUUGACUUUGGAGUGAUUGUGCACCACCAUUUAAUCUUCUCUUGGAAGCUUAUUUUGAUCAAACUUCACUCCAUCUUCUCUCACCUAGCAGCCGGCCAACACCCCCCUCUCACUCACUCUCUUGCUUCACAAAUUCCUUCAUCAAAUCAACCCAAAACCUCAACCAAUCUUCACCAAACUUGAAGAUCAUCUAGCAUACUACUUGGAGGUUGGAUUUAGCUAACAAAAAGGGCUGCAUUUCACGGUUUCUUGGAGCUCUUGAGGGCCGAAAAUUUCUGGGUUAAGGCACUAAGGAGGUAUAACUUCAUCCUACACCUUAAACUUGGAUUAUAUGAUGGUAGAAAUGCAUCUUUAAGCUAUUGCAUGUGAUGGGUGGCUUGAUAUGGUUGUAAAAUGUGAUAGUGGGCUCUUUGUAUUCCCACACUUGGGUUGUUGUUGCUGAUUAGAGGAUUAAUGUUGGUUUAAUGGUAGUUUAAUGGUUAUAAUGAUGGAUUUAUGGAGUAUUAUUGUUGGAAACUCAAAGUAGAGGUCAUGACAGAAAUUGCUGAAUCUGCCCCUGUUUUGUUCGGCCAUGAUAAGGCCAAUUUUUGGUGAUUUAUUGGCAUGAACCUGAUGUUUAUAUGUUAUAUUAUAUGUGUAGAAAUUUUCGUUGGAAAACAUUAACGUUUGGAUGGGCAAAUGAAUUUAUUCGUGGACUAGGCAAGCUGGAAAGUUAUUUUCGGGUAACCCUGUCCAGCGGUAGCAUUUUGACCAUAACUCUGUCCUCGGGUGUCGAAAUCAAGUGCCGUCAGUGGCGUUUGAAACUAGACAUUCCUGGCUUUAAUUUGAGAUAAAAUGCACGUUCUGAUUCUUUGUGAGUGAGCCGAACCAAAUGUUUUAAGUAGCUGUCCUGUCUCUCGGAUUUGCUGGAAUGGUUUGUAGAAGGCAGUAACUUGAGGCUCAAUUUUGAGCUGGUUGCUUGCCAAAUUUCAGAACGUUUCUUCUGUAAACUUUUAGUCCUAUGAAUGUAUUUUCUAACGCCAUAAACCAUGCCUCAUUCCGAGUUAAAUUGGUUGAGUUGUGACUAAAACAAGUGGACUGCCCUGUUUUGGAAAAACGUAAUAUUUGGACUGAUUGGGACAAAAACUUGGGAGUGAUCUUAUUAAUUGAAAUUUUGAUGCUAAACCAUUACCAAAGGUAUCAUGGAUGUAUCUUAGACCUUUAUUUCACCAAUGAACCAUGGUUGGAUAGCUUUCUUGGUUAAACGAUUUGAAAUUGGGAAAUGAAAGUCAAAAGGCAGAUUGCCUUAGAAAUUUUCCGGAACUUUGGAUGAUUAGUUAACUACCUUCCCGAGGGUAUUUUUCCCUGAAAUUUGAUAGAGAAAUACCUUGCAUAUAGGAGUAAAAUACUGCCAAUUUUGGCACCAAUUCAAGUUCGUUUCGAUACCGAAUUAAAUUUCUAGUGUUGGAGGUUCAAAACUGGAAAUUCUUCUUCAGUCUUGAAUCUUCCUCAACUUUGAGCUACCGUAUCUCGGUACUCGAAACUCCGAUUCUUGAUCGCUUGUUUUGUAUAAACCUCACUUGCAACUCUAAUUGAGUUACAAAUUUCAGAGGCCGGUUUGCAAUGUGUGAAUCGUGCCGAAUUUUCAAAGUUGGCCGAAAUCCAACUUAAUUCUCUUGUACGCCGAGUCUGUAUCUUCAAGCUCAUUUUUGAGUACUUUCCACUUAGAUUCAUGGAAAGGUGUCUUCUAAGAACUUUUAACACUUUCCAAAAGGUUUCCAACGGUAUAAAGUUUUCCAGUUUUGGACUUAUAUCGAGAGAGAUACGAAUUUUCAAAGAUUUAGGAUAAAACUGAAAUUUCUCAAUUUUCAAGGCAAAGGAGUUUUUCCAAAACUCUUAAUUCUCUUAGUAUUAUUCAAACGUUUUGCCCUCGCUUUUCAUGAUAAAAACUCAAAUAAUAUUGUACAUAAUAAAAGGCAAGUUGAACCUCGAUUUACAGUAAUUGAGGUUCAUUUUGUGAAAUAUUCCUUAGAUUGUACUAGUGUACAAUCUUCCUUGACAAGUGGGUUAUUUGUGUGAUUAUCCGCUAUUAAUUGCCAGCGCGCCAAGAGACAUUCAAGAGGAUCUUACUGUGGACACUUGAACUCCCAGAAAAUAAUUCUUAUUGAAUUGCUCGGUGAGUGUCAAGUGUGUGAAUCUGUGAUACUUGCUUAUUUGUGGUAAUUGUUGGAAGUUUUAAAAAUAAGGGCGGGUGCGUACUUUACCGCACUCGUUCUAAUUUCAAAUGAAUGAAUGAAUGUAUUGAAUGAAUGAAUGAAAUGCAAUGUUAUGUUAUGAUUACAUAUGUCGUUGGAGUGAACCUCCUCGACUUUCAAAUGAAUGGGGGACGCCCAAACUCAUAGGCCGACCUUAGACUCGAGCCAGCAAUGGGCUUGGUCGGGGACUUAGGCGAGCCAUGAGAUAAAUAUGAGCUCGACCUAAUGAGAGGUCUUGCUGGCAUACUCGUGGAGUAUCGCCUUAUACAUGACUUGUGGGCCCUUGAGGUGUACGGUGGACGGAGGGAAGUAAGUGGUGAUCUACGGAAAUGGAAAUACCGACCCGGUUGACAGGAGGGUCAACGCGGGAAGGUAUACGAAUGACAUCGGCAGAGCGAGUGGAACUUAGCUCCUGAGAGCUACUAUAUCCUUGAAUUGUUUCUGAUUACUUUUCCUGUUGAAUGAUUGAUUAUUGAAGGGACAUGGUUUUAUUUAUUAAAUUUGGGAUUGCUAUUUGAACAAAGUGCUUGCAUGUGUGUUCUUGGCCUCACGAGCGUUUAGCUCACCCUAUAGUUUUGUUUUCCUUAACAGGACCGAAUCUUGGAGAAGUAUGGGAAACCAUUCGUUACACUUUUGUUAAGACUCCUGCUAUAUUUUGACUAGGCCCUGGUUUGGUUGUACUUUUGGAAAUUGUAAAUUUGAAAGUUUGGGCCCUGACGUGUAUGUUGAAUUUAAGUUGUUUUAUGAUUACCGAUGUAAUGGUUACAUGUUAAGUGACUUGAUAAGCUUGAACGCUUCCGCAUUAUUGUAUUCAUGUUGUUCUCUUCGAAGUUUUAGUCCGGUUUUAAAUUGAAUGGAAUUGCUUGAGUCCUGGCGAGAGCUGGGCAGGCGUCCGCGGAUACCCUUUGGUCCGCCUUAGGGAGAUGUGGGGCGUCACAGUUGGUAUCAGAGCGCUAGGUUAGAGGUCUAUAUGGGAGACAUAUUAGAUACUCUACCUUUAAGACUCGAUACGGGAUGACUUAAUCCUACCCUAAGUGAUACUUGAGGCGAGCUAGCAACUAAGUUAGUCCUACCUCAAGUGACGAUUGGGAUGAACCAACGAUUAAGUUAGGCAUGCAUUGCAGGAUAAUGGAACUGAGUAGUGAUUUAAGUUUCUAACCUGAAAAGUAUUAUUAUUUUGCAGGGAUGGAUGACGGAAAUGGAGCCCCGACAGCUAACGGGAAUGGCCAUGCGAAUGGUCAUUAUGAGCCUCUUAGGACUAUCUUCUACCGAGCUCGAGUGGGAGGAGCUCGAGUACGCUACUCACCGUAUGAUAGAUACCCUCGAUGUCCGUGUAGGUUGACUUACGCCUACCCGAGCCAUAUAGUGCAUGCUCUGGACGACGAGCGUCGUCAGUUGGUGGAUGCCAACCGCGAUUUACAGCUGAGGUAGACGAGCUUAGGCAGAUGGUCGGCGCUCAGGGUGAGCGGAUUGCCGAGCUCGAGGAGGUGCUGGAGGGUGAGGUAGCCACAUCUGCAGUGGUUAAUGAGGAGCUUCAGGAUACUAGGGCUCGACUCACUAGGCUAGGACGGGAUGUCCGUAAUCGGGCUUUCGAGAUCCUGGCUGAUGCUUCUAGAUUGGUUGAGGACGCUACUGAGGUGAUUCCUGACGCUGAGGAGGAUCCGGAGGAGGAUCCCGAGGAGGAGGUUCCUCCUGAUAGCCCCGCUGAGGACUAGGAUCUUAGUCGUUGACCCCUUUUGACUUUUGACCGGUACAGUUAGGACUAGUUAGGGUGACGCGAGUGCCGAGGCCAUUGUAUUUUGCAUGCUUGUGUGGCCUACUCUUGGGCACUUGUUCUUACUUUAGUCUUCUGUGACUAAAAGUAUACUUUUGAGCACCUGUGUGCUAUAUUUUUGUGAAUUGUCCCUAACUUGCUAAUUGUACGAACUUGACAUGCUUAUGAAUGUAAAUUAUUGUUAAUUUCAAUGCUUUCUUGGUUGGUUCUAAUUUUGAUAUAUUUCUUCGUUUCUGCUUAAAUUAAUCUAUUUCUUGCACUAGGCACAUUUAGACUAAUGGAAGGAUUAAGGAGUGGUCGAGGCCGUGGGCGAGCGUCUAGACAGGCCCAACCUCAGGGGAUGACCAGGGAUCGGCAACUGGACCGACCAGGGACAGGAAAAUAUUGAGGGUAACCAAGUGGCUACUGCCAUCAAUAGGAUGACUGAUAUCCUAGAACGUCUAGCGGAGAGACAGGGUCCUGGACCAUUUAACCAACCUGGGGGCCAGGAUAGAGGAGAGGAUAGAGCCCUGGAAAGAUUCUUAAAGUUUAACCCGCCUAAGUUUAUGGGUGAACCUGACCCUGAAGUAGCGGAGAAUUGGUUAGAUAGGAUGACCAAUAUAUUCGCCGCUCUAGACUACACUGAGGAUAGACGAGUGAAUUUUGCUGCUUUCCAAUUUGAGGGAGUGGCCCGUGCUUGGUGGGAUUUGAUAAAAGGAAAAUGGGAAAGGGCUCGAACCCCUUGGACUUGGGAGAAUUUCACAAGGGAGUUUAAUGAAAAGUUUCUUCCGCCCUUAAUCCAAGAGAAAAGGGAGGACGAAUUUAUUAAGCUAAAACAGGGAACCCUUACUGUAGCAGAGUAUGAGGGGAAGUUCACUAAACUUUCCAAAUACGCUCCUGAGUUAGUAGCCAAUGAUCGGAGGAGGAUUAGAGGUUUGUACAGGGACUUAAUGUGGAACUUCAGGAGGGCCUGGCUGCAGCCCAAAUCUCUACCUUUACUGAGGCUUUAGAGAAAGCGCAAAGGGUUGAAAUGCAAGAUCUCAAGUGAGGGAUUUCCACAAUAGAAAAAGGAAUUUUCCUAGUCACACUUCUGGGCAGACUAGUAAGAAUGCACACCCUUCUAAAAUGGGAAGAGGAGAAGGUGGAACGAGGACUACGGGAGCUUCUAGGGGAGCCCUAUCUAGGGGAGGUCGUAGCGGGACGACUCAAGUUAGGGGGCACCAUCUGUUGGAUCGACUGUGACCCCUUAAGUUACAUGUGGGUUGUGGCGACCCACUUCCCCCUAAGGCGAACCAGAGGGUUGGCGGGCGGUCUGCCCAGCUCUCGCCAGGACUCACGCAAGCAAUCCAACCUAAAAUCUUCCGACGAUUAACUUAAGCUAUUACAAUAAAGAUCCUUCCGAAAAUAAAUCGAUUUCUACCACCACGCUAACUUCAGAGAUAACAGUAUAUAACUUAGCCAAUCGACAGUUCCUAAAUACUUCCAGUGACGCUCGCGCAAAAGAUAAGGAUUUACUAUACUAACACAAACAUACAAACUGAGUAUUAGAAUUAGAGAUUACACUUUCCAGCUUCAAGUGGCAACCCAAAAUGAAAAGUACAAUGCUUAGCUUAGAAUCCGUUACAAACCGAAAAUUACAAUCAAAUUGUUCAAGUACAACCAUAAGAAAUAUAAGCUGCUCAAAUACUUUCAACUUCACAUCCUGUAAGGAAAACAAAUAAACAUGGGGUGAGCUAAAGCUCAGUGGUGCCCCAAAACAUGCAGUCACGCAAAUCAAACAACGAGUAAUAACUUAAACAAGUUUAACAAAUAGGAAAGCGUUUAACAGCACAAGGUGGGAUACAGGGGCUCUCAGGAGCCAUUUUCCUCGCUUGAUCACCAUUUAUCGUAGUUGACCCUCCGUCAACUCUCACUACCUAGAUUCCAUAUAGAUCCACUUAUUUUAAUCCUAACCCGUCACCAUUCAUACCUCUACUCCGGGCCGCACUUCGUCUACCGACGCAGUAUACUCGAGAUAUACCCGUAAUAAAAUUUGUCGAAGGAUUCACCCAACGACUUUGUUGUAGUUCGAUUCAGGUGCCGAGGGAUUCACCCAACGACGUAACUACAUUUGGAUUCAGACAUUAUUGUAGUUCGAUUCAGGUGCCGAGGGAUUCACCCAACGACGUAACUACAUUUAGACUCAAGGACUUAUGAGAAAAAUAAUUCACGCAAGUCACCACUCGAACGGCUAGUGCGAUAAGUACACACUGCUCACUUCGAUGGAUCAAAACUCAUUUUGCAAUCUAUCACAUAUCGAGUCAAGAAAGCGCUUAAUUCAAGUAGGAACGAACAGGCAGGGACACUCACCAAGAGUGGAGUUCAGAUAUCAAGUGGAAUCGAAUUCCGCGUCCUCGCAAUAUCCUAAAAACCAAAUUUUGAAACUAUAAGUUUCUACUCAGUUUUUUUUUUUUUUUUUUAAGCUUAUAAGCAUGAGGUAUAUCUAAUAUUACUAUUCACUUUCCCUUAGAAAAUCAAGAGUCCCUUAGGUUAAAACUUGACAAAAGUAGAAGAAAUGUUUAUUAUAGUUUUCCUUAAGAUACUUUCCUUAUAAAAGGGUAACUAGACUAGUAUUUUUCUUGAAAUAAGUCGACAAACCUCUUAAUAUCAUGUUGGAGGUUACUUUGAACAUUUCUUUAAAGUUACGGCUUUUGCAAAAAUUAUCUAAAAACUAUUUUCCUAAAAUAGGGUUUCUUGCCGAGCAAGUUCCCAGGCUUUCACUAAAAUUAGUAAAACUCGUAUUUUGGAACUUUUCCUAUAGUUACUAGCCAAGUGCAAAACUUAAAAGAAAAGGAGUUAAUAAGACUUAGAGUUUUCAAAAGCUAUAGAAUUUAUUUACUAUAACUAUCAAAGCUAGUUUGAGCAAAAAGAAAUUAUCGAGUUGGAAGAGUUUAGGCAAAACACUAGAUAUUGAUUAUAAUUAAUACUAGCUGGAAAAGUAUUUUUGAUUAAUUUGAUCACAGUUACUCGAGUUCGCAAGGUCGAUACAACUUCCACAGCUCCGAUUCCGUUUCGAAAUUAUCUUAUGGAUCAAAAUAUAGCAAAAAUCACCUAGCAAAUUACUAAGGCUUUGUCAAUCAUUAGCCCUAGAUUUCAACAAUUGCAUUUCUGAUAAAAAUAAAAUUGAACAACCAAGGCUUCAUCAAUCAUUAGCACUUGGUUUCAGCAAACCCAUCAUACAAAUAAAAAUAAAAGUGAGGCCUCCAAGACAUUCCAGCAAUUUAACUUUCAUCACCCAGUAGUACUUAUAAAGUCAUUCAAAUGGCCAAGGGCUUCAUCAAUCAUUAGCCCUUGACAACAUCAAUUACUUCCAACCACAAUUCAAUCAAAAAUUUAAAACACAAGUAAGCUAAAAUCUCAAUCCAAAUCCAAAUUUAGUUUCACGAAGAAACAGGACGUUCAUACAAAACAGUCUACUUGGAGGGUUCACAGACAGCAGUACACAUGGAGGAAAAAUACGAAAUUUCUACAGGACAAAGGCCUAUGAUUAUAGUUUCAAAUGCCGCUGACGGCGCCUUAAUCGGAUUUUCCUACACCAAGAUAUAAGCAUUUUGCCUAGACUGGUCAGUGAAAUCCGGAAAUCUGGAAAUUCUUGUUCACUUGUGAAAAACUCCUUUUUCUCUUUUAAAACCAUAGGACUUUUAUUCAAACCAUCCGUACAUUUAAAUAUGACAUUCAUACCAGUAUAUACCAAGGCAAAUAACACUUAAUUCCAGCAAAUGGUUCAGCCAAGAAUUCAUAUAUAUACUAAUCUGUCAUCAGCUAUAUAUGACAACCAUCAAUUGGCAAUUCACCCACAAUUCGAGUGUUUCACCUCUGCAUGUCUUAUAAAACUUUAAAACAACAUAUUCCAGGCAUUUCCAAUCAUUGUGUUUCAAGGAAUAAUUUCACAACCGAGCUAAAACUCCGAUUCAACCUUCGGAUACCACAAAACAAAUUUCCAGCAUUUAUUUUCCAACAUUUGGGUCAAUCUUUUAGUCAUUCAAAUUUCCAGCACUAAGUUGUUCAUGAAUUCAAUAUUUCUUUGGCUAAGACAUGCCAUUAUACUCUCAACUUCAUCAUGCAAUUACUUGGCUAGUCCGUUAACAUUUCCAACUCGAAAUUAAGUUUAAACAACUGUUAUAAUCCUUGAAAUUUCCAGGUUUAAACUCAUGGUAGUUCACAAAAAUUUUCCAGCAAUUGUAUGUCCUUAUCACAACUUUUUCCUUGGCUAAAACAGAGUAUUAUGGUCUCAAAUUUAACAUGCAACUACUUAACUAACUGAUUAACAUAUCUAGUUCAGAAAACAACUUCAAUCAUCAACACAAAAUCAUCUAAAAAUUUCCAGAAACAUCCAACAAGCCUCGGAUGAACGUGCACUUAGCAGAAUUCAAUUUCAUUUUAUUUUUCUGCUUUAAACCCGUUAAUUAACUAUAGGCAGAACUUAAUCAUCUUGUAGUUUACUAGUUAGUCAUAGUUAGAGGUUCAGAACAGCAAAAUUAUACCCAAUGAAACUACAUGACUCAAGACAAAUCUCGGCAGAAUCCUUUCAGCAAAACAGAAUUUUCCUAAGCUCCUUAAUUCAUCACCCAAAUACAUAAAAUUAUCAUGCAAGGCCCUAAUCAUAAUAAUCAUCCAAAAAUUCAGUUAGUUAAACAUCAUUUCAUGCUCGAAUUACUUCAGCAAAACAACAUUGAAGCUGCGGUAUCCACUCAGCUUCUCGGCAGAAACAAUUACUUCCAAGACAGAUUUUCUAAUGUUUUGAUUUCAUCAUCCGAUGGUUUAAAAUCAUCAUGCAAAGCUCAAUUAUCAUGGUAUUAACUAGUUAUUCAUGGUUACAAACUCAAAACAACGAAAUUGAAUCACAUGAAGCUGCAAAAAUGCAGGACAAGCUCUCGGCUGCAACAAUUCAUAAGAACAGAAUUUCUUCUUCUAAAUCACUUGUCCGGAUGUUUGAAACCCACAUGCGAGGCCCUAACCGCAUUAAUCAUCCCAGAUUUAGAUAGCUAAUCAUAAAUACAAUUCCGGAUUAUCACAAGAAAGCAGAUUUCAUCAAGCAUGUCUUAAUCAAUUCUCGGAAAUCCAAUUUCAGCGCACAUCAGAUUUUUCUUUUCCUAAAUUCCUCAUUCAUUGCCUAAGCUUCACAUGCAGGGCCCUAGAUAGCUUAAUCCACCAUUGGUCAGUUAGCUUUAGUCCAGAAAUUACCUCACCGAUGACUCACUCGCGUGGCAAGGAAGCUGAAAAUUUUCUCUCGGCUUCGCACGCUGGUUUGGUUGUUGCAGAACCGCAGCUCACCAGCUCUCCCUCUCUUGUUCACACGCGAACUGGGGUAAUGGUUCUGGUUGGAUGUUGCAGUUGCGGUGGAGUUGCUGGAAACGGUUGCAGUUGGUUGAGGUGAAGAAAACACAGAGGAACUUACGCACAGCCUCUCCCUCUCUUCCCUCGAGCUCACUUACGGAACCAGAAAUGGUUGCAGCUCGCGGACAGAACCAGAAAUCUUCCUCUCGGCUGCAGAGUGCAGCUCGGCCUCUCUCUCUCUCUCUCUCUCUCGGAUUGUCGACACUAGCUAAGCAGAGUGAGUUGCAGUUGUAGUUUGAGAUGUGAAGUGGAAGUGGAUGAAAGAGUGCCGUGGUUUUUGAGGGUGGAAUCGAUUGAGUGUGGAGUUGGUAAUGGAUUUCGAUUGGUGGUAUGGGGCGGUGCUAGGCUGCUGUCCGAGGUCUUGUUUGGUUCGGCAUGGAAAUAUCAUGGUUGUGGUGUAGUGGGGAUUUGGUGGUUUGUGAAGGGCAUUUUGGUCUUUUCACAUCUCCUCCUAAUAUCCCCUUAAGUCCUUGGCUCUAACUAAAGUCCAAAAAUUAUCCCCAAGUGUGAUUUAAACGUCGAAUUAUACACUAGUCCUACAAGACCUUAAUUAUCGUAAGUCUUACGUCCUAAGUAUAUCUAGGAUACUUAUAUCGUUCUUGUCCAAAAUUUAUCGAUUGCAUCUUAAUACUAAGGUUUCUGUAUACCCUUAAUCUUAUUCGUAAUAAAGUUAGCUAUUGCAAAUUAAGGAAUUUAUUUUUAGAGAGUAAACUUAAUAUCGCUCAAGAAUUAUUACUUUUAGUAUAACAAAACUGAAUAAUUCAAUAUUGGUUACAAUUAUAUUAUUUAUACAUAAACAUUAUCUUUAUACCUUAAUUCAAAACAAUUAAUUACAAUACUAGAGUUCAGAGAGAUUAAUUGUUAGGUCAAAGAAAUAGUUUACCAUGAAAUAUGAAUUUAAAGUAGCAAAACUAAUAAGUUUAGUACAUAGAGUAAAAUAUAUUCACGUAGUCCAAUUUGAGAAUACUCAAUAUUUUGCACAUUUAACUGUUUGCGAUUUUAAAAUUGUGUUUACAUAUUUAUUCAAAGACAAAAUUCAUUCUCCUGAAAGAAACGGGACAUUUAAGCAGGAAGCCUACUUCUUGAGCAAAUUAAUAUUUGUAAGUGAUCACUUAUCAUACUUCCUUUAUUAUUUAAACUAUUAAAAUCAAGUUUGGCCUUAUAUAUAAUUUAACAUUCAUAAUAUUCAUUUAUCCCUUUUAUAACAACUUAUUAUCUUAAUCAUUUUCAAACCAUAAAACAUACCUGUCUUCAAAAUUAACUUGUAUACUCAUUCAAUCUAAUGAACUUUCUCAAUCCAAUAUUAAUUAUGACUUAUAUAUACUCCAUUCCCCUUACACCGUUAUCAGGAUAUUUUUAAAUUCUCAAUUUUGAUAAGAAUUCAAUUAAGCAUUUAAUUAACCACUUAUUCAUUAUAUGACAUAUUUCUAAGCUCAAGGUAGUAAAAUAAAAUAAAUGCAAAGCUUACACAUGAUUUCUUGAGUUCUCACAUGGGUUAUUGUGGUAAAUCCAACCAUUCUGAGAACGAUUGCUGGAGAAAGUUGGGAAAAUGCUUACUGUGUGGGAGCACUGAGCAUCAAAUCGCAAAUUGUCCGAAAUCGUCGAAGGCAGGGGGAAGCCUGCAGAGGCCUGAAAAAUCAACCUCUAAGCAGACCAGUGCCGGAGGGAGUCGACCGAAGGUACCGGCUAGGGUCUACGCAUUGGACUAUCCGCAAGUUCCAGAGGCGAUCGAGGUGGUUGAAGGUACAAUUCCAAUCUUUCACCGCCUAACUAGGGUUUUUAAUUGAUCCGGGUGCAACACACUCUUUUGUAAACCCUGAUUUCAUGAGUGGAAUAGACUUGAAGCCAAUUAAGUUACCAUAUGACUUGGAGGUUAAAACACCCACUGGGACAAAAGUUUAAUUGCUAAUCUGGUGUAUAAGAAUAGUGAAAUCUGCGUGAACGAAAGAAAAUUCUGGCCGAUUUGAUAGGUCUAGCGAUUAAAGGAUAUGAUGUGAUCCUAGGGAUGGAUUGGUUAGCCCGUUAUAAUGCCCAACUGAAUUGUAGGACGAAAAUUGUAGAAUUGUGUAUUCCAGGGGAGGCAACCCUGAAAUUGGAUGUGAGGGGUAAGUUAGCCUCAUCUGCACUUAUUUCGGGAAUUCGGGCUAGAAAAUUGUUGAAUAAGGGAGCUCAAGGAUAUUUGGCUUUUCUUAUUAAUACCCUUAGCGAUAAGGUGAAUCUGGAGGACACACCGGUAGUGAAAGAAUUUUCCGAUGUUUUUCCUGAAGAUUGGAGUCUUUACCCCCGGAACGGGAAAUAGCUUUUAAAAUUGAUGUAACUCCGGGAUCAGCACCUAUCUCAAGGACACCAUAUAGGAUGGCUCCAGCUGAGUUGAAAGAGUUGAAGUUACAAUUACAGGAUUUGUUGGAACGGGGUUUUAUACGAGAGAGUGAUUCCCCGUGGGGAGCCCCAGUUUUGUUUGUAAAGAAGAAAGAUGGGAGUUUGAGUUAUGUAUAGAUUAUCGAGGCUUAAAUGAUGUUACGAUUAAGAAUAAAUACCCACUACCCCACAUUGAUGAACUGUUUGACCAACUGCAAGGGCGUGUAGUGUUUUCAAAGUUGGAUCUAAGGCAAGGUUACUAUCAAUUGAGGAUUUUAGAGAAGGACAUACCUAAGACUGCUUUUAACUCGAGGUAUGGGCACUUCGAGUUUGCAGUAAUGCCUUUUGGGUUAACCAAUGCACCUGCCGCUUUCAUGGAUUUAAUGCAUAGGGUUUUUAAGCCUUACUUGGAUCAAUUUGUGGUGAUCUUCAUUGAUGAUAUUUUGGUGUAUUCUAGGAAUACGAAGGAUCAUGAGAAACAUUUGAGAAUUAUUUUACAAAUCUUGAGGGAACAUCAGUUAUAUGCUAAGUUUAGCAAGUGUGAAUUCUGGCAAAGAAGUGACUUUCCUAGGGCAUAUAAUUUCUCAGGAUGGGAUUAAAGUGGAUCCAGUUAAAGUUGAAGCUGUUUCGAAAUGGAAACGACCGGAAAAUCCAACGGAAGUUCGGAGUUUUAUAGGAUUGGCAGGGUAUUACCGGAGAUUCAUCCAGGAUUUUUCGAAAAUUGCUGGACCUAUGACUGAGUUAACCAAGAAAAAUGGAAAAUUUAUUUGGAGUCCUAAGUGUGAAGAAGUUUUCAGGAGUUGAAAAGACGGUUGACUAGAGCGCCUGUUCUAGCUCUACCUAAUGGACAGGAUAGUUUUGUGGUUUACACAGAUGCUUCUAAGGAAGGUUUGGGAUGUGUUUUGAUGCAAAAUGAUAAAGUGAUAGCUUAUGCAUCUAGGAAAUUGAAACCACAUGAAGGAAAUUAUCCGACCCAUGAUUUGGAGUUAGCGGCUGUGGUCUUUGCUUUGAAGAAAUGGAGACACUAUUUGUACGGAGUAACAUUUGAGGUUUUUACAGAUCACAAAAGCCUUAAGUACUUAUUUUCUCAGAAGGAGCUGAACUUGAGGCAACGUAGAUGGAUGGAAUUUCUGGAAGAUUAUGAUUGUACGAUUAAGUACCACCCUGGAAAGGCCAAUGUAGUGGCCGAUGCUUUGAGCCGUCAGGUACAAAUGGCUGGAUUGAUGGUUAAGGAAUUUCCAGUUGUUGGAGGAAGUUAGCUAUUGGAAUCCUCGAUUAGAACCAAGGAAAGUAAUUUUGGGGAAUAUUGUGAUAACCUCCACUUUAUUAGAACGCAUUAAGGAAUCUCAGGAAAAGGACCCUGAAGUGCAAAAGUUGGUGGAGAAAGUUAAGAUGGGAGACCAGACGGAUUUCAAUUUGGGAACAGAUGGAAUAUUGAGAUUUCGAAAUCGGAUGGUAGUACCAAAGGACGAAACACUUAAGAAGGAAGUUUUGGAGGAAGCACACCGAUCGAAGUUUACGGUACACCCUGGAGGGAAUAAAAUGUACCAAGACUUGAAAAGUCUAUAUUGGUGGGAAAAUAUGAAGAAAGAAAUUGCUCAAUUUGUUCAGACAUGCUUGGUUUGUCAACAAGUUAAAGCCGAACAUCAAAAACCCUCAGGACUUUUGCAACCUCUAGAAAUACCUGAGUGGAAAUGGGAGAAUAUUACCAUGGAUUUUGUAUCAGGCUUACCAAGGACACAGAGAGACCAUGAUGCCAUUUGGGUAAUAGUGGAUAGAUUGACUAAAUCGGCUCAUUUUCUACCGAUUAACAUGAAAUACCCGUUAGAAAAGCUGGCCAGUUGUACUUGGAUGAGAUCAUCAGACUACAUGGUAUACCUGUGAGUAUUGUGUCAGAUAGGGAUCCAAGAUUUGUCUCGAGGUUUUGGCAAAAGAUGCAAGAAGUGUUGGGGACUAAGUUAAACUUUAGUACCACCUAUCAUCCUCAGACUGAUGGACAAUCUGAAAAACAAUUCAGACCCUUGAGGACAUGUUAAGGACUUGUGUGCUGGAUUUUGGAGAGAGUUGGAGUAAGUUUUUGACUUUAGUGGAAUUUGCCUAUAACAAUAGUUUCCAUUCUUCUAUUCAAAUGGCUCCAUACGAAGCACUUUAUGGUCGGACGUGUAGAUCCCCAAUUUGUUGGGAUGAAGUAGGUGAACGAAAAAUUUUAGACCCGACUACCGUAUCUUGGAUUGAGGAGGCUAAUGAAAAGGUAAAAUUGGUACGGCAAAGGAUUCAAACCGCUCAGAGUAGACAAAAAAGUUAUGCCGACAAUCGGAGAAAGGAUUUGGAGUUCACUGUUGGAGAUGUGGUAUUUCUCAAGAUUACGCCUUUAAAAGCAAGCUUGAUGUCCGGAAAAGGGAAGAAACUACAACCAAGGUUUGUAGGGCCAUAUAAGAUUAUUCAACGAAUUGGGAAUGUAGCCUAUAAGCUGGAAUUACCACCGAGCUUAUCUCGUAUUCAUAACGUGUUUCAUGUGUCCAUGCUUAAGAAAUAUCAUCCAGACCCCUCUCAUGUUUUACAACCGGAGUAUUGAGAUCGAUGAAACCCUGACCUAUGAGGAGAGACCGGUAAAACUUUGGAUCGAAAGGUGAAGGAACUGAGGAACAACAGAUACCACUAGUGAAAGUUCUAUGGAGAACCAUGGAGUAGAGGAAGCAACAUGGGAAGUUGAAGAGACAAUCAGAGAGAAGUAUCCAGACUUGUUCGUCAACCAAGGUAAAUUUCGAGGACGAAAUUUUCUUAAGGGGGAGAGGAUGUGAGACUCGUAAAAACUAUUAUUUUAUGCCUAAUUCAUGGCUUAAUAAAUUAUUUAAUUGGAUUUUAUCCAAGGAAUAUUUUCUAGUCUUAUUAGACUUAAAUACAUGGUAAUAUAAUUCGUUAUAUUUUUAAAGUGAUUCGUUCUAAAAAUUAAUUUCCUGGAGUACGUUUAGUAAAAAUAGUGAAUAGUACUUGGAGAUUUUAUCCGCGUAGUAGCACAAUAAGCUUGGAAUAUUGGAGACUUGUACUAUGGUCCUAAAAUAGGUAAUACUUAUGAGUAAUACUCAAGUGAUAGUUAGUUAGUGCAAUCGUUAUAAGAAUUUAUUGGAAGUUUCGCGUUAUAGCGUUAAAAUUGACGGUACGUUUUCACACGCGCGACUUUAUUUGAGGGACUUUAGACCCUUAUAUCGGGAACAAUUAAGAGUGAAUAAUACUUACAUGAAUAUAAAUGUAUUGGAGGUUCAGUGCACUAGUGAACCAAACGCGCGAGAAAAUCGAGCCCUAAUCGCGCCAACGCACCCUAAUAAGAGUUGACUUUGGAGUGAUUGUGCACCACCCAUUUAAUCUUCUCUUGGAAGCUUAUUUUGAUCAAACUUCACUCCAUCUUCUCUCACCUAGCAGCGCGGCCAACACCCCCCUCUCACUCACUCUCUUGCUUCACAAAUUCCUUCAUCAAAUCAACCCAAAACCUCAACCAAUCUUCACCAAACUUGAAGAUCAUCUACAUACUAUACCUUGGAGGUUGGAUUUACCUAACAAAAAGGGCUGCAUUUUCACAGUUUCUUGGAGCUCUUGAGGGCCGAAAAUUUCUGGGUUAAGGCACUAAGGAGGUAUAACUUCAUCCUACACCUUAAACUAGGAUUAUAAUUGUGGAAAUGCAUCUUUAAGCUAUUGCAUGUGGAUGGGUGGCUUGAUAUGGUUGUAAAAUGUGAUAGUGGGCUCUUUGUAUUCCCACACUUGGGUUGUUGUUGCUGAUUAGAGGAUCAAUGUUGGGUUUAAUGGUAGUUUAAUGGUUAUAAUGAUGGAUUUAUGGAGUAUUAAUGUUGGAGACUCAAAGUAGAGGUCAUGACCAGAAAUUGCUGAAUCUGCCCCUGUUUUGUUCGGCCAUGAUAAGGCCAAUUUUUGGUGAUUUAUUGGCAUGAACCUGAUGUUUAUAUGUUAUAUUAUAUGUGUAGAAAUUUUGGUUGGAAAACAUUAACGUUGGAUGGGCAAAUGAAUUUAUUCGUGGACUAGGCAAGCUGGAAAGUUAUUUUCGGGUAACCCUGUCCAGCGGUACAUUUUGACCAUAACUCUGUCCUCGGGUGUCGAAAUCAAGUGUCGUCGGUGGCGUUUGAAACUACACAUCCCUGGCUUUAAUUUGAGAUAAAAUGCACAUUCUGAUUCUUUGUGAGUGAGCCGAACCAAAUGUUUUAAGGUAGCUGUCCUGUCUCUCGGAUUUGCUGGAAUGGUUUGUAGAAGCAGUAACUUGAGGCUCAAUUUUGAGCUGGUUGCUUGCCAAAUUUCAGAACGUCUUCUUCUGUAAACCGUUAUUCCUAUGAAUGUAUUUUCUAACGCCAUAAACCAUGCCUCAUUCCGAGUUAAAUUGGUUGAGUUGUGACUAAAACAAGUGGACUGCCCUGUUUUGGGAAAAACGUAAUAUUUGGACUGAUUUUGGACAAAACUUGGGAGUGAUCUUAUUAAUUGAAAAUUUGAUGCUAAACCAUUACCAAAGGUACCAUGGAUGUAUCUUAGACCUUUAUUUUACCAAUGAACCAUGGUUGGAUAGCUUUCUUGGUUAAACGAUUUGAAAUUGGGAAAUGAAAGUCAAAAGGCAGAUUGCCUUAGAAAUUUUCCGGAACUUUGGAUGAUUAGUUAACUACCUUCCCGAGGGUAUUUUUCCCUGAAAUUUGAUAGAGAAAUACCUUGCAUAUAGAAGUAAAAUACUGCCAAUUUUGUCACCAAUUCAAGUUCGUUUCGAUACCGAAUUAAAUUUCUAGUGUUGGAGGUUCAAAACUGGAAAUUCUUCUUCAGUCUUGAAUCUUCCUCAACUUUGAGCUACCGUAUCUCGGUCCUCGAAACUCCGAUUCUUGAUCCGCUUAUUUUGGUAUAAACCUCACUUGCAACUCUAAUUGAGUUACAAAUUUCAGAGGCCGGUUUGCAAUGUGUGAAUUGUGCCGAAUUUUCAAAGUUGGCCGAAAUCCAACUUAAUUCUCUUUUUACGCCGAGUCUGUAUCUUCAAGCUCAUUUUUGAGUACUUUCCACUUAGAUUCAUGGAAAGGUGUCUUCUAAGAACUUUUAACCCUUUACAAAAGGUUUCCAACGGUAUAAAUUUUUCCAGUUUUGGACUUAUAACGAGAGAUAUGAAUUUUCAAAGAUUUAGGAUAAAACUGAAAUUUCUCAAUUUUCAAGGCAAAGGAGUUUUUCCAAAACUCUUAAUUCUCUUAGUAUUAUUCAUACGUUUUGCCCUCGCUUUUCAUGAUAAAAACUCAAAUAAUAUUGUACAUAAUAAAAGGGCAAGUUGAACCUCGAUUUGCGAGUAAUUGAGGUUCAUUUUGUGAAAUAUUCCUUAGAUUGUACUAGUGUACAAUCUUCCUUGACUAGUGGGUUAUUUGUGUGAUUAUCCGCUAUUAAUUGCCAGGCGCUCAAGGAGACAUUCAAGAGGAUCUUACUGUGGACACUUGAACUCCCAGAAAAUAAUUCUUAUUUAAUUGCUCGAUGAGUGUCAAGUGUGUGAAUCUGUGAUACUUGCUUAUUUGUGGUAAUUGUUGGGAGUUUUAAAAUAAGGGCGGGUGCGUACUUUACCGCACUCGUUCUAAUUUCAAAUGAAUGAAUGAAGUGUAUUGAAUGAAUGAAUGAAAUGCAAUGUUAUGUUAUGAUCACAUAUGUCGUUGGAGUGAACCUCCUCGACUUUCAAAUGAAUGGGGGACGCCCAAACUCAUAGGCCGACCUUAGACUCGAGCCAGCAAUGGCUUGGUCGGGGACUUAGGCGAGCCAUGAGAUAAAUAUGAGCUCGACCUAAUGAGAGGUCUUGCUCGGCAUACUCGUGGAGUAUCGCCUUAUACAUGACUUGUGGGCCCUUGAGGUGUACGGUGGACGGAGGGAAGUAAGUGGUGAUCUACGGAAAUGGAAAUACCGACCCGGUUGACAGGAGGGUCAACGCGGGAAGGUAUACGAAUGACAUCGGCAGAGCGAGUGGAACUUAACUCCUGAGAGCUACUAUAUCCUUGAAUUGUUUCUGAUUACUUUUCCUGUUUGAAUGAUUGAUUAUUGAAGGGACAUGGUUUUAAUUAUUAAAUUUGGGAUUGCUAUUUGAACAAAGUGCUUGCAUGUGUGUUCUUGGCCUCACGAGCGUUUAGCUCACCCUAUAGUUUUGUUUCCUUAACAGGACCGAAUCUUGGAGAAGUAUGGUGAAACCAUUCGUUACACUUUUGUUAAGACUCCUGCUAUAUUUUGACUAGGCCCUGGUUUGGGUUGUACUUUUGGAAAUUGUAAAUUUGAAAGUUUGGGCCCUGACGUGUAUGUUGAAUUUAAGUUGUUUUAUGAUUACCGAUGUAAUGGUUACAUGUUAAGUGACUUGAUAAGCUUGAACGCUUCCGCAUUAUUGUAUUCAUGUUGUUCUCUUCGAAGUGUUUAGUCCGGUUUUAAAUUGAAUGGAAUUGCUUGAGUCCUGGCGAGAGCUGGGCAGGCGUCCGCGGAUACCCUUUGGUCCGCCUUAGGGAGAUGUGAGGCGUCACACUUCACCUCCCUCUUCGGUUUCUCUUCUUGUUCGGCUGAACAUCUCUCUCAAUCUCCUAUCUCCCUCGCUGUUUUUCUUUUUCGCUCCGUCGCUUUCUCUAGUUCUUCCAGCAGCCCUUUUUUCCUCCUUGCUUUUUGUGUUGCUGCCGCCAUUUCCUUGUUCUUGCUCUCCUUUUUUCCAGCCGAGAGCUCCUUCCUUUUCUACUCUCUCCGCCGCCUUAUCUUUUUCUUUUCUUCCCUGGUUUUUCUCCUGUCCAGCCCGUAGGUUUCUUUGCCCAGCCCAAAACUCCCUAUCUCACACUCUCGGUUUCUUUUUCUCUAGCCGCCAACCCCAGCCUUUCUUUUCAUCAGCCGUUUUCUCCUCCGGUUUCUAGUUCCUUCCUCUCUCCCUGUUUCUCCUAGCUCUCUCAAACCCUAGCCGCCUAACCUAUCUCCAAACCCCGCAGCUGCUGUCCCUUUUUCCUCUAUCUGUUCCCCCUUUGGCUGCGCUCUAUCUCAGCCUUUUUAUAUCAAGUGGAAGACCCUAAACCCUCAUUUCAAUGGUCACAAGCAAACCUCAGCUCAACCCUUCUCACUUGGCCAUCCGAUUGAAUUCUUACAUGAAACAGUUUUUUUUUCCUUUUUUUUUCUUUUUCAGUUAAUUAAUAAUAAACAAAAUAUAAAGAAACAUAACAACUUAAGUAAAAUCGAAUAAAAGGGCAAAACUAGGCAUAAAAAGAUUAAAAAAAUGAAAUGCUAAAUUCUCCAUUUUUCCUUCUUUUUUUUAAAUUAAAUAACAAUGAACUUGAAUCCAAAAUAACUAAAACAUAUUUUGUGAAUGAUUUUCUUUUUUUUUUGAUAAAUUCUAUGCUAAAAUGACUUAAAAAAAUAAAAAUAAAAGACUAAAAGUAAAUAAAAACUAACAUACAAUAAUAGUAAACAAAAAUGCACUAAAAAUUUGGUGUCUACAGUUACUUAAGUGAAAUUAUGUGAUAAAUGUACUUAUUAUGAAAUAUUGCUGAGUGAUUCAUUGUAAAGUGUAUCUCAAUUGUCUCUCGCCUUCUAAGUCGAGGGUAUACUUUAUCGCACUCGGUUAAUUGAGUUUGAAGGUUGAUAAUUGACCAAAUAUUACUGUAAGUGUGCAUGAAUGUAAGCCGUAUGUGUACUUUACCGCAUAGGCUGAACUGGGCCCCAAAACCCUCUAUUCAACGGACUAUUCGAACCAGCAAAGGGUUGGGUUGGAUAGGACGGAAGUUUUGGGUAACUGUUUCGAUAUACUCGAGUAUUACCCUGAAGCUGGGAGAUUAUUGAACUGAUUACUGAAUGUAGGAGAUUGUUUAUUGUUUUGGAGGACAUAAGAAGGUGAAUUAGCGGAGUGUGCAAUGAUAUUGAAAUAAAUGUACAAUGACAUUGAAAUAAGUGUGCAAUGAUAUUGAAAUGACAUUGAAUUACUGAACGGAACUAAGUGCUACGUUUGGAGCGGACGGGAGCCACCUCUAAAGUCUGUAUCAGUACCAUAUCCUUUAAGGUAAUUGAUUACUUUUAUUAAAUUUGAUAUCCUGUAUUGUUAAGUUUGGUGAAAGUUUUAUACUGCUAAUUGGUUGUUGUAUCCUUUUGAAAGUGACUAUACAGUGAAAUGUGCAUUACUUGCUUAAUUUUACUGGUUAAGUGUUUAUUGAAUGUUACUUGUUCGGCAAACCUCACUGACCUUUAACUCAACCCUUUAGUACUGUUCACCGACACUGUUCAUAGUUACUGUUCAUCCGAAUACAAAUCUGUCCAGCCUUGUUGUUUGUGUUAUCCAACUUGUUUACUUGGUUUUCAAAUCUGGAUUUUGGCAAAACUUGUUGGAAUUUUGUGAAUCUUGAAGAGAACUUACAAUAAUCUUGAACUUCUUGCAUUCUUGAUCACAAUCUUGAAAUUUCUGAAGUUCCUGACAACUUCCUUGAAAGUUCUUGAAAGAUCUUGGAGUUCUUGGAUCUUGGAGUUAUUAUUUGUGGACUUCCUUGUUUUGUGUCGUGGUCGAUAGUUGUAGUCAAGAAAAAAAAACAGAAAACAAAAACGAAAAGAAAAAGAAAGAAAAGAGGAAUCGGUUGGCAAGAAAAAAAAAAGGAAAGGAAAGAAAGUGGCAACCGAAUUGUUUUGAAUAGGGAACCAAAUCUGAUUUGUGCAAUCUUUCUUGGAGUAGAAUUUGGAAGUUACCAAAAGUUGUUUCAAGAAGAUUACCAAAGGUUGUUUCAAGAAGGUUACCAAAAGUUGUUUCAAGAAGAUUACCAAAAGUUGUUUCAAGAAGGUUACCAAAAGUUGUUCAAGAGGAAAAGGAUUUUCAAAGGGUUUCCAAAAACUAACUUGUUUCCAAAAUCAAUUAGGAAACUAAGUAAAGCACUUGGAUAACUCUUUGUACUCACUUGGACACUCUCUCUCCUACCUUUUUAGGAAACUUUCCCAAACUCUCUCAUCCAUUUUUUUUUGGAAACUUUCCUAAAUUCUCUCAUCCAUUUUUUAGGAAACUUUCCUAAACUCUCUCAUCCAUUUCUUUUGGAAACUUUCCUAAAGUCUCCCAUCUAUUUUUAGGAAACUUUCCUAAAUUCUCUCAUACAUUUUUUAGGACCUUUCCUAUAUUCUCUCAUCCACUUUAGGAAACUCUCCUAUAUUCUCUCAUCCACUUUAGGAAACUCUCCUAUAUUCUCUUCCUAGAUUUUAGGAACACUCUCCUACACUUUCUCCUAUAUUUUCUCCUAACUUUUAGGAACACUUCCCUACACUUUCUCCUACAUCUCCGUGAUUACUCUUGAGGAAGAAGUUGGUGACAAUUAUUUGGUCUUGAGCAGCAUUUCUCAAACUACCUAACCCAACAGGUAAAGGUGUUUGGUAAGUCCAUUGGAGAGGUUUAGAGUGACAUCCAUAUACACGAGUACGAGUGGAUACAUGUAAGGGAGCGUAAAAGGCAAUAUCUUUGGUUUCGUUGCUAACUUUUUGUAGGUUCCCUCAUACGUCAUGGCGAAUACAAGACGCAUAAAAGUUAGCCCACAACAUUGUCUUCCUGAUCCUAAGGGAGUCAAAGAAGUGGCAUUACGUGGUGUAGAUGAGCAAUUGGACCUCGUCAAAUCUCAGUUGCUUGGUUGGUUUUAUACCCGUUGCGGUGUCAAAGAUAAAAUUUGUAGCUUGGCCAUUGAUGGAAGUUGUGAAGUCAACCUUGCAAGUGCUAUCAUGGUUGAGAAAUUAAAUCUUCCAACCAUUGAUCAUCUUCAACCAUACAAGUUGACGAGCACUCAUGGUGAUGUUUGGGUUACUAAACACACACUUGUACCUAUUCAAAUCGGCAAAUAUGUGGAUGAGGUGUUGUGUGAUGUAGUCCCAAUUCAAGUGACACAUGUGUUGUUGGGCAAAGCAUGGAUGUCGAGGCGAGAAGUUAAAAUUGGCGGACAUACUAAUAAGUAUUCCUUCUUAUUUAAUAGUCAUCGUCUUGCACUUGUAUCACUUACUUAUGACCAACUUUGUAUUGAUCUAGCAUGCAUGAAAAGUGAGCUUGACCGUUAUAGAAUGGAGAAAAAGCUAGAUGAGGGAAUUGUGCCUGCAGAGGUAAAACCCGAGGAAGUUGAAAGUAAUGAGAUAAAAGGGUUGUCGCGCCCCACUUUUUGAAUGAUGAACGUGUGGUGUGUGUGUGGUGUGAGAUGUGAGUGGUGUAAUGGAAUGUGAACGUGUGUAAAUGAAAAGUAAAAGGCCAUGGGACUUGAUAAUGCGACGGUUUGGCCAUAUAAAGUUCAAAAAGGGUUUUUUGUAUCAAAAAUGGAGUCGCCACUUGGUAUAGGGUUAGGGUGUACCAAGUCACCCAAAAAAUGGUUUUUUGUUUUUGAAUAAAAAAAAGUAAAUAAACCCUUUUAAAGAACUUUUGGGUCUACGUAACCAAAAAGAGGGAUCGGGGGUCACAUUUGACGAAGGGGAAGGCAAGGAUAAACAUCCAAGGCACCCCUUCGACCUAGCCAAGGCUAGUUGCGUGACUUAAACCAAUUUUUCCUAAUUUUUCUACCCAAGGUAUGUAUCGCGUGUUGGAUAUGUCUAUAUGAAUGCAAAAACCUAGACCUAGGGGGACAUGGGGGAAAUUUCUCUUCAAAGGUUGAGCGGUGCCAAUCACAUUAAUUGUGAAGCCCAAUAAUGAUCCUUUGGAGAGGUCACACGUAAUCCUAAAUGACGUAAAAUGAGUGGAAUGCAUGCCAUGUGAAAGUGUGAGUUUGUGUGAAGUGAAAAAAAAAAUGAUAAAAGUAAUAAGAUAUAAGUGGAGGUGUGCAAAUGUCUUUGCAAGGUAAAGUAAGUAAAGAAUAAUAAGGUGAAAAAUGCCAUAAGGUGCAUGUGUGAAGAGAGAAUGUAGAAAAUAGUGUGAAAGUAGUGUGAAGUGAGAAUGUGGAAAAAGGGUUAGAAUAUAAAGUAAGUGUAUGUGAUAGUGAAUGAAUAGAAUGCAUGAAUCCUAUAGGAAUGCAUCAAGACGGGAACGGGGAGUCCUAACUUUGUGACUUAAUCUUCCCUUUGAUUAGAAGGCAAAACUAGCGUGCUAAGGCUAUCGAGUAGCCACACUCGCUCGUUUCCCUUAUCGAAAGGGGACUCUCAAGCAAAUGAGCCCUAUAACUAGUAUGAGAUGCAAAACCUAAAAAUGAGGGGAAAAAGGGGUUCGAGGAGCAUGCCAAUGAUAAAACUAAGAAAAAUGCAUGACAUGUAGUGAACAUGCAAAUAUGCACUAACAAAAGGGGAUGGCCUAUUGGGUCUAGCGUUGGACUAGCCCUUUCUAUGAAUUCCUAAUGAAAUAAUGAGCCACAACUAGCAUUGGACUAGUGUGGUGACGUACAUUCAUCCAUCACAGUCAUUCAUGGCUAUGGAAAGCGAUUAGACAUGCCAAACACCUAUAAACACAUAGCACAUAACAAUUAGCAUGCUCGACUAGAUGCAAGGACCUAAUAAAGCAAAUUAACAUGUAACAACUAAGCAGGCAAGACACAUAAGGCAAUUAAAGCCCUAACUAUUACAUUUGCUAGCUAGGCACACGUCUUCGACAGGUCUUCAUCGAAUGCUCCUCCAAGCCCUAUCUAUUACAAGCCAAGAGGUGUACACAUACCCCAUAAUGAAUACCUUAGAAAAGGGGGAAAGGGAAAAUGGACAAGAAAGCUCGCCAAGCCCUAUCUAUUACAAGCCAAGAGGUGUACACAUACCCCAUAAAAACUUAAAUAAAAGUAAAAGUAAGUAAAUGCAUGCAAGGAGGUAGGGAAAGCGAAGUAGACAGGCAUAUUCACAUAACACAUAAGGUCACAUAGGAGAAAUGAAAAUCAAGGAGAUAGAGGUUACCUCCCUUGCAAUUGGGCCCCAAUGAAGUGAACUUACUUAUUUAUCCUCCAAAAUAAAAGAAAUGGUCAAGGUACCAAUUUAUUUGGGAAAAAUUAAAAGAAAUGUGCAAAACAAGCUCACUUGGUCAUAAAGCCCCUAAAGUCAUGACUUAAAUGCAAUUGACAAAGCAUGGUAGUUAAUUGAAGCAAAACAAGCAAUGAAGUUGCAAAAAAUUAAAGUGCCAAGGACCAAAUUGAGGAAAUCAUUCAAUUGAUUGGGCCAUAGUAGGACAAGGGGAGACUUGGGGGGUCAAAGUGCAAUUUUCAGGAGCAUUUACAUGCAAGCUCAUGCGAUUUACGUAGGAAAUGCUUCUGCUACACUUCUUGUUAAACCAUCAGCAACCGAAAGAAAAACAGCACACAUAACUUGCUUUCAAGUUCAGUUCUCAAACCCAAAUAUGAAAGCUUUAAACUAGCAGCAAACUACGUAAUCCCCAUAAUCCAAUCAAAUAGGAAACUUAAAAAAACCAUGCAAGAUCAUGAAAAAAAGUGGGCAAAACAUUUGAAGAAUGAAACUGCUGUAACUUUCUUAGCUUCACAUUCCAAGACCAGAUUUCAGAUUCAAGCAACCUUAACCAAAAUUUCCUUGAUCUAACACCUAAACUUUGAACUAAACAAACAAGACAUGAAUUUGACAUCUAAACAAACAAGAAACAUAGGGGAACUGGUGCAAAAGGUCACGGAAAAACUCAAGCAUGCUGCAAACUCACGGUUGCAUAGUCUCAUUCAAUUUCCUAUCCAUUUGGCCGAAUCUAUAUUCAUGCAAAUAAACCAAGUAUCUCCACUUGAAUCAAAAUGCAGAGAUUUGAAGCAAAAGUAGGAGUAAGAUCAAACAGGUUUUAAACUCAAAAUGCAACAAAAAUGAUUUGAGGAACAAGAUUUUUCUGCAAUUUUCACAUGCCGCGGCUUUUCUUUCCACUUCAUGAUGCUGGCCAGAUUUUGAUUCAAAUACAUGGCUUUGAUCAGAUGUUUUUCAAUCCAACAUUACAACCUUAAGCUAAGCAACAAAUUACACAAUGAUCACAAUCCAAAUGACCAGAAAAAAUAGAAAUGUAUCGUCCCAAAGUUCUGAAAAAUAAAUGCAGAAAUGGUUUUGGUAACCAGAUUUUUUCUUUCCAUCGUGCAGACCAAGUUUGGUUCACAGACAAGGCUUUGAUUAAAUAUUUCCAACCCAACAUCCUCACUUUAACUCACAACAAGCUACUGAACUCUAACUCCAAACCAACAAGAACAAACAAAAGGCUAAUGGACUACCGAAAAUCUGACAGACAAUCAUGUAGAAUAGCUAGCAACCUGAAAUCCAUUGUCCAGCUCAAGUAUUGCACGGCAUUCAUCAUCUACAAAUCCACUCGCACACAUCUUUAAACAUGAAUCUAUCUACUGACCAUUCCAAUCGAAAACAACGAAGAAAAUGCAGCAAAAGAAAACAGCAAAAGACACAAGCUUUAAUCAGUUUCUGCAAAUAUUUCAAUCCAAACCAAAUCUACUCAUGCGAAGAAGGAAAAGAAAACCCAGUCAAGCUGCACAACAGCCCAUCCCCAAUCACAUAACUCUCAUAACUUCACCCCAAAUCCAGUAAACCUGACCGUGCUGCCAAUCCCAGAAGUGCAGAAAAAGAAAAGCAAAACUCACGGCAAAACAAAACCAGCAUCGCAGCAAAGCUUCAACAUUUCAGACAUGAUUUUAUAAUCUAUGGGCAGAAGACAAGUGAAAGGCAUUACCUUUAUCCUUUUCAAAAGGAAAAAACAGAAUCUUGGAUGAUGAACAAAGUGUUGCCCAGCCCGAAAAGCUUUAUCUUCCUCGGCUGUCAAUGUUCUUCUUCUGGUUCGCAGUACUCGUAUUUCUUGAUGAAUCGAAGAUGAUGAUGGUGACGUUGGGACUCCUCCUCCUUGCUGCGCCGCCCCUCUCUAGUUCUCCCUUGGCUCUCCAACCUCGCGGCCCUCAACUCUCUCGAAGCUCUCAAACUCUCAGCCGCCCAGUCCUCUCUUUGUUUUCUUUCAACAACCCUCAGCCCGUCGGACUUUUUUAGUUUGUAGCCGUCAACCUCUCACAACUUCCUUUUUCGGCUGCUGUUCUUUUUCUAACUCUCUCCCGUUCACCUCUCCUCUCUUGCUUUUUAGUUUUUUUCUUCCGUUCGCUCCUCUCCAAAACCCCCCUGCGGCUGCUCCCUCAAAAAAAUGCCAAAACCCCUCUCUAAAACCCUCUAUCCUGCGGCCUCUCUUUGCUGUCCAAAACCUAGCCAUCUACUUCUAGAAUCCUCUUCCCCCCUCCAGGUGUCCUAGACACCUGGCCUUUGUAGCUCAAUUUUGCCUCCCAAGGACCUCCCGCAAUCUCCCUUGCAAGCUGCGGCAAAAACGCAACUUUCUGCAUUUUUUUUUCUACGUAUAAUAUAAAUAACAAUAAAAUCAAAAUAAUAAUUCAAACAAACUUAAACUUAUAUAAAAUGUAUAAAGCAACCAAAAGAUAUAAAAUAAAAACUAAGAUUUUCUUCUCUUUUUUCAUUUUCCUUCAUUUUUCCUCUUUUCUCUUUUUUAAGAAAUUCUAUGCUAAAACUUAAAAAUAAAACUAAAAACUAAACAAAAACCUAAAAAAGCGAAUAAAACUAUCAUGACAAAUAAAAAACCAAAAAUAAAAGGUAAAUGAAAUUACACCAAAAAUUUGGUGUCUACAGUUUGCCCCUCUUUGUCUGAGUUUUGGAAAAACUUGAGACAAAGAAGUAGACACCAAAUGCUUACCUGUACCAUUCGGUUGCCCCUAUUCGGAGGACUGACCUAACAAGGAAUUUCAAACAUGGGACUGGCCCGAACAGAAUUGUAAACGGGGUAGACCCGGACAGAAGUGUAGAUGAGAUAGACAACCCACGGGAUAGACCCGGACAGAAAAGUAAAUGGGAUGGCCCACGGGAUAGACCCGGUCAGAAAUGUAAACGAGAUAGACCCAGACAGAAAUGUAAAUGGGAUAGACCCACGGGAUAGACCCACGGGAUAGAACCCGGACAGAAAUGUAAAAUUGGGAUAGACCCACGGGAUAGACCCUAACAGAAAUUUAAAAUUGGGAUAGACCCACGGGAUAGACCCGAACAGAAAUUUAAAUUUGGGAUAGACCCACGGGAUAGACCCACGGGAUAGAACCCGGUCCUGCCGAGGAUAGAAUAAAACACACGCGUUAGUGAGAUAGACUCGAUGCUAAUGGUGGCAGGAUGAAACACACACGUUAGUGAGAUGGACUCGAUGCUAACGGUGGUAGGAUGAAAACACGCACGUUAGUGAGAUAGACUCGAUGCUAACGGCGGUAGGAUGAAAACACGCACAUUAGUGAGAUAGACUCGAUACUAACGGCGGUAGGAUGAAAACACGCACAUUAGUGAGAUAGACUCGAUGCUAACUGCGGUUGAAGUAAAACACGCACGUUAGUGAGAUAGACUCGAUGCUAACUGCGGUUGAAGUAAAACACGCACGUUAGUGAGAUAGACUCGAUGCUAACUGCGGUUGAAUGAAAACACACGCGUUAGUGAGAUAGACUCGAUGCUAACUGCGGUUGAAGUAAAACACGCACGUUAGUGAGAUAGACUCGAUGCUAACUGCGGUUGAAGUAAAACACGCACGUUAGUGAGAUAGACUCGAUGCUAACGGCGGUUGAAGUAAAACACGCACGUUAGUGAGAUAGACUCGAUGCUAACUGCGGUUGAAGUAAAACACGCACGUUAGUGAGAUAGACUCGAUGCUAACGGCGGUAGGAUGAAAACACGCACGUUAGUGAGAUAGACUCGAUGCUAACGGUGGUGGAAUGAAAACGCACACGUUAGUGAGAUAGACUCGAUGCUAACGGUGGUUGAAUGAAAACCAAUCCCAACAUGACUUUUGUGAAGUUGGCGGCACAAAAACCAGGCCCAACGUGAUCUUGUGAUAGUUGGCGGCACAAAAUCCAGGCCCAACGUGAUAAAAUGAUGUUGGCGGCACAAAAUCCAGGCCCAACGUGAUCUUUGUGAAUGGUCAGUGGGAUAAGACCCAAUCCUGCCAUCCAAUUGGUCAAGAAAUUGAAUUUGACUUGUCAAAAUACAAGAAAUGAAAUUUGAUUUUCCAAGAAACAAGAAUUUGAACUUGACUUUUGAUUUUUGACUUUUGAACUUUUCUGAUUUUUCGAGAGAAUCUUUUCCAAAGAUAAUUUGCCCCAGUGUAGGGCCCUUUUCCCUUCUUUCUUCUCUUUUUCGGCAUUGGCCUUCCAUGACUCAGAAGCUUUUCGUCGACUUCAACUGUGAAUACCUGCACAGGGGGCUUACAUGCACUCAAAUUUCCAAGAAAAAGGCAGCGUGAUUGAUUUGGAAGUCUUACUUGAGACUUUGACAAAAUCCUCAAAUGGACUAUAAAAAUUUGCCCCAGUGUGGGCUUAUUUUGUGAAAUCUUGGAAAUAAAAAUUUUGCCCCAGUAUGGGCCCAUUUGAUUGCAAACAAUUGGUUUGAAUGCCCCUCCAUUUAUCUGAACAAAGUAAGAAACUGUGUUUUCUGGAUAAUGUGAAGAAAAUUGAACGUCUUGCUUAACUUCAUACAGAAAAUUUCAUGAUGAAUUUCUCAAAAUAAUGCCAAAUCACAAAAAAUUUCUUCCUCACUUUUAGCAUCUGUGCUUAGAGUAACGGGUCACCACUUCUUGUUGGCUCAUCUUUCAGGACCAAUCGAGUGGGGUGUUAUUUCUGAUUUGGAAAGGGCUAAAGGAAAUGGAAGGUCAAGAUUUGUCUUAUUCAUGUGCUCAGAUGGUAUGUAAUCCCUUCAAUACCACAUCUUUAGUGAAAGCAAAGAGUUUGUCACCCUUAUUUCAUAAGAAAACUUAGUCAACGUAUAAGCUUCAUGGGCUUGCAAAAUUUUGGGUAGAAAUGAUAGCUAAACAUGUAAAAUCUAGUUAUACCCUUAUGAUGGAUUUUUAUGAGCAUAAUCCUCACUUUGGAUUGUCAUGAAGGAAUAAGUCAACGAUGGACUUUAUUAGCUUGUAAUUUGGGUUGAAAACGAUAGCUAAAGAAAUAAUUUCCAAAGGACAUUGCACCGAAGAUCGCAUUUUUCAACACUGCCCUCAUCUGGACUCCAGAUUCUUGGACUUUGUUUAACUUUUAUCAUCACCCAACAGGGUCUUUCAGCAUCAAAUUUUUUUGCACCUUUCUUUUGCAUUCAUUUCGCUCGUUUUUCUUUUCUUUUUCCCUCUUUUCCAAAAAGACCCUCGCGGGAUUUCUCAUGAAGAGCAGUGUCAACCUCACACCUAAUCAAUUCAGAAUACAGCAAAAAUUUUCCGGCAUCAGAAAUUUUCUUGACAGGGCCAUUGCAAAGAAUAGAAGUCAGGGUUUUCGGCUUUUGUAAUGGGGUCAGGUGGGGUGUUUAGAAAAGUUAAGGCUUGAAGGCAGAUUUCAAGAGUGGUUUGAAGAAUCUGAGAUCGCAUUGUUGCGUCAACCCUAUUUUAGGGUAAAAUCAGAAUUUGCCCCAGUUUAUGCUCACUUGAGGCUUUUUCUCUUUCAUUUUUCUUUUUCUCUUUUGACUUUUCGGCCUUUUGUCAUUCUUGAACUUUCACAAAAUUUGCCCCAGUUUAUUUUUGAACUGAGGUUCUCUUUUCUUCCUUUUUUGCUUUUGAUUUUGUUGCUUUCCACUUCUUCACUUCUUGAAAUUUUCCUUUUUCAACUCAAACUUGCCCCAGUGUGGGGUUUGCGAUUCUCAGGGGUUGCCAAACGAAAUAAUUCAUUCUGAAGGCUCAAAAGGGAUAACUAGGGAUAGAAUGUUUGAUUGGAAAAGAAGAUGGCCUGACUUAUAUUCCGUUCCUUACAAUAACCCUGAAAGGAAACUUUCAUUAAUGCGAAAUUUCUGGCAUGUAUCUGAAUUAACUGACGGAAGAAGACCCUUGUUCAUUCAUAUUUGUGAAACAUAGGCGAUCCACGCGGACAAAACUCUUUCUUUCUUUUUUUUCAAAAUUGGAACCCAAGUGGAAUCAAAUUUCCCCAAUUUACGGUUCCCUUCCUAUUUUAGCAUUUUUGCUUUUCCCCUCCUUAUUCUAGCAUUUUUUUGCUUUUCCCCUUUUCUUUUCCCUUUUUCAAAAUUCCUCAAUCUCCUUCCCCAAUGUGGGGUGCGAUCAUAUGUGCACUCGAAAAGAACCAUCAAUUUUUAGCUCAAAUGAGGAUGCAAGGGAUGAUCAGUGUUUAGGUUAUAGAAAUGAUGGCCAAAGUAUCAUUCUUACGCUUCAUGACAAUCAAAGUAAUGCAAUGCUCAUUGAGAACCCAUUCCCUUUUGAAAGUUUUCCAAUGUAGGGUAGAGAUCAUUAAGGCCUUUAUUUGAAACGAAAUUAUCCUUCCAAAGGCUCAAAUGGGAGAGCAAAUGAUAAAAUCUGUAUAGGUAGAGAAACGAAUGCUUGAAAUAUCAUUCCAAAUUUUCAAAACAAACAAGGAUAACGCACAUUUUUGCUUUCACUUAGAUGUGAUUGAAUCGGAUUAGACACAGCGGACAUUUUCAAGCAAAAGUUGCCCCAACUUGCAAUUUAUCGAUCAAUGUGACUGAUUUUAUUUUGGGGUUAAGUGAAGGAGAAAGGUAUCUCAUGGGCCCUUUUGAGUGACCUCUUUUAAUUCUGAACACUCUUAUUGUGAAUGUUCAGGCCGGAGGUUGAAAAAAUCCCAAUUUAGUCUUAUUUCUUAAAAUUCAUCAUGAAAUCUCCAAUGAAUAAGAAUAAAGAAUGAAAUGUACAUAAAUAUACACAAAACAAUGAUUGUCCAAAAAUUUUAUUGCUGAAAAAGUUUGAAAAUUUCUCAUUCAAUUUACGAUACAAAUGAGAAGAGAGAAACUUGUAAAGAGCUCCACAUAUACACUUUUUGUCUCCUUUUCUUUUUGGAACAAAAUGUAUUAACAAAUCAAAUAUACAAAAUUUUCCUUUGGAAAACAAUUACAACAUCUCUCAGAGGCUUUAGCGUAGAGCUUCCAGAUAGAUCAUUUAUGUUUUCAUUAUAGGACCUGCCCAAGAAUCAAAUAAUACUUUCUGAACUUUAUCGGAUCAAAAAUUGUUAUCCAAUAUAGGGAAAUAUUUUCACCUUAUUGAAACAUUUUUAUGAAUGCAGGGGAGGGGGAAAAAAAGAAAAAUACCCCGAGUUAGUAGGCAAAACUGCAAAAUCGGUAUGCAUGUCCUAUGGGGGAGCCCUUUUGUGCCAAGGGUAGGCCUAGCAUGAAAAUGCAAUCCUCCAGAGCAGGCACUAUACCAUACCUGAUGGAUCUGAUCAACUCAUUGAGUGAAAAAAUAAUUUGAAAAAUUUGGCCCAUUGGAAUGAGAAAAGACGUUGGUCAAAAUAAGGACCUCGUCCGAAGGGAUUGAUCACUUUUGAUCGAUACAAGAAUUUGCAAAAACGCACGGGUUUGACCUUGACGAACUUCCUAUCGAAGAGAUUGGAAUUCGUUUUGACAACUUUUCUCAGUGAAGCACAGGUCAAAACUCCAACUGAUCAAAUGGCUGGAUGCAACGGAUGUUUUUUCUCAAAAUCGACUAAGUUUUUCAUUUUUGAAAUUCGACAUUGAAACCCUAAUUGGUCAAAUGAACUUGACAAUUUAUUAAAAAUCGACCGGAUUACCCUAAAAAGGGAAACAGGUCAAAUGAAUGGAAUGAAAUUUAAUUCGUCCAAAAUUAAUCAAAUCACCCUAAAAAGGGUAAAUUGAUCAAAUAGAUUGAACGAAACUUGAUUUAUUCGAAAUCGGCUCGAUUGCCCCAGAAAUGGGUAAAUUGGCCAAAUGAAUGAAAUUGAAUUAGUGAUUUAUUCAAAAAUCGGCCGAGUGACCCUAAAAAGGGUGAAUCGGUCAAAUGAAUUGACAAUUUAUUCAAAAUCGACCAGGUGACCCUAAAAGGGUAAAUUGGUCAAAUGAAUUGAUAAUUUAUUCAAAAAUCGACCAAGUGACCCUAAAAAGGGUAAGUUGAUCAAAUGAAUUGAUGAUUUAUUGAAUGAAUUGGCAAAAUGAUUUGGUUGAAUUGUCCGGCCAUUGGUGAUUUCAAAAUUAUUGAGAUGCAUUAGUCUAUGAGCUUCUAAAAUCAAAUUUUGGCCUCAAUUUAUUUAUCAUCUCAAUAGGAGGAAUCAUUUGUGAAUUUCUUCAAAUUAAUGUCCUUCACGCAAGGGAUUUUUACCAAUUUUUGCUAAAAUGGCCAAAAAGUGAUUAUUAGAUGCUCAUAUUCCAAAGAUCACUCUAUGAAAAUGAUCGGAUCCUACCUUACCUUGUGCACUACCCCUUUGGAUGGUACAAAAUGUAAACGUGCAAGUCUCACUGGAUGAAGUAUCUGAGACACAAGGUGGCUUAUUUCUAGCACGGGAUCGCCUAAAUGGCAUUCCCUUUUCUAGGGUUUAUGCAUGAUGCCAGUUUAUUAAAGCGAUGUAAAUAUGUGACAAAUAUGGCCUAAAGGAUACAAAUAAUGCAUCGGGGGGAAAAGGUCUAAAAUGAAAUGCACUUAUUGAAAAUUAAGUGUAAUGACUGAAAUUUAAACAUGUGAGCUAUCUGGUGGGUGAGUCACUAAAAGAGUGCCAAAAAGGCCUCUUAUUGCUAAGGCAAAUGAAUGCAAGCCAAGAAAACAAAAGAAAUGGUUAGUGCAAUUGAUAGUACACAUAACACAUUAGGAGCAAUUAAGAAAAGAAAUAUAAUAAAAGCAAGUAAAAGGGGUGGAACCCCCUCCCUCGUGCCUAUCGUGCUUAAAAGGGUGAGGCUGACUCUAACCUAGGCAAACUCUAACAUGGAUGCAUGAGGCUGGGGCUCACUAAUGCAACUAGACUCGAUAAGUCUCAGCUCCCAAGCCUUCAGACCUAAAGGCGAAGGGUCAUCACUCCCAGGGCCUUUGAUCGGUGGCUCGAGUGAUCCCUUAGGUAGCGCUAUGGGCGCAGAGCACACCAGCCGCCUACCCAAGGCAAUCGAUCCUAAUCCUACAAGGCGGUGUGGGAAACGCCCACGAAAAAUAAAAUAAAAUGGGAUAAAAGCAAGUAAACGUGCACGUAUGAAGUGUUCCCCUAUUUUGAGGGAAGGGGUUGAGAACCACGCGGGGCUCUAAAGGUGACACACACCCCCCCCAAAUGCAAUGCAAGCGCGAGAUAAACAAGUAAACAUACAUCCAAUCAACCAAUCACACGUACGUGAGUGAGGGAAUAGUUGGAUACACGCGCGAGGCAAAAGACCCUAAAAAUGGAAAAUGCAACCCUAAUAUCCAAACGCUAUGCAUAAAAAGGGUAGAAAAAGGAAACGAAUGGCUAAGUCAAAUGCUUGGACCCACUUAGGAAGUCCCCAGUGGAGUCGCCAACUGUCGCGCCCCACUUUUUGAAUGAUGAACGUGUGGUGUGUAUGUGGUGUGAGAUGUGAGUGGUGUAAUGGAAUGUGAACGUGUGUAAAUGAAAAGUAAAAGGCCAUGGGACUUGAUAAUGCGACGGUUUGGCCAUAUAAAGUUCAAAAAGGGUUUUUUGUAUCAAAAAUGGAGUCGCCACUUGGUAUAGGGUUAGGGUGUACCAAGUCACCCAAAAAAUGGUUUUUUGUUUUUGAAUAAAAAAAAGUAAAUAAACCCUUUUAAAGAACUUUUGGGUCUACGUAACCAAAAAGAGGGAUCGGGGGUCACAUUUGACGAAGGGGAAGGCAAGGAUAAACAUCCAAGGCACCCCUUCGACCUAGCCAAGGCUAGUUGCGUGACUUAAACCAAUUUUUCCUAAUUUUUCUACCCAAGGUAUGUAUCGCGUGUUGGAUAUGUCUAUAUGAAUGCAAAAACCUAGACCUAGGGGGACAUGGGGGAAAUUUCUCUUCAAAGGUUGAGCGGUGCCAAUCACAUUAAUUGUGAAGCCCAAUAAUGAUCCUUUGGAGAGGUCACACGUAAUCCUAAAUGACGUAAAAUGAGUGGAAUGCAUGCCAUGUGAAAGUGUGAGUUUGUGUGAAGUGAAAAAAAAAAUGAUAAAAGUAAUAAGAUAUAAGUGGAGGUGUGCAAAUGUCUUUGCAAGGUAAAGUAAGUAAAGAAUAAUAAGGUGAAAAAUGCCAUAAGGUGCAUGUGUGAAGAGAGAAUGUAGAAAAUAGUGUGAAAGUAGUGUGAAGUGAGAAUGUGGAAAAAGGGUUAGAAUAUAAAGUAAGUGUAUGUGAUAGUGAAUGAAUAGAAUGCAUGAAUCCUAUAGGAAUGCAUCAAGACGGGAACGGGGAGUCCUAACUUUGUGACUUAAUCUUCCCUUUGAUUAGAAGGCAAAACUAGCGUGCUAAGGCUAUCGAGUAGCCACACUCGCUCGUUUCCCUUAUCGAAAGGGGACUCUCAAGCAAAUGAGCCCUAUAACUAGUAUGAGAUGCAAAACCUAAAAAUGAGGGGAAAAAGGGGUUCGAGGAGCAUGCCAAUGAUAAAACUAAGAAAAAUGCAUGACAUGUAGUGAACAUGCAAAUAUGCACUAACAAAAGGGGAUGGCCUAUUGGGUCUAGCGUUGGACUAGCCCUUUCUAUGAAUUCCUAAUGAAAUAAUGAGCCACAACUAGCAUUGGACUAGUGUGGUGACGUACAUUCAUCCAUCACAGUCAUUCAUGGCUAUGGAAAGCGAUUAGACAUGCCAAACACCUAUAAACACAUAGCACAUAACAAUUAGCAUGCUCGACUAGAUGCAAGGACCUAAUAAAGCAAAUUAACAUGUAACAACUAAGCAGGCAAGACACAUAAGGCAAUUAAAGCCCUAACUAUUACAUUUGCUAGCUAGGCACACGUCUUCGACAGGUCUUCAUCGAAUGCUCCUCCAAGCCCUAUCUAUUACAAGCCAAGAGGUGUACACAUACCCCAUAAUGAAUACCUUAGAAAAGGGGGAAAGGGAAAAUGGACAAGAAAGCUCGCCAAGCCCUAUCUAUUACAAGCCAAGAGGUGUACACAUACCCCAUAAAAACUUAAAUAAAAGUAAAAGUAAGUAAAUGCAUGCAAGGAGGUAGGGAAAGCGAAGUAGACAGGCAUAUUCACAUAACACAUAAGGUCACAUAGGAGAAAUGAAAAUCAAGGAGAUAGAGGUUACCUCCCUUGCAAUUGGGCCCCAAUGAAGUGAACUUACUUAUUUAUCCUCCAAAAUAAAAGAAAUGGUCAAGGUACCAAUUUAUUUGGGAAAAAUUAAAAGAAAUGUGCAAAACAAGCUCACUUGGUCAUAAAGCCCCUAAAGUCAUGACUUAAAUGCAAUUGACAAAGCAUGGUAGUUAAUUGAAGCAAAACAAGCAAUGAAGUUGCAAAAAAUUAAAGUGCCAAGGACCAAAUUGAGGAAAUCAUUCAAUUGAUUGGGCCAUAGUAGGACAAGGGGAGACUUGGGGGGUCAAAGUGCAAUUUUCAGGAGCAUUUACAUGCAAGCUCAUGCGAUUUACGUAGGAAAUGCUUCUGCUACACUUCUUGUUAAACCAUCAGCAACCGAAAGAAAAACAGCACACAUAACUUGCUUUCAAGUUCAGUUCUCAAACCCAAAUAUGAAAGCUUUAAACUAGCAGCAAACUACGUAAUCCCCAUAAUCCAAUCAAAUAGGAAACUUAAAAAAACCAUGCAAGAUCAUGAAAAAAAGUGGGCAAAACAUUUGAAGAAUGAAACUGCUGUAACUUUCUUAGCUUCACAUUCCAAGACCAGAUUUCAGAUUCAAGCAACCUUAACCAAAAUUUCCUUGAUCUAACACCUAAACUUUGAACUAAACAAACAAGACAUGAAUUUGACAUCUAAACAAACAAGAAACAUAGGGGAACUGGUGCAAAAGGUCACGGAAAAACUCAAGCAUGCUGCAAACUCACGGUUGCAUAGUCUCAUUCAAUUUCCUAUCCAUUUGGCCGAAUCUAUAUUCAUGCAAAUAAACCAAGUAUCUCCACUUGAAUCAAAAUGCAGAGAUUUGAAGCAAAAGUAGGAGUAAGAUCAAACAGGUUUUAAACUCAAAAUGCAACAAAAAUGAUUUGAGGAACAAGAUUUUUCUGCAAUUUUCACAUGCCGCGGCUUUUCUUUCCACUUCAUGAUGCUGGCCAGAUUUUGAUUCAAAUACAUGGCUUUGAUCAGAUGUUUUUCAAUCCAACAUUACAACCUUAAGCUAAGCAACAAAUUACACAAUGAUCACAAUCCAAAUGACCAGAAAAAAUAGAAAUGUAUCGUCCCAAAGUUCUGAAAAAUAAAUGCAGAAAUGGUUUUGGUAACCAGAUUUUUUCUUUCCAUCGUGCAGACCAAGUUUGGUUCACAGACAAGGCUUUGAUUAAAUAUUUCCAACCCAACAUCCUCACUUUAACUCACAACAAGCUACUGAACUCUAACUCCAAACCAACAAGAACAAACAAAAGGCUAAUGGACUACCGAAAAUCUGACAGACAAUCAUGUAGAAUAGCUAGCAACCUGAAAUCCAUUGUCCAGCUCAAGUAUUGCACGGCAUUCAUCAUCUACAAAUCCACUCGCACACAUCUUUAAACAUGAAUCUAUCUACUGACCAUUCCAAUCGAAAACAACGAAGAAAAUGCAGCAAAAGAAAACAGCAAAAGACACAAGCUUUAAUCAGUUUCUGCAAAUAUUUCAAUCCAAACCAAAUCUACUCAUGCGAAGAAGGAAAAGAAAACCCAGUCAAGCUGCACAACAGCCCAUCCCCAAUCACAUAACUCUCAUAACUUCACCCCAAAUCCAGUAAACCUGACCGUGCUGCCAAUCCCAGAAGUGCAGAAAAAGAAAAGCAAAACUCACGGCAAAACAAAACCAGCAUCGCAGCAAAGCUUCAACAUUUCAGACAUGAUUUUAUAAUCUAUGGGCAGAAGACAAGUGAAAGGCAUUACCUUUAUCCUUUUCAAAAGGAAAAAACAGAAUCUUGGAUGAUGAACAAAGUGUUGCCCAGCCCGAAAAGCUUUAUCUUCCUCGGCUGUCAAUGUUCUUCUUCUGGUUCGCAGUACUCGUAUUUCUUGAUGAAUCGAAGAUGAUGAUGGUGACGUUGGGACUCCUCCUCCUUGCUGCGCCGCCCCUCUCUAGUUCUCCCUUGGCUCUCCAACCUCGCGGCCCUCAACUCUCUCGAAGCUCUCAAACUCUCAGCCGCCCAGUCCUCUCUUUGUUUUCUUUCAACAACCCUCAGCCCGUCGGACUUUUUUAGUUUGUAGCCGUCAACCUCUCACAACUUCCUUUUUCGGCUGCUGUUCUUUUUCUAACUCUCUCCCGUUCACCUCUCCUCUCUUGCUUUUUAGUUUUUUUCUUCCGUUCGCUCCUCUCCAAAACCCCCCUGCGGCUGCUCCCUCAAAAAAAUGCCAAAACCCCUCUCUAAAACCCUCUAUCCUGCGGCCUCUCUUUGCUGUCCAAAACCUAGCCAUCUACUUCUAGAAUCCUCUUCCCCCCUCCAGGUGUCCUAGACACCUGGCCUUUGUAGCUCAAUUUUGCCUCCCAAGGACCUCCCGCAAUCUCCCUUGCAAGCUGCGGCAAAAACGCAACUUUCUGCAUUUUUUUUUCUACGUAUAAUAUAAAUAACAAUAAAAUCAAAAUAAUAAUUCAAACAAACUUAAACUUAUAUAAAAUGUAUAAAGCAACCAAAAGAUAUAAAAUAAAAACUAAGAUUUUCUUCUCUUUUUUCAUUUUCCUUCAUUUUUCCUCUUUUCUCUUUUUUAAGAAAUUAUAUGCUAAAACUUAAAAAUAAAACUAAAAACUAAACAAAAACCUAAAAAAGCGAAUAAAACUAUCAUGACAAAUAAAAAACCAAAAAUAAAAGGUAAAUGAAAUUACACCAAAAAUUUGGUGUCUACAAGGGUCAGCUGUUGAACUAGAAAAAGAGAUGGAAAAAUCUAAUGAGAUGGGUGGUAAAAAGGAAGAAAAAAGAGAAAGUGGGCUGAUCUUGAGCAACCCGGUGAAGGCCUAUUAUUUUCUUAACAAACUUACCUUUGCUUUGUUUAGUGUUUCUUCUUUUAUACAGAUCAAGCAAAGGCAAGUUGAGCUGAUCUUGGUGUGUUCCAUUCCAAAAUCAAUUGUAGACGUUGCAAGCCUCCAUGGAGUUGGUGUUCCAAGAGUUAAACCCCGUUGGUAUCCAUUCAUGGAACAAUGUCAACUCAAAUCAGUCCACACCAAAGGGGAGUUGAUUCGAGCUCAUCUUGAAGGGAACACUCCAUAUUUUAGGGAUGGUUGUGUACCAAGAGUUCGUUUAAAGAACAAGUACCUCAAUGACCAUUAUGCUUUUCGUCUUGCUCUUAGUCCACAUGAAGCUCCAACAUCACCAAAUCCGCCUUGGUGCCUUGCAAGUGUGUUCGAGCCAGAGUUCGAUUUCACGGGAUACACUUCAUACCACUUUGAGGACCCUUACCUCAUGACCACAAACAAUAAAGUUAAGCAUACAUUGAAGAUGGUCUGUGAGAUUCAAGGUUCGACGAGGGUUAUUUUCCAAAUUAGCACAUGGGCUUUGCAUUGGAUGCCAUCUGUAGCCAUCAUAACAAGAUUGAGUCGAAGGCAUGUAACUCGUCUUGUCACCAUUCGUGCUUCAAUUUGUGGGCAAAUUGCUUUUAAGAGGAGGGGAAUGAUGAGAAUAUAAAGACCAAGGCCCAUUCAAGCACAUGGGGAAUUGGAAGAUUCAAGUGAAGACUAGUUGAUUGCACGAAUGCUUGAGUUUAGUAGGAUUAUUUGAUUUUCCUCGUUGAUUUUGGUUAUUUCUCAUUUUAAAAAGUCUAGGUAAUUAAGAUAGUUUAAUUGCGGCCCAUUUGUUAGUAAGUAAGGCCCAAAAUCUUUGGCAAGUAUGUAGGGUAGUUUGGUCAACCUUUGGAUUAGGGUUAAUGCUUGUAAGGGUUAUAAAUAGCCCCACUUCCUCUUUGUUUGGGACCAGUUUUUGACUAUUAAAUACAAUUAGUGAGUUUUCAAUUUCUCUUUGGCAAGAGAGUUGCCUUUGAAUACUUGAGAAUCUUCUCAAGUUAUUCACCCGAACUUAUCAAUCGAGUAUCUCCUUGAUUGUGGCGUUCUACUACCUCCAAUUUGGUUCGUUAAUUUGAAUAGUUACGGGUUGAGAUAAUAUCAAAAUUGUUCGUGACUUCUAGGGAUUAGUUGGGUCAAAAUUCCGCUGCCUAAGCCAUGGAGUUUUGGUUGUCUAGAUCGGGGUUUCACAUCAGUUCACAUACAUAUUCCACACACUUUCACACACCACUCAAAAAGUGGGGCACGACAAAUAGUUGGCCUCAUACACAGUGAACUUCUUGCUGAGGUAAUAGAUGGCUUGCUCCUUCUUUCCUGACUCAUCGUGUUGUCCCAAUACGCAUCCCAUAGCUUCAUCCAACACAGAUAGGUACAUGAUCAGAGGUCGACCAAGUUUGGGUGAUACUAAAACUGGAGGGUGCAACAAAUAGUCCUUAAUCUUAUCAAACGCCUGCUGGCAUUCUUCACUCCAAUGCAAUGGCACAUUUUUCUUCAAUAAUUUAAACAAAGGCUCACAUGUGUGGGUCAACUGGGCGAUGAACCUUCCAAUAAAGUUAAUCUUCCCUAAGAAACUCUUCACAUCCUUUUGUGCUUUUGGUACUGGCAUUUCACGAAUGGCUUUAAUCUUUGUCGGAUUUAUCUCGAUACCCUUCUUAUUGAUAAUAAAUCCCAAUAAAUUUCCGGCAGGGGCCCCGAAUGCACACUUCGCAAGAUUUAAUUUCAAACUAUAUCUUCUCAAUCUUUCAAAUAACCUUUCCAAGUCAAUCAAAUGAUCCUCUGCUCUCUUGGAUUUGAUAAUAAUGUCAUCCACAUAAACCUCCAUCUCCGUAUGAAUCAUAUCAUGGAACAGGGUGGUCAUGGUCCUUCGAUAAGUGGCGCCGGCAUUUUUCAAUCCGAACAACAUUAUUCGGUAACAAAAUGUCCCCCAUGACGUGAUAAAAGCAGUUUUCUCCCUAUCUUCCUGAUACGUUCCUCGAUCAACUCGUUUCGAGACACGUAGCACGUUUGCCUAAGGAUCUAGCGAGGAUGACCAACGCUUGGAAUUGUGGGAUCUAGAACCAAACGGAUGACACGAUUUGAUUCAAGACGGUAGGACGACGACUCCAAUGAAGGUGACUACUCCACGGGAUAGGUCGGUGGAACAAUCUAGGACGAGACGCAAGAUUGCUCAAAACCCUUGCCAAAGCAAGUAAAAGGCUCGAAUUCUCUCACAAGAAGAAGAAUCGAAAAUAACAACUUUAUUGAUAAAACGUCUCCCCUAAAACCUUACAAAGCAAGCCUAUAGGCUAAAGUGACUAAGAAAACCUAAGGAAACAAUGGCAAAGAGUUCGGCCAUCUUGGUGUCCAAGAUGGGCCGGCCCAAUGAGCUAUGAAGACAAAUUAAUCCAAUCUAUCAAGUACUAAGGCUAAGGCCCUAUAGGGCCGGUCCUCUUGAAGGCCCUCUUGAGUCUUCGUGGGCUUGGAUCAUGGUGCAAAUGGCUUGAUUGUCUCUCUCUAAGCCCUCAAUAUCUUUGUGAACUCCAUGUUGGUCUUGGACGACUUGAACCAGGGCUUGGAGUGAUUCUUUGAAGAGCUUGGCCCGUGCACGUGUGACUGGGCCCAAUGGAACUCGGACUGGGUCGUUGCGUGGGCCGAGACUCGUGCACACAUCAGUCCCCUCCUCUUGAGAAGGAUUUACCCUCAAAUCUGGAUCCUCCUCGUCAAGAAAUGGGCUUAGGUCCGCGACGUUUAAGGUCGCACUAACAUUGUACUCCCCAGGUAGCUCCAACUUGUAUGUGUUGUCAUUGACUCUUUGGAGUACCCGAAAUGCUCCAUCACCUCUUGGGGACAAUUUGCUUUGGCGUUGCUUGGGAAAUCGCUCUUUCCUCAAGUGUAGCCAAACCCAAUCUCCAGGCUCAAAAAUCAUCUUGCGACGGUGCUUGUUGGCUUGCUGGAUGUAUUGCUGCGUACGCUUCUCGAUGUUUGCUCGCACGGCUUCAUGUAACCUGCGCACAGAAUCAACUUUCUUUUUCCCAUGUAAGCUUGUGUGCUCAGAGGAAGGUAAGGGCACCAAAUCAAGGGGGGUUACGGGGUUGAAGCCAUAAACAAUCUCAAAAGGGGAAUAUUGUGUGGCACUAUGCACAGUUCGAUUGUAGGCGAAUUCAACAUGAGGGAGGCACUCUUCCCAAGUCUUAAGAUUCUUUUUAAUCAAAGCCCGAAGUAGAGUGCCAAGUGUGCGAUUGACAACUUCAGUUUGUCCAUCGCUUUGUGGAUGACUAGUGGUGGAGAAUAAUAACCUAGUACCCAGUUUGGACCACAAAGUCUUCCAAAAGUAACUCAAGAAUUUCACAUCUCUAUCACUGACAAUAGUUUUAGGCAGGCCAUGCAGACGGACAAUUUCUUUGAAGAACAGAUUAGCAAUAUGAGAUGCAUCGUCAGUUUUGUGACAAGGAAUAAAAUGAGCCAUCUUAGAGAAUCUAUCAACUACAACAAAGAUGGAGUCAUUACCCCUUGUUGAUCUAGGCAAUCCUAAUACAAAGUCCAUAGACAAAUAAACUCAAGGAUAGUGAGGGAUAGGUAAUGGGGUAUACAAGCCAUAUGGAUUUGUCUUAGACUUUGCCUUGUGACAAGUAGCGCAUCUACCAACCAUGCGUUCAACAUCUCUACGCAUAUGAGGCCAGUAAAAGUGCUCUUGCAACAUGGCCAGAGUCUUGGUGAUGCCAAAGUGGCCCAUGAGACCACCACUAUGUGCCUCUCGAAUCAAAAGAUCACGAAUGGAAGAAUUAGGUACACAAAGUUUAUCUACAUGGAAUAGAAAUCCAUCAUGCAAGAAGUAUUUUUCAUGCGGGUUCUUAACACAAGCAACAUAGAUAUCACCAAAGUCAUGAUCAUUUGCGUAGAGUUCCUUAACCAUUUCGAACCCUGGUAACUUGGCAUCCAGAAGGGCAAGCAACGAAUGUAUACGUGAUAAUGCAUCAGCCACUACAUUCCUUUUGCCAGUCUUAUACUUAAUGACAUACGAAAAGGUGUCAAUGAAGCUUACCCAUUUGGCAUGUCGCUUGCUUAACUUGGGUUAUCCCUUGAGGUACUUCAAUGACUCGUGAUCAGUGUGUAUCACGAACUCCCGAGGGCGAAAAUAGUGUUGCCAAGUCUCCAAGGCCCUCACUAAUGCGUACAACUCCUUGUCGUACGUGGGGUAGUUUAAUGCAGCUCCUCCCAGUUUCUCACUAAAGAAGGCACAAGGCCUCUUGUCUUGCAUGAGGACCGCUCCAAUACCUACACCAGAAGCAUCACAUUCAAUUUCAAAAGUCUUGUGAAAAUUUGGUAAUGCUAACACAGGUGCAUGUGUGAGUGUGUCCUUGAGGGCGAGAAAUGCUUGUUCUUGUGAUUCUCCCCAGUGGAACUUGUCAUUCUUCUUUGUCACGGCGGUCAACGGGGCGGCAAUGGUGCUAAAAUUUUUGACAAAGUGCCGGUAAAAGCCCGCCAAUCCAAGAAAGCUGUGCACGUCAGGGACGGAUGUGGGAGUUGGCCAUUGCUCGAUGGCCUCAAUCUUGGAUUUGUCCACCUUGAUACCCUGCGAACUUACCACAUAGCCUAAAAACACAAGCUCGUUAGUACAAACGGUGCACUUCUUGAGGUUGGCGUAAAGAUGCGCCUGUCGAAGUGUCUCAAGAACUAAUCUCACAUGCUCUAGGUGCUCAUGCUCACUACAACUAUAGAUCAGGAUGUCAUCAAAGUAAACAAUGACAAACUUGCCAAUAAAGUGUCUCAACACAUGGUUCAUUAGUCGCAUGAAGGUGCUAGGGGCAUUAGUUAAGCCAAAAGGCAUGACUAGCCACUCAUAGAGACCAUGUUUGGUUUUGAAGGCUGUUUUCCACUCGUCGCCUUCUUUCAUCCGAAUUUGAUGAUAGCCGCUCCUUAAGUCAAUUUUGGUGAAAAUAAUGGCACCAUUGAGUUCAUCAAGCAUAUCAUCAAGUCUAGGAAUGGGAUGACGAUAUUUGACAGUGAUAGCGUUCACAGCCCGACAGUCAGUGCACAUGCGCCAAGUACCGUCCUUUUUGGGAACAAGUAUUGGAGGCAUUUGAGGCGUACCUGUUUGAAAGGGAAUGCGUACCUGUUUGAAGACUCGUACCUCACCAUCCUCACUUAGCCAUUGGAGGCGUUAAGGAUUUGGAUGCCUGGUAGUGGGGAGUCCUAAACUCUCAACCAUGAGCAAACUGGCCACGUUCGUGCAACUCCCACCGUCGAUGAUGAGACUACACACUUUGUCGCCUACCUUACAGCGGGUGUAGAAUAGGUUUUCUCGUUGUAGCUGCUCGUCCUCCUUAACGCGGGCGGUUAGCACUCGCCGUGCCACCAAGCAACCUACUUCUCCUCGUGCAGGCGAGCAAGCCUCCCCAGCUGACUCUUCUUCCAGGCAGUCGUCUUCGACCAGUUCGGGCAUCUCCUCACAUUCGUCAUCAUCAGACACGAUUUUGCCGUUGUGAGUGAUGAGCAUGACCCGUUGGUUUGGGCACUGAGAUUGAAUAUGUCCAAACCCUUGGCACUUGAAGCACUUGAUGUCCCUACUCCUAGUCUUAGGAGUCUCAUGCGGUGCCUUUGAAGUGGACCUGGAUGCAUCGGAAACCUUGUUAGGGGUAGAAUAGGAAUUGCGGUUAGAGGUGUGACCUUGGAUUCGGUUAGAAGAGGUUGGUAUCACCGCACUUCCAACUUCGUGGGUCACCCUUCGUGGUUGGUUGCCCCUCCAUGAAGUGGUGUUAGAAGUUUGGAAAGUACGUGCUCCUCGUCUUAGUUUCUUCCCCCGCUCGGCCUUGAUAGCGAGUUCUAGAAGGUCGUGCAUGUCCAAGUAAUGUUGGAGCUCCAAGGUUUCUUGAAGGUUAGGAUUGAGACCCCUAAGAAACCUAGCCAUCGUGGCUUCAUUGUCCUCUUGAAUAUUGGCCCUCAUCAUGGCCAUCUCGAUCUCCUUGUAGUAGUCUUCCACACUCAUGUUGCCUUGAGUGAGAGUUUGAAGCUUAGAAUGGAGAUCGCGAUUGUAGUAGCUAGGAACAAAUCGCUUGCGCAUCAGUGCCUUGAGUUCUCGCCGAGUCCGGACACGUGGUUCGCCCAUCUUCCGCCUAUGGGUCCUUACUUGGUCCCACCAGACUAGUGCGUAGUCAGUGAACUCCACAGUGGCAAUUUUAACCUUUUGUUCCUCACUGUAAUCGUAGCAGUCGAAGACCAUCUCGAUACGGCCUUCCCACUCCAAGUAAGCUUCAGGGUCACUUUUGCCUUUGAAUGCGGGGACUUGAAUCUUAAGCCCCUUGAGUUCGUUCGUAGGCGUGUCCCGUCGAGGCUUCUCGGGUUGCUCGUCGUCUUCACUGGCGGAGUAGUCCUCACUGGGUGUUCCUUUGAGGCCACGGCUACUCCGGUUGCGUGAUCCAGAACGAGAGCCCGGGGUGAGACGCUUGGCGAGUUCAUCAAACCGGGUGUGCAACUCCUCCAUUUGUUGCUCACUAAUGCGUUUGAGCUCAUGCCUCAUGGCGGUGAACAACAGAGAAUAGUCUUUGGAAGGCGGUUGUUGAUCUUGCUCCAUGUCUCUCCGUACGCCCUGCAAAAAGGUUAGUAGUACAAGAAUAGUGCAAAUGUGUCCUCACUUCACUCCCUUAGUGUUUCACUCACGCUCGUGUAUAGCACUCAAAACACUCUUAGUAGACUUACCAAGUACCUUUACCUGUUGGCUUAGGUAGUUGAGAAAUGUUGCUCGCGUCCAAUAAUCGUCACCAACUUUUCCCACAAGAGUAAGCAAGGGUGAAGGACACAGUUGGGUGAGACUUUGUAAAGGAAGGACGGUUUUGGAAGGCUUAGGGGCGGUGGACAGAUUUGGAAAAUAUUGCCAAGAAAGGAAACUCCAAGAAUCCUAAGAUGUAGGAGUGGUUUCCUAAAGUGGAUGAGAGAAUAUAGGAGAAUAUCCUAAAAUGGAGAAGAAAAUAUAGAGAAGUGUCCAAGAGGUAUCCAAGUUUGUUUGCUUAGUCUCCUAAACCAAAAUGGAAAACAAGUUAGAGUUGGAAACUCCCUUGAAGAUCUUUCUUAAGCAACUUCCUAAUCCUUCUCCACAACAGAUUCGGUUCCUCCUCUCUCUUACCCGCAAACUUCCAGAAAUUCACCUCUUAAACCCAACCCAAGGUCGGUUAGUCUUGCCCUAAAAUCCCCCUCUCACAGCCGCACACUUCACAACUACACAAGCCGGAUUUGGUAGCUCGGUUUUCAACCGAAUUGGCCAUCAAAAAUUUCCAGAUUUCUGCCUUCUCAAAUCCUUCCCUAAGUUGGCUAACCUUCCUAUAAAACUCCUUCUCUCACAGCCGCAGCUGGCCCAAGCAAUUCGGCUCUCUCUCAAUUCCAAGAAACAAGCAAUUCGGCCCUCUCUCCUACAAGACAGGUUUGGUUCUUGUUGCUCAAGCAAUUCGGCUCCAAUGGACUUCCAAGGUAAAGCAAGUAUUGUUACCCAAAAAUCUCCCAAGAAAUUCUGAUACGUUCCUCGAUCAACUCGUUUCGAGACACGUAGCACGUUUGCCCAAGGAUCUAGCAAGGAUGACCAAUGCUUGGAAUUGCGGGAUCUAGAACCAAACGGACGACACGAUUUGAUUCAAGACGGUAGGACGAUGACUCCAAUGAAGGUGACUACUCCACGGGAUAGGUCGGUGGAACAAUCUAGGACGAGACGCAAGAUUGCUCAAAACCCUUGCCAAAGCAAGUAAAAGGCUCGAAUUCUCUCACAAGAAGAUGAAUCGAAAAUAACAACUUUAUUGAUAAAACGUCUACCCUAAAACCUUACAAAGCAAGCCUAUUUAUAGGCUAAAGUGACUAAGAAAACCUAAGGAAACAAUGGCAAAGAGUUCGGCCAUCUUGGUGUCCAAGAUGGGCCGGCCCAAUGAGCUAUGAAGACAAAUUAAUCCAAUCUAUCAAGUACUAAGGCUAAGGCCCUAUAGGGCCGGUCCUCUUGAAGGCCCACUUGAGUCUUCGUGGGCUUGGAUCAUGGUACAAAUGGCUUGAUUGUCUCUCUCUAAGCCGUCAAUAUCUUUGUGAACUCCAUGUUGGUCUUGGACGACUUGAACCAGGGCUUGGAGUGAUUCUUUGAAGAGCUUGGCCCGUGCACGUGUGACUGGGCCCAAUGGAACUCGGACUGGGUCGUUGCGUGGGCCGAGACUUGUGCACACAUCAUCUUUAGCCUUAAUAAUCAUGUUGUGCUUCCUAGUGGUAGGUGCGGUAGGUGAUUUGUCAUGGAUACCCCUAGGUGUGCUCCCUUGACCCUUGGUUGAUGGCUCACUCGUAGAAGUGGAGCUUUUACCAGGGUCGACCGCCUUUAGUUUCCUCCUUUGACGGUCUUGUUCACACUCCCUUUGCAAUAGUAGUUGGUCCUCAUAAACUUGUGCAGGUGUGAGAGGUGUAAGGACCUUACGUUUGCCAUCGUACAAAAGUGUGCACUUAUUUGCUCUUCCAUCGAAUGUGACGUGUUUGUCAAAUUGCCAGGGCCUUCCCAAAAUGAUAUGCGUAGCAUGCAUUGGCACUACGUCGCACACGAUUUCAUCAGUGUAAGUACCAAUUGAAAGGGAAUGCGUACCUGUUUGAAGACUCGUACCUCACCAUCCUCACUUAGCCAUUGGAGGCGUUAAGGAUUUGGAUGCCUGGUAGUGGGGAGUCCUAAACUCUCAACCAUGAGCAAACUGGCCACGUUCGUGCAACUCCCACCGUCGAUGAUGAGACUACACACUUUGUCGCCUACCUUACAGCGGGUGUAGAAUAGGUUUUCUCGUUGUAGCUGCUCGUCCUCCUUAACGCGGGCGGUUAGCACUCGCCGUGCCACCAAGCAACCUACUUCUCCUCGUGCAGGCGAGCAAGCCUCCCCAGCUGACUCUUCUUCCAGGCAGUCGUCUUCGACCAGUUCGGGCAUCUCCUCACAUUCGUCAUCAUCAGACACGAUUUUGCCGUUGUGAGUGAUGAGCAUGACCCGUUGGUUUGGGCACUGAGAUUGAAUAUGUCCAAACCCUUGGCACUUGAAGCACUUGAUGUCCCUACUCCUAGUCUUAGGAGUCUCAUGCGGUGCCUUUGAAGUGGACCUGGAUGCAUCGGAAACCUUGUUAGGGGUAGAAUAGGAAUUGCGGUUAGAGGUGUGACCUUGGAUUCGGUUAGAAGAGGUUGGUAUCACCGCACUUCCAACUUCGUGGGUCACCCUUCGUGGUUGGUUGCCCCUCCAUGAAGUGGUGUUAGAAGUUUGGAAAGUACGUGCUCCUCGUCUUAGUUUCUUCCCCCGCUCGGCCUUGAUAGCGAGUUCUAGAAGGUCGUGCAUGUCCAAGUAAUGUUGGAGCUCCAAGGUUUCUUGAAGGUUAGGAUUGAGACCCCUAAGAAACCUAGCCAUCGUGGCUUCAUUGUCCUCUUGAAUAUUGGCCCUCAUCAUGGCCAUCUCGAUCUCCUUGUAGUAGUCUUCCACACUCAUGUUGCCUUGAGUGAGAGUUUGAAGCUUAGAAUGGAGAUCGCGAUUGUAGUAGCUAGGAACAAAUCGCUUGCGCAUCAGUGCCUUGAGUUCUCGCCGAGUCCGGACACGUGGUUCGCCCAUCUUCCGCCUAUGGGUCCUUACUUGGUCCCACCAGACUAGUGCGUAGUCAGUGAACUCCACAGUGGCAAUUUUAACCUUUUGUUCCUCACUGUAAUCGUAGCAGUCGAAGACCAUCUCGAUACGGCCUUCCCACUCCAAGUAAGCUUCAGGGUCACUUUUGCCUUUGAAUGCGGGGACUUGAAUCUUAAGCCCCUUGAGUUCGUUCGUAGGCGUGUCCCGUCGAGGCUUCUCGGGUUGCUCGUCGUCUUCACUGGCGGAGUAGUCCUCACUGGGUGUUCCUUUGAGGCCACGGCUACUCCGGUUGCGUGAUCCAGAACGAGAGCCCGGGGUGAGACGCUUGGCGAGUUCAUCAAACCGGGUGUGCAACUCCUCCAUUUGUUGCUCACUAAUGCGUUUGAGCUCAUGCCUCAUGGCGGUGAACAACAGAGAAUAGUCUUUGGAAGGCGGUUGUUGAUCUUGCUCCAUGUCUCUCCGUACGCCCUGCAAAAAGGUUAGUAGUACAAGAAUAGUGCAAAUGUGUCCUCACUUCACUCCCUUAGUGUUUCACUCACGCUCGUGUAUAGCACUCAAAACACUCUUAGUAGACUUACCAAGUACCUUUACCUGUUGGCUUAGGUAGUUGAGAAAUGUUGCUCGCGUCCAAUAAUCGUCACCAACUUUUCCCACAAGAGUAAGCAAGGGUGAAGGACACAGUUGGGUGAGACUUUGUAAAGGAAGGACGGUUUUGGAAGGCUUAGGGGCGGUGGACAGAUUUGGAAAAUAUUGCCAAGAAAGGAAACUCCAAGAAUCCUAAGAUGUAGGAGUGGUUUCCUAAAGUGGAUGAGAGAAUAUAGGAGAAUAUCCUAAAAUGGAGAAGAAAAUAUAGAGAAGUGUCCAAGAGGUAUCCAAGUUUGUUUGCUUAGUCUCCUAAACCAAAAUGGAAAACAAGUUAGAGUUGGAAACUCCCUUGAAGAUCUUUCUUAAGCAACUUCCUAAUCCUUCUCCACAACAGAUUCGGUUCCUCCUCUCUCUUACCCGCAAACUUCCAGAAAUUCACCUCUUAAACCCAACCCAAGGUCGGUUAGUCUUGCCCUAAAAUCCCCCUCUCACAGCCGCACACUUCACAACUACACAAGCCGGAUUUGGUAGCUCGGUUUUCAACCGAAUUGGCCAUCAAAAAUUUCCAGAUUUCUGCCUUCUCAAAUCCUUCCCUAAGUUGGCUAACCUUCCUAUAAAACUCCCUCUCUCACAGCCGCAGCUGGCCCAAGCAAUUCGGCUCUCUCUCAAUUCCAAGAAACAAGCAAUUCGGCCCUCUCUCCUACAAGACAGGUUUGGUUCUUGUUGCUCAAGCAAUUCGGCUCCAAUGGACUUCCAAGGUAAAGCAAGUAUUGUUACCCAAAAAUCUCCCAAGAAAUUCUGAUACGUUCCUCGAUCAACUCGUUUCGAGACACGUAGCACGUUUGCCCAAGGAUCUAGCAAGGAUGACCAAUGCUUGGAAUUGCGGGAUCUAGAACCAAACGGACGACACGAUUUGAUUCAAGACGGUAGGACGAUGACUCCAAUGAAGGUGACUACUCCACGGGAUAGGUCGGUGGAACAAUCUAGGACGAGACGCAAGAUUGCUCAAAACCCUUGCCAAAGCAAGUAAAAGGCUCGAAUUCUCUCACAAGAAGAUGAAUCGAAAAUAACAACUUUAUUGAUAAAACGUCUACCCUAAAACCUUACAAAGCAAGCCUAUUUAUAGGCUAAAGUGACUAAGAAAACCUAAGGAAACAAUGGCAAAGAGUUCGGCCAUCUUGGUGUCCAAGAUGGGCCGGCCCAAUGAGCUAUGAAGACAAAUUAAUCCAAUCUAUCAAGUACUAAGGCUAAGGCCCUAUAGGGCCGGUCCUCUUGAAGGCCCACUUGAGUCUUCGUGGGCUUGGAUCAUGGUACAAAUGGCUUGAUUGUCUCUCUCUAAGCCGUCAAUAUCUUUGUGAACUCCAUGUUGGUCUUGGACGACUUGAACCAGGGCUUGGAGUGAUUCUUUGAAGAGCUUGGCCCGUGCACGUGUGACUGGGCCCAAUGGAACUCGGACUGGGUCGUUGCGUGGGCCGAGACUUGUGCACACAUCAUCUUUAGCCUUAAUAAUCAUGUUGUGCUUCCUAGUGGUAGGUGCGGUAGGUGAUUUGUCAUGGAUACCCCUAGGUGUGCUCCCUUGACCCUUGGUUGAUGGCUCACUCGUAGAAGUGGAGCUUUUACCAGGGUCGACCGCCUUUAGUUUCCUCCUUUGACGGUCUUGUUCACACUCCCUUUGCAAUAGUAGUUGGUCCUCAUAAACUUGUGCAGGUGUGAGAGGUGUAAGGACCUUACGUUUGCCAUCGUACAAAAGUGUGCACUUAUUUGCUCUUCCAUCGAAUGUGACGUGUUUGUCAAAUUGCCAGGGCCUUCCCAAAAUGAUAUGCGUAGCAUGCAUUGGCACUACGUCGCACACGAUUUCAUCAGUGUAAGUACCAAUUGAAAGGGAAUGCGUACCUGUUUGAAGACUCGUACCUCACCAUCCUCACUUAGCCAUUGGAGGCGUUAAGGAUUUGGAUGCCUGGUAGUGGGGAGUCCUAAACUCUCAACCAUGAGCAAACUGGCCACGUUCGUGCAACUCCCACCGUCGAUGAUGAGACUACACACUUUGUCGCCUACCUUACAGCGGGUGUAGAAUAGGUUUUCUCGUUGUAGCUGCUCGUCCUCCUUAACGCGGGCGGUUAGCACUCGCCGUGCCACCAAGCAACCUACUUCUCCUCGUGCAGGCGAGCAAGCCUCCCCAGCUGACUCUUCUUCCAGGCAGUCGUCUUCGACCAGUUCGGGCAUCUCCUCACAUUCGUCAUCAUCAGACACGAUUUUGCCGUUGUGAGUGAUGAGCAUGACCCAUUGGUUUGGGCACUGAGAUUGAAUAUGUCCAAACCCUUGGCACUUGAAGCACUUGAUGUCCCUACUCCUAGUCUUAGGAGUCUCAUGCGGUGCCUUUGAAGUGGACCUGGAUGCAUCGGAAACCUUGUUAGGGGUAGAAUAGGAAUUGUGGUUAGAGGUGUGACCUUGGAUUCGGUUAGAAGAGGUUGGUAUCACCGCACUUCCAACUUCGUGGGUCACCCUUCGUGGUUGGUUGCCCCUCCAUGAAGCGGUGUUAGAAGUUUGGAAAGUACGUGCUCCUCGUCUUAGUUUCUUCCCCCGCUCGGCCUUGAUAGCGAGUUCUAGAAGGUCGUGCAUGUCCAAGUAAUGUUGGAGCUCCAAGGUUUCUUGAAGGUCAGGAUUGAGACCCCUAAGAAACCUAGCCAUCGUGGCUUCAUUGUCCUCUUGAAUAUUGGCCCUCAUCAUGGCCAUCUCGAUCUCCUUGUAGUAGUCUUCCACACUCAUGUUGCCUUGAGUGAGAGUUUGAAGCUUAGAAUGGAGAUCGCGAUUGUAGUAGCUAGGAACAAAUCGCUUGCGCAUCAGUGCCUUGAGUUCUCGCCGAGUCCGGACACGUGGUUCGCCCAUCCUCCGCCUAUGGGUCCUUACUUGGUCCCACCAGACUAGUGCGUAGUCAGUGAACUCCACAGUGGCAAUUUUAACCUUUUGUUCCUCACUGUAAUCGUAGCAGUCGAAGACCAUCUCGAUACGGCCUUCCCACUCCAAGUAAGCUUCAGGGUCACUUUUGCCUUUGAAUGCGAGGACUUGAAUCUUAAGCCCCUUGAGUUCGUUCGUAGGCGUUUCCCGUCGAGGCUUCUCGGGUUGCUCGUCGUCUUCACUGGCGGAGUAGUCCUCACUGGGUGUUCCUUUGAGGCCACGGCUACUCCGGUUGCGUGAUCCAGAACGAGAGCCCGGGGUGAGACGCUUGGCGAGUUCAUCAAACCGGGUGUGCAACUCCUCCAUUUGUUGCUCACUAAUGCGUUUGAGCUCAUGCCUCAUGGCGGUGAACAACAGAGAAUAGUCUUUGGAAGGCGGUUGUUGAUCUUGCUCCAUGUCUCUCCGUACGCCCUGCAAAAAGGUUAGUAGUACAAGAAUAGUGCAAAUGUGUCCUCACUUCACUCCCUUAGUGUUUCACUCACGCUCGUGUAUAGCACUCAAAACACUCUUAGUAGACUUACCAAGUACCUUUACCUGUUGGCUUAGGUAGUUGAGAAAUGUUGCUCGCGUCCAAUAAUCGUCACCAACUUUUCCCACAAGAGUAAGCAAGGGUGAAGGACACAGUUGGGUGAGACUUUGUAAAGGAAGGACGGUUUUGGAAGGCUUAGGGGCGGUGGACAGAUUUGGAAAAUAUUGCCAAGAAAGAAAACUCCAAGAAUCCUAAGAUGUAGGAGUGGUUUCCUAAAGUGGAUGAGAGAAUAUAGGAGAAUAUCCUAAAAUGGAGAAGAAAAUAUAGAGAAGUGUCCAAGAGGUAUCCAAGUUUGUUUGCUUAGUCUCCUAAACCAAAAUGGAAAACAAGUUAGAGUUGGAAACUCCCUUGAAGAUCUUUCUUAAGCAACUUCCUAAUCCUUCUCCACAACAGAUUCGGUUCCUCCUCUCUCUUACCCGCAAACUUCCAGAAAUUCACCUCUUAAACCCAACCCAAGGUCGGUUAGUCUUGCCCUAAAAUCCCCCUCUCACAGCCGCACACUUCACAACUACACAAGCCGGAUUUGGUAGCUCGGUUUUCAACCGAAUUGGCCAUCAAAAAUUUCCAGAUUUCUGCCUUCUCAAAUCCUUCCCUAAGUUGGCUAACCUUCCUAUAAAACUCCCUCUCUCACAGCCGCAACUUGCCCAAGCAAUUCGGCUCUCUAUCAAUUCCAAGAAACAAGCAAUUCGGCCCUCUCUCCUACAAGACAGGUUUGGUUCUUGUUGCUCAAGCAAUUCGGCUCCAAUGGACUUCCAAGGUAAAGCAAGUAUUGUUACCCAAAAAUCUCCCAAGAAAUUCUGAUACGUUCCUCGAUCAACUCGUUUCGAGACACGUAGCACGUUUGCCCAAGGAUCUAGCGAGGAUGACCAAUGCUUGGAACUGCGGGAUCUAGAACCAAACGGACGACACGAUUUGAUUCAAGACGGUAGGACGACGACUCCAAUGAAGGUGACUACUCCACGGGAUAGGUCGGUGGAACAAUCUAGGACGAGACGCAAGAUUGCUCAAAACCCUUGCCAAAGCAAGUAAAAGGCUCGAAUUCUCUCACAAGAAGAUGAAUCGAAAAUAACAACUUUAUUGAUAAAACGUCUACCCUAAAACCUUACAAAGCAAGCCUAUUUAUAGGCUAAAGUGACUAAGAAAACCUAAGGAAACAAUGGCAAAGAGUUCGGCCAUCUUGGUGUCCAAGAUGGGCCGGCCCAAUGAGCUAUGAAGACAAAUUAAUCCAAUCUAUCAAGUACUAAGGCUAAGGCCCUAUAGGGCCGGUCCUCUUGAAGGCCCACUUGAGUCUUCGUGGGCUUGGAUCAUGGUGCAAAUGGCUUGAUUGUCUCUCUCUAAGCCGUCAAUAUCUUUGUGAACUCCAUGUUGGUCUUGGACGACUUGAACCAGGGCUUGGAGUGAUUCUUUGAAGAGCUUGGCCCGUGCACGUGUGACUGGGCCCAAUGGAACUCGGACUGGGUCGUUGCGUGGGCCGAGACUCGUGCACACAUCAAAUUCACUCCUAAACCAAGGAAGCCUCGUAUGGAUGCAAGAUCUUACAAAAAACUCUUUAUACGAAGGGAAGUGCAAGUCUUCAAACCCUAAGAUAAUCAAGACCCUCAAGAAACCCAAAAGGUGACACAAGUGAUCAAGAUCCAAGGUGAUCAAGAUUUCCAAGAAGAGGUUGGCCAAAACUUUUGAAUCAAGAUCUUGCUGUAAUUUUCUGGUUUGGGUUGGAACAAGAAGUAACAAGACAGGUUUGACAAUAAUGAUACGGCUUCCUUCUUUGUUUCUUGUUGUCCGAAUUUUUUUUUUCUCUUUUCUCUUGCGUUUCUGUUUUUUUUUUUUUUGACUUAAAGACAACACAAGUCCUUGUCCGAAUGAGUAAAAAUCCCAGAAAUAAGGUCAGCCCUCAACACGCAAGAACGCACCACCCAACUUCCUCAAACUAACAAGGUUUCUCCAAGACUUUCAAGAAUUUCAAGAUAGCGGUCAAGAACUUCAAGAACCUUAGAAACCUUGUAGAUUUUCUUCAAGAUUCACCAACCCAACAAGUUUUUGUAUCCCAAAUCAGUUUAGGCAAGCUAAGCACACAACUUGGAUAACAAUAACUACUUGGACAGAUUUGACAACAAAGAAAAACCCUAGCCGCGAAAUUGGGAAACCCUAGCCGUCUCUUUUUUUUUUUUUUUUUUACACAUUCGGCUAUGACCCAAAGCUGGCAGAAUUAAUGCAAUUAAAAGCACAAAACCUGGUCAGCUUAGGCUAGCAACAAUAGCGACCACUUUGGACAGAAUUGGACAUCAAAUCAUGACAACACAACCGCGGCAGAAUUGAAGGAACAAACGACUCAAACAACAAGUGUCGAACAGAUUUAGUGAACACAAUACCGACCAGAAUUGAUGCAACCAAACGCAACUACACGACCAGAAUUUUUGACAACAAAAGAAAGAAAACGGCACAACACAGCAACAAAGCUAACGAACAGAUUUUUUUUUUUUUUUGUUAAUACGGCACAAACGGACAGAUUUGGACUCGACUUCAACAACAAACAAUGACCAGAAUUUUUUUUUUUGAGACAAGUGCAGCGGAAAUAAGGAAAACUAAGACAAAACUACGGAUAUAACGGAAGAUACAUCCACCAAAGCUCUGAUAUCAACUGAUACGUUCCUCGAUCAACUCGUUUCGAGACACGUAGCACGUUUGCCCAAGGAUCUAGCGAGGAUGACCAACGCUUGGAAUUGCGGGAUCUAGAACCAAACGGACGACACGAUGUGAUUCAAGAUGGUAGGAUGACGACUCCAAUGAAGGUGACUACUCCACGGGAUAGGUCGGUGGAACAAUCUAGGACGAGAUGCAAGAUUGCUCAAAACCCUUGCCAAAGCAAGUAAAAGGCUCGAAUUCUCUCACAAGAAGAAGAAUCGAAAAUAACAACUUUAUUGAUAAAACGUCUCCCCUAAAACCUUACAAAGCAAGCCUAUUUAUAGGCUAAAGUGACUAAGAAAACCUAAGGAAACAAUGGCAAAGAGUUCGGCCAUCUUGGUGUCCAAGAUGGGCCGGCCCAAUGAGCUAUGAAGACAAAUUAAUCCAAUCUAUCAAGUACUAAGGCUAAGGCCCUAUAAGGCCGGUCCUCUUGAAGGCCCACUUGAGUCUUCGUGGGCUUGGAUCAUGGUGCAAAUGGCUUGAUUGUCUCUCUCUAAGCCCUCAAUAUCUUUGUGAACUCCAUGUUGGUCUUGGACGACUUGAACCAGGGCUUCGAGUGAUUCUUUGAAGAGCUUGGCCCGUGCACGUGUGACUGGGCCCAAUGGAACUCGGACUGGGUCGUUGCGUGGGGCGAGACUCGUGCACACAUCACUUCCUCUGCCAUUAAGAUCUGGUGAUACCCGACAAAACAGUCAGCAAAUGAUUCGAUCUCAUGUCCUGCGGUAUUGUCCAGAAGAAUAUGAAUGUUCGGCAACGGAAAAUCAUCUUUCGGGCUGGCCUUAUUGAGAUCCCUGUAAUCAACACAGACCCGCACUUCUCCACUUUUUUUCGGAACAGGUACCGGAUUUGAAAGCCAAAUGGGAUAAUGAGACACCAUAAUGAUUCUUGCGUUGAGCUGCUUCUCGAUCUGCUCCUUGAUUUUGAGGCUCAUAUCUGGCUUAAACUUGCGAGGUUUUUGCUUCACUGGUGGAAAAUUUGGAUCAGUCGGUAAUCGAUGGACCACUAUGUCUAUUGAAAUUCCAGGCAUAUCAUCAUAGGACCAGACAAACACAUCUUGAAACAGGGUCAAAAACUCAAUCAUCUUUUUUCUCUGUUUUUUAUUCAAAUGAAUGCUAAUUUUUAUCUCCUUAACCUCAGUCUCAGUGCCAAUAUUAAUGGUUUUUGUUUCUUCUAAGUUCGGUUUGGAUUUCUCUUCAUAUUGUUCAAGAUUCUUUAAUAAAGACUAAGAUUCUUCCUCAUUUUCGCUUUCGUCUUGAAUUUCUGAUUCCAAAAUUUCAAAUUCGUGAGAGAUAUCGAGAUUGCAAUCGUCGAAUUCCGGAAUAGUGAUAUCCAAAGGGUCAAUGUGUUUUAUUUUUGGCCAUCUGAAAAAGAAUGAAAUAGACACAACAAUGCAUAAGUAAAUCAAUUUGAGAAAUAAACACUGUGCAUUUCAUUGAAAUUCAAAGUAAAGGAUAACAUCAUGACAUGCUACUUAACAAAAGAUACGCUAUAAAACUUUGCCUUGAAAGAUAUUUGAUUGAAACCUAUUUACAAAACUGAAAGAAAAAAGAGGAAUAAUGCGAAUGAUUUCUCUCAUGUCGACCAAAGGCAAUCCCCUAGAUUUACCGAAAUUCUCUUCGAGAGGGAAGGAGAUCACUGGUCCAAUUCUUCAUUGCUUCGACAGGCACCUCUGGAAAUUCUGGGUCCUCCAACGACUCCAUCUCAGAAGCAACCCCCACAAAUAGCUUAGAUAAUCCAGCAUCCACCUCCUCGAUCGGGUCCAUUUUAGAUCUAAUCACCUUUCAUGGGUAAGAAAAAGUAUAGUACAACGGUGGGAUACUCAUGAUAAGUUGCUUCCCUUCCUUCUCCACCCUUUUGCUAUUCAUCAUUUCUUUCUUAUCCUUGGUAGUAGGUUGAAACCCUAAUCCGAAGGUGUCCUUCUUUCCUUGAAACUCUAUUGGUUCCAAAACUCCUUGUAGAUUACGCCCGAGGCCCUUGCCUAUCUCAUAUCCUCCUCGAAUCAUCUCUUUAGCCAUCAUAACACUGGUUUCAGGUAAAUUCAUUUCCACCAUUACCUUGCCUUUAGAUCCCCAACCUACUGAAACAAUAUUAGCCACAUAGUGAGGAGAAGCCAGAGUUUUUCUAUCACUUUCCUCUUCCAAUGCAGGACUGACGAUCAUAGUGCAAUCUUCCUCAACAAAUAUCAUGAUCAAUUGGCCAUUCACCACAAAUCUCAACAUCUGAUGGAGUGAAGACGGUACAGCGCCUGAAGUAUGAAUCCAAGGCCGUCCGAGAAGAAUAUUAUAAACACUCGAGAAGUCCAUGACUUGGCACAUAACUUGAAACUGGGCAGGUCCGAUUUCCAGCACUAAAUCCACUUCUCCCAUUGAUUCCCUUUUUGCGCCAUCAAACCCUCUCACCACAGUGGCAGACGGCCGAAGUUUAGCUUCCUAAAAUCCCAACUUAACCAAAGUGUUCCAAGGACAGAUAGUAAGAGCAGAUCCAUUAUCUAUCAAGACUCUCGGCAAUAACUUCCCAUUACAACGGACUGAGAUAUACAACGCUUUGUUGUGUCCAAUCCCCUCCGAAGUCAAAUCUUCAUCAAAAAAAGAAAUUUGAUUUGAAGCCAAAACAUGCUCGACUACAUGAGUGAAUUUAUCCACAGGAAUGUUCUUAGGCACUUGAGCCUUAGUUAAGACCUUGAGUAAAGCCUCUCUGUGAAGUUUCGAGGUUAAGAGCAGAUUCAAUAUGGAAAUUUGAGCGGGCAUCUUGUCCAAUUGCUCGACUACCUUAUACUCACUUUUCUUCAACAUCUUAAGGAAAUUGAAUGCCUCUUCGUCAGUCACAGUUGGUUUUGUUGGAACGGCAUUUUCUUUUGCUUUUGAGGAUUCAUUGACUGCGGGUUCCCCUAUGAUUCGUCCAGAUCUAGUAAUGGCAUCCACUUCCUUUUUGAGCACUUUUUCUCCUCCAAUUAAUAGUGUAGGCUCGCUAUAAUUCCAUGGGACCUCUUGUAGACUAAGAACAGGAGCUUGCUCAGGCAAUUCAAGUACCACAAGCUCUGAAGGCUCACAUUCAAAAGGUAUCAUUUCCAGAAUAAACGGAUCAGUAUUUUCCUUGACUUCAUAGGCUUCCUCCUCAAGUAUGAAUGGUUCUCCGAUGACUCCCAUUAUCUCAGCUUCAUCUACAAUGAAUUGUGUAGGUUCCUUGACCUCUUCAUCUACAGUAAUAACUCCCACAGUAUCCUUGUACGUAGGAAGAGGAUUUUUGCUAACAUUUGGACCUUGUUCAUCCCUCCUUCUCAGAACUAUGUCUCCAGCCGCGAUCAUGUCCUGAAUUUUAUGCUUAAGUGCCUAACAAUUGGCAAUUGAAUGUCCUGGGGCUCCCGAAUGGUAAGCACAAAAUGAUUGAAGAUCAUAACCAAUGGGAAAUCAUUUGGAAUAGGUUUUAGGAGGUAUUGUGCCAAUUUUCCCAGCAGCUUUCAAUUGCUCAUAUAAUUGGUCAACGGGUCGACCUAGAUUGGUGGAGGUUCGAUAUGGGGCUGGAUUUUGGGUGUCACUGGUUUGUUGGUAGUGGUAAUUUGGGUUGGGGCGUGGAAUAGGUCUUGGGUUAAAAGCAGGGCGAGGUCUAAUCUAAAAGUUAGGUGGAGCAAUGUGAAAUAAUGUUGAGGGUGUAUUCGAGUAAUUUGGUCGAGGUCGGGGGUGGUUGAUAGUGGUAUUGUAAACAGGUCGAGGGCGUGGUUGGCAUGGGUAACGGGGUGAGUAGGCGGGGUAUUGUGGGUAUCUAGGUUGGGAAGAAGAGCCUUGGUUCCAGACAAAGGAAGCUUCCUCGUCUUUCUUCUUGAAUUGGGACUUCUUACUACUACUGCUCUGACUCUGCAUAGCUUCCAACUGUGACUUUAAAGCUGAAACAUUAACAAUUUUCCCUGCUCUCAUAAACUUAUCAUACUCUUCCAAUUUAUUGACAAUCUCGGCAAAGGAACACCUAGUCAUUUGAAAAAUUUCCUCAAAAUAGGGUGGGUCAUGAGCUUUGAUGAAUGUACGAACAAUGUCAUCUUCAGUCAUGGGAGGCUCCACCUUGGCGGCCAAUUUGCUCCAUCUCUUCGCAUACGUCUUGUGGUCCUCAGAUGGUUUUCUCUUAGUUCCCUCCAAUGCGGUCCUUGUCGGAGCUCGCUCGCAAUUGUAUUCGUACUGCCUCAUAAAAGCGGUUGACAAAUCAAACCAAGAUCUCAUAUCCUCAGGCUUCAAGUUGGAAUACCAAUGCCUUCUAGACUCUUAGGAAAUAAGCGCACAUGUAGAUUCUCAUCAUCGAUCGGCUUCCCUAGUUUGUUUACAAACAUCCGAAUGUGUGUCUUGGGAUUGCCAGUUCCGUCGUACUUGCUAAAUUUGGGUGCUUUGAAACCCUCUGGCAAUUGCAUAUCUGGAAAUAGGCACAGCUCGUUGCAGUCCAGACCUCCUUGCUUGCUCAAACCUUGGCUUUUCCUUAUGAACUCAUCAAACUGAUCCAAUCUCUUUAACAAAUUCCUAUCCACCGGCGUGGAUGACUCCCCAGCUUCAGGUUUCCCUUGGGCGGCGGUACCUAGAGUGAAUGGCUCAGCGGUGGAGUAAUAAUACGGUCCCUGAGGUUCGAAUGGCAGGCGGAUAACUUUGGGAAAUUUGGGCAUGAGAAGGGUUAAUUUGGAUGUUAGGUGCAUAAAUAGGUGGUGGGCCAUGAGUGGGAUAGGUAAAUGCUUCUUCAGGUGGAUUUAUAACUUGUGAAGUAACAGAAGUUUGAGUAUAAGGUAAGAGUAUUGGUUGAGAUUCAGAUUGGCCAGGGGGUAAAGGUUCAUGCUGUUCACCGCUAGCACCACCCGCGACCAAUUGAUCGAUCACGCGCCGUUGUGCCAUCAUUUCGAUGCUUAGCUCAUUAAAUCGGUUUAGAAUUUCACUCAAUUGAGCCCCCAAAUUCCCCAAGUCCGUUGGUGAUGUCGUUGCGGGCCUAUCAGAUGAUUCUGGAUGGGUACUCAUGUUUACACUAUCUCUUGAAACUCGACUACGCGAUCGGGUGAUAAUGGGGCUUCUUCGAGUAGCUACAUUUGCAAUUACUACCUGAGAAUGUAGGAAAACCCUUAUUAGAUGCCCAUCUCGAUUGACUGUUGUUUAAAAGAAGGAAAAAAAAAAGAAAAAGAAAAAGACAGGGGUUAGUAAAAAUUAGAAUAAUUCGGAUGCAUGUCUUAUUGGGAGCCCUUUUUGUGCCAAGGGUAGGCCUAGUAUGAUGCAACACCUUCAAAGUGGGACCCGUUUACUAAACCUGCUUUUGACCACCAUUUUACACAAAAGAGAAGUCAUUUCAAAAUAUCGAAUUUUCAUUCAUAAACAUCAUUUACAACAUCCACUGAUCCUCUUUAACCUAUCUAGUAAAGCAUCCUUAGAUUCUCUGGCAUAAGGAUUUCUCAUAUGUCCAACUUCAUCGUACAGUUCUCCGCAUUUCCUUUUCAAUUCCCGAUGUUUUUCUUGCAUCUUUUCUAUGACAGCCCCACCUUCUCCUAAGACGAACCAAAGGGUUCGGUGGACCGCCUGCCCAAGUCUCGCCGGGACUACGGAAACAAAUCACACAAACCCUGCAUAACGCGCGAUAAAACCAAAGAAAACAAACAAUCGGAGACCACCAUGCCAAAAUAUAACUUACCAAACCAUAUGGUGAAAUGGGACAUCGAUUAAACACUUCAAUGAAAAGGAAGACGGAACCGAAAACGAAACGAAAAGUGGUCCACAUCACAAUCCGGCCGGAUUCAAGGCAGUAGCGAAACCAAAUUUUUUUUCAACUUCUCCUGCCAAUCCGGCCAAGUAUCCUGCCAAGAACUGGCCGUAUAUAUGGCCGGAUUCGGUGAACAGUUCCCCGCCAAAAUUUUUCUUUUCUCAAUCAAAUCCCACACUCGUUUGAAUCCCCAGUGGAUACAAGUAAAGUUCAUAUAAACCCAUCGAACAUACAUUCACCAACAAAUACAUGAGAGAGACACGAAUAAACACUUUUAAACACACGUUGGAACUUUACAAGUCAAAGUGUGAUACUAGAUCAAAAUACAAUUAGGGUUUUUCUAUUACAAAGGAGCUUAGCAAAAGAACAUUUACACUAGCUCGACCCUUUCUUCCAAAAAUCAUGAUUUCACAGUUUGCCCCUGUAAGGAAAACAAAGAUAACGGGAAGGGAGUGAGCUUACGCUCAAUGAGGUACCAAAAUACUAGUAGUCAAGAAUCAUGGCAUUUCAUGUUUAAUCAGUCAGAUACACAUACCAGAUAUAAAGUAAAGCAGUUAAACACAGUGAUUCAAAUAGGAAGGAUACAGGUGGCUCUUAGGAGCCAAAUUCCCAUUGCAGUACCAUAUCUUGAUCAAGUAGUAGUUGACACUCCGUCAACUUUCAAGUAAAGUAACUAGUUCAGUAGAGCACCACUUAACACCAAAUUUCGUCCACCAAACAUACCCCUUACCUGGCCCGAACACCUCAACCGGAACAGGAAUGGUAAUACUCGAGUAUACCGGAAAUCCAGAGUCUCCAAUACCCAUAGAUUCCCCAGGAACAGGCAUCCAUGGAUUGUCAAUUUCCUCGACCAAGCCCUUGCUGGCUCGAUUCAAUUAACUCCCCAUGAGGUUGAGCUCAGGUUUAACAGGAAGGUCGUUGGAUACACUUCCAAACGACAUUAUAACAGGCGCAGGUAACUGAUUCAAGCUCAUAACAAGUACAAGUAACAGAUUCCAGUUUAUACAGUAAACAGUCACACAGGCCAAAGAACGAGUGUGAUAAAGUACACUCUCGUUUAAUUUAGAAUAAACAGAGUUCAUAGUCAUUCAUGUCACAGAUUUCAAGUACAGAUGACCCAAUUAAGCAACAAUUCAGGGAAGUGGUACACUCACCAGUUCAAGCAAAGAUAACUUCACAAGUUUUCACCCAAAGUAGGGUUUUGAUCACCGUGAAAUCCUAAAAAUAACAAGGUAAAACAAUUGAGGUUUCCACAUCCAAAAUCUAGUAAACAAAAUGUACAAGUGAGGCUCGACUAUGAGUCAUAUGCCUAUUCAAAUGAACUACAAAUGCAAAGAGAUAAAAUGUGACUUUUGAGUGAAAAGAUAAUAGUUGGUCCUAGGGACAUGAACGACCUCAAAGCCCUUCACCUCUCCCCAAAACCCUACCUACAAUGGUUCACCAUUUCCAAAUUUGAAGUGGAAAAUGAAAGUAAGACCAGUUCUAGGAAAACAGAAUUUUCCAGUUUUGCGCAACACUAUUUGAAAAAUCAUAUCUCAAGUUUUUUAAGUCCAAAAUUGAUAAAAUUUAUACCAUUGGAAAAUAGAUUCAAAGAUUUACAACUUUCCAGAAGACACUAUGGUAAGAUUCAAAACACAAGUCAGUCAUAUUUGAGCCUCAAGUUGUCGCUUCAUCCAGCAAAAGACAGAACAGGUAUGCAAUUUCAGUUAACUUUGAAAAAUCACAGAUAUUCAUAGGAAUCAAGAAAAAUCAUGAAAUUUGGAUGGUAGAAAUUACUCUGAAUCUAGUUUCAAACACAACAAACGGAACUCGAUUCUGACUUUUCUACAUUAAGAUAUAGUAGAUUACCCAAGACUGCUCAAGGGUUCCUGCAGAAAAAUUUUAACAGCACCUCCCUCUAAAAUCUAUAUUUUUCCCUCCUACAAACAACCACCAAUUUCAUCUCAAUUCCACAUACAAAUUACAAGUUGUGACAGCCCCACCUCCACCUAAGGCGAACCAGAGGGUUCGGCGGGUCGCCUGCCCAACUCUCGCCGGGACUCACUCACUCACUACGAUCCUCAAUUAAUUUACAAUAUAAAUCUCAAAAAUUACAUCAAAUUCUUCAAUAAUUACAUAAACGAGUAUAUCAAAUUAUACAUACCACGAGUACCAGAAGUACCCUAGAAAAGCUGAUAACUCUAACCACCAUGACAAAUAUAUACAACUUACUAGUCCACUUAUAACUAGUACAAGUUCAACUUAUCUAAACACCUUCCAGAGCGAUCCCCGCGUCGGCCCCCUGCGAAGGAAAAUAAUAGAAUGGGGUAAGCUAUAUGCUUAGUGAGUAACCAGGGGUAAAAAUGUAGUUUUUACAUGUCAACAUUUGACCAGUAAGAGCAAAGCAAAAGCAGAAAAGUAACACUACAUAGUAAGGAUACGGGUGGCUCCCAAGCCAACUCUUUUGUCGAGUUUGAUCAUUGGUUGACCCUUAAGAUCCUGAGCUACACAGCUCACUUCUCUUGCCCAAGUCACGAGCAAUAAAUGAUCUAGUUCAAGCAAUAAAUGCUCUGGUUCAAGCAAUAAAUGCUCUAAUUCAAGCAAUAAAUGCUCUCAAGCAAUAAAUGCUCUGGUUCAAGCAAUAAAUGCUCUGCAAAUAUUCACAAGCCAUGAAUGCUCUAUAACAAAUCAUAAAAAUCAUAUUUCACAGGUAUUAAUAGCAACUAAUGAGGUUUAGAUCGAGUGCGAUAAAGUACACCCUCGUCUAAGUGCCCAUUCAUAGUAAACUCAUUUUUGUAUUGAGUUACACAGAAAUCCUGAUCACUCACCUAAAGAGCAAGUAUAACGAGAGAAAGUACGGAAAUGAAUUCAAGCCGCCAGCUAGUGGGCCCCACCGGCUCCGUCUAGCCCGUCUUCGCCUGUAGCAGAAGGUUGAGCCAUAUCAUCACACAAACAACUACUAAAGGAUGCAAAUUAAACAAAACGGCAAAAUCGGCACAUGCAAGUGCGGAAACGGCAAAAUGGGCGCACACGCCCGCGCGGAACGGCAAACGGAAAUGGCCAAAUCUGCCUUUUCAAACCGGUUUGAUCAAAAGUUAGGCUAGGAAUGUCGGAUCAAAGUGGGUAAGACACCGCUUCGAAGCUAUGAGGAAGGGCUACAAUUCUCAUGAAGACACCUUAAUCUAGAUCUGAAUGGAAGCAGGUCGAAAUUAUGGAAAACAGUACCAGAAAUUUACGUGUUCGGGUGACGAACAGGGUUUGUUUGCUGGACCAUAACUCACAGCUCACAAAUCCAAAUCAAGAAAUUCCAAAGGCGUCGGAAAACUAGGACAUAAGGCUAUAACUUUCACGUUUGGAUCAAAAGCUGAAUCAAUACAGAGCAUGGAGAAAAAUGGGUCCAAACAUUCCUGUCAGAACUGUCCAAAUUCGAAGGCAGUUCUGACAACUGAUCUUGUCUUAGUCAUAACUGGAGCUACGGGACUCGGAUUUGGAUGAAAUUUAUACCGUUUCGAAUCUGAAACCAAGAUCUAUAUUUCUUAUGAAGGCAUAAAAAACCGAAUCAGAAGCAUUCCCAGUCAAAUUAACCAAUUACAGAAGCAAUUAUCGAGUUCGGGUAGAAACAGGGCAGCAGGGGUAUUUCCAUCUUUUCUCAAGCUACGCUACUCCGAUUGACCUGAAAUUUUGUAGGCACCUCUAAAAUAUCAUUCCCUACAACUUUCAUGUUUUAAUACAAGGCCAAUUCGGCCUCUAUCAUGGUGCAAUAAAACCGGACAGAAUGAAGAACCAAGAAACCCUAAUUUUCCAGAUUUCUUCCAAAACAGAAAUUGCUUGCAAUUUACCACUUUUUCUACCUUCUAGCUUCCUUAAAUAUCAUUUCCAAUCAUCAUACAUGACCACAUAAUUAUAUUCAUAUGAAAACAGAAAAAUCCCAAUUAAAUAUAAAACUUCAUCAAAUUCAACCAAAAUCAUGAAAUAACACCUAAUUUCAUCUCUUUAACUCACAUAAGUCACUAAUUAAACAUUAGUGAGAAGAAAUAAAGGUCCCUUAGCUACUCACCUUAUCAACCAAAGAAAGAGGACAACUUAGCACCUUAAGCUUCCAAAUCACUUCACUAAUCACCUCACAAUCACUAAACUAGGGGUUUAUAUGGAGAAGAUUCAAGAUUAAUCGGUUGGUUUGGUGAAUUGAGCAAGAUUGGAGACCAAAAUUGUGGAGAGCUUUCUUUCCUUUUUGCUUGAAAAAGUCGGCCAAGAAGAAGAAGAAAAAUGGUGAAUUUUUGGUAAAUUUUGAUAUUAAUUUGGUAAAGGCAUGAAUAGUAGUCAAAUGGCAAGACUAAAUCUUAUGGUGACACUUGUCACCCUAUUGAAUGCAUGUAUAUCCCUUUGUUUCCUCUCACACUAAUCCAUAGCAACCUUUAAUUAUCUCUUAGCACCUGGUAAAUUAAACCUGGUAUCCAAAACUUAACCUAAUUGGCCGAAUUUUACCGAACUUUCCGCACUAGUGGGUCCCACGUCCGGUAUACGCUCUUAAUUUCUCAAGAACUAACCAAUACUAGAAAAAUCAUCUAAAAACUAUAUUUGCUCAUAAAAAUUAUCUGGGAAAUUUUUCUAAUAAAGAAAAUGUAGAAAAGACGAGCGAUCAAUAAAAUAAACCCUAGAAACUUAGAAAAUUUUGGGUUCUCGCACUUAUUCUUUUCGGGGCGUAACAAACUCCCCCUCUUAAAAGAAUUUCGUCCUCGAAAUUCAUACCUUUGGUGUCCCUGAUCGGCCUAGAAAUGUUUCCCCUCGUCCCUGAUUUAUUUCCUCCCCUCGACUUCUGAGGGCACUGAGCAACUAGGUGUUCAUUGCUACCACAUCGGAAACAUCGCCGAUUUUUCUCUUUCUUCCAACAGGUAUCUUCCGUAUGGUUAGUGGCCCCACAAACAUCACAUACUCUUCUGGUUCCCAACAUUGAUUCCCCAUGUGAGACACCACUUUGGGGCCCUUUUCCUGCCAGAUCUUCCUUUGUUUUACCUUGAUUCGGAGUCCCCACUGGUCGUGUACCACCGACUUCCUUACUUCUCUUACUAGGUGGCUCGCUUCUCGAGCUUUGUCCACCAGUGUAGGUAUAGGUGUCAGAUGGUGUCCUUUUCUUGUCACGGAAAGCUUUCACUUGACUCCUUGUCGUCUCUAUUCGCUGUGCCUUUUCCAGGGUCUGGCUGAAUGUAUCCAACUGGGCAGCCACCAGUGCCUCUUGUAUUUCCACGUUUAACCCCUGGACAAAUCGACGAAUUCUCUUUCAGUCUGUUAGUACUAACUCUGGAGCAAAACGGGAGAGUUUGGUAAAUUGUGUCUCGUACUCGGCCACACUUAACGGCCCUUGACGCAGGCAGAUAAAGUCCUCUUCCCGCCUUUCUUGAACAAUCGGUGGCAAAUACUUCUCAUUAACUCACGGGUGAAAUUGACCCAAGUCCAGGGGGUCUGUUCUCAUUCCCACUUAGCCUUUAUUACAUUCCACCAAGCUCUGGCUGGUCCCUCAAAUUGGAAGACAGCAAAAGAUACCUGCCGUUCCUCUGAAUACCCGAGCGCAGCGAAUAUAUCCAUCAUGCGGUCCAUCCAUCUCUCAGCUAAGUCAGGGCUAGGUUCACCUAUGAAUUUCGGGGGUGCAAAUUUUUGGAACCGUUCGAGGGCACGGUCCACUCCCUCGUGAUUGCCCGAAUUAUUUACAGGGUUUCCGGUAUUAUUCCCAUGACCCUGACCCUAUUGGUCCACCAUUCGUGCCAGCAAAUCUGUCAUCCGUUGUAUGGCUGUAGCUACUUGGUUAUCAGCUUGGUUGUUCAAAAUUUCAUUUUCUACCCUUUCGGGUUCUGGUCUCCGUCCCCGACCUUUUCCUCAGCCUCGGCUUCGUUCCCUACCUCCAUCGCGGCCACCGUCUUCCAUUUGUUUUGAAAACUUUACCAUAUAAAACACAAUAUAAAGCACACUAAAUGCAUAUACAGGUUUAUGCCAAAGAUAUGCACAAAUUAGCCAAAAUGCAGUUAGUACCAAAACACUAAACAUAUCGAUUUCAAAACAAUUCAACAAGACAACAAAGUAAUUCAAGUCAACGGCCCUAACGCAACUCUCCUGCGGAGCCCACCUAAUCCACCAGCACUGCCCCGGCGGCCCUAGGGUGCAAACCUAAAGAAUAGGUCCAAAUAGUUAACUGCAACAUUAAGUAAGAACCAAGUCGAUCCACACUGGGACUGGCCAUCUCCAAGUGCAAUCAACUCAAUCCCCAUUUUGCCUUAUGGAAAAAUUUACAAAUGUCCAAUAUCAAAAGCCUAGCAUUCAAUAUUUACCUUAAUAACCAAAUACCCCACAGUCCGGCAUCCUAAACUUCAAGCCUAGGAUACACUACAGAGAUCUGAAACCUAACCUCUGAUACCAACUGUGACAGUCCCACCUCCCCCUAAGGCGAACCAGAGGGUUCGGCGGGUCGCCUACCCAGCUCUCGACGGGACUCACUCACUCACUACGAUCCUCAAUUAAUUUACAAUAUAAAUCUCAAAAAUUACAUCAAAUUCUUCAAUAAUUACAUAAACGAGUAUAUCAAGUUAUACAUACCACGAGUACCAGAAGUACCCUAGAAAAGCUGAUAACUCUAACCACCAUGACAAAUAUAUACAACUUACUAGUCCACUUAUAACUAGUACAAGUUCAACUUAUCUAAACACCUUCCCGAGCGAUCCCCGCGUCGGCCCCUGCUAAGGAAAACAAUAGAAUGGGGUAAGCUAUAUGCUUAGUGAGUAACCAGGGGUAAAAAUGUAGUUUUUACAUGUCAACAUUUGACCGGUAAGAGCAAAACAAAAGCAGAAAAGUAACACUACAUAGUAAGGAUACGGGUGGCUCCCAAGCCAACUCUUUUGUCGAGUUUGAUCACUGGUUGACCCUUAAGAUCCUGAGCUACACAGCUCACUUCUCUUGCCCAAGUCACGAGCAAUAAAUGCUCUAGUUCAAGCAAUAAAUGCUCUGGUUCAAGCAAUAAAUGCUCUAAUUCAAGCAAUAAAUGCUCUGGUUCAAGCAAUAAAUGCUCUAAUUCAAGCAAUAAAUGCUCUCAAGCAAUAAAUGCUCUGGUUCAAGCAAUAAAUGCUCUGUAAAUAUUCACAAGCCAUGAAUGCUCUAUAACAAAUCAUAAAAAUCAUAUUUCACAGGUAUUAAUAGCAACUAAUGAGGUUUAGAUCGAGUGCGAUAAAGUACACCCUCGCCUAAGUGCCCAUUCAUAGUAAACUCAUUUUUGUAUUGAGUUACACAGAAAUCCUGAUCACUCACCUAAAGAGCAAGUAUAACGAGAGAAAGUACGGAAAUGAAUUCAAGUCGCCAGCUAGUGGGCCCCACCGGCUCCGUCUAGCCCGCCUUCGCCUGUAGCAGAAGGUUGAGCCAUAUCAUCACACAAACAACUACUAAAGGAUGCAAAUUAAAUAAAACGGCAAAAUCGGCACAUGCAAGUGCGGAAACGGCAAAAUGGGCGCACACGCCCGCGCGGAACGGCAAACGAAAAUGGCCAAAUCUGCCUUCUCAAACCGGUUUGAUCAAAAGUUAGGCUAGGAAUGUCGGAUCAAAGUGGGUAAGACACCGCUUCGAAGCUAUGAGGAAGGGCUACAAUUCUCAUGAAGACACCUUAAUCUAGAUCUGAAUGGAAGCAGGUCGAAAUUAUGGAAAACAGUACCAGAAAUUUACGUGUUCGGGUGACGAACAGGGUUUGUUUGCUGGACCAUAACUCACAGCUCACAAAUCCAAAUCAAGAAAUUCCAAAGGCGUCGGAAAACUAGGACAUAAGGCUAUAACUUUCACGUUUGGAUCAAAAGCUGAAUCAAUACAGAGCAUGGAGAAAAAUGGGUCCAAACAUUCCUGUCAGAACUGUCCAAAUUCGAAGGCAGUUCUGACAACUGAUCUUGUCUUAGUCAUAACUGGAGCUACGGGACUCGGAUUUGGAUGAAAUUUAUACCGUUUCGAAGCUGAAACCAAGAUCUAUAUUUAUUAUGAAGGUAUCAAAAACCGAAUCAGAAGCAUUCCCAGUCAAAUUACCAAGUUCGGGUAGAAACAGGGCAGCAGGGGUAUUUCCAUCUUUUCUCAAGCUACGCUACUCCGAUUGACCUGAAAUUUUGUUGGCACCUCUAAAAUAUCAUUCCCUCCAACUUUCAUGUUUUAAGCCAAGGCCAAUUCGGCCUCUAACAUGGUGCAAUAAAACCGGACAGAAUGAAGAACCAAGAAACCCUAAUUUUCCAGAUUUCUUCCAAAACAGAAAUUGCUUGCAAUUUACCACUUUUUCUACCUUCUAGCUUCCUUAAAUAUCAUUUCCAAUCAUCAUACAUGACCACAUAAUCAUAUUCAUAUGAAAACAGAAAAAUCCCAAUUAAAUAUAAAACUUCAUCAAAUUCAACCAAAAUCAUGAAAUAACACCUAAUUUCAUCUCUUUAACUCACAUAAGUCACUAAUUAAACAUUAGUGAGAAGAAAUAAAGGUCCCUUAGCUACUCACCUUAUCAACCAAAGAAAGAGGGCAACUUAGCACCUUAAGCUUCCAAAUCACUUCACUAAUCACCUCACAAUCACUAAACUACCUGAUUUCAAGUUGGGUCCUCAAGGGAUUUUAAGGUAUAGGAACCGAGUAGUGGUAGCCAAUGAUGAAAACCUGAAAAGGGAAAUUUUGGAGGAAGCCCAUCGAUCAAACUACACGAUCCAUCCUGGGAGUAAUAAGAUGUACCAAGACUUACGACGGUUGUACUGGUGGGAUAAGAUGAAGAGGGAGAUUGCUCAAUAUAUCCAAACCUGUCUGAUUUGCCAGCAAGUCAAGGCUGAACACCAAAAACCCUCUGGACUGUUACAACCUCUUGAGAUACCCGAAUGGAAGUGGGAAAAUAUCACGAUGGACUUUGUUUCUGGACUGCCAAGAACUCAAAAAGGACAUGAUGCCAUUUGGGUGAUCGUUGAUCAGUUGAUCAAAUCGGCCCAUUUCUUACCUGUGAAUGUGAAGGAUUCCAUGGAUAAGCUGGCUCGGUUGUACCUGAAUGAAAUUGUGAGGUUACAUGGGGUCCUAGUGAGUAUAGUUUCAGACCGAGAUCCUCGUUUCUAUCGAGGUUUUGGCAAAAGUUUCAGGAGCAUUUGGGGAGCAAAAUCAACCUUAGUACCACCUAUCACCCCCAGACGGAUGGACAGUCAGAGCGAACAAUUCAAACCCUCGAGGAUAUGUUACGGACUUGUAUUCUGGAUUUUGGGGGUAAUUGGGAUCAACACAUGACUUUGGUAGAGUUCGCCUACAAUAACAGUUUCCAUUCAUCCAUUCAAAUGGCACCAUAUGAAGCUCUCUACGGACGGAAGUGUCGUUCGCCCAUUUAUUGGGAUGAAGUAGGGGAAAAGAAAGUUCUAGAUCCAACAACCAUUCCUUGGUUGGAGGAUGCACAAGAAAAGGUUAAAUUGAUCCGUCAAAGACUCCAAACAGCUCAAAGCCGACAAAAGAGCUACGCAGAUAACCGAAGGAAAUAUUUGGAGUUCGAAGUUGGAGACCGUGUUUUCCUUAAGAUCACGCCACUAUGAAGCGUCACUGCGGGUAAAGGAAAGAAACUUCAACCACGGUUCGUGGGGCCUUAUACAAUUCUUCAACGAGUGGGGAAAGUAGCGUACCGACUUGAGUUGCCGCCAAGUUUAUCUCGAAUUCAUGACGUUUUCCAUGUUUCGAUGUUGAAGAAGUACUAUCCUGAUCCAACCCACAUUGUGUGACCAGAGGAGAUUGAGAUAGAUAAGGCACUCACCUACGAAGAGAGACCCGUACAAUUACUCGAUCGAAGGAUUAAGGAACUGAGGAAUAAGCAAAUUCCAUUAGUGAAGGUUUUGUGGAGGAAUCAUGGAGUAGAAGAGGCAACUUGGGAGAUGGAGGAAGAGAUGCAAAAGAAAUACCCUGAGCUAUUUAAUAACCCAGGUGAGCAAUUUCGAGGGUGAAAUUCUUUAAGGGGGAGAGGGUGUGAGAACCCAGAAAAAAAAAUUUAGGUAUUAUUUUAUUCCUGUGCACCCGUUUUCUUUUAUUUUCUUUCUUAUAUUACUUUUAUCAACAUUUUAUCAGUAAAUAUAGUUUUAAAAUCAUUUUUCUAGUAUAAGGUAAUUCGUGAGAAAUUAGGAACGUAUUUUGGACGUGGGACCCGCUAGUGCAUUAAGUGAGAGAAAUUCGGCCAAUUAGGUUAAAUUUUGCGUAAAGGGAUUUAAUUACCAGGUGUUAGGAGAUAGUUGGAGGUUACCUAGAUGGAUUAACAAUGAGGACACAAGAGAUGACUUCUAGCAACAACAAGGUGCCAAAUGUCCAAUUGUGGUUAGUGUAAACUUACCUAACUUUUGGCCUAACUUUUUUUAACUUUACUAAAAGUUUCAUUUCGACCAAAUCAUCUUCAUUCUUCACCUUGUCUUGGCCGAAACUCCCUUGGAAGCAAAGGAAAGAAACCUUCAACCUUUCAUCUUCAAAUCCUUGCUCAAAUCUUGAAAACUAACCGAUUAUUUCUUGAAUUAGUCCAUAAAAUCAUCUUGCUAAGGGUGUUUGAAGAACUUGGUGGUGUUGUUUGGAAGAAAACCUCCUAAGCUACAACAUUUUUUGAAGAACUAAGGUAUCUUGCUUGGAACUCAUCUUUUGUUGCUAAUUUUGGCCAAUUGGUGCCUUAUAGUAGCUAUAUACGUGAUUUUACGGAAGAUUUGGUGGAUUGGAGUGAAGCUAGCUAAUUUUCUGAUUUUUGUGGGAAUAUUUCUAUUUUCCUAUGAUGGAUAUGUUUGAGCUUGAAUUGGUGGUUCUAAAUGGUGUUAAAUAGCUCUCUUGUACGUUAAUUGUGGUUAUUUGCGGAAAAUUUCCGCUUGUGCGGAAAAUUUCAGAUUUACAGUUUCUAAUUGGGGGUUUUCUAUGGUUGAUAGUUGAGUUUCUAAUUGGCUAUAAUUGAGGGGUAUUAUGACCCCAAUGAAGUAUAUUGAAUGGCCUAUGAAUUGUUUGGGUGCUUGUGGUUUUGUUGGAUGGCUUUUAAUGAUUGUCUUGUAGGUUGGAAAAGCUGAAAUUUUAGGGGAAAUGCUGUCCAAGUGUCUAGGGUAUUAGAUUCUUGUGAGUUGGGUUGAGAUUGGAUAGAAAUGAACGGUUUAGGGGUUGUUCUUACUUUUAACCCUAAAUGUUAUGUAUUUUUCAUUUCCAAGCUAUAUUUGGUUCUUGCCUUAAUAGUUCCUCGAAAAAGGUAUUCGACUCGUGUUUGAGUGUUAAUUGUACUUUCUUGAUUAUUAUAGGGCGUGCCGGUGAUCCGAGGCUCACGUCGGGCGAAAACUUGUGAAAUUACUUUGUUUGACUUGGUGAGUGUACUACUCACAUGUUUGUUAUUCCGUGGCUUUCUUGUACUUGAAUGCUGUGAUUUGGACUGGUUGUGAUUACUGUUUGGGCUAGGUGAGGCGAGCGUGUACUUUACCACGAUCGUACUCUCUGGUCUCCUUAACUGGUUAUUAUAUUAGGCUUACUUGACUGUUUAUGAUAUUACUUGGAUACUCUUGACUGUACUUGAUUUGGUGUCGCUUGGAUACCAACCUUUACUAUAACUCUGGACCUUUACUGUUCACUCUGAGCUCUACCUCAUUGGAAGUUAAUGGACUCGAGUCAGUAAGGACUUGGUCGGGGACAUUUGACAAGCCAUGGGAACUGUAAUUGGGAAUCUUUGGGUAUGAGACCCUUGAUUCUGGUAUACUCGAGUAAUACCAAUUCUGUAUUGUUUGGUGUUUGGGCCCGGUAAGGGGAAAGUGAGGUGGACGGAUAAUUGGAGUAAAGAGGAGUCUACGGUCAUGAUUACCUGGUAUACAUUGACGGAGAGUCAAUGAGAUGAGAUCAAGCAUGGCAAAAGAGGAAAAAGGCUCUUGAGAGCCAUCCGUAUCCUUUUAUUCCCUACACUUGGGGGUUGUUGCUUUUACUUACUUGACGUGCGUAUUUGGACUGAAUACUCUUGUGUUUAUGUGAUCCUGGUAUAUUUACGUGAUGGUAUCUCAUUGGGCGAAAGCUCACUCCGUUAAUUUUUGUUUUCCUUACAGGGAAUUAUCUUUUGGACUUUUAAUUUUGAAGAAUGAGUUGAGUAGAGCUAGGCGAGAGAUGUUGUAUAGCUCCUCAAUAGUGGGAACCUUAAUUGUAAUUGGAUUUAAAUGCUUCCUUUUGGCUUGUAAUCAUACAAAUGUGGUUUGUAACAGUGCGUGUGUAUUCAUGUUCCAUGUAUUAUACUUGGCUUGUAUAUAUAUUCCUUUCAGGGAUUGUAAGAAGUUAUUUGCAUUUGAUUGGGUCUUGGCGGAUUGUGAUGUGGCAGUCACUAUUUGCUUUACGUUUUGACUUUUGUUUUUUCCGUUUCUCGAUUGAUGGUUUGGUUUAGCGCGCUAGUAGAUUCCCAAACGACUUGAGUUAAAUGUUUUACCGUUUUAGUAGUCCUGGCGAGAGUUGGGCAGGCAGUCUGCUAACCCCUUUGGUACGCCUUAGGGGAAGGUAGGGCUGUCACAUAAUAUUUUUGCCACAAUUAUCAAUACAUAUUUCAAAUUCCUAAAAUACAUUUAAGAAGAUUAACCAUGCGACUCAACACGUGGAUAUUAAAACACACACUAAAACACAUAUACCAGUAACAACUCUAAAGAAAAAUAAAAUCACUUGCACAAAUAACAUUAUCACCGUACAAGUCAAACACAAACUAGAGUUCAUCAAAUUAUAACACAAGUUACAGUCAAGUAAAGUAUAUACCAAGUCAAGGUCAGUAAACAAAAAUAAAAAGGUGAUUAAAAAGUGCAUGCAUCUCCAAGGUACAAACUCCUAAGUUCUACUCCUAUCGUCCUAUUACAAAAGAUAAAAAGUAGUGCUUCACUAGAUUAAUUGGAACUAGAUAAUUCUUAUUCCCCAACACUAGGAUCCUCUGGGCCACGAUCUUCUCCACCUCUCUUUCUUAAUUAUUGUGUCAUCCUAACCAAACGAUUAUUGGUUUCCUGUAAUUAUUUACGUGAAAUAUCGAUUCGUUCUUAUUCACCGCAAAUGGAGAUCUCAAGUCCUUAGCAUUGCCCUCAACUCUUAAGUACUCGAGUACAGGAAUCCAAAAUAAGGUAAUUCACGACUCGAGUCAGCCGGUCCCGAGAAUAAAUCACCACAUUUGAGAUUCCUACCCAACAUACAUAUCUAAUUUUCACCAAGUAUCAAGAUAAGGGGUUUAUACCUAUCAUAUUCAUGAUUCACAGUUUACGCUCUAGAAGAGUACUUAAGUCUUUAUUCAUUCACAUAAUAAGGACCAUAACACCACCUGACCCAAGCUCACCCAGAGCAGAGACCACGCGAAGUGGCUCUGAUACCACCUGUGACGCCCCCAGUUAUCCCAAGGGCGAACCCAAGCGUAUCCGUGUAACGCCUGUCCAACUCUCGUCAGGGCUCACUACGACCCAUAAUUCAAAACUAGAAAUACUUCGAAUAAUUUCAAUAUACAUUUAAAGUACUCCAGAGCACAAUUAGUUAACCUUCAAACUUAAAUACAACCCAAAAGAAUAUGUACUACAGUCAUCUGCUAUAAUACAAUUUAAAAUCUUCAAAAGAAAACAACUUAGUAUUAUUCGCGAGCACUCUUGGUCCUGAACUUUGUUAAGGAAAACAAAAGCGUGGAAUGAGCUAAACAGCCCAAUGGGGUUCCAAAACACCUAAACAGUUCUAAUAAAUCAAGUAAAUUAAGCAUACACACAUACGGUUCAAGGUGUCACAUUAGCACAUUAAAAAGAGAUAUUUAUCAUUUUACAAAAAUAAACACAUAUUAAAAGGAUACGGUGUUCACGUGAAACUGUUUCGUUCAACUGCACCUUAUAACUCCAAUAAUUUCCCCGGUUUGUUUGGCCAUCGCCUUAUCCCUCCAGUGGUAAUACUCGAGUAUACCGAUACGGUGGCUCAGGGCUCUAACCUACCCGACCAAGUCCAAUCCUGGCUCGAGCAGGUUAGUAACCAAAGUGUUGACCUUGGUCCCUAACUUUUGAUGAUUACAAAAUAAAUGGAUGUUGCUAACAUCUCCUCAAAGGCUUUUUCAGUAAUGAAACAAAUCAAGUUCAAAGAUUAAGCACAUUUGAAAAAGACAGAGUAUGCUGAACCUGUCGGACGCUCCAGAAGACAGUACCGGACGUCCGAUAAUCAUUGCACAACUUCGGACGCAUGCUUCGGACGUCCAAUAGGAUCCUUCGAAGUCGACAAAACUAUCGGACGCUGAAUAUGUCUCUACCGGACGUCCGAUAGAAACAAGAUAAUUUCUCAAAUCUCUUUGUUUGCUGUCGGACGCAUAAAAAACUUGCAUCGGACGUCCGAAAGAAUUGAAGAAAAUCUCUUAAACUCACUGCCUGCUGUCGAAUGCAUAAAACAGGGCUAUCGGACGUCCGACACUCCAACGGCUAGUUGACUCUUCAGCUACUUUCUAUCCGUUGGAAGCACUAAUGAGGCACUUUUCUUGAUCCUAUAUAAAUAGUGGUUGGUCAGAUACUUCAAACAACUUUGGCAGACUGAAGAUACAAAAGAUCUAGAGUGAUUUUAGUGAGAAAAUACUCUUCAAAGAAGAUUUGUAUUCUUAGUGGUGUGAGGUUCAUUGUAAGCUUUUCAUUUGUGAGUGAAUACUUCAUGAGUGUAGCUCUGUGAGGGUUGUCCUGAGGGAUAGUAAAACGUCCUGACUUGACCGAGUGGAGUUCGGGGCAAGGAGGAGGUGAACCUUCCUUUGUACACAAGAGUGAUUGUAAUUCAUCAACUUGAAGUAGCUUGUUUGAAUUAAUCUACAAGCUCAAGAGGAGUUGGGUAGUUAAUUGGUUUGCAAUUCUUUCCCUUUUAUUUAUUUAUUGUUAUAUUGUGAUCUUUUAAUUGCUUAUCGAUUGGCUUUUCGAUUGGUUGUUUUCGAUCCUUACAAUUGGUAUCAGAGCUUGGUCUCCUUGAGAUUAAGCUCAAUCGGCUUAGGAGUAAAAAUGACAACCAAUAAUGCCAUAUUUUUUGAAGGACAUUCUGUGAUUAGACCACCUAUAUUUAAUGGGUCAAAUUAUUUGAGUCGAAAAGAAAGAAUGGUUAUCUUUUUACAAUCUAUUGAUAUUGAAUUGUGGUUUAUUAUUAGUGAAGGUCUAUAUGAUGCCUCUCUUAUAGAUGAAAAUACUCGUACAUCUAGACCAAAAACUAGAAAUGAACUGACUGCUGUGGAUAGAACUCAUCUCACAUUAAAUGAAAAAGUCAUGAAUGUGUUAUAUUGUGCUUUAGAUUCAAAUGAAUCUAUUAGAGUCAAAGGCUGCAAGUCAGCCAAGAAAAUUUGGGAUAAACUGAGAGAAAUUCAUGAAGGUAGUGAGAAUGUUAGAGAACAAAAGAAGUCCAUUCUAGUUACAAAGUAUGAAUCUUUCAAGAUGCAACCUCAUGAAAACAUUGAUGACAUGUAUUGUAGAUUUAAUGACCUCAUUAAGGAUUUGGAGGUGCUGGAAAAAGAAUACUCUCUAGGUGAGAAAAACAGAAAAAUUUUGAAUGUUUUAUCGAAGGAUUGGGAGAGUAAAGUGACUGCCAUUGAGGAAGCCAAAGAUCUAAAUACCUUGCCUAUUGAAUCUCUCAUUAAUUCACUGACUUCUUUUGAGCUAAAACUCAAGUCCAAGGUGCAGGAAGAAGAAGACACAAAAGUGAGAAAGAAUAUUGCUCUGAAGGCUUCACAAGAUGAAGAUGAUACAGCCUCCGUGAGUGAAGAUGACAUGGAAAGUGAUGAUAGUGAUAUUGCACUCAUCACACGAGGCUUCAAAAGAAUACCCAACAAGAGGAGAUUCAGAAAAGGUGGAUCUAGCAACUCCUUCCCGAAUCAGUCCAACAACUUGAGAAACAAUGGGAAGCUAGAGUUCAACAAAAAGUAAACUGAUAAGUGCUUUGAAUGUGACCAACCUGGACACUAUGCAAGUGAGUGUCCAGUGAUGAAGAAGAAAGAAGGAAGAAAACCAAGAUUCAACAAAUUUCAAUUCACAUGGAAUGAGUGCAACUCCGAUGGUGAAAUUGAAGAGAUGAAGAAUCUGCUCAAUUGGCUUUUAUGGCCAUUGGAGAUGAUGAGGUAACAGUUUGUAACUCUCAAUAUGAAAGUGAUGAUGAAAGUGAUGAUGAAACUGAUGAUGAUCUUAAAUCUUUCAUUAUAAAAUUGCAUGAUAGUUUGAAAGAAUCCUAUGCUAGAAACAAGGAGUUAAAACAGAAAAUUAGUUUUUUGCUUCGAGAUAAUGCAAAUCUUUUUCAACAAAAUAAAAAGUUGAAAGCUGAAAAUGAUUACUUCAAAAAGAGUGAGACUGUUUUACACUUUGAGUUUGAUAGAAAAACAAAGCUUUGUGAAUUGUUCAAAAAGGAACAAGGUGAUUUAAAAAGAAGAAUGGAUGGUCUAAAUGAGUUGCUUAAACACAAGAAACAAGUCUGUUUUCAAAAGAAUAGGUUGAAUUCUAAUUCCAACGAAUUUGCUAUUUAUAAGAGAAGACAAGUAAGAUUUAUUAAACCUAUUCAUGUAAAUAACUCCUUGAUUAUGUGUAAUUUCUGUUGUCAAAAAGGUCACAUGAAAGGUGAUUGCUAUGUGAGAAAAAAUAUAAAAAAAAGGCAUGAAAUGCAUGUGAAUAGUUAGAUAUGAUGCUAACUCUAACAAGUAGGAGAUAUUGAUAAGAUUGAUGAGAUUUUUGUUCAUAAUGUUUUUCUGUAAUUCUUUUUUGAAGUUUCUGAUGCUUAGAACUGAGUUUUUUUUUCUUGAUGUUUUUGAAUAUUACUAAAUUUAUAUGAUGUCAAAAAGGGAGAAAAAAGAAUAAUUCUGAUCUAAUGAUGAUUUGAUUUGUUAAACUCUCUGUGAUAUGUUGGUAUGUUGGUGAUUGCUGAUUUCUGGUAUCAUUUCUCUGUUUUUGUUUGGAAUGUUGGAUUCCCUGUUAUUGUUGCUGGAUUACGGUAUGAGAUUUUUACUCUCACCUUAUGAUGACAAAAAGGGGGAGAUAUGGAUGCUAUGUGUAAGGGGGAGUUAUUCUGAAUUCAUAAGUUUAGAUGCAUUGUGUGAGGGGGAGUUUAUGCUUAUAUGCUCAAUUUUUUUUCUUUCUUCCAUCCAUUGUUUUGUCAUCAUCAAAAAGGGGGAGACUGUUGACCUUGGUCCCUAACUUUUGAUGAUUACAAAACAAAUGGAUGUUGCUAACAUCUCCUCAAAGGCUUUUUCAGUAAUGAAACAAAUCAGGUUCAAAGAUUAAGCACAUUUGAAAAAGACAGAGUAUGUUAAACCUGUCGGACGCUCAAGAAGACAGUACCGGACGUUCGAUAAUCAUUGCACAACUUCGGACGCAUGCUUCGGACGUCCAAUAGGAUCUUUCGAAGUCGACAAAACUAUCGGACGCUGAAUAUGUCUCUACCGGACGUCCGAUAGAAACAAGAUAAUUUCUCAAAUCUCUUUGUUUGCUGUCGGACGCACAAAAAGUUUGCAUCGGACGUCUGAAAGAAUUGAAGAAAAUCUCUUAAACUCACUGCCUGCUGUCGAACGCAUAAAACAGGGCUAUCGGACGUCCGACACUCCAACGGCUAGUUGACUCUUCAGCUACUUUCUAUCCGUUGGAAGCACUAAUGAGGCACUUUCUUGAUCCUAUAUAAAUAGUGGUUGGUCAGAUACUUCAAACAACUUUGACACACUGAAGAUACAAAAGAUCUAGAGUGAUUUUAGUGAGAAAAUACUCUUCAAAGAAGAUUUGUAUUCUUAGUGGUGUGAGGUUCAUUGUAAGCUUUUCAUUUGUGAGUGAAUACUUCAUGAGUGUAGCUCUGUGAAGGUUGUCCUGAGGGAUAGUAAAACGUCCUGGCUUGACCGAGUAGAGUUUGGGGCAAGGAGGAGGUGAACAUUCCUUUGUACACAAGAGUGAUUGUAAUUCAUCAACUUGAAGUAGUUUGUUUGAAUUAAUCUACAAGCUCAAGAGGAGUUGGGUAGUUAAUUGGUUUGCAAUUCUUUCCCUUUUAUUUAUUUAUUGUUAUAUUGUAAUCUUUUAAUUGCUUAUCGAUUGGCUUUUCGAUUGGUUGUUUUCGAUCUUUACACAAAGGCAGGGCGCAGUUCAACCAAGAGCUUACAACAUGCACAAGUAAUCAAAUAUACUGAUAAACGGUAGAAAUUCAUGGUUAAACGAUUGAAAUUUGUUAUUUUAGUAGGUCGAGUGAAAUAAAGUACACACUCGCCUUAAAACGGUGAAAAAUUUUCAUAGGAACAAUUAUAAGUAACACUUAACACUUAAACACACAAGAAAUAUGCGGUAAACAUGUAGCAAAACUAUUCAAAUCACAAAUACCUACAAGGAACACUCACCAAAUCAAAAGUGUAAAGCAAGAGCGAGGCAAGAUCAAACGGGUUCCUCGGGAUCCUCUUGAUCACCUAAGACAUGUACAAUUACAAAUCACCUAGGCAACCAACCAAGGUCUAGUAGUAUUCCCGCUACUCUCAUUUAAGAGAUAACGCGUUCAAAUCGAAUACAAAUAUCACUUAAUAACUUAAUCCAUGAGGGUAGCAUUUGAAAAUUUCUAAAAAUACAUUAAUCCGAGUCAAGUCAUGUCCAAGAUUCUCCAAGUUGAAGAUUAAACAGAUCUCUAAGUUUUGGCACGAAAACCAAGAAAGAUGGAGGAUUAGUUUCUUUUCAAAAUUCCAUAGUUGAACACCCAAGUUUCAAGUAUAAGUGAGCUUUCUCAUUUUUCAAACUCAUUUAGUUAAAGUCUAGUAAAACCGCCACCAACGGCUCACUAACUUCUUUAGCCACCAAUUCAAGUUGUACCCGUAAAUCGAGUAAAAUUCUCAAGUUCUCUUUUAAUAAAAGCCUCACUCAACGUCCAUUUUCAAUGAUUAAAUCGAGGAUGUAUACUCAAGAGACUAUGGUGAUAGAAACUUUGGUUUUCAAAUAAGGAAAAUAAACACAUUUUUACUUGGAAGCUCGGCCAAAACAUUCCGAGUAUUACUGAUGAGGAGGUUGAGAGAGCUAUCCAAGUGGAGCAAAUGAAGGUACCAUUGGGGCCUAUGACACGAGCUCGCGUGAAGAGAUUGAAUGAGACAUUACAAACAUUGGUUCGUGCGGCCCGAGAGUCUAGUGGAGAGCCAAAGGCCAUCGAGGGCCUCCACGAAGCAACACUUGUUGUCCUAAUCUCGGCUCUGUGUGAAGAGUAGCCGACCAUGUUUCGGCUAAGGGAUCCAUGUCCAUUAUUAGUAUUAGUAGUGUGUAAUAAAGAGGUCCAACUAGCGUGUGGUUCGGACCUUGGUCACCAUUUAGUUAUUGGGUCAAUUGGCUAGACCAUGUGGGCCACAUUAGGAGUAGCUUGGCCCAUUAGUUCUUAUUACUAGUUAGUAUUAAAGUAAGGAAUUCGGUUGUAAUGAUCAGUUUUUUGAUGAUUAAUAAAAUUACUUUGAGAGUUCUCUCAAAAGUUUCAUUGAAGCAUCCUUGAAUAUCUUAGAAUCAUUUCUUAGGUAUUCAAUUUGACUUAUCAAUCUAGGAUUGCGCUAGAUUGUGGCGUCUUCUACCAAUAUCGAGGUUCGUUGACCACGUGAUCAACGGAUUUAGGUGAUUCCGCUGCGUUCGUCGUGUCAUCAACGUGAGUAUCGCCUUCUAGAUCCUAGCCUUUCUGUAUGGGUUGCAUCACAAGGUUGGUGCCAUUCGUAUCAGCUGGCAUCAGAGCUAGUUGAAGGUAUCACGUAUAUCCCUUUUCUUUGUUCCUUUGUGUCGUUAAUUGUGUUCCUUUUGGUGUCGUUUCUGUUCUUGUUUGGAGUCAAAAAAAAAAUUUCUGUCCAAGUGUCGCUAAUCUGUCCAAGCCUUGUUCGAAUCUGUUUUCUUGUUGUUUUGUGUUAAAAUUUCUGUCCGUGGUUUCUUCAAUCUGUCCAAGUUUUCCCGAAACUGUUUUGCCUUGUUCUUGAGUCAAAAAAUUCUGUUUUGUGUUCACUUGUGCGUCAUUGACCUUCCUUUGGUUGCUUGAAUCACAAUUCUGUCUGCUUUGGUUUCCUUUUGUUUGGUUGUGUGUCGCAUCUCUUGAUUGUGUUCCUUGUUGUUGUGUUGCGUGCUUGGGGCUGCCGCACUUUGUGGUGAAGCCGUGAGCCUUUAGGGUUUCUUGAGUCAAAAAAAAACAAAAAAAGCGGCUGCUGUACCUUCCUCUUGCUUGUCCGAGUUAGGGUUUGUUAUUCCUUGUGUUGGAGAUAAGUAUGGGCUGUCCGAAUUUGUCAUUGCCGCAUCGUGAGCCUUUGUGGCCUGUUUUGGGGUUGUACACCAUUAUUUGGGAAGUUGUACCACAAGUCUUGUGAAUCUUGAAGUUCUUGAUUGAUUCUCACAUCAAUCUUGAAUUUCUUGAAACGCUAGAGUUGAAUCUUGACAUUCUUGAAACAACCCAAGUAUGUAUUGAAUAAUUUGGCAAGUGAGGGUAAUCUGUCUUGGUUUCUUUUCGGCCAAACAAAAAAUUUAGUUGCCGCCAACCAAGACAAAACCCUAGCAUCCGACUUUCCUUGCUUUGUUGUUAAAAAAAAAACAGCAAGCAAAGAAAUUUGUUUUCGGCCAAGAAAAGGAAAGAACUUUCGAAAUUUUAUUGCCAAUUUAUUUGAAGCUUACAUAGUGUGUCCGAAACUACAAAGAAAAAACAAAAUCAAAAGUUGUGGUCCACUACUUCUUGAAAUUCUUGAACCUUUUGAGUCUUGGGAAGUUAUUUCAUUCGUGUAGUGAAAAAUUUCUUGUACUCCCGAACUGUGGUGAAGGGUUUUCUUGGAGUCUUUGUGUCUUUCUUUGGGAUAUCUUGGGUAACCCAUUGGGGGGGAGCCUGAGAGGGGUUAGUUGCACCAUCUUGAUUGUCCAUAACUCAUUGUUCUUGUCUUGAGCAAAAUCGAAAAGUGCCAAAUUGUGGUGAUCAGAAUUUUCGAGCUUAAUUGUUGUCUUGCGGUUAAGUGUCAUGCGAAUUGUGUUUUAAUAGCCUAGGGUCAGCCGUGACUUUGAUUCACUUCCCUAAUUUGUGUCAGUUUCCAAUUCCUUGUUGAAGGCCGAAACUUGAUUGGAAGUGCUACUUUGAAGGUCGGUUCCCAAAACCGUGAGUAGCUAUCACUUUACGAGUGGGUUUCCUAAUUGCAAUUGGUUUCCUAAUCUCGUUGGUUACCACACCUUGAGUGAUCUCCAAUCAAAGACACUCCUACUUCUUAGCCUAUUUUCUAGCCGCCACUUUCCCUAAAUUUUAGGGUUUCUUUAGCUAUCCAUCUUUCCUUCCAUUCGGCCACACCUUUCCCUACUUUCUAGGGAUUUUCUUCCUACAUUUUAACCAUUACCUUUUCCUACCUUUUAGGAGUUGCCUUAGCCAUCCCUUUCCUUUUUCUUUUCGGCCACCUCUUCCUACAUUUUAGGAAGUUUCCGCCACUCAUUUCUGCCUUUGGAGACCAUUCGGACCUACUAACAAGCAAAGGGCAGCUUGCGUCUAAAAAAAAAGGAUUAUUUUUGUCUUUUGGUCAUGUCUUUUCCGUGUCUUAGUCCUUUGUCCUUUCGUUUGACCCUUUCCCUUUCAUUGUGUCCCUCGGGUCAAUCCCUAUUAGUUCCAUCCAUUGUGCACUCUCCAGUCCAUUGAGGAUUGCCACAGUCUCGUGACCCAAAAUUGGUGAGUUGAUUGUUUACUUGAAGGAGUUCUAAUUUCUACAAGGUAUGCUAUCAAGAGGGUUUGUGUUAUUCUUGAUUUUGAUGAUCACAAAGCACUUUGAAAUGUUUAUCUAAUUCUCUUCAAAUAUAAGUGUUUUACUUUUUAGAGAAUCAGGUACAAAGGUGUCAAGGAAAGAAAAUCAACCAAAAGAAGAAGCAAAAACAGGGCACUCAUGUCGGACGUCCGAAAGGAAGCUGUAGGACGUCCGAAAGGAUGAAGAACAUCAAGAAGGAAACUCUGUCGGACGCUCGUGAGGAAGCAUCGGACGUCCGGAAGGAUCGGACGCACUCCUCGGACGCACAUCGAUCGUGUCGGACGUCCUAAAAAUUUCGCAGAGCUUUGAUAACUCUCUGACGACGUUCGGACGCAGAAGCUGUCGGACGAUAAAAUACCAUCGGACGUCCGAACAACAACUUAACUGAUUUUCGGACGAUGGGAUCGGACGAUGACUAAGAUGUCGGACGUCCGACAGCCCCAACGGCUAGCUGACUCUUCAUCUGCCUUCUAUCCGUUGGAAGCAUUAAUGAAGCCCAUUUUUGGUUCCCUUUAAAUACAAACGAUUCUGAAUCAGACAAGGACUUUUGCACACUUUGGUUACAAGAUCUCAAGAGAUAUUUUUCCUAGAAAAUAGUCUCCCAAGCAAGAUUUGUUCUCCAAGUAGUGUUAAGUUCUUGUAAGCACUUCUCUUGUGUUUGAUUUUUUCAAUAGUGUAGCUUUGUUGAGGGUUAUCUGAGUGAUAGUAAAACUUCCUAACUUGACUAAGUGAGGCUUAGGGCAAGGAGGAAGUGAUCCCUCUAUUGUACAUUGAGUUGAUUAUUUUUCAUCAAAGAGAAGGUGCUCAUCUUUGUGAUUGGUCUUCAAGUUUGAGGAAAGGUUGGUAGACAAUCGGUUUGAUACUCUAUCUUAUUACUUUUGUUUAAUAAAAUUCUCAUUGCUUAUAUACACUCUUAUUUCUGAUCAACAUUGCUCUCUUCUUUUAAAUUUACUUGGCUGAUCACUACUAGAAAAGAAGGUAAAUUUUUUAUUAAAGAAAAAGUGCAUAAACUCAAUAAAGUAUUUUUAAUCAACCUAAUUCACCCCCCCUCUUAGGUUGUCUUUGGGCCUUACAAUUGGUAUCAGAGUUUGGUCUCCUAGAGAUUAAGCUCAAGCGGCUUGGAGUAAAGAUGACAACCAAUCAUGCCAUGUUUGUUGAGGGGCAAUCUGUCACUUGUCCUCCCAUGUUUAUUGGUUCCAAUUAUGUUAGUUGGAAAGAAAGAAUUAUUAUCUUUUUGCAAUCCAUUGAUAUUGAGCUAUGGUUUAUUGUGAAUGAAGGACCGUAUGAUGCUAACGUUCUUGAUGCAGAUACAGGUUUGUUUCGGUCAAAAACAAGAGCUGAGUUGAAUGCUCAAGAUAGAACCAAUCUCACAUUGAAUGCCAAAGCCAUGAAUGUUCUUUAUAGUGCCUUAGGCUCAAAUGAAUCAAUUAGAGUAGAAUGAUGUAAAUCUGCCAAAGAAAUGUGGAAUAAGCUAAGAGAAAUUCAUGAGGGUAGUGACAACGUGAGAGAACAGAAAAAAUCUAUCUUGGUCACAAAGUAUGAAUCAUUUAAAAUAGAACCCCUUAAGGAUAUUGACAAAAUGUAUUGCAGGUUCAAUGACUUGAUCAAAGAUCUCGAGGUGUUGGGCAAAGAGUACACCUUGGGAGAGAAAAACAGGAAAAUUCUCAAUACGUUGGGCAAAGAAUGGGAAAGUAAAGUGACUGCAAUAGAAGAGGCUAAGGAUUUGAAUUCUGUGCCUAUUGAAUCUCUCAUUAACUCACUAACCUCAUAUGAGUUGAAGUUGAAAACUAAAGUGCAGGAGGAAGAGGACGCGAGAGCAAAGAGAAACAUAGCUCUAAAGGCAGCUCAAGGUGAAGAUGAUCCAGCUCUGUUGGCUGAUGAAGACUCGGAUGGUGAUGACAACGAUCUUGCACUCAUCACAAAAAGUUUCAAGAGAAUCUUGAAUAAAAGAAAGUUUAGAAGGGGAGGACCUAGCAAUCAAUUCCAAAAUCAAUCCUCAAACGUAAGGAACAAAGGAAAACAAGAAUUCAACAAGAAAUAAUUGGACAAAUGCUACGAAUGUGGAUAGCCUGGAUACUAUGCAAACGAAUGCUCCCUGAAGAAAAAGAAAGAUGGAAAAGCUGAUCGAAAGCCAAGGUUCAACAACUUCCAAAUUACAUGAAAUGAAUGUAACUCCGAAGGCGAAGUUGAAGAAGAAGAAAAAUCAGCUCAAAUGGCUUUCAUGGCUAUUGGAGAUAAUGAGGUAACUUCCAUACACUCUCAAUCUGAUAGUGAUGAUGAAGAUGAUGAUGAUGAUCUUGAAUUCUUUGUUAAAAAAUUGCAUAAUGCCUUGAAGGAAUCUUAUGAUAAAAACAAGCAGCUAAAACAGAAAAUUGUCUUUCUCAUUCAAAAUAAUGCAAGUCUUCUUCAACAAAAUAAACAACUAAAGGCUGACAAUGAGUGCCUUGUAAGAGCCGGAUUUGAUGUUCAAAAUGAACUUGAUAGAAAGACAAGUGUUUGUGAAAUGCUAAAGAAAAGACAUGGUAAUUUGAAUAAAAGGAUGGACAAUUUGGAUGAGACUUUAAAAGCUAGAAAACAAGAUUAUCUCAAAAAGAACGUGUCAACCACCUUUCUUGCAGCUCAUGAAAGAACAUUAGCACUCAACAAAAAUGCACAUGGUUUCACAACAUAUAGAAGGAGUGGAGUGAGAUUUAUCAAAUCAUUACAUGUUAAAGACUCUUCCAUUAUGUGUAGUUUUUGUUGUCAAAGAGGGCAUUUGAAAGGAGAUUGUUAUGUGAAAAGAAAUCUGAACAAAUGAAUGAGAUGCGUGUGGUUAGUUAGACACGAUUCUAACUAUUGUGGACCCAAAAGUUAAAGGGUACCGAACACUCUCUCUUUUCAGGGAAAAGGCUCAAACAAGUCCAAAUGGUUCAUUGACAGUGGCUGUUCAAGGCAUAUGACCGGUGAUCCUUCUUUGUUCAUAAAGCUAAAAUCAAAAUCAAGUGGAAAGGUGACAUUUUGUGAUGACGUGAAAGUUAAGACAAUUGGAAUAGGAGAUGUUGGUAAGGAUGGUGAAACUUUUGUUCAUAAUGUGCUCUUAGUUGAUAACUUAGGUUAUAACUUGCUUAGUGUUAGUCAAUUAUGUGAUAAAGACUUGAAUGUGUUGUUCAAAAACUAUGAAUGCAUUGUUCUUGACUCUAAAUAUAAUGUUGUGUUCAAAGGUAAGAGGUUUAACGACAUUUAUAUUGUUGUUCUUGAUAAACUUGAUUCAUCUAACUUCCAAUGUCUUAAAGUCUCAAAUGAAGAUCCUUGGUUGUGGCAUAGGAGACUUUGUCAUUUUAACAUGGAAUUACUAAAGGAAAUCUCGAAAAAGGAGCUGGUUAGGGGCUUGCCAAAAAUCAGUUUUGAAAAGGACAAAAUUUGUGAUGCAUGUCAAUUUGGGAAGCAAACAAAGAUUUCCUUUAAACCAAAGAGGUGUGUAUCUACUUCUAAACCUUUGGAACUCUUGCAUCUUGAUUUAUUUGGUCCUACUCAAAUUACUAGCUUGGGAGGUAAGAGAUAUUGUUUUGUGAUUGUUGAUGAUUAUUCUAGAUAUACUUGGGUGAUAUUCCUUGCUCAUAAAGAUGAUGCUUUCAAGAAUUUUACUUCAUUGUUUGCUAAAGUGCAAAAUCUGCUUGAUUUAAAAAUCGUUAGGAUUAGAAGUAAUAAUGGGACGGAAUUCAAGUUUUGUGGUUUUCCAGAAUUUUGUGAUCAUAAUGGCAUAACACAUGAGUUUUCUAUUGCAAGGACUCCACAGCAAAAUGGUGUUGUAGAAAGGAAAAAUAGGACACUCCAAGAGGCUGAUAGAACUAUGUUGAGUGAAUGUAAUUUGCCAAAAUAUCUUUGGGUUGAAGCGGUAAACACCGCAUGUUAUGUGAUGAAUAGAAUCCUCUUGAGACCUAUUUUGAAUAAAACAUCUUAUGAACUGAUUUUUGAUAAGAAACCUACGGUUGGAUAUUUCAAAGUUUUUGGUUGUAAAUGUUUUAUUUUGAAUUUAAAGGAACAUCUUGGUAAGUUUGACAAAAAAUCUGAUGAAGGAAUAUUUUUGGGGUACUGUGAGAAUAAAAGAGGAUAUAGAAUCUGUGAGGACUCGUAAAAACUAUUAUUUUAUGCCUAAUUCAUGGCUUAAUAAAUUAUUUAAUUGGAUUUUUAUCCCAAGGAAUAUUUUCUAGUCUUAUUAGACUUAAAUACAUGGUAAUAUAACUUCGUUAUAUUUUUAAAGUGAUUCGUUCUAAAAAUUAAUUUCCUGGAGUACGUUUAGUAAAAAUAGUGAAUAGUACUUGGAGAUUUUAUCCGCGUAGUAGCACAAUAAGCUUGGAAUAUUGGAGACUUGUACUAUGGUCCUAAAAUAGGUAAUCUUAUGAGUAAUACUCAAGUGAUAGUUAGUAGUGCAAUCGUUAUAAGAAUUUAUUGGAAGUUUCGCGUUAUAGCGUUAAAAUUGACGGUACGCGUUUUCACACGCGCGGCUUUAUUUGAGGGACUUUAGACCCUUAUUUCAGGACAAUUAAGAGUGAAUAAUACUCACACGAAUAUAAAUGUAUUGGAGGUUCAGUGCACUAGUGAACCAAACGCGCGAGAAAAUCGAGCCCUAAUCGCGCCAAACGCACCCUAAUAAGAGUUGACUUUGGAGUGAUUGUGCACCACCCAUUUAAUCUUCUCUUGGAAGCUUAUUUUGAUCAAACUUCACUCCAUCUUCUCUCACCUAGCAGCCGGCCAACACCCCCCUCUCACUCACUCUCUUGCUUCACAAAUUCCUUCAUCAAAUCAACCCAAAACCUCAACCAAUCUUCACCAAACUUGAAGAUCAUCUAGCAUACUACUUGGAGGUUGGAUUUAGCUAACAAAAAGGGCUGCAUUUUCAUGGUUUCUUGGAGCUCUUGAGGGCCGAAAAUUUCUGGGUUAAGGCACUAAGGAGGUAUAACUUCAUCCUACACCUUAAACUAGGAUUAUAAUUGUGGAAAUGCAUCUUUAAGCUAUUGCAUGUGGAUGGGUGGCUUGAUAUGGUUGUAAAAUGUGAUAAUGGGCUCUUUGUAUUCCCACACUUGAGUUGUUGUUGCUGAUUAGAGGAUCAAUGUUGGGUUUAAUGGUAGUUUAAUGGUUAUAAUGAUGGAUUUAUGGAGUAUUAAUGUUGGAGACUCAAAGUAGAGGUCAUGACCAGAAAUUGCUGAAUCUGCCCCUGUUUUGUUCGGCCAUGAUAAGGCCAAUUUUUGGUGAUUUAUUGGCAUGAACCUGAUUUUUAUAUGUUAUAUUAUAUGUGUAGAAAUUUUCGUUGGAAAACAUUAACGUUUGGAUGGGCAAAUGAAUUUAUUCGUGGACUAGGCAAGCUGGAAAGUUAUUUUCGGGUAACCCUGUCCAGCGGCAGCAUUUUGACCAUAACUCUGUCCUCGGGUGUCGAAAUCAAGUGUCGUCGGUGGCGUUUGAAACUAAACAUUCCUGGCUUUAAUUUGAGAUAAAAUUCACGUUCUGAUUCUUUGUGAGUGAGCCGAACCAAAUGUUUUAAGGUAGCUGUCCUGUCUCUCGGAUUUGCUGGAAUGGUUUGUAGAAGCAGUAACUUGAGGCUCAAUUUUGAGCUGGUUGCUUGCCAAAUUUCAGAACGUCUUCUUCUGUAAACUUUUAGUCCUAUGAAUUUAUUUUCUAACGCCAUAAACCAUGCCUCAUUCUGAGUUAAAUUGGUUGAGUUGUGACUAAAACAAGUGGACUGCCCUGUUUUGGGAAAAACGUAAUAUUUGGACUGAUUUUGGACAAAACUUGGGAGUGAUCUUAUUAAUUGAAAUUUUGCUGCUAAACCAUUACCAAAGGUACCAUGGAUGUAUCUUAGACCUUUAUUUCCCCAAUGAACCAUGGUUGGAUAGCUUUCUUGGUUAAACGAUUUGAAAUUGGGAAAUGAAGUCAAAAGACAGGUUGCUUUAGAAAUUUUCCUGAACAUUGGAUGAUUAAUUAACUAUCUUUCCGAAGGUAUUUUUCCCUUAAAUUUGAUAGAGAGAUGCCUUUCAUAUAGGAGUAACAUAUUGCAAAAUUUUAUACCAAUCCAAGAUCGUUUUGACUCUUAGCUAAGGUUCCAAUUUUGAAAACUCAAAUCUUGAAAUUGUUCACCAGACUUGAAUUUUCCUAACUUUGAGCUACCGUAUCUCGGUGCUCGAAACUCCAAUUUUCAAUCCGUUUGUUCUGCCCUAAAACUUACUUACACCUCUAAUUGAUUUAUAAAUUUCAAGGGCUAGUUUGCAACGAGUGAAUUUUUCCGAAUUUCCAAAUUUAGCGAAAAACCAACCCCGGCUUAAUUCUGAAUGUUCUGGAACAGCAACUUCAUGCCCAUUUUUGAAUACCUUCCACAUAGAUUCAUGGAAAAUUUUCUUCUAAGAACUUUUAGUACUUUCUAAGAGGUUUCCAACGGUACCAAGUUUUAUAAUUUUGGACCUACUGAGUGCAAGAUCUGAUUUUUCUAAAUUUGACGCGCAAAGCUGAAAUUUGCUGAUUUCUUAGAAAAUGAAAAUUUGAAAACUUGUUACUCCUUCUUGAUGAUAAUUGAUCGCUUUAAACUUGAUUUCAUGAAGGAAAUCAGUUUUUCUUGUGUUAAUAAAACCUCACUUUUGAACCUUUAUUUUGAGUGGCUAAGGUUCUUGGUUUGAGGUAUUGACUAGUCCAAAUGAGCGUAACUCCUUUCUUGAUUAAUACGUGAUUGUGAGUGAAAAAUACUUGUUAAUUGCUUCAGGUGCUCAAGCGAGUCUUGAAAAGAAUCCCGGAGGGGACAACUAAAGAUUUUCUCGCUCAAUUACUUUUGAAUUGGUGAGUGUCAAGUGCAUGACUUGUCGUGUUUACUUGAUUUACCUGCUUAUAUACGUGAAUAUCACUUGAUGAGACGAGUGUGUACUUUAUCGCACUCGCUCUCCUUUACUUGAACUUUACUUGUAUUAACUUGGUUUUCAAAGUCGAUUGAGUGAAUCUCGUCGACUAAAAUAUACCCGUUUUCGUGUGCGUGUCGUGUUGCCAUGCAUGUCGUGUAUGUCGUGCGUGUCUUGUUGUCGGGUGGAGUGAACCUCCUCGACUUAUGGGGACGCCCAAUUCUCUUAACCAAUCUUACAACUCGAGCCGGCAUGGGCUUGGUCGAGAAGUUUGAUAAACCAAGAGAGUAACAAAACACAACUUGAUCUUUUGAGAUCUUGUUCGGCAUACUCGUGGAGUAUCGCCCUUUCCGUGCGUGUUCAAAAAUCAAAACUUGAUCUCUUGAGAUCUCGUGUGGCAUACUCGACGAGUAUCGCCUUUUUCGUGCGUGUUUGGUUUCGGAUCCGAGAGGGUGGAAUGUUGGUCGGAGGAAGUAAUAAGUGAAGUUUCUACGGAUAAAAUACCCACCAGGAUAACGGAGUGUCAUCACGAGGGGGUAUCGGAUCGAGCCGUGGCGAAGCAAGAGGAAAAUAGCUCCUGAGAGCUCCUAUAUCCUUGAAUUGUUUCUGUUUAUUUUUCUCGCUCGAAUUGUAAAUUACUUGAAUAUUGGGAUUGUUAUUUGGACAACGUGCUUGCAUGUGUGUUUUCUUGGCCUCACGAGCGUUUCGCUCACCCCGUAGAUUUGUUUUCCUUAACAGGAAUGGAUGGAGUGAAACUCGUUGGAACCCUUUGGAUGUACUUUUGUAUUAGGGUUUCAAUUGUAAUUGACUAGACAUUUUGGCUAUUGUAUAUAUUUGGGAAUUGAUGUAUCUUUUGGAUCCUGACGUAAGAAUUGGAUAACGGAUGUAUUUUGAACACGUGGUACAAGACUUGGAUAUUCGAUUAUGGAAGCGAUUUUUCCUUAUUAGACUGGUAUAAAUUGUUAUUUAUUGUUAAGUUUGAAUUGAUUUGUCUCGAGUCCUGGCGAGAGCUAGGCAGGCGUUCCGCGGAUACCCUUGGGUUCGCCCUUGGGAGAAGUGGGGGCGUCACAGAAUCUUUAAUAGAAGAACUCUUGUGAUAGAAGAAGCUAUACACAUAACAUUUGAUGAAACUAAUGAUGAUAAUUCCAAAAGUUCGUGUGAGGAUGAUGAUAUAGGUGUUCGUGAAGGAAUGAAAAAGCUAACAAUUGGAGAUGAAGGAAACUCUAAACCGGAAGCAAAGGAAAUGAAGGAUGAAGCUCAUGAAGAUCAAGAAAAGGAAGAUGAAGACAAGGAAUGAUGAUUCAUUCAAAGACCUUCCCAAAGCUUGGAAAUUUAGCCAAAAUCAUCCAAGAGAGCUUAUAAUUGGUGAUCCAUCCGAGAAGGUAAAGACUCGUUCCUCAUCUAAGAAAUUGAUAGACAAUUUUGCUUUAGUCUCUCUUUUUGAACCUAAAAAUAUCAAUGAUGCCUUAAAGGAUGAAAACUGAAUUUUGGCAAUGCAAGAGGAAGUUAAUCAAUUUAAGAGAAAUAAGGUUUGGACACUUGUUGAUAGACCUCAAAAUCAACCUAUCAUUGGCACGAAGUGGAUAUUUAGAAAUAAGUUGGAUGAUAAAGGUGUAGUUGUAAGAAAUAAAGCUAGAUUAGUUGCUAAAGGAUAUGCACAAGAAGAGGGAAUUGAUUUUGAUGAAACAUUUGCUCCCGUAGCUAGAUUAGAAUCAAUUAGAAUGCUUCUUGCUUUUGCUUCCUUCAAAGGUUUCAAAUUGUUUCAAAUGGAUGUUAAAAGUGCCUUCUUAAAUGGUUUUAUUGAUCAAGAAGUAUAUGUGGAUCAACCCCCCGGUUUUGAAAAUACAAAAUUUCCAAGUCAUGUGUUUAAACUCUCAAAAGCAUUAUAUGGACUAAAACAAGCUCGAAGAGCUUGGUAUGAAAGAUUGAGUGGUUUCUUGAUUGAAAAUGGUUUCAAAAGAGGUAUUGUGGACACCACACUUUUUACUAAGCAAGUGUUAAAUGAUCUUCUUAUUGUGCAAAUAUAUGUAGAUGAUAUUAUUUUUGGUGCUACUAAUGAGUAUCUAUGCAAGGAUUUUUCCACCAUUAUGCAAAGUGAAUUUGAAAUGAGUAUGAUGGGAGAAUUAAAUUUCUUCCUUGGACUUCAAAUACAUCAAGCACUAGAGGGAAUUUUUAUAAAUCAAGCAAAAUACACCAAGGAAUUGCUGAAAAGAUUUGACAUGGAGGACUCGAAGCAAGUUGGAACUCCAAUGUGCACUUCUACAAAACUUGACAAAGAUGAAGAAGGUAAACAUGUGGAUGAAAAGCACUAUAGAGGUAUGAUUGGAAGUCUGCUCUAUUUAACCGCAAGUAGACCCGAUAUUAUGUUUGCUGUUUGCUUGUGUGCUAGAUUUCAAUCUUGUCCAAAAGAAUCACAUUUGAACGCCGUUAAAAGGAUUUUUAGGUAUUUGAAAGGUACAUUAGACUAUGGUCUUUGGUAUGCUAGAUCUUGUGAAUUUGCUCUAUAUGGAUAUUCGAAUGCGGAUUUUGGUGGUUGUCGUGUGGACAGAAAAAGUACUAGUGGAACUUGUCACUUUCUUGGUAAUUGCUUAGUUUCUUGGUUUAGCAAAAAACAAAAUGCAAUCUCUUUGUCUACAACUAAAGCGGAAUAUAUUGCCGCUAGUGCAUGUUGUGCUCAACUUUUAUGGAUGAAGUAUACCUUGAAUGAUUUUGGAUUGUUAUAUGACUGCAUGCCUAUAUUCUGUGAUAAUACUAAUGCUAUCAAUUUGACCAAAAAUCCAAUUCAGCAUUCUAGGACAAAACAUAUAGAUAUUUUGCUGAUAUUUUGCCAAAGAUCAAAUUGCUGAUAUUUUUACAAAAGCUUUACCAUUGGAUCAAUUCAUUCAUCUAAGAUCAAAAUUAGGGAUAAUCGAAAAAUCAUCUUAAUUUUUUCAAAGAUUUCGGACGUCCGAUAGAAGAUGAACAGACGUCCGAUAAUGUUCUUCAGUUGUUUUCCCAGAAAGCACCUGUUCGGACGAAACUGUCGGACGCAAGACUUCGUUCGGCCGUCCGACAGUGCAACGGUACACUUUUUAAAGUAACUUCCCUCCUCAUUUGCUUCAGACUCUUCUUCUUCUCUUCUCACUAUGACGAAAACUGUCUUCCCUUUCACUCUCAAUUCCUACUAUUCUGAAGCACUUAUUUCAAAAUUGACUCAACCAAAAACCUUUCCGGAUCAUUGCGAGUUUAUUUUCCUAAUCCUUUCACCAAAUCUCAUCACAUUUCGACAGUUCCCAAAUUUCCCUCAAAACCCUAUUUUCUCCUAGCCAUUCUGUUCAAUCAUCUUCAAGGCUCGUUUAUCCCAAAAUUCUUGUGUGAUUCAUUCCCAUACUACUGUGUGCAUCAUUAGCAUCAUACAUCUCACGCAUUUCACACAAUGGUGAAACUAAGAGGAGGAAAGGUGACUGCCGAAUGCAAACACAUACUCAGGGAUGAAGAUGCUGAUUCUUCUAGGGCCAAAAGAUCAUCCAAACAUGUCAAAAAGGGGGCAGUAAAGGCUCAAAUUUCACAGCCUUCCGCUAAGCCAAAAUCCGGACAAGGAAACUUCUUCUCAACCGCCCUCCAAAUCAACCACUGUCUCCCCAUUCUUUGAUGAUGCUGCCAAAGAAAAACACUCCUGGAUAUCCCAAAAAGGUUUCAUUCCUCAACGUACCAUAAAUCCCUCUGAGUUUCGCAAAAUAGGUUUAGAGUCCAUUUUGCGUCUCUUUGAAUUUCAGAAAUGGUCACAUAUCAUUUCCAUGCCUAACGUUUAUUACCCUGAAAUGCUAUAUUAAUUCUUUGCCAAUCUUAGGAAAGGCACUGAUCACACUGAAAUUAUGUCCAGGGUAAAUGGGGUAGAUUUAGUGUUUGAUUCUGAGAUUGUGAAUGCUGUUUUAAAUACUGUUAUUGAACCAGGAUGCAAAAGUAAAAUUGCCAAUUUCUUUUCUUAUGAAGAGCAUCCCACUGCUGAUAAUCACUUUGAUAGUGCUAAGAUGAUGUCUUAUUUUCAAAACAAGUUUUCUGCCCCUGCUGAUGCAAAACUGAAUGACCUUACUCCUGUGAAUCUAAUUGUUUUCUCAAUCAUUUCAAAUUUGGUUGUACCUACUGAUGGUCAUAGGACAGAUGCCAAUAAAAUGGAGCUGUACCUUUUUUAUUGUUUUCGAGAAAAAAUUCGCAUUGACUUUGGCUUUGUCAUGUGCAAGUUUUUACUUCGCUUCACCACUGAUUCUCGUAGAAAACUGUCUUAUGAAAAAUUUCUUCAGAAGAUUUUUGAAUUUUACAAAGUACCCAUCCUUGGUGUUUGUCCCAAAGAAACGUUUUCUUCUGCCUUUACUAAGGCUUAUUUUGAGCGCAAGAAUCUUGUCUUUAGAGAUAAUUUGUGGGCUUAUAAAGGGGGUUAUGUCUAAUGAACCUAGAUCUAAGGCUGCACAUGAUCCCCUUCACACUUUAUCCUCUGUUGCACUGACUUCUAUUCAUCCUAGAAAGACAGCCACUAAAGCAUCUUCUUCUUCAAAUUCUGAAGUGGUUGAGCUCCUUCGUGAUCGUAAACAACAUGUUCUACUUCUUGAACAUAGUCUCAUGCUCACCAUGUCAUCUGAGCAACAAGCAGACUUUCUGGAUAAAAAGAGUCUUCUCUUUCCCCCACCUGUGGUUGAGGAAGUUCCUCAUGGCAAAGAGCCAUGCUCUAAUGAUCCAAGUUCAUCAGCUCCUAUUCGCUCCAUGAGUCCUGCUCCCAUCGAUCUCACCUCUACUCCGGUGGCACCUCAUGAUCCUUCCACAUCUGAUAAAGGCAAGAAACCAGUUGGUGAACAUACUGAAGAUGAUGAAGACACUGAGGAGGAGGAUCUCUCUCAGUAUCUGCUUACUCGAAGGACGCCUGGGUCCACCUAGUUUACCAUUUAGGAUCAUUAGCCAUAUUAGGAUCAUUUGCAUUCUGUUUGACUGUUUUCUAUUUGCUAGGUGUUAGAUGGUUGUCUUGGAUUUUUUCUGUUUUCUUUGAUUCUGGUGCUUGUAAUGUUCAAAACUGGAUAUGUGGAUGUAAUGGUGCUUGUAAUGUUUUGUGAUACUCGUAAGCUAUUUUGUUAAGAAUGUUUAGUUCUUUUUUAUGUUACUGAUUCUUGACAUGUCUCUUUACUUUUUUGACUUUUGUGAUGACAAAAAGGGGAAGAAAAGAUAUGAAUAUGGAUAUAUGCGAUGCGUUGAAUUGACUGGAUAUGUGGAUAAAUCUAUGAAGUAGCCAAGUGAGGGGGAGUUUCUCAAUUGCUUAAUUGUUUUUGGAUAAAUCAGUGAAUAAAUUGCUUAACUAAGUGAGGGGGAGUUUUUCAAUUUUUGUUCUUCGAUUGACUGAGAAAGGGGGAGCCUAUUUGUAAUCAUCAAAUUUCAUUUCAAAUCAUUGUUUUGUCAUCAUCAAAAAGGGGGAGAAUGUUAUUCUUGAUUUUGAUUAUCACAAAGCACUUUGAAAUGUUUAUCUAAUUCUCUUCAAAUAUAAGUGUUUUGCUUUUUAGAGAAUCAGGUACAAAGGUGUCAAGGAAAGAAAAUCAAUCAAAAGAAGAAGCAAAAAUAGGGCACUCAUGUCGGACGUCCGAAAGGAAGCUGUAGGACGUCCGAAAGGAUGAAGAACAUCAAGAAGGAAACUCUGUCGGACGCUCGUGAGGAAGCAUCGGACGUCCGGAAGGAUCGGAUGCACUCCUCGGACGCACAUCGAUCGUGUCGGACAUCCUAAAAAUUUCGCAGAGCUUUGAUAACUCUCUGACGACGUUCGGACGCAGAAGCUGUCGGACGAUAAAAUUCCAUCGGACGUCCGAACAACAACUUAACUGAUUUUCGGACGAUGGGAUCGGACGAUGACUAAGCUGUCGGACAUCCGACAGUCCCAACGGCUAGCUGACUCUUCAUCUGCCUUCUAUCCGUUGGAAGCAUUAAUGAAGCCCAUUUUUUGUUCCCUUUAAAUACAAACGAUUCUGAAUCAGACAGGGACUUUUGCACACUUUGGUUACAAGAUCUCAAGAGAUAUUUUUCCUAGAAAAUAGUCUCCCAAGCAAGAUUUGUUCUCCAAGUAGUGUUAAGUUCUUGUAAGCACUUCUCUUGUGUUUGAUUUUUUCAAUAGUGUAGCUUUGUUGAGGGUUAUCUGAGUGAUAGUAAAACUUCCUAAUUUGACUAAGUGAGGCUUGGUGCAAGGAGGAAGUGAUCCCUCCAUUGUACAUUGAGUUGAUUAUUUUUCAUCAAAGAGAAGGUGCUCAUCUUUGUGAUUGGUCUUCAAGUUUGAGGAAAGCUUGGUAGACAAUCGGUUUGAUACUCUAUCUUAUUACUUUUGUUUAAUAAAAUUCUCAUUGCUUAUAUACACUCUUAUUUCUGAUCAACAUUGCUCUCUUCUUUUAAAUUUACUUGGCUGAUCACUACUAGAAAAGAAGGUAAAUUUUUAUUAAAGAAAAAGUGCAUAAACUCAAUAAAGUAUUUUUAAUCAACCUAAUUCAACCCCCCUCUUAGGUUGUCUUUGGGCCUUACAGUUUGAGAGCAUUGGUGAGAUUAUUAGAGUGCCCUUGAGUGACAUACACGAGAGCUGAGUGUAAACACACGAGGGAGUGAGUGAGGCACAUAUAUAUAUACUUGUUUUUCUCCUAACUUUUGCAGGUUACCUACAUCAUGUCGGACGAGAGCGACACAUCCAAGUUUGACCCCAAAUUGAACAACCUAGCAUUGAUGGCGAAGUUUAAAUGCAUGCUUAGGGAAUCUAUGGAGUCCCUACACCAACGAAUGGACCAAUUGGAGCUUUCUCAAGCUCGGUCCAACACUACCCCUCGAGAUGCUCCACCUCGCGAGGAGUUGGCUUCUAAUAGUGGGGAAGAUGACUUUAUCUAUCGGCCAAAGCAGGACUACCGGAGGAUAGACGACGGAUUAAAGGGGGUAAAUAUCAAGAUUCAAUUAUUCCAGGGCAAGUCUAGUCCAGAGGCUUACCUCGAAUGGGAACAGCAUAUUGAGAUGGUAUUCAAGCGCCAAGACUACACCAAUGAACAAAAAGUCAAACUGGCAACCCUCGAAUUCACCGACUACGCUAUAGUCUGGUGGGAGCAGGAGCACACUAGCAGAUGCCGCAAUAGAGAACGACCAAUUAGUACAUGAGAGGAUCUACGAACCACCAUGAGAAAAUGGUUCGUACCCAACCAUUACUACCGUGAUCUAUACCAGAGGCUCCAGAUGUUAGUUCAAGGAAACCGCAGUGUGGAGGACUACUACAAGGAGAUGGAGAUCAUCAUGCCCCGGGCAGACAUAGUGGAGGAUAGAGAGGCUACCAUGGCGAGAUUUCUUAACGGUUUGAGACCUGAGAUCGCCGAGUUGGUGGAACUGUAAAACUACGUGGAUAUGUCUGAGUUGAUUGAUAAGGCAUCCAAGAUUGAGCGGAGGCUUAAGAGGGGGGUAACCCUCGCAACCCUAGCUUUUCGGCCACGCCUCUUUGGAGGGGCAAUCUGACAUUUGAGUGGGAACGACCCAAUGCAAGGGUGUCUAAGUUUACUCCUAAAUCCGAGCCACCCAAGCAGGCACCAAAGGCAACUACCAAGCCUCCAUUCCACUCCUCCAAGCCACGAGGUUGUGACAAGUGCUUCAAAUGCCAAGGAUUUGGGUACAUUGCUUCUCAGUGUCCUAAUAGGCGUACCAUGAUUGUCCUACUGAGCGGCGAUGUCGUAUCUGACGACGAGGACGAGUUCGCCGAGAUGCCUCCAUUGAUUGAUGACGGUGAAGAUUCAGAAGUCGAAAUUAAGGCCACUAGUGAGCAAGUAGGCGUUACUCUAGUAGCCCGUCAAGCUCUCACGAUUCAAGUCAAGAAAGUGGAUGAGGCUCAACGUGACAACAUUUUCUACAUGCGAUGUCACGUCAAGGGAAGAGUGUGUAGCCUCAUCAUUGACGCGGGUAGUUGUACCAACGUGGCGAGCACUCUCAUGGUUGACCAUCUCUCAUUGCCAACGUUAAGACAUCCCAGUCCAUACCGCUUGCAAUGGCUCAAUGAGAGUGGCGAUAUCAAAGUCACCAAGCAAGUGGUGGUGUCUUUCCGGAUCGAAAAAUAUGAGGACGAGAUCCUUUGCAACGUCGUUCCCAUGCAAGCUUCGCACAUAUUGUUUGGACGGCCAUGGCAGUAUGACAAGAAGACUACUCAUGAUGGCUUUACCAACAAGUAUUCCUUCUUGCACCACAACAAGAAGAUGACACUUGUUCCUCUCACACCUCAGCAGGUGCAUGAAGACCAACUGCGAUUGCAACAGGAGCAUGAACUAGAGCUGGCUAAGAAGUCAACCGACUCCAAGGCAAUCAUUAAGGCACCGGUCGAGAGGACAUCUAUCCCUGGAACAUCUGGUCGAGUGGAGAAACCGCCUAGCUUGCUUGCCAAGAACAGGAAAGUUCGCAAAUUACUUUUGUCCAAGCAAGUUGUCUAUGUUUUAUAUUGCAAAGAGGUGAUUUUACUUUCUCAUGAGGCACUCAAUGACUUACCUCCUGAAAUCUUUUCUUUGUUGCAGGAAUUUGAAGACGUUUUCCCAAACGAGAUCCCGAGUGGACUUCCACCACUCAGAGGGAUCGAGCACCAGAUCGAUUUCAUUCCUGGAGCAUCCUUGCCUAACAGACCGGCCUACAAGAUAGGUCCUGAGGAGACUAAGGAGAUCCAGUGGCAAGUAGAUGAACUCUUAGAGAAGGGUUGGGCUCGAGAGAGCAUGAGCCCAUGUGCAGUUUCAGCUAUCCUCGUUCCUAAGAAAGAAGGCACUUAGAGGAUAUGUGUAGACUGUCGCGCUGUCAACGCCAUCACAGUUAAGUAUCGUCACCCUAUACCUCGCUUAGAUGAUAUGAUUGACGAAUUGUAUGGUACAGUCAUUUUCACCAAGAUUGAUCUUAAGAGUGGCUACCAUCAAAUCCGAAUGAGGGAGAGGGACGAGUGGAAGACAGCAUUCAAGACUAAGUAUGGUCUGUAUGAGUGGUUAGUUAUGCCUUUUGGUUUGACCAAUGCUCCUAGUACAUUUAUGCGCCUUAUGAAUCAUGUGUUUUGCCCAUUCUUAGGUAAAUUUGUUGUUGUUUAUUUUGACGACAUUCUGAUAUACAGCAAGAGUCCUGAGGAACAUGUAGCACAUGUACGAGCUGUUCUUGAUGUAUUGCGCAGGGAGAGGUUAUUCGCUAACCUUAGCAAAUGUACUUUCUGCACUAAUGAACUUGUUUUCCUUGGUUAUAAGGUUAGUGCACGGGGCAUUAGAGUGGACGAGAGCAAAGUCCAAGCCAUCAAUGAGUGGCCCGUGCCCAAGACCAUGAGUGAAGUUCGGAGUUUCCACGGCCUUGUGAGUUUCUAUCACCGGUUCGUGAAGAAUUUCAGCACUAUUGCUGCCCCUCUAACUGCCAUUAUCAAGAAGGAUGUGAAGUUCGAGUGGGGGGAAACUCAGGUGAAGGCGUUCCAACUCCUUAAGCACAAACUUACACAUGCACCUUUAUUGUCAUUACCUAGUUUUGAUAAAACUUUUGAAGUUGAAUGUGACGCUUCUGGUGUAGGAAUUGGGGCCGUGUUGAUCCAAGAGGGGAGGCCGAUCACGUACUUUAACGAGAAGUUGAAUGGUGCUGCCUUGAACUACUCCACCUACGAUAAGGAGCUCUAUGCAUUGAUUCGUGCACUGGAGAAAUGGCAACAUUACCUGCGGCCAAAGGAGUUCGUCAUCCAUACUGACCACGAGGCUUUAAAGCAUCUCAAGUCUCAACACAAGUUGAGUAAGAGACACGUACGGUGGGUCAACUUUGUGGAGUCAUUUCCCUAUGUGAUCAAGUACAAAGCUGGCAAGACCAAUGUCGUUGCCGAUGUACUAUCCAGAAGGUAUGCCUUGAUUGCUCUACUUGAUGCUAAACUUCUUGGCUUUGAUCUUAUCAAAGAACUCUAUGACACCGAUUCUGAUUUUUCUGAUAUCUACAAGUCUUGUGCUAAGUCGGGUCAGGGUAAGUUCUUCAUACAUGAUGAAUUUCUAUACUGUAAUCACAAAUUAUGCAUUCCGUCAUGUUCUAUUUGUGAGUUACUAACUCGUGAAGCUCACGGAGGUGGGUUGAUGGGACACUUUGGUGUCACCAAGAUAUUGAGUGCUUUACAGGAGCAUUUCUAUUGGCCACGCAUGAGGCGGGACGUGGAGCGAGUGGUGUCACGCUGCAUUACCUGUCACCGUGCCGAGUCCAAGCUCCACCCUUUCGGUUUGUAUACACCUCUACCUAUUUCUUCGGAAUCAUGGGUUGACAUUUCAAUGGAUUUUGUGCUUGGUCUGCCUAGGAGUAAAGAGGGUCAUGAUAGCAUUUUUGUCAUUGUUGAUAGAUUCUCUAAAAUGACUCAUUUCAUUCCAUGUCAUAAGACGGAGAUGCUAUUCACAUAGCUGAUCUCUUCUUUAAGGAAGUCGUCCGUUUGCAUGGUGUGCCUAAGACUAUUGUGUCUGAUAGAGAUGUCAAGUUUCUCUCUUACUUCUGGAAAACCUUGUGGGGGAAGUUGGGCACUAAGUUGCUAUUUUCUACAUCCAGUCACCCCCAGACCGACGGUCAAACUGAGGUCAUUAACCGCACAUUAUCUACAUUACUCAGGGUCAUCAUUAAAAAAAACCUCAAAUCUUGGGAAGGAGUGCUUACCACAUGUCGAGUUUGCUUAUAACCGUACAGUUCAUAGUGCUACACAGUUUUCUCCUUUUGAAAUUGUUUAGGGUUUCAACCCCCUGACUCUCUUGGAUUUGAUGCCUUUACCUUUGUCUAAGCGUGCUAACCUUGAUGGCAAGAAAAAGGCCGAGUUUGUCCAGGUUUUACACCAGCAGGUGAGGGCCAACAUUGAAGCUCGCACCUAGCAGUACCUCAAGCAUGCCAACAAGGGUCGGCAUCGCGUGGUGUUUGAACCGGGUGAUUGGGUUUGGUUACACUUGCGCAAGGAAGGUUUUCCUAUCCAGCAUCACAACAAGUUGCUACCCCGUGGAGAUGGACCAUUCCAAGUUGUGGCGCGCAUCAAUGACAACGCCUACAAGCUCGAUCUUUUGGGUGAGUAUAAUGUCUCGGCUACCUUUAAUGUUGCUGAUCUGAGUCCCUUUCUUGCAGAUGAUGAGGUCGAUUUGAGAACAAAUCGCAAGAGGAGGGGAAUGAUGAGUAGGUCAAGAGAGCUAUCCAAGUGAAGCAAGUGAAGGUACCAUUGGGGCCUAUGAUACGAGCUCGCGCGAAGAGAUUGAAUGAGACAUUACAAACAUUGAUUCGUGCAGCCCGAGAGUCUAGUGGAGAGCCAAAGGCCAUCGAGGGCCUCCACGAAGCAAGACUUAUUGUCCUAAUCUCGGCUCUGUGUGAAGAGUAGCCGACCAUGUUUCAGCUAAGGGAUCCAUGUCCAUUAUUAGUAUUAGUAGUGUGUAAUAAAGAGAUCCAACUAGCGUGUGGUUCGGACCUUGGUCACACCAUUUAGUUAUUGGGUCAAUUGGCUAGACCAUGUGUGUGAGAACCCUCACUUUAAAAUACAAUUUUUCUAAACUACAUGCCUUACUCUAAGAAUGAAACCAUGGAUUAUGAGCCCUAACAUUGUAUCCCCUAUGUGUUAUCGUAUACUCUAAGAAAUUAAAAUGUUUUUCUUGAGUUAGUUUUAACUAUAUCACCACUUAUAAUAUACCCUUGCAUAGCAUUCUACAUGUAUUAAAACAAUUUCCAUGCAUUACAUUUCAUAUCCUUUCACUUCAACUAAAACAAUUUUUUUAGUUAGUUUUAUUUUCCACCACUUACAUUGUACCAAGUGGCUUUUAUUUAUGGUUGGGACUUUAUGUGAGAUAUUAGUGGUGUUAAAUAGGUAUUGGUACUUUUGAAAGGGUUGAAACAUAAUUAGUCAAAGGAUUAAUAGAAGUUGUGGACAAGAAGUGACCGUGUGGCAAAAUCCUAGCCAAGCAUUUUGUUGACUAAGGGUUAAGAGACAAAUUUAAGUUGGACUUGGCCAUUUUCUACUCCUUAUGGCCGAAUUUCUUAGGGCUUAGCAAGGAAGAGAGAGAGCUCCAACAUCUUGCUUUCUAACCCUAGCUUAAACUUGAGCAAAAACCAAAAGAGAAAGAGUCUGAGUUAGUGAGAAAUUUUCCUCCAAUCUAGUGCUUGAUUCAAGCUUGAAGUUCUCACUUUUGGUGGAUUGAUUUGGUGGCUCAAGCAUCUUACAAGAAAGGUAAGUACACUUUAAAUGGUAGUUUUAUGGUAAUAUAUCAUGUGCAUCAAAGUGUUAAUGGCAAACUACAAGUUGUUUGAUUGAGAUUUGGAGUAAUCUCUUGGAAUAAACCAAAGAGUAGUUGAGUUAGGUGGCAUGCCUACCAAGUGUUUGAUGAAAUGUUUGCACUUUGGUCAUGGUUAUUUAUGAGGUGUGUGAUCCUUAAUCUUUGGUUUUAUUGUGUUAUAUGAAGUACUUAAUGCCUUGAGGGCAAACUAGAAGUUGCCCUAAACUAGAAAUUGUGGUUAAAACUCUUGAACUAAAAAAGUAGUAAGUGAGUUAGUAAGUAUGCCUACCAUGUGUUUGAUGAAAUGUUUGCACCUUGUUCAUGUGUGUGUGUGAGGUAUUAACAUGUUUUAAACCUCUUUUGAGUUAGAUCUAAUACUUGUUAUGUGAAGGGAGUGAAAAUCAUAAAAGGGGUGAAAGUUAGAAGAUUUUGGUGAAAGUGCUGUCCAUAAUUUUAAGGGCUUGCUGCCCUGUUUUGUUUUGGUAUUUUUGUGUUUAAUUUGGCUAAAAAUGUGAGGGAUAUAUGUUGGGUUAUGUGUGUGGAGGUUAUCUACAAAAAAAUUAGCCAUUUUGGUUGGAUAAAUUUUGAGUUAUAAACAAAGAGGCAAAACUGGACUAGGUCCAGAAAUUUUCUGACCAGCAAUCUUGUGAAGGUCAUAACGAUUUACUCGAUGAUCGGAAUUGAGUGAUUUUUGUGGCAUUUGAAAGUAGACUCUUAGAGGUUUAAAAUGGUACCAAGAUCAUUUUCUGGUUUGACCCGAGCGAUUCGUGGCGAGACUUGAAAGUUGGCUGUCCGUGCGGUACUGUUCAUCCGAGACUGUCCAGAAAAUUUAUUUGGUUUCAUAAUUUUGAACCACUUACGUUGGGAUUUUGGGAAUGAUUUCUUCUACAAAAAUAUAGCCGUAUGAACCUAGUUUCCAACACCACCAACGGAAUCUAAUUACGACUUUCCUACAGUGAAUUAUAACCAUUUUCCCGAGACUGUCAGGCAAGACUGUUCAACCCGAAAAAGGAAACCUUAAGCCUAAAUGAAACUUUUCUUUUGCUAAGCUUUCAUGUACACACUAAACUUGUUUUCUCAUGAACUUUUACCAUGGUAUAGACCUCAUUUGCAUGCCGGAUUAAGUAGCUUAGACUACUUAAUUGGUUUCUUAAUGAACCUAUAAUUUAGUGAGGAACGAAUCUAAUUGUUAACGAUUUCACUCAUUGCCCUAGGUUUGGGGAAUGAAGGUGAUCGUAACUGAGAUGUUUAACGUUGAUUACUACUUUGCUGGACAGGUGAGUAUUCCACUACUUGCUACCUGUUAUGUGAAAUAUCUGAAAUACUUGAUUGUUAACUGUUGGAGCCAAAUACGAUUUUGAUAAAAUGGAGGCGAGUGUGUACUUUAUCGCACCCGACCUCCCUUGUUUUUCACUGAAACUCUAUAUACUGUUAUUAUAAGAUGUGAUAUCUCUAUGAAUGCCUGUGAUUGAGUUGUUUGGGUGAUAUCCAUCAACUACUGCUACUGUUUGGGUACCCAACCUCAUAGGUGAGUUGGUUGUAUCGAGCCAGCAAGGGCUUGGUCGAGAAGACCGAUAAACCUUGAGGACUGUUUACUGUACACUGGAAAUCAAAUGUUGCUUGGAGGUCCCUGGUAAAGCAUAGCCAUUGUGCUUGCUUGUUGUGUUGUCUAACACCACCAGUGGUAAAAUCCUCGAUUUGAUCCUGUUUCUUUGGAAUCCUUGAGUAUUGGAAACUCAGAUUCCUGGUAUAUUCGAGUAUUACCAAACUACUGUUUAUGGAGAGCGGGCCCGGUGGGGGGUUGAUUGGUGGACGGAGACUGGUGAAAGCGGUGUUCUACGGACUUUAUAUCCUGUAAAUGCAAACGUUGAUGGAGUGUCAAUGGAACCGGUAAUGAUCAAGCUCAAGUGGAUUUGGCUUUUAGAAGCCACCCGUAUCCUUGAAUUGAACUGUGAUUUAACUGUUAUUUUACUAUACGGUGUUUAUUUGGCUAUUUUAUGAUCUUACAUGGCUAUGUGUUUACUUGUCUUAUUUGGAACCUCACUGGGCGUUAGCUCACCCCACUCCCUUUGUUUUCCUUAACAGAUCAGGAAGGAAUUUGAUCAAGAGCUUUCUUUGCUUUAUUUUGAUCGUACUUGCGUUUUGAGGUUGUAACCUUGUUUAAGCAGACUUGUAAGCUUAAAUUCUUAAGUUUGACUUAUGCUAUGUAAUUUUGAGUGUGGAGUGGUAAGUUGACAUGUGAUGAUAUAUGUACUAGAUUGGAUCGUUGGAUUGGUGAUUAUAUGUUAAUUAGGGUUUCAAUUCCCUGUAUCGAAAGAUGUUUCCUCCGUUUCAUUGAUGAUAUUAGUUUUUUGAACGACUGAGUCCUGGCGAGAGUUGGGCAGACAGCCCGCUAAUACCCUAGGGUUCGCCCUAGGGAGAGGUGUGGCUGUCACAAUGUGGGCCACAUUAGAAGUAGCUUGGCCCAUUAGUCCUUAUUACUAGUUAGUAUUUAAGUAAGGAAUUCGGCUGUAAUGAUCAGUUUUUUGAUGAUUAAUAAAAUUGCUUUGAGAGUUCUCUCAAAAGCUUCAUUGAAGCAUCCUUGAAUAUCUUAGAAUCAUUUCUUAGGUAUUAAAUUCGACUUAUCAAUCUAGGACCACGCUAGAUUGUGGCGUUUUCUACCAAUACCACGUGAUCAACAGGUUUAUUGAUUCCGCUGCGUUCGUCGUGUCAUCAACGUGAGUAUCGCCUUCUAGAUCUUAGCCUUUCUGUACGGGUUGCAUCACAAGGUUGGUGCCAUUCGUAUCAAUUACUAAUUACGUUCACAAGAAACCUUUCAAAUCAUUCUUUUAAAAUACUUGUAUGAUUGCCAACUCUAGUACAAUUAUCAAGGCCAUAAGAAUAGGGGUUGAAGUCCCUAAUUUGAGUACGAAGAGAAGUACCAUUAACCAAGGGAGUUAUAUGACCAAGUAAAUGCAUCAAGAGAGGUUUAACCUUCGGAAACCAAGAUUGGAAAUGAAAGUUCAAAGUUCCAAAGAGACCUUGUAUUAAACCAUGAAAACAAACUUAAAACAGUCCAACAAUCACAAAGGAAGGUGGAAAGUUCUUAAAGGAGUAAUUUUGUUGAAAACAAAAAUGUUUCAAGUUUAGAGUGACACUAUUUUGAAAAAUCGUAUCUCGAGUUCUGUAAGUCCAAAAAUGAAAAACUUUGUACUGUUGGAAACUAGAUCCAAAGUACUAAAAGUUCCUAGGAGAUAUUAUUCCAAGAUUCUAAACGAAAAGCAUCCACUUUUCAGCUCAAAAUUGCUGAUUUAAACAAGUAAGACAGGAUCAAUCUUGGUUUUCGGCAAUAUUUAGAAACUCGGCAAAAUUUACAGAAAGUGAAUCAUGCUCUGAAAUUCAUAGCACAAUAAGAGAGUCAAACAAGGUUUCCAACACGAUAAGCGGAACCAAAUUCAGAGUUUUGAGUAUCAAGAUAUAGCAGUUCAAAGUCGGUAAAUUUUCACUACUAAAACAGUGAAUUUCCAGAUUUUAAAAGCCAUCUUGGUAGCAUCAUUUGGAUAUCGAAACGUUAUCAAAAUAACACCAAAUUUGGUACACUUAAACCACUAUAGGUAGAAUACCCCUGUAUCAAAUUUCACUCAAAAACUCAAGUGGAAAGGCAGUUAACAAAGCGACUAAAGUUCGUAAAAUUCCCAAAGCAAAUCUGCCAUCUCACCCUUUUCUUUCUUUCCAAACAUUUUGCACAAUGAAAUCAGUUCCAAUUCGAUUCGUUUUUGGAAACAAGAUCCUUUAAACAUUCAAAAAGUAAUUGAUGGUUGAUUGAAAUCAAAAUUUUCGAAAUAAAACACCCCACAACAAACUAGACCAGUCGGCCAGCAAGAAGGAAAAGCUUUCCAGUUUUCCAGUUUUAUCGCACUUUCAAAAUCAGGCCAUAUCUCACUCAAUACAAGUUCAAAUUACAAAUGGUUGGUGGUGUUGGAAACUAGGUUCAAAAUACUUCAUUUCAUCAGAAGAAAACAUUUCCAAAAUCAGUUCACAAGUAGUUCAAAUUCAAGCCACAAGUUGCAGCCUCUUAUGUCCAUUCGAAUGGAACAGGCAGACAGAACAGAACAGAACAGCCGACUUUACCAAUUCACUGCAGUUCACUCAGAUCGAACUAGCAAGUGAUUUUUAUACCGUUAGAAAGCUACGUAUGUCUAGUUUCAAAUGCCGCAAAUGGCAUUCGAUUUUUACUUUUGUACAAAGAGAUAUGUUCAAUCAAAGAAGCACUGUUUGGCAGCCCAGAUUACUAUUUCCAGGUUUCUUUCAAUUUCGAAAAUUCAAGUUUUGCCCAACCAAAUCAAAUGAUUUUUGGACAACACUUUGUACACACAAUAUAUCACAUAUAACCAUCAAUUUCACAGCAAAAUAAGUACCAAAAAUUCUAAAUGAAAACAGAGCAACAAUGGACAGAAUUUCGGCCAUCUUGUCUCUCACGGUUUUCUCUCUUUCUUUUCCUCUUCUAGUUUCUUCCAUUAAAACUCAUCACAAACACACUAACACACACAUAAACAUCAUUGCAGCCCUCAUAUAACCAAGGUGGGAGUUCAUAGAGCCCAUUUCAACCAACCAAAUUCAAGCAACAACAACAAUAAGGAAGCUACAAGCUUCAAAACCAAGAAAUGAAACAAGAAAGCAUGCGUUUUGGUGAGAGAUGUUUAUACCUUCAAAACCCAUAAAGAAACCCUAUAUUUUUUGUGUGAGAACUCCUUAAAAUAGCCCCUAACCAGCCGCCUCUCUCUUCCCUUCAAGCUAGAGCAAGAACCUAAGGAGUUUGAUGGUUGGAUGAUGUUUUGCAAGCAAAAUGGAAGCUAGAAGUGAGGAGUUCUCUUCUUCCCUUUCUUGUCUUGGGGGCUGGCCGAAUGGAAUGACAAAGAAAAGGGUUUGGUGGUCCAAUUCUUGGAGAGCAAGAAUGAAGAAUUGUGUUGGAGAAGCUAACUUAAAGUUGGUGCACAAAAUCAACCCUUAAUAGUAACUCGAUAGGGUUUCGUACUACCACUUUCUCUCUCGUUUGGUACACUUAUACACUAAUCUUCCAAGGUACCUCCUUUAAUAUGGUAAUUAUUCACCCUUAGUAGUCUAGUGUUAAAUCCUCAAAUCUCCAAUUAGUCGUACCGGCGCGACUUUCGGGAAACUAUUGACGCGCGCGCGGUAAAAGCUUAAUUUUAACUAACUCACAUCAAAUCCCUCAAUUAACUUUUCUUAGUCUAUGACUGAUCAUUCUUAAUUCCCUAAGAUUAUUGCACUCUCAAAUUGAAUAUAGCCUCAAAAAUGUGUACUCGUUAUUUCUCGCUAAACGAGCAGUAGAAAAAUUAAUUUUGCUAACGGUAAAAUUAUAAAAGGGACAUUUUUGCACACAAAUAGAUUUAAAAUGGAUGAAACAAAUUAUUUGGGAUAAACGGGUGAAUAAAUAAUUGAAUAAGACAAUAAAAUAAAAUAAAAUAAGAAAAUUUUUCAGGUCCUCACAUCCUUCCCUCCUUAAAAAAGGAAUUUCGUCCUCGAAAUUCACACCUAGGAUAACAUCGUACCUCUUAAUAGUUAGGCUUAUCAAAUCGAUCAACAACUUACACUCUUUAACCCAUAUCUCAUAAUUUUCAUUUGAACUUUGAUCUCCAGGGCAUUCUAACUUCCAAGUCAUAGGGCAAACGAUCACACUUUAUCUAUACCAUUCAUGAAACUAGGGUUUACACUAGAAUAGUUGGCUCCAAGGUCAAAUAAAACUCUAGUUAAAUGAUUCAAUCUUGUAGUUCAAAACUUGAAAAGAAAGAUAUAUUUUCAAUAGAAGACUAGCCUUACCAAAUUUUUCGACUCAAUUUGUCCAAAACCAUUUACUCGCAUUCGAUUUUCAAAAUCAACAAUUUUAGUAAUGACCGGGUUUCUUUUCUCCCAGACGACCAAUCAAAUUUUUGUCCAAAUCAAGUCAAUCAUAACAUGCGAGAUAUAAUCGAGGGCUUUAAUGUAUUUUGGAUAUGUAUGUGGCAGAAUACGAUUCAAAAUCUCAAAAUUAGAGUUAAAGAUACAAACUUUUCUUCAUGGUCCGGAACUAAAUUUUCUUAGUAAGAAACUUCAAAUAAUGUUUUUGCCACAAUUAUCAAUACAUAUAUCAAAUUCCUAAAAUACAUUUAAGAAGAUUAACCAUGCGACUCAACAUGUGGAUAUUAAAACACACACUAAAACACAUAUACCAGUAACAACUCUAAAGAAAAUAAAAUCACUUGCACAAAUAACAUUAUCACCGUACAAGUCAAACACAAACUAGAGUUCAUCAAAUCAUAACACAAGUUACAGUCAAGUAAAGUACAUACCAAGUCAAGGUCAGUAAACAAAAGUAAACAGGUGAUUAACAAAAGUACAUGCAUCUCCAAGGUACAAACUCCUAAGUUCUACUCCUAUCGUCCCAUUACAAAAGAUCAAAAGUAAUGCUUCACUAGAUUAAUUGGAACUAGAUGAUUCUCGUUCCCCAACACUAGGAUCCUCUGGGUCACGAUCUUCUCCACCUCUCUUUCUUAAUUAUUGUGUCAUCCUAACCAAACGAUUAUUGGUUUCCUGUAACUAUUCACGUGAAAUAUCGAUUCGUUCUUAUUCCCCGCAAAUGGAGAUCUCAAGUCCUUAGCAUUGCCCUCAACUCUUAAGUACUUGGGUACAAGAAUCCUAAAUAAGGUAAUUCACAAUUCGAGCCGGCCGGUCCCAGGAGUAAAUCACCACAUUUGAGAUUCCUACCCAAUAUACAUAUCUAAUUUUUCCCAAGUAUCAAGAUAAAGGGUUUAUACCUAUCACAUUCAUGAUUCACAGCUUACGCUCUAGAAGAGUACUUAAGUCUUUACUCAUUCACAUAAUAAGGACCAUAACACCACUUGGCCAAAGCUCACCCCGCGCAGAGACCACGCGAAGUGGCUCUGAUACCACCUUUGACGCCCCCACUUAUCCCAAGGGCGAACCCAAGAGUAUCUGUGGAACGCCUGCCCAACCCUUGUCGGGGCUCACUACGAUACAUAAUUCAAAACUAGAAAUAUUUCGAAUAAUUUCAAUAUACAUUUAAAGUACUCCAGAGCACAAUUAGUUAACCCUCAAGCUUAAAUACAACCCAAAAAAAUAUGUACUACAGUCAUCUGCUAUAAUACAACUUCAAGUCUCCAAAAGAAAAUGACUUAGUAUUAUUCGCGAGCACUCUCGGUCCUGAACCCUGUUAAGGAAAACAAAAGCGUGGAAUGAGCUAAACAGCCCAGUGAGGUUCCAAAACACCUAAACAGUUCUAAUAAAUCAAGUAAAUUAAGCAUACACACAUACGGUUCAAGGUGUCACAUUAGCACAUUCAAAUGAGACAUUUAUCAUUUUACAGAAAUAAACACACAUUAAAAGGAUACGGUGUUCACGUGAAACUGUUUCGGUCAACUGCACCUUAUAACUCCAAUAAUUUCCCCGGUUUGUCUAGCCAUCGCCUUAUCUCUCCAGUGGUAGCGAGUAUACCGAUACGAUGGCCCAGGGUUCCAGCCUACCCGACCUAACCCAGUCCUGGCUCAAGCAGGUUAGUUACCAAGGGCAAGGCCCAGUUCAACUAAGAGCUUACAACAUGCGCAAGUAAUCAAAUAUACCAAUAAACGGUAGAAAUUCAUGGUUAAACGGUUGAAAUUUGUUAUUUUAGUAGGUCGAGUGAGAUAAAAUACACACUCGCCUUAAAACAUUGAAAAUUUUCAUAGGAGCAAUUAUAGGUAACACUUAACACUUAAACACACAAAAAAUAUUCGGUAAACAUGUAGCAAAACAAUUCAAGUCACAAACACCAACAAGGAACACUCACCAAAUCAAAAGUGUAAAACAAGAGCGAGGCAAGAUCAAACGGGUUCCUCGGGAUCCUCUUGAUCACCUGAGACAUGUACAAUUACAAAUCACCUAGGCAAUCAACCAAGGUCUAGUAGUAUUCCCGCUACUCUCAUUUAAGAGAUAACGCGUUCAAAUCGAAUACAAAUAUCGCUUAAUAAGUUAAUCCAUGAGGGUAGCAUUUGAAAAUAUCUAAGAAUAUCUAAGAAAAUAUCUAAGAAUAUCUAAGAAAAUAUCUAAGUUAAUCCGAGUCAAGUCAUGUCCAAGAUUCUCCAAGUUGAAAAUUUAACAGAUCUCUAAAUUUUGGCACGAAAACCAAGAAAGAUGGAGGAUUAGUUUCUUGUCAAAAUUCCCUAGUUGAAUGCCCAAGUUUCAAGUAUAAGUGAGCUUUCUCAUUUUUCAAACUCAUUUAGUUAAAGUCUAGUAAAACCGCCACCAACGGCUCACUAACUUCUUUAGCCACCAAUUCAAGUUGUACCCGUAAAUCGAGUAAAAUUCUCAAGUUCUCUUUUAAUAAAAGCCUCACUCAACGUCCAUUUUCAACGAUUAAAUCGAGGGCGUAUACUCAAGAGACUAUGGCGAUAGAAGCUUUGGUUUUCAAAUAAGGAAGAUAAACACAUUUUUACUUGGAAGCUCGACUAAAACAUUCCGAAUAUUACUAAUUACGUUCACAAGAAACCUUUCAAAUCAUUCUUUUAAAAUACUCGUAUGAUUGCCAACUCUAGUACAAUUAUCAAGGCCAUAAGAAUAGGGGUUAAAGUCCCUAAUUUGAGUACGAAGAGAAGUACCAUUAACCAAGGGAAUUAUAUGACCAAGUAAAUGCAUCAAGAGAGGUUUAACCUUCGAAAACUAAGAUUGGAAAUAACAGUUCAAAGUUCCAAAGAGACCUUGUAUUAAACCAUGAAAACAAACUUAAAACAGUCCAACAAUCACAAAGGAAGGUGGAAAGUUCUUAAAGGAGUAAUUUGGUUGAAAACAAAAAAUUUUCCAGUUUAGAGUGACGCUAUUUUGAAAAAUCGUAUCUCGAGUUCCGUAAGUCCAAAAAUGGAAAACUUUGUACCGUUGGAAACUAGAUCCAAAGUACUAAAAGUUCCUAGAAAAUAUUUUUCCAAGAUUCUAAACGGAAAGCAUCCACUUUUCAGCUCAAAGUUGCUGAUUUAAACAAGUAAGACAGGAUCAGUCUUGGUUUUCGGCAAUAUUUAGAAACUCGGCAUAAUUUACAGAAAGGGAAUCAUGCUCUGAAAUUCAUAGCACAAUAAGAGAUUCAAACAAGGUUUCCAACACGAUAAACAGAACUAAAUUCGGAGUUUUGAGUAUCAAGAUAUAGCAGUUCAAAGUCGGUAAAUUUUCACUAUUAAAACAGUGAAUUUCCAGAUUUUAAAAGCCAUCUUUGUAGCAUCAUUUGGAUGUCAAAAGGUUAUCAAAAUAACGCCAAAUUUGGUACACUUAAACCUCUAUAUGUAGACUACCCCUGUAUCAAAUGUCACGCAAAAACUCAAGUGGAAAGGCAGUUAACAAAACAACUAAAUUUCGUAAAAUUUCCAAAGCAAAUCUGCCAUCUCACCCUUUUCUUUCUUUCCAAACAUUUUGCACAAUGAAAUCAGUUCCAAUUCGAUUCAUUUUUGGAACCAAGGUCCUUUAAACAUUCAAAAAGUAAUUGAUGGUUGAUUGACAUCAAAAUUUUUGAAAUAAAACAUCCCACAACAAACUAGACCAGUCGGCCAGCAAGAAGGAAAAGCUUUCCAGUUUUCCAGCUUUAUCGUACUUUCAAAAUCAGGCCAUAACUCACUCAAUACAAGUUCAAAUUAUGAAUUGUUGGUGGCAUUGGAAACUAAGUUCAAAAUAAUUCAUUUUAUCAGAAGAAAACAUUUCUAAAAUCAGUUCACAAGUAGUUCGAAUUCAAGCCACAAGUUGCAGUCUCUCAUGUCCAUUUGAAUGGAACAGGCAGACAGAACAGAACAGAACAGCCGACUUUACCAAUUCACUACAGUUCACUCAGAUCGAACGAGCAAGUGAUUUUUAUACCGUUAGAAAGCUACAGAUGUUUAGUUUCAAAUGCCACAAAUGGCAUUCGAUUUUGACUUUUGUACAAAGAGAUAUGUUCAAUCAAAGAAGCACUGUUUGGCAGCCUAGAUUACCAUUUCCAGGUUUCUUUCAAUUUCGAAAAUUCAAGUUUUGCUCAACCAAAUCAAAUGAUUUUUGGACAACACUUUGUACACACAAUAUACCACAUAUAACCAUCAAUUUCACAGCAAAAUAAGUACCAAAAAUUAGAAAUGAAAACAGAGCAACAAUGAACAGAAUUUCGGCCAUCUUGCCCCUCACGAUUUUCUCUCUUUCUUUUCCUCUUCUAGUUUCUUCCAUUAAAACUCAUCACAAACACACUAACACACAUAUAAACAUCAUGGAAGCUCUCAUUUAGCCAAGGUGGGAGUUCAUAGCGCUCACUUCAACCAACCAAAUUCAAGCAACAACAACAAUAAGGAAGCUACAAGCUUGAAAAUCAAGAAAUGAAACAAGAAAGCAAGAGUUUUGGUGAGAGAUGUUUAUACCUUCAAAACCCAUGAAGAAACACUGUUUUUGGUGUGAGAACUCCUUAAAAUAGCCCCUAACCAGCCGCUCCUCUCUUCCCUUCAAGCUAGAGCAAGAACCUAAGGAGUUUGAUGGUUGGAUGAUGUUUUGCAAGCAAAAUGGAAGCUAGAAGUGAGGAGUUCUCUUCUUCCCUUUCUUGUCUUGAGGGCUGGCCGAAUGGAAUGAGAGAGAGAAGGGUUUGGUGGUCCAAUUCUUGGAGAGCAAGAAUGAAGAAUUGUGUUGGAGAAACUAACUUAAAGUUGAUGCACAAAGUCAACCCUUAAUAGUAACUCGAUAGGGUUUCGUACUACCACUUUCUUUCUCGUUUGGUACACUUAUGCACUAAUCUUCCAAGGUACCUCCUUUAAUAUGGUAAUUAUUUACCCUUAGUAAUCUAGUAUUAAUUCCUCAAAUUUCCAAUUAGUCAUACCGGCGCGACUUUCGGGAAACUAUUGACGCGCGCACGGUAAAAGCUUAAUUUUAACUAACUCACAUCUAAUCCCUCAAUUAACUUUUCUUAGUCUACGACUGAUCAUUCUUAAUUCUCCAUGAUUAUUGCACUCUCGAAUCGAAUAUAGCCUCGAAAAAUGUGUACUCGUUAUUUUUCGCUAAACGAGCAGUAGAAAAAUUAAUUUUGCUAACGGAACGUUUUAAAAUUAUAAAAGGGACAUUUUUGCAUACAAAUAGGCUUGAAACGGAUGAAAUAAAUUAUUUGGGGUAAACGGGUGAAUAAAUAAUUAAAUAAGGCAGUAAAAUAAGAUAAAAUAAGAAAAUUUUUCGGGUCCUCACACUUAAUACCUACCCGGUUGACGGAGUGUCAUCACGUGGAGGUAUUGGAUCAAGCCUUGGCAAAGCAAGUGAAAAUCAGCUCCUGAAAACUCCCGUAUCCUUAUUGAGUGUGUUUUAUUGUUAUUGAUGAAUUACCUGAACUUUCUAGCUUUAUUUCCUGUAUAAGUGUUAUUGUUACCUGAACUAUGUGUUUGCAUGAUUUUUUUUCUUGGUCUCACUAAGCAUUAGCUCACCCCAUUAGUUUGUUUUCCUUAACAGGAGCUCGGAAUAGAAAGAUUUUGGAGAAGCCAACUUGAUUACCUUUUAUUUUGAUUUUUGGAUAUAAUCGAUUAGUCGACCUAUGGUGGUUGUAUUUUGGGGAAAAGUUGAUGUACUUUUGGGAACUCGUGAUGUAAAACUUGAAUGGUUAAUUAAGGAAGCGACUUUUCUUCAUUUUAGCUUUUAUGAUUGGUGGUAUAUCAUUAAGUUUAAAUUUGACUUGUAUCGAGUCCUGGCAUGAGUUAGGCAGGCGUUCCGUGGAUACCCUUAGGUUCGCCCUAGGGAGAAGUGGGGGCGUCACAAGCAAUACUCAAACGAAAAUUCCAGCAACUUUGACACUAGAACAAUAUAAGGUACCUGACUUCUUCUUUUUUUUUUACUCUAAUGAUUCAAACACAAAACCAACGGACUCACGGAUGAAACUUGGGCAAAAACAACACACGAAAAUACUGAAACAAAUCUGGAAAAUUGUGGACAGCACACCAACAAGACGCAAAAUAAAAUUUGGACUUCACAAGAAACCCUUCCCACGAUUAGACACAAAACCCUAAUGACCUAGCAACGAAAUUGAUGGAUAAAAACUGACUCAAAACAAUAAAAACAAAGGGUAUAACGUGAUACCUCUAACUAGUUCUGAUUACCAACUGAUACAAACGUCGUCAACUUGUGACGAAACCCGCAAGAGACAAGCGCACAGGAUCUAGAGGGACGGAACACGUUUGGACAAUGGUGGAACCUUGACCCGUUAAUCACGUAGCUAACAAACCUUGGUAUAGUUUAGAUGACGCCACAAUCUAGUGCGAUUCUAGAUUGAUAAGUCGAACUUGAAGAUCCUAGGGAAUUAAUCUAAGAAAUUCAAGUGAAGCUCACAAGAAGCCAAUGAGAGAACUCUCAAUUUUGUAUUAAACGAAAUCUGAUUAAUAACACAAAUAAUAGUCCUAUUUAUACUAAUAACUAGGCGAGAAAACCAAGAGAGAUUAGGCUUCAAGUGCGGCCCAACACCCUAGCUAAUCCUCGGCCAAAAACUAGCAAGACUACUCGGACAUCCUCAAGCUCACAACGAGCUCUUUAUUCGGUCCUAUGCUCAACAUGAGCUUAUUGAUCUAGUCCAACAACCACUAAUUAAAUACUUAAACUCCAAAUAACUAGUCGAUUAACCACACCACUCCAAUGAGGGCCAUGGCCUUCAAGUAUUGCUUCCUUCAUCGAACAAGGCCUCUAACAAGAUGACUUGCCCUCCAAACUCAUGCGUAAGGCCUUCUAUAGCUUUAGGUCUCCCAACUUGCUCUUGGACAGUCUUAAUGAGAAGGUGUAGUGCAUCCUUCAUGCGUUUGGCACGUGCUCGUGUGACGGGACCUAGGGGAACCUUCACUUGUUCUACUUGCAUAGUUUGAGCUGCACUCCCAUUCGCAUCAUCGAGUCUAAAGUUGGGCAAACGAAACUAGAGAGCAUGAUAGAAGAAACCAUUACUUUUCUCCUUGCUUUACACAUGAUUUUUGCUAAAAUUUUAGCUCAUAUGUCACUACCAAGGUGGAAUCAAGCAAACGUAAGUAACCUAAGUCCACACCAACCCAAAAUCACCCUUCUAACAUCACUCACAACACAAGAAAGAAAGUAACAAAAAUUUCGGCAGCACCUCCCCUUAUUUUCCUUAACUUUUCCUUCCAAACUCAACACGUAUAUACAUAGCAAUCCAGCCUCAAUCACAACCACAAGUUAUAGGCUAUAAAGUACACUUGUUUAAGGCCACAAAACCAUCCAAAUUAGCCAAUUAUCUAGCUCAAAAUCAACCACAAUAAAGCUGGAAAUUUGUAACCCUAAGCUGAAAUUUACAACUACUAGCUGAAAUUUUCUAUAAUCAAGCCAAAAUAACAUAUAAAAGUUAGAAAAUUCACAUGGCAAAGCUACUAGAUCAUAGCCAAGCUCAAAUCAUCAUAUCAAAGCUGAAAUUUCUCACUCAAAGCUGAAAUUUUCCAACCACCACACAAACCAUGAAAUUUUCCAUGAAAACUACCAAAAUCAAGCCUUAAAUCUACUCAUAUGCAAGUCAUAAAAGAAAAGAUGGUUUCUUGAUGUAGUUACCUUGAAACUGUAUGAAGAAAUGGAAACCAAGAGCUUCUUUCUCCCAAAUCUCUCCACCAAAGUCCGUAAUCCUUCCUAAAGGUCACCUUUUAUGUAGUAGUUUGCAAGAUUAAGGUGAAAACUCAAGGAUUCAAGCAAGAUUGGAAGUUGGAAGUUGAAGUUUUUCCUCUCUUUCUCUAUCAAAGUGGCCGGCCAAAGGAAGAGAAAAAUGAAGGAUUUUUGGGUCAAAUUUUGUUUUAUUAAAGGCUAAGAAUGGUUGUAGUCAAAGUCAAAGCUCCAAGGCUUUGGGGACAAAUGUUCUUCCAAGGUUAAUCCUCAUCUCUUUGUCUUCCUAAUGCUAAAAUAUCUAGUCAACCUCUAAUUAUCCCUUAACACCUUAUGAAAUAAUAUUCCUUUGCACAAAACUCCUCUUAAUCUUUAAAAAUUUAUCGCACACACCUUACUAGUGAGUCCUACUUCCAUAAUGCACUACGAACUUAUCAUGCAAUAACUUAUACAAGAAAAAUGGUUUAAAAACUUGACUCACUUAUAAAAAUAUCUAGAAAAUUAAGGCAAGCAAAUAAGCAAGUAAAGUAAAAUUAAAAGGAAAUUAAUUUUCCAAAAAUAAGAGAAAAUUUAAAAUAAUUUUCGGGUUCUCACAAUUCCCAUAUCUCCAUUUUUGCCUAUAUAUUUCCUUUACUUGUUUAUAAAUUCUUUCCACUUUUCAUGUUGGGAUCUUGGUUUGACUGAAAGAAGCAAAAAAAGAAACCAUAAAUGCAAUGGAAUAAAUUAGGGGUUAAUAGCCUUAGUCAACAAAUGCAAUUCUUGAAAUUGCUGCCUCAAGUAGAGGAGAUUGUAUUUUGACACCCAAAAAAAAAAUAGAAAAAAAAGGAGCAGAUUACUUUUGAAUAUGGCAAUGGAUUUUUAGAUUUUUUCUAUUAAAACAAAUUUUGAAAUACAGAAAGUCAGACAAUAUAGGCGGAGACAUGGAAGACCCAUACCUGUGAACUUGGUUGUUUCUAGUUGGUUGGUGAGCAGGAGAGGGGUAAAUAGGGUCAUUGGUAGGCUGUUGGUUUUUUUGCUUUUUUUUGUUCUUUUGUAGAGGUGGCAAUAUGGGCAAGAUUUGUUUAGAUUUGAAAUGGAAUCGAGUAAUAUGGGUUUAGACCCAAUCUUACCCAUAUGUAUUUUGGAACUAAGUUGGGUAGGAUCACUUUGAGAUGGGUUUAGAUUGAUCCCGCCCAAUACCCAAGUCAAUUUCCUGUAUUUUUUUUCCUUUAAUUCUUUUUUUAGUUUAUAUGAUUUUAAUAUUUUUUAUUUAUUAAAUUUCUUUUAGUCUUAUUGUGAAUUUAUAUUUUCCAGAAUUCUUUUUUCCCUUAAAUUUUCUUUUAUUUAUUUUCUAUGUAUAUAUUUUUAAAAUUUUUGAAUUCCAAUGUUGCUAAAUUUUAGUUGAGGAAAAAAUAAGUCUUAUAAAAACUUAAAAGGACUUGUAUUUAUGAGUAUAAGGAAAUGGCGUUUGAAACUAUGAGCCAUCAUAAAACUACCAAAAUUGGACAAAGUAUCUUUAAUAAGACCGCAGAUUAUGAGCCAUCAUAAACCUUGUUUGGAUUGCGAUUUUUCACAAAAAAAAAAUUACGUUUUCCAUGAACACAUUUUUCAAUUACUUUUUUAUCUUAUAUACAUCGAAUCGUUAUAGUAUAUAUUUUUUUAUAAAAACUCUUAAAAAUAGCAUUGCAAACAAUAUUUACAGGCCUAAAAGAGCCCUCACCAACCCCUUUUAGGCCUUCUUCGGCCUAACUGUGCAAUCAUUGAGUUUCCAUUUCUAACCAAAAAGUUUCUUUCGACAUUUUUCUUGGCGACAGAAUUUUUAGGAAAAAAAGGAAAAUUAAAAAACUAAUUUCUAAGGGGAAAAAGAGUUCAGGAAACUAGAGAGGGGUUUUAAGCAUAAUUACAAGGAAAAACUGAAGGAUUUAGCUAGAAGAAUAAAAAUGAUUCACUUGAAUCAUUAAAAAAUAUACAACAAUUGAUAGGAUAAAUUUUUGGUGAGAUCUUUGGGUUCCAAUAAGUACCCAAGCAUUUUCCAAAAGCUUUCAUCAAUUAAUAGGUAUAAAUGGGAUUAGGCAUGUCAAUGGGUAGGGUUUGAGUUGGAUCCUUUUGAUCCAAAUCCAGACCCAUUAAAUUUAGUUGGACCUAAACCCAGACCCAGAUUUUUAUGGGUCUGAAAAAGUAAGUCCAAACAUAGACCUUCCGCUGUAUUUUUCUAAGAGAGAAUUGCACCAAUCGUCCCUCACAUAUUAUUAAUAUGAAAAUUUAGUCUCUCAGAAUCAAAAUGCUCAGUUUUAGUCCCUAACAAACAAAAAGUGAUUACCUUUGAUCCCUUUUCACUUUUUCGAGCAGAUUUUAGCCAGAACUUACUGGGCUCACAUGACAUGUCCAAUUUUUAAAGGGUAAAAAUGAAAAAUCAACUUGAUCAGAAAUUUGAGAGACUAAUAGUGCAUAUCUUUAGUUAAAUAUUCAUCAAAAUACACAAAAACUAUUCCACCAUUACCUGAAAAUCUCCAAUUCAUCUCAACCCAAAAUGAAUCAUAAUUGCAGACUCCUUGAUGCAAAUUCCUCCAUGACGGUGAAAUUCAUCCUCACGAAACCCACGAUCUUGAUGGAGAAUUUUCCAGGUUUGGUUGGCGGAAUCCCUUUCGACCCAAUCUAAUCCUCUAAGUUACGAACACUCUUGAUACGAUCUUAACCCGCGACUUAACGAAUUAGCGAACCAAGGAAUUUUGAUAGGAUGGCGGCACAAACAAGUGUGUUUCUUGUUUGAUAAGCCAAGUUGGACUUCCUAGAAAACUAUCUAAGAUGUUCAAGGGGUGCUUGCAAGAAGCCAAGAAAAUUCUCUUAGUUUUAUUAAUGAAUCAAAAUCCGCUUGGUAGGUUUGAAGCUUAUUUAUAGCUUCUUACAACUCAAAUCCUAGUGAAGCUUGGAAACUAGAAAUCGGCCCAACUAUGGCCCAUCAUGGCCGAAUCUACUAACUAAAUGUGGCCAAAAAAUAAUAACUAAAAUAAGGUAAAUAAUGACUAAAAAUGGCAAGGACCACAACACUUAAGUCACUUGCUUUAUUCUACUAAUUGAAAACGAAAAACUGAUUAACUUGAAACUUGCGAAGUUUGGUGCAUCUUGUGACUCGAAAUGCCUUGUGUCAAGGGACUUGGUCCUCUAGUUGAAGUAGAGUCACGUACCCCGAACCAUCUUCAAAGACCGAACUUCCUUCCUUAGCUUCUCGUACCACGCGUACCAAGAUAUUUAAUUGCCCCUUCAUUCGCUUGGCACGAGUUCUAGUGAUUGGUCCGGUAGGUAUCACCACAUCCUUGGUGUUCACAUGGAUGGCCACAUCACUCCUCUUAGUUGAUUGAGAUUCUUUCGAAGGAAAUUCGUGAUUGAAGACAAGAAAAUAACAAGCAAAUGUACUAUAAAAUAUAAAUGCAAAAAAAAAAAUUAAAAUGUGGUUUCUCGCCCGAAACAUUCUAGCAAAUUUGAUUCCUCGCCCAAAACAUUGUCAACAAGCACAUCUAGCAAAUGUGCUUCCUCGCCAAUAAAGUUCUCAACAUCUUCAACAAAAUUUGCAUAUGAGAACCAUAAUAACAAUUAACCAAAUCCUGCCCUUUUGACAACUCUCUUUCCACCAUAAACCAAAUCAAGCCAGCCCAGUCGACCUCCUCAGGCCUCCUCUCUCUGACACACCUCGUAAACUUUAAAACUUCCUCUAUCACCUUAGAGCCAUCAUCCUGCAAAACCAGCCAACCCCAAAUGAUCUCUUCAAGAAACAGACCUACCUUCUCAGAAACCAUUAGUAACCCAUCUUCGCCACCUCCUUUUGCAGCAAGACUUUGGCGACUUCAGCUCUUAAGAGGCAAAUGCAGAGCAUUCCCAGUGCUCCACGACUAAGGGUUAUUGGUAGACCAUUCACAUAGCUUACACAGUAUGGAUGCCUCUUCGAGUUGUAGAACACAACAGGCUCUUUUAUCAAGUCUGUCCGGAGUUCCUGGUCAAAAUCAAGAUGGAAAAAAUUCUUUCGAAGGAAAUUCGUGAUUGAAGACAAGCAAAUGUACUAUAAACGAAGAAAAAAAAAAGGUAGUCCAUAGAUGGUACAUGAAGCAGGCAAGCACAGUAAAGCAUAUUUCCCGGAGUCUAGAGGCAUCCGAAGUUUCUAAUUGUCUAAUUUUCUUCCUACGAGCCUAACACAGUAACCUACCAGAAGCUUCUUGAACCAUACUUUACCACCCCAUUUCUAAUUUCCCCUAAUCUUCUUCUUAAGCUCUCUGCUCAUGUUGUCCUUUCUUUUUUUUUCAUAUUUCGCAUCCUAACACUAAUCACAUACAAUUUCUAGCCAGUCGAACAUUUCAUUUAGGCAUUUUACGAACACUUGCAACGAUGGCCGACGAUGGUACUAUCACAGUCUACAGCAGUAGUGCAAUUACUGAAGCCAAGAAGAACCCAUUCUCCAUCAAAGUCAGGAUGGCCCAAAUGCUGGAAGGUGGAGAAAUUGUGGAAGUUGCAUCCGUCAAUCAAGCCAAGGUCGUCGAGUCUGUCGGCGCUUGUUGCAUCAUUGUCUCUGAACCCAACAUAUUUGGCAUUUCAAUUAGCAAUUUCCUUCACAUGAAUUUCAAUCAUCUGCUGCGAGUUUGCAAUUAGGGUUGUUUUAGGUUGAGAUGAAUGGGAAAAAUGCACUUUUCAUCCUCAAAGUUUGCGGGGUUGACCAAUUUCAUCCUCAAUGUUUAACUCCAAACACAUUUCAUCCUCAAAGUUCCGUAAUUUUGACCAAUUAAGGACAAUUGACGGGAAAUAUCCAAUUGACCGUUACAACCAACGGUUUUACCCAACAAAAAAUGGGUAAAACCGAAUGGAGCUAACUUUAAAGGAACAAAUGCAACGGACGGAUGAAAAGCUCCAUUGUUGUCCUUUUUCCCUCUGCCUUUGAACUCCAAAAUUUUUUUGCCAAUCUUUGCAGCUUUAAACAUUUCAUCCUCAGAGCAUCUGGCAGUGGAGCUCCCUGUGCUCUCAUUUUUGCCUAAAUGAGGAGCAGAAGUUCUGAAGUCUCCAGUGGUUCAUCGACUCCAUUCUGCAACUGUGGGUUAAGAACAAAAAUGAACACCUGUUGGCGCGGCGAGAAUCCGGGAAGAAGAUUCCUUGGUUGCUCUCUGCCACUUCUCUUUGGCCAGAUCCCUAUUUUUUUGCAUUCUCUGCAUCAUGUACAACCGUAUUGCUUCAAACAUCUCAAUUAUUGGCUUCUCCCUAGCAUCAAGAAUUUUACUGUUGAAGCACUCACAGAUGUUAUUCAAUAACAUAGCACAUUUAGGAUGAGUGCUAAAAUAAGCUCUGCUCCAUUGACUUGGUGGUUUGUCAUCAAACCACUUGGCUGCCUCUAUAUCAAUUUCAGCCAUUGCUUCCAUUCUGCUAUUGAAUUGGGCUGGUGUUGUUGCUUUGGCAACAGUCCAUAACGCUCUCCUCAAACCUUCUCCUUUGAACCCAGCAGAUGAAAAGUUAUUGUGCAAGUGUUUCACACAAAAUCUGUGGGCUGCAUUUGGAAAAAUCAUAUCACGUGCUUCAAUUAGACCUUUUUGUUUGUCACUCAUUAUUGUCCACUCAUAAUCCUUUUCAAUCUUCAAAUCUUCUUUCAAUAGUUUGAAGAACCAGCACCAUGAGUCCUUACUUUCACCCUCUGCUGCAGCAUAUGCUAUUGGAAAAAUGCCAUUAUUGGCAUCAGCUCCAACAAUUGCUAGCAAAACUCCUCCUAUUGAUCCUUUCAAAAAAGUACCAUCUACUCCAAUAAACUGCCUACAUCCAGUUAGGAAACCAUGCUUCACUCCAGCAAAACAGAUGUACAGCCUCUCAAAUCUGCCUUUCCCUGUUUUUGAGUCUCUAAAACCAUCAACAGUUUUCAUUAUAACAGUGCUACCAGGGUUGGAUCUUAGAAUUUCAUGCAUAUAAACUCCUAAUUUGCUGUACUGGUCUUUUUCACUGCCCUGAACAAUUUUCAUUGCUUUUCUCCUUGUCCUAUAUGUUUGAUUUUUUGUGAAGGAGCACCUAUUUUCUUUCAUUACUGUCUUCCUAAAAUGCUCCAAAUCUAAUUUAGGAUUACACCUAAACUCUUCACAGUACUUCUUAGCUACCCAUCCAGAAUGCACAAGAGGGUUAUCAUAUGUAAAACCACAUGUGUGAUUAUCUUCAAAUGUUCUUAUUUGAAUAGUUCCAUCCCCACUUAAUUUUCUAGCAUAUAUAACCCAAUUACAUUCACUAUUUCUGCAUCUAGCCCUCACCCUCACUCUAUCUUGUUUCACAAACUUACAAGGCCUGCCUUGUUUCACACUAUAAUUAUGUACAGCAGUCUUGAAAAGUUUCAGACUUGUAAAGGACAUGUACAGCUCUAAUUUUGGAUUGUCAAUAUGCUUAGGAUCAAAAGUACGAGACCUCAAUUUAGACUCUUCAUCAUCAGACUCAUGAAUGCUUUCAAAAUCAGAUUCAGAAUCAGGAACCUGUUCUGUUUCAUCAGAAUCAGGAACCUUCUCUGUUUCAUUCAAAGGAUCAGGAACCACAUUUUCUUUCCUGUGAUUGUCUACUCCCAACCAUUCAGCAUUUUUGUCAACAUUAUCAUGAAAUAUACCAUCAUCAGCAUCAUCGCCUAUUUCAUAAUCUGAAUCAAUAGCUGAAAAAAAAGUCUCAUCACUUGCGUUGGAAUCAUUAUCACAAUUAUUAGCAGCACACCUUCCUUGCCCUUCAUCCCUAAUAUUAUUGUUACCAUCACCAUUUUGGAGUUCAUUUUCUGUCUCAUCUACCUCAUACGGAUCAUAACCAAGUUGUUGCACUAGAAUUUCAUGAAAAGAUACUUCAAGAUAUAAGUUAACUUCCUUAGUUGGCCCAACCUCCCCCUUAACAUAACCAUUCAACUCCCUACUGCUUUCUAUCCUCCUAAAGGUGUUAUUUUCCCAACCAUAGUACACCUUAUGACCAUAUAGACCAGCACUCUCAGUUAAUCUAUCCACUUCGAAAACACUUAGACCUAUACUCUCAACAUAGUCAAAAACACACAAAUCUCCACCUUCGUAAUGGGGAUCAGGAGUAUAUGAAAUGAGGCCUCCAUGGUGACAUCUUAAUGUAAUAAAUGUGCUGCCCGUUUCUGGUUAAAGAAAAUAAUAUAGAUCAGACUCUUUAGGAAAAAAAAAAGCUUCAUCAUUUCAGCACAACAAACUGUUGACCCACACAAAAACUACCAAACAAGGACCACUUGCACUUUUUCCAUACACAUGGUCAGAUACACAUGGCCGGCAAAAUAUACCAAGUGUUAUUGUUUAUUAAUCACUCUCAUCACAAAUUUAUAGUCAAGCGGCAACUAUCAUCAGACAUAAGGGACCACAUUCACACUAUAAUAAUCAAACCAAGACAAAUUUUUGGAUUUAUUUAUACCUCAUGCAAAUGGCCAGAUCUGGAAAAAAAAUAGCCGUAAAUUGUAGUGGGGAAAAAGUACAAACACAAGGGACCACAUAUCAGGUUUCCUUCUCCAAAAAAACAGAUAUCUUUAUGCAAUGUAGUUGUUGAUUUUGGGUAUAAAUACCGUAAUUUGGAGGUGGACAAAUGUGGAGCUCUUUCUUCCGCAAUGCCAUUUUUUUCUUCACCUAAAAUGUUCCACGGAUGCCGUCUAUGCCUUCCUUCUUGCCAGCAGAUGCUCGAAAAAUGGAUGAAACGAUUGGCAAAAAAAAUUUUUAGGGCUGAGAACGGAGAAGAAAGAAGGAGAAGACAGGAGCUUUUUUCCUUGUGCUAUUUUGUGUUUUUUGUCCGUUAGAAAAAGUGGAUCCAUUCGGUUUGACCCGGUUAUGUUGGGUAUAAAGUUGGAUCUGACGAAUUGUGCUUCUCACGUGCAAAGUUCCGUCCCAAUAUUUGAUUUGUCCUCCAAUUCCCGUCAAUUGUCCUUAAUUGGUCAAAAUUACGGAACUUUGAGGAUGAAAUUUGUUUGGGGUUAAACAUUGAGGAUGAAAUUGGUCAACCCCGUAAACUUUGAGGAUGAAAAGUGCAUUUUUCCCUGAGAUGAAUUGUUAGUAAUGGUGGGUUAGUUAUGUAUUUUUUGAUGAAUGUUUAAAUAUGGCUUUGCACUAUUAGUCCCCUCACAUUUCUAGUCAAGGUGGUUUGUCAUUCCUACCCUUUAAAAAUUGGGCACAUCAUGGGGGCCCAGUAAGUUCUGAUCAAAAUCUGCUGGGAAAUGUAAGAAUGGACUAAAUGUGAUCAUUUUUUGUUUGUUAAGGACUAAAACUAAUCAUUUUCGUUUUAAGGGACUAAAUUUUCACAUCAGCGAUAUGUGAGGGACAAUUGGUCUCAUUCUCCCUUUUUCUAAAUACACUAAAGUAAAAUAUAUGUUAAAAAUAUAUAGAUUUCAAAAAAUAUAAACACCAUCUAAUUUUUAUUUUCAAAGAAUAAAAUUAAUAUUCAAGAAAUUGAAUGCAAUAUUAUGAACUCAAAAAAUAACUAUUAUCGACUAUUUCACUUUAUUUUUAAAACUUUAACUAUAUCUACAUCCAAUCUUUCAUUUAUUUGCCUUUACUUUAUGUCCUUUUUCUGAAAAAGCUUAUACUAAUUACAACGACAACUAGGAUUAGCUUGAAAAAGAAAACAAUCAUGAAGUCUAACUAUAUUCGAUCCAGUGACCAUAGAUAUUAGAAUAUUUUAUAAAUUUACUUACAAAUAUAUAUAUAUUAAAUUAAUUAUACAUACAUGGAUCUGAGUAGAGUCUGAUAUAGGUUUGAAUUUGAAUAUGAAUCAUAGAAAAUUAGACCAUAUCCAUACCCAUAAUUCUUUUACAGGGUCUUGGUCUGGGUGAAAUUUGGAUUUGAGAAAUUAAAUUCAAACUCUAUCUAAGUACAUUAGAUCUGAGUUAGAUCUGAAUAAGAUUAGAUCCAUUGACAUGCAUAAAUGAGAUUAGUCCUAUUUCAAACUCAAUCUCAAAAUUAAAAUAUUCAUCCAACCCAAAGUCCCUUGAGCAUGAAUAGCCUAUUGGAACUUGGAACAAAUUGCCAUCUCUAUCUUUUUGCUUCAAUAUAUAUGGAAUGUAGUAUUCAUUUUCAUGUAGAUAAUGGCAUCAUAAUCAAGGGUUAUUCUAUUCCAUAUCUUUAGGGCAAUUGACAAGAGAUGGAUCAAGGUGCUAAUUAUUCGAAAAAAGUUUAAAAUUUUUUCAUUAAAAUUUUCUAAAUUUGAUAUAGAUGAUAACGUUUAAUGUUUAAAAUUUGAAGUGUAUCUACCCCUUGUAUUUUGUCUGUUUAUCUCACGCCCUAAGGGCACAUAAUAGAAAACACCAAUAAUCAAGAAAUUCAAUUUAUUUUUUAAAAUUUAUUCAUUAUUUUGGUCAAAAACACAUAUGGUGUAAAGAUGCAAUUUAUCCUAUAACAAAUAUUUGACAAGACACAGCUGGUUAGAACAAAGCCUGAAUCAAAGCAGUGAAAGGCCAAUAUAGACACAUAUAUAUAUAUAUAUUUAUAUAUAUAUAUAUAUAACUUUGUCUCCUCCCGCCCCUCCCCAAUUCCCUGCAACUCCAACUGAACGACCAUAUGGAAUCGAAUCCCUGACCAGUCAGCGAGGAAGGAAUUUAACCACCUUCCCUAGAGCUCGUGAUUUUUUCUACAUUUUUAUUGUCAAAUAUAAAAACCAAUUCUCCACAAAAUAAUUUCAACAUACAUACUCAAAAAAAUUUUACAAAUAUUUUUUCUAUUUGUUGCACACACAUUGAUACAUGUCUUUGAACACUAAAUUUUAUAAUUCAACUAAACAUACUAAUAUGAACUACUCAAGAAUGACUGCAAAUUUAAAAAAAAUAAUAAUAAUAACACACCAUAAGAAGUAUUAUAUUCAUCUCUCUCCAGCUCUAAACAUCUCUGGGGAAGUCUUAAGCCUGGCAAGUUCAGACCACAGCCCAACCGGAGGACUUCCCCCCUGGACAAGGAACUUCCUUUUCAAAUGCUCAAGUUCUGAAAGAAUUUCCAGCUAAAAAUCACAGUACGUGCUUAGAUAUAAAACCACCGUGAUAACCCUAUAUACAGCAGGUCACAAGGGAAAAGUAAAUAACAGCGUACUUCAGGCUUGGUCUCCAGGUGCAAGAAGUGGUUCUCUGCUAUUACUACUUCCCCAAGCCCUUUCCUUCCAGAUUCUUUCCACUUCUUCAAAUGUCAAACCCUUGGUCUCUGGCACGAAAACAAUCACAAAAGCAAAAGCAAGCACUGUGAUACCAGCUAAGAUCAAGAAAGUUGGACCAGUACCUAAAGCUCCAGUUAUGGAUAGAAAACUUUGUGCUACUAUCAGAUUCGAAAUCCAGUUCACAGUGGCAGACAUGCCACCACAAAUUCCUCGGUAGGAUUCUGGAUAUAUCUCUGAAUUUACAGUCCAUGGCACAGGGCCCAUGCCAGGAGCGAAAAAGGCAAUGUAGAGCACCACGCCAAUAACAGCAAGCCACCCAUAGAGCCCAGUCGCAUGUGAAGAUGUUUGUAAGAGAAAAGCACCAGCAAGAAGAACAAGGGACAGAAACACUCCUGCUAAGCUACUAAGAGCCAACUUCCGGCGGCCAACAUGAUCAAUGAGGUAAAUUCCCACGAUUGUACCAAUAGCAUUCAUUGCUGCCGCAAAGAGGGAGAGGAGAAGUGCUAAUUGAUUCGAAUGGAAACCAGCCAUCUGCAUGAUUGUAGGGCUGUAAUACAUGACCGUGUUAAUACCUGUAAACUGCUGAAAUGCCUGCAAAAUGAAAUUACAUCAACGGUCAGUCAAUUGCAGCAGUCUGCUUGUAAGCAAAAAUUAGCUAGCCACAACCUAAAUGACAAUUUUAAAUGCCCAAACUUAUCAAGCACUGUGUUUUAUCAAACAGAGUCAUCAAACAACAUAACAUGGCAUCUAAUUAUUAGUCAAAAUACUCUUAAUACGUUCUCUGAUGAUAAAUUAAUAGCACAAAAAACUAUCGAAAGGAAAGAGACUAGACCAUUCAUCAAGCUAUAUAUUUAAUCUGAAAAUUUAUAUUGCUCUUACAAAAUUUGAAAAAAAUAGUCAAAGCUCUAGGCAAGCAAGGGAAAAUAAUCUGCAUAGAAUCAAAUACUUCAAUUAAUCUCAGCAUUAAUUAUGAGUUCACUGGUUGCAUAACCAGAAAUAGAUGAUAAAACAUACUAAGCUCUUGCAAUUAGUUUAUUCUUGUAAUACCAGAAGCCAUUAAGAGAACAGAAAUUCCAAUACAAGGACGUUACAAUUUUCAACCUCAGAAAAGGACCAAUCAGAGUCUCAAUCUAGAGCUCCAGAAUUCUGGAUUCUUGCAAUAUGAACCAUGAAUUUCCUUUUAUACCCCCAAUUCUUUCUUUUUCCCUCUUUUGGGUCUUUAAAAUGUGUGGGCGUAUCUCUAUUAUAGCAACUGACCUUUUUUUGGUCAUACAAGAAAAUCACGAUUUUCUUCCAUCAUAAAUUAGAAGAAUAAGACUAGAAGUAACAAAGUGCCUUAACCUGAGGAAAAAGGUACUAGCCAGAAUUAACUCAGACAUGAUUAUCCUUUACAACUUCAACCUGUGGAAAGUCGAAUGUUCUUUUCUCUUAAAACUUGCUCACAACACAAUGUUAAACCAAAGGCAUUCUUUCUGUGAUCUCUAAGCUUUCUCAAAUAAGGCAGAGAUAAAGGAAGAAGAAAACAGUUGGACAAGUUGGACUCUUCUUACAAGGUUGAGACUUCAUGUACUGAGAGGUAGAACAUAAACAAAGGAAAUCAACAUCUUAUUAGGAGGAGAAGUGGUAAAGUAUACCAGUUGAAUGAAAGCCACCAAGAAACCGAUUUCCUAUCCACAAGAAGAAGAUAUUGAAGAAAAGGAAGGAAAACAAAAGAAAUGGGGAGAAGACAGGUCAAAGCUGAGAGCUUGGGUAUUUUAUUGACUUAAAAUACAUAUUCAAUUGCUGAAUUUCCUUUUUAUCCUUGAAAGUAGAACACAAGACUUGUAAGUUUGAAAAAGUGACAUUUCAACAAACAACCCCUACAUCCCUCCCCCCCUGGGGGUGGAUUUUUCCACCCCUUUUCCUUAGGAUUUACAGCAGUAAAACAAGAACAGAACAUUAACGAAAGGCCCCAGAAAGAAAGAAAAAAAAAAGCCCAGCACAGAGUUGUGUUCUAGUGAAGUGUUGAUAUUUACCUGAAGUCCAGCUCCAGCAAGAAAAGCAAGCCUCAUUUCUUUUGAUUUGAAAACAUCCCAAUAUCCGACAGUGUUUCUUCUAUUGGUUUCUUCGUCAAAAGCAGCUGCAAGCUGAUCAAUUUCCUCCUCCAACCGGUCAGGAUCAUAAAUUUUUGAAAGCACAGCAAUGGCUUUAGAUUUAUCCUUCUGCAGAUUAUAAAUGAGUCCUUAAUUAGGAUGUAAAGCAUCAGUAGAAUACAUCCUCACAGGAAAUACUAUGUUAAUACAGCGCACCUUGAGGUAAAGCCAGCGAGGAGAUUCAGGCAAAAAUAGCAUGAGAAAAAACUGUAUAACAGCAGGAACUCCAGAUACUCCAAGCAUCCAUCGCCAUGUUCCUCGGACCUGCCCAAUUUUUAAAAUCAGAAGAUCACACAAAACGUAUCAAGAACUACUGACAUACAUGAAUGUAGAACCAAUGUCAAAUAUUACUGCAAGCCCACAAACUAGGAGUAGUUAUGAACCAACAACUGACUAAAACCAAGCAGACCGAUCAAUUUUCUGGAAGACCAUAUCAUUGAACUUCCUUUCAUGUGAUCCCCUUUUCUUAAAAUUCUUCCAGAGGACUGGUGACCCCAAAACACCAGAAAGUUAAGGCAGUAUAUUAUUCUAGUCCUCAACUACUAUUUGAACGUGGACAUCACCACAAACAUCCUCAGAAUAUCAUACCACCAGAAUAACAAGUUUCAUUUAGAGAAUAAAGCUAAGAUGUCCCAAUAAUACCAUGUCCAUCAUAUGAAGUUAACGUCAAAAUCCAUGGUGAGCCACUUGAAGUCUAUCAGAUUACAGAGGCAAGAUAAAGAUUGGUCCAGAAUUAGUCUUGCAAACACUUGCCUAAAAGAAGCAAAUCUUGCCACAAUGCCACAGAUGCAUUCAACUGAUCUGCCAAAUUUUAUAGCAAAAUUUGUCCAAGAAAAUGUGAAAGUUAAAGACUAGGACAGGUGUCCAAUUUUGGCAUCAAAAAAGGCCCAUUAAUACGAUUGAGAAACCUAAAGAAUACAUUGAAGAAGACCUAACAAAAAGAAAGAAAGAAAGGGCGAGUUGACAGUUUCAGUGCACGGAAACUAGCUUUACAUACAACUACAUAAGUUGGAGAAUGCCAACUUAAAUAAAUAAAAACAAUAAUUUAACUACAAAACAUGAGGUCACACAGAAUGCUACUAUCUGACUCUCAGAAAAUUAAUGUGUAAUAAUGGAAAAUUUCAAACCACAGCCUAUUCAACCACAUAAAAUGCCCAAAUCAAAGGACAAUUACUUAGCUUCGGUUUUAACCUUUCUAGCUACAAAUGAGAUGAGACAACAUAAAGAGAAAUAAAGUUGUUUCAGUCUACAAUGGUCGUUGUCCAGCUGCCCAGCUGCCAGUAUCUACACUUCAUUUUACUAGGUAACAUCAUAUGGUGCGGCUAUUAUCCAACAAACACACUGGUAUCAUAUAACUAAGAGCAGAAACUGGUCAUGUUUCCAAGUACAUAUGGUUUCUAUAACCAUUUAGAGAUCGCAUAAAAUACAUGUUUACAGACUGAUAACAGGAACAGUGAUAAAAACUCUAUAUGUUCAGGGAUGGUUUAAGGAGUCAUGCAGAAUCAUUUAUAUCAAUCAAAUAGAACUCAGUCAAUAAAACCCCAAAAUCUGUAUUCAAAUCAUCAUUCUUUAUACCAUACGCAAACAGAAGUAUCAAUGGUUCAUCUGAUGCAAGCAGAUGCAACUGCUGGACUUUGACGCAAGCAAUUCCAAGUGCUGCAUUGCAUAUGCUAGACAUAUUGUGUAAGGUACUUUCCAAAAUCAUAAAUACAUUAAAUCAAUCAACUGCAAGAUCACAGCAUUAAAUUAACCAAACGCAAGAUAGACGAGAAGAAAAGAAAAGAUUCCUUCCAUGGAUACACAUUGUGAGACUUAUAAGGCAAGGCUCAUAUUGUAUCCCGAUCCUGCCUCCUCAAACUGCACAAUGGAAAACCUUUCAUGCCAAGAAAUCAUUGUAAUAAGCACAAAUAUAAUGCAUAUCCUGGUAAAGCAAACAAUCUGAUACCUUGUAAUAGGUUGUAGACCACCUCAAUGUGAGCAAAAGAACAGAACAGGAAAAAAGAGAUGUUUUUGCAUUCACUAUUUGAUUAGUUCAGUUUAAAAAGAAGAUUCCACCAGGCAUUUGCUGCAUCAAAGUUGAUGAAUGAUACAAGCUUUUGAUGAACUUCAGACCUAAAGCAUUAAUAAUCACAUAACUCCCUCCCAAACCAAGAUGUUUAACUGAAAAGUAAAACCAAACACUUUCAGAAUCCUCUGCCACUUAAUAAAGGAGUCGACCCACUUAACGAACUACAAUAAUUUCAUAUUUGAAACCAAAAAAACUUCUGUUUUAAACAAGAUGAAACCAAUUUAAAAGGAGCACAAAACACUUAUACCUUAAACAUGUAGUACUCAAAAUGGGGCAGAAAACUGCCAAUUUAACAAACUGCAGAAUCUCUUUAGAACUCGUUCUGUUUUCUAAAAAUCUUUUGAUACAAAGUUCAUUGCUUGGCAAAAUUACCUCUUUCAGGCUUAACAACAUGCAUGACAAAUUAGAAACGCAGCGCAUUAGUCUGGCAAAACGCAAUAAUACCUAUUACCAUCUUGGUAAAUAGAUAUUGCGAGCCUUAGUAGAAAAAGAAGAAAUCAGAACAAUAAUUUGGAAAAAACCAAGCCAAGAUAACUGACCUCAGUGAAAGCAAGAUUCACUAGGUAGGAAAGAAAUGAUCCACCGGUAAUCAUAAGCACAUUUGUACUCACAAGGCCACCUCUUAUCUCAGAUGGGGAUGCUUCAGCAAUGUACACAGGAGCAGUAACAGAUGCCACACCCACACCCAAACCCACUAAAAAUCUACCCAAUAUUAGGACAUAGGGAUCUGGAGCUACAGCCAUAACAAUAGACCCAAGUACAAAUACAACAUCGGCAGAAAGAGUAGCUUUCUUGCGGCCAUAAGCAUCAUUUAUCCAUCCCCCAGUAGCAGCUCCUAUCAUUGCACCACACAAAGCCAUGCUAACAAUUGUUUCCUGCCAAAUACAGAAAAGAGAACAAACGUGCAAUUGAAAAUCUGCCAGUUUCUCUAUGUUAGGAGAGAAAAUCGAAAAGAUAACUUCAGCAGCAAUAUCAGGCCUAAUUUUUAAGCAUUCAAAUUUGCAUUACUCUUCGGCAAAAUAAAUUUUCCAGGUAUUGAAAAAUUAGUUCAAAAGUCGACCUAUCUGGAUGGCAGGUUGUUAACAAAAGUUGAUGCCCUUUCAACAUAAUUUAAGGAAACCAACCAUACUAACAGACCAAGCCACGGAAACGUUGAUAGUUGUUACAUGUUUUCUUCAACCUUGCAGGAUAACAUUAUUGGUAGGUUUUACUUCAGAUGUUACCUCUACAUAUCUCCCUUUCUCUGUGUGUGCAUGUGUAUCCAAAAUAGACCAUGAAAUAACAUCAUCAUAUACUCGGUAUCAAGAUGUAUCAUCUAAGUUACAAGCCUCUGCAAUCCGUUUUACUUUCAAUCUGCAGAAACUGUAUCCACACGUAUCAAACACUAAACCUUUAUUUACCUGUAGGAAACUACUUUGGUCCACUUGCUUAAAUUCAUCUCGAAUAUACAAGAGCGCUCCUGAUAUUACUCCUGCAACCAAAUUCAGACUAGUUUCAAUUUGCAUCAAAUAGGAAAUAAAAAUAUAACUGCAAUUGUUCCACGUAGAUUUCUAUAAUGCAAAAAUGCAACUGUCAGGAAUGAAACACGCUGUAACAGCUAGUGUGAAGGGAAACAUAAGAAUCAUAGCCAAUACCUAUAAAUCUAGUAGUGAUGUUAAGCACCCUAGUAACGAACUUCAGGAAAAAGACGUGUGUGUGUGUGUGUGUGUGUGCAUAUGUAUACAUAUACAAAUACAUGUACAUAUAUCUAUACAUAUGUAUGUGUAUUGUAUGUAUCUGCACAUAUGUAUACAUAUACAACAUACAUAUACACAUACAUAUACAUCUGUAUAUAUAUCUAUCCCCGGUUAAAGACCUAUAUACACAUACAUAUACAUCUGUAUAUAUAUCUAUACAUAUAUACAUACAUGUGUGUGUGUGUGGGCGCGCGUGUAAGACCAUGAUAACUGUUUUCCAUUAAUAUUUUGACCAUGAUCACUGUUAACAACUAUAAUUUUUCAGAGGCAAAAAUCAAGAAAGAAAAAGUAAUACUACUGGUUGAGGAGGUAUUCAUCAUUGAUACUGACAUUUCACCAAACCAACCAACAGCUUUGCCCUUUCACAAGAACGGCAAAAUGAGUUAGAAACUUUACCUGACUCGAGGAUCAGCAAAGUCCACCUGACUUAAAGGUCCAGAAUUAUUAUUUAAAAAAAGCCUCCCUUUUCUCAGAAAAAUGUUAUAAAAGGACUUUAAUUGAUCUUACACACACGAUCUACAUGUAUGGAAAUUUUAUUGUGCCUACAACCAAAUUGAGUAUCAAAUCAAACAGUAAAAUAACCUACUCCAACAAGAUGAUUAGAGUUCAACCAAGGAAUAAAAAAAUGUAAAAUUUUAGUUGAACAGUCAAAAGGAUGAAGCCAAAAUAUGCCAAGAACUUGCUUGAAUAUCAUAAUAACCAUAAAAUUUGAAAACCAACUUUCUUUAAUUGAAAGAAAAAUAAUCAAAGACAUAAUUCAUCAAUUUAAUUUAAAAUUUAUGUAUAUCAAUCCAUAUGCAAGUAAGAAAAGGCGUUUUCACAGGCCAUUCAGACCUUCAAGAGUUAAAAAAAAAAAAAAAGUUAUUUACAACUGUAACUACUAAGUCAAAGAAACACAAAAGAAAAAAGGGGCUGCCGGUGAUAAGCCGGAAAAUAGUGAUAAGCUGGUGAUGACGCCUAAUUACAAAAACAAAUGGCGUUGAAGUUCAAAAACAGAAGAAAAACUUAGUACUACUGGCUUGAGGAGGUAUAUAUCAUGGGUAUGACACUUCACCAAGCCCACCAAUAGCCUUGCCUUUCCGCAAGAACGGCAAAAUGAGUUAAAAACUUUACCUGGCUCAAAGAAUCAGUAAACUCUACCAGAUCUGAAGAUCCAAAAUUUCUUUGAAAAAAAUAACAAGAAAAAGCACUUAUUUUUUUGGCUUUUUUCCCUUUUUCUCCUCCUUUUUGGGAAAAAAAAAAUUUUGAAACAGCAUUUACAGCAACAAGGAUAAAGCCAAAGUAUCCCCAGAACUUGCUUGGACGUCAUAAAAACAGGAAGUAUGAAAAUAAACUUUCUUAAUUAAAAAAUUUUAAAAGAAAAAAAGAAAAUCCAAGAUAUAAUUAACGAAUUAUAGUUAAUUGUAUCAAUAUCAAUCCAUAUCCAAGUAAAACGGCCGUCUCAGGGCCCCAUUCAAACCUUCAACAGAAUUAUAAAAGCAGAAAAAAAAAAUUUUAAAAAAAACAGAGAGACAGAGACCGCCGGUGAUGAGCCGAAGGAAGGGGAUGAUGACGUCUACUUAAAAACACAAAAAGCACAAAAAUCAAAAACAGAACAGAAAAAAGAGAAAGUCGGCAAUGGCCUAAACCUGUGUCGUAUCCGAAAAGGAGACCACCAAUACCAGCAAUAACGGUCAAGCCCACCACAUAUGAAUUGCUAAAAUACGUCACUUUCCGGUUCCCAACGUCCAAGUACCCUGAACUUCCGGGCAACGAUUCGAUCGUCAUCGGAGUAUCUCACCGGAAAAAUAUGAAACAAACAAUUUGUUCCAAUUAUUCACCCUUCAAUCAAUCUAUCUAUCUUUAAACAAUUGCCAGUUUCUUAACAAAAUUCAACUGGGUUUUUGAGUUAAGUUUAAUACUAAACAACUCUUUCCUUUUUUAUCAAUUUAAAACCGAAAAACUAGCAAAAAUCAGCUUGGGUUUGGGGUAUAAGAAUUAUUUUUCCCCGCCCGGGAAAAAGGGGGGGAGCGGGGGGUGGUUUUGAUAUGGAACCGAGAUAGAAUUCGAAAGAACUUUUUCUUGCAAGCAACUUCGCUGAAUUUUCUAAAGAAAUGUAUCCUUUUCUUCUUUGCCGUAAAAAAUGGAGGAAGAAUUGAAUUAGGGAAAAGGAGAACAGACGAAGUAUAUAUACACGCCCACACGCGUGAAAUGCGUGAGAAUAAAAAAGAAAUUAAUAAAGAAUUGAGCUGGCGGAGAAAUGAAAUGAUAUGUUACCCGGAGGUGAGUCACAGUCGGCCUGCGGGGUCAAUAAUAUGCAAAUUUAGCUUUUUUUUUUGGAAUAUUACCUUUUUCUAAUUUUUUUUCGCUUUUGGGGAAAAAAUGUUUAGGAAAAGGGUAAAAAUUAACUCAAUAUAAAAUAUAAAAAAAUUUAUUUUGAUUAAUUAAAUUAUUAUGUGAUUGAAUACAUUUAUAAUUUUUUUCAUUACAUCUCUGGAUUUAAACACUUUUUUUUAUUCAUUUCAAUUUUACAAAAAAUAAAACUGGAUCCAAUUCUAAUCCUGUUAGCCAAAUCCAAUAUAAAAAAGUGGUGUUAUAUGGAGAAUGUGUCUAAUAAGUUCUGGGUUGGCACGUCUGAUUAGAUUUUUGAAUUUAAUUUUUUAGAAAACUAAAACUAAAAUAGGCAAAAUAAAUUCUAAAAGAAGAGAAAAUAAAUAUAAGUUCCAGUAAAUAGAUGGUAUAUACUGCAUGUGGUAACUAAUAAGUAACUAUCCAAAAUAAAAAAGAGAAUAUUAUUUAUGUUUCUAUUUUUCGAGUCACAAAAUGAGACGGCACUAAGAAAAUGAGAAGACGGCCUCAUAGUCAUAAGUGAUAAUGUCCCAAGCCUGAAAAGGUUCCCUACAAUCACGUGAAGGUUAAAAUAAUGGUCCAUUCUAGAAGGAUUUCGCAUCUUGUUUAGUCAAAAUAAGAAGUCCCAGAGAAAAUUCUAGUCAUUCACCACCACUCAUAUCAAGUCCAAAGAUUCGUUCCGAUUUUAGGACAAGAAAAAUGGUCAUGCCAGCCCUAAAUUUAUUAAUGUCGAAUCAAAGUUUAAGGUGGCUUGAAAAGAAUUACGGUAAUUGGCCAAGCUCAAAUCGAGCUCAAAAUAUGAGGCCCCCAAUAAGGUUUACUGUCAGUGAUCACAUGUACUAAUCUAAAGUCAAAACAAGGUUUGUUUGAAGGAGUCAAGACAAGGUUAGAUCUUCCGAGAAGGAUUAUGGUCAUUAGAUAACGCUAGACAGGAACUCUAGUAAAUUACAAGAAUGUCAGAUAUGUUACUGAAUGUAAUGGGAUAAUCGACAUUUUCUUAUCUUGUUCCCCAUCCCUCUUUCAUUCGACUUUAAUCAGUGUUCCCUUGUCUCAUUUUUUAUCCUUUGUGUGGACUUAAAAAGCCUAGUUUGACAAAAUUUUUUAACCUUGGCAUUCUCUUUCUCAAAUUCUAGUAAGGAGGAUCCUAGAAAGAACCAUAUGAGAUGACUCAAACUCUUAGGAUCUGUUUGAUAAUCUAAAAAAGUGCUGAAACUGAAUCUUUUCUGACAUUUAGAUGUUUUGAGUGUUUGAUAAAUAAAAAUCUAUCUGCUGAACUUGUUAAGCAGUGCUGAAGUUGUGUGCAUUUUUUUUCAACACAAGAAUCCUAACUGAAUGCUUAAUUCUGAUAAGAAUCAAUAGAAUUACUUCAACUAUCUUAUCUUAUCUACCAAAUCUACCCUUGUGUGUUAAUUAUAUUCAAAAUUCUUAUCUAAUUAAACAACCUAAUAUUUUCUAUCUAACGGUUUUCUGUUUCUCUUUUCUCCCUUUUUAAUGAUUUUCAUUUUUUCUCCAUACUCCUCAUAUAAUAUAUUUCAUCUUUUAUAUUAAUUUGUUUUAAAAAUAAAUAUUAUUACUUUCAUACCUAACAAUUUUAAACUAAUUAAAUCAUAGGUUCUAUUUCUUUUUUGAAUGAAAAGAUAUAAGGGCAAAAUUGUUAAAUUAAACUUUUUAUGCAUUCAAUUAUAAAUAUUUAUCAAAAAAUAUAAAUAGGUUUAGCAUUAAAAUUAAAACAUUCAUAUAUUUCUUUUCAAUACUUAAAAUUCAGCAAAUUAAUUGUUUCAGAAUUCAAACUUCAGAAUUCAGAUUCAGUUUUAUCAAACGAAACCAAGGUUAGAUCUUCAGAGAAGGAUUAUGGUCAUUAGAUAACGCUAGACAGGGACUCUAGUAAAUUACGAGAAUGUCAUAUAUGUUACUGAAUGUAAUGGGAUAAUCGACAUUUUCUUAUCUUGUUCCCCAUCCCUCUUUCAUUCGACUUUAAUCAGUGUCCCCUUGUCUCAUUUCUUAUCCUUUGUGUGGACUUAAAAAGCCUAGUUUGACAAUUUUUUUUAACCUUGGCAUUCUCUUUCUCAAAUUCUAGUAAAGAGGAUUCUAGAAAGUGUGAGACCCCGUAAAUUUUCUUAUUUUCUAGGGUUUAUUCUAUUUAAUCGCAUGCUUUUCUGCAUUUUCUUUAUUAGGAAAUUUUUCUAGAUAAAUUUUAUGAGUAAAUAUAGUUUUUAGAUGAUUUUUCUAGCAUCGGUUAGUUUUUGAGAAAUUAAGAGCGUAUACCGGAUGUGGGACCCGCUAGUGCGAAAAGUUCGGUAAAAUUCGACCAAUUAGUUUAAGUUUUGGAUACUGGGUUUAUUUUACCAGGUGUUAAGAGAUAAUUAGAGGUUACCCAAUUGAUGAGAGUUGGAGAGACAAAAGGAUAGCUUUGCAUUAAUGAGAGUGACAAGUGUCACCUUGUGAGUUGAUCUUGAUUUUGACCACUAUUCACCACUUUACCAAUUAAUCAAAAUUGACCCAAAAAUCAUCUUCAUUUGCAAGCUUCUUGGCCGGCCAUCUUCAAGGGAAAAGAAAGGAAAAGCUCUCAAUUUUCUUGUCUCCAAUCUUGUUCAAUCCCUUAGUUCAACCGAUUAAACUUGGAUUUCCUCCACAAAAACCCUUAGUCUAGUGAUUGUGAGGUUGUUAGUGAAGUGGUUUGGAAGACCAAGGUGCUAAGUUGUCUCCUUUCUUGAGUUUGCAAGGUAAGUGACCAAGACACCUUUCCUUUGAUUUUAAUAAUGUUCAAUUGGUAGCUUGUGUGAGUUAAAUAGCUAGUUUUAAGUGAUAUUUCAUGACUUUUGGUUGAGAUUGGUGGAUUUUUCUAUUUAUUCAUGAUUUUUCUGUUUUUAUAUGUUUAAUAUUGGUUGGCCAUGGAUGAUGGAUGGAAAUGGUUUAGAAUGAAACUAUAGUGCGUAAAUGGUGGCUAUUUGCGGAAAUUUCCGCUUUGAAAGAAAAAUUUCAGAAUUAGGGUUUGUAAUUAGGGCUUUUCUAGGGUUUCUUUAUAUCAAUUGAAUUGGCUUUGAUUAUAGACCUUUGGGACUCUAAUAAGGUGUAUUGAAGGGUUUAUGACUUGUAAUGGUAAUGGUGAUUGUGUUUGGAAAGCAUGGGGAAAUAUUUGUAGGUUGGAAACUUGGAAUUUUAAGGGAAAAUGCUGUCCAAAUUGAGGGUUCUUGUGUUUAAUGGACUUGAGGUGCUUUGGAAGUUAAAUGGUAACCCUAGUGUUGUCUCAACCUUUAGCACUAAGUGUUUUUACAUUACUUGCAAGUUUUUACGCUUUUACAUUGAUAAUGUGUAGCUUGGAUGUAUGACUCGUGAUCGAGUCUCAUUGUGCUUAUUUGAAUGUUUUAGGGCGUGACGGUGGUUCAAGACGCUCUUUGGGCGGAAGUGUAUGAAAUUUCAUUUGCUUGCUUGGUGAGUGUACUACUCACUUGCUUGUUACUAUGUGGCUUUGUUACACUUGAAAUUGAUGCCUUGAAUGUUUAUUUACACCAUUGAAAUGGAUUAAAGCGAGGGUGUACUUGAUCACUCUCACCCUUUAUGUCCUACAUGACUGUUUACUGUGUUACUUGAAUAGUAUAUGAAUAUACUGAAUUUGGUGUCGUUUGGACGAGUAUCCAACGGCCAUUACUGUUACUACUGAGCUCAACCCCAUUGGUAGUCGAUUGAAUCGAGCCAGCGAGGGUUUGGUCGUGAAAAUUGACGAGCAAUGGGAACUGUUAUAUGGAAUCUUGUAGUAUGAGACUCUCGAUUCCGGUAUACUCGAGUAUUACCAAAUUUAUACUGUUUGGAGUUCGGGCCCGGUUGGGGUGUGUUAGGUGGAAGGAAUGGAAGUAAAGUAGAUUCUACGUCUGGUUACUCUUUAAACAUUGACGGAGGGUUAAUGAGGUACGAUCAAGUAUGCAAGCGAGGAAAGGGGCUCCUGAGAGCCGUCCGUAUCCUUUUACCAAUUCUAUUAAUGUGUGAUCUUAGCUUACUUCCUUAUUGAAUGAAUUGGAAUGAAGGGCUUCAUGCUUAUAUGAACUUCGUUGCUUGAGUGAUAGUAUCUCACUGGGCGUAAGCUCACCCUAUUCCUUUUGUUUUCCUUACAGGAGUUUGAACACUUUUGAAAAAGCUAUUGUCGCGCCCCACUUUUUGAAUGAGUGAAUGAUGUGUGUGGUGUGAAUGUGUGCAAAAUGAAAAUAAAGGCCAUGGGACUUGAUAAAGCGACGGUUUGGCCAUAUAAAGUUCAAAAAGGGUUUUUUUGAAAAAUGGAGUCGCCACUUGGUAUAGAGUUAGGGUGUACCAAGUCACCCAAAAAUGAUUUUUGUUUUUGAAUGAAAAAAGUAAAUAAACCCUUUUAGAGAACUUUUGGGUCUACGUAACCAAAAGAGGGAUCGGGGGUCACAUUUGACGAAGGGGAAGGCAAGGAUAAAAAUCCAAGGCACCCCUUCGACCUAGCCAAGGCUAGUUGCGUGACUUAUACCAAUUUUUCCUAAUUUUUCUACCCAAGGUAUGUAUCGCAUGUUGGAUAUGACUACGUGAAUGCAAAAAGAAAGAAAAAAUGCAAACCUAAAUUCUAAAAUGUCUCUUGUAAGGUUUUUGGUCCCAACCACAUGAGUUGUGGCGGCCAAUAAAGGAAAACCUUAUAGAGGUCGAUUAAUGCAAAUGAUGGCUAAAGUGCAAGUGUGCAAGUGUAUAGAAAGUUGCACGUGUGAAAUUGUAUGAAAAAUCCAAGUGUUUGUGUGCAAGUGUAUGAAGAGGCGUAUGUGUGAAAUUGUAUGAAAAAUCCAAGUGUUUGUGUGCAAAUGAAAGUGUAAUGAGGAUAUAAAAUAAUAGGAUGGAUUGAAAGUGCAUGAUCCUAGGGAAUGCAACAAGUCGGGUACGGGGGUUGACUCCUAACUUUUCGACUUUGAUUUUCCCUUUGAUUAGAAGGCAAAACUAGCGUGCUAAGGCUAUCGAGUAGCCACACUCGCUCGUUUCCCUUAUCGGAAGGGGACACUCAAGCAAAAUGAACCCUGUAGCUAGUAUGGGAUGCAAAACCUAAAAUGAGGGGAGAAGGGGUUCGAGGAUCAUGUCAAAUGAUAAAACUAAGGAAAAUGCGUGAUAUGUGGUGAACAAGCAAAUGAUGUGCUAACAAAAGGGGAUGGCCUAUUGGGUCUAGCGUUGGACUAGCCCUUUCUAUGAAUUCCUAAUGAAAUAAUGAGCCACAACUAGUAUUGGACUAGUGUGGUGACGUACAUUCACCCAUCACAUUCAUUCAUGGCUAUGGAAAGCGAUUAGACAUGCCAAACACUCGUAAACACGUAGCACAUAACAUUUAGCAUGCUCGACUAGAUGCAAGGCCCUAACAAAGCAAAUUAACAUGUAACAACUAAGCAGGCAAGACACAUAAGGCAAUUAAAGCCCUAACUAUUACAUUUGCUAGCUAGGCACACGUCUUCGAUAGGUCUUCAUCGAAUGCUCCUCCAAGCCCUAUCUAUUACAAGCCAAGAGGUGUACACAUACCCCAUAAUGAGACUUAAAUAAAAUUGCUCGCCAAGCCCUAUCUAUUACAAGCCAAGAGGUGUACACAUACCCCAUAAUGAAUAACUUAAACAAAAGCGAAAAGUAAAUGAACUAAUUGAAAGAAAUUUAGACGAGGCAAGGAAAGCGAAGUAGACAUGCAUAUCCACAUAACACAUAGGAGCACAUAAGGUCAAAUGAAAUGCAAAUAAAGGAUGAGGUUACCUCCCUUGCAAUUGGGUCCCAAAUGAAAGAAAAAUGGCUUCAAAACAAUAAAACGGUCAAGGUACCACUUUAUUUGGGAAAAUUAAAGAAAAUAGGCAAACACAAGCUCACUUGGUCAUAAAGCCCCUAAAGUUAUGAAUUAAAUACAAUUGAAACAAAGCAUGGUAGUUAAUUGAAGCAAACAAGCAAUGAAGUUGCACAAAUUAAAAUUAUCAAGGACCAAUUUGAUGAAAUUAUUUAUUUGAUUGGGCCAUAGUAGGACAAGGAGAGACUUGGGGGCUGGAACGCAAUUAUUUUUUUUUAAACUUUUCCAAGCAAAGCUUACGAAGAAACCUUCUGCCAUUUCGUUAGUGUCUCUUUUCUGCAAAAAUUUUCUACCGUAGGUUCGCAACCAUUUUUCACAAGAUUUCAUAAACGGGAAAAAGAUUAAACAUCAAACAGCAAGUUAAAACUUGAUGCACCCAUUGAACAAUAAACUGAACCUUAACUUUGAGCAAACACAGAGCUUCAGCAACUCAAAGUAGCAAAUUCUUAUGCCAAUUUCAAACCGAACAUCACGUAUCAGGUUUUUCAAAUACAAACAUCAGAUAGUGAAUCCUACGAAACUCCAAGCAGUUGGGCUGUUCUACAAAGUACAGCAAAAUCAUUUUUGCAAGCAAGACUUUCGGUUAAGCGUUUCAUCGAGCAUCAACUGGCAAUAAAAUUUUACCAAACUUUUCACUGAAUUACAGUUACAAUUCGCCCCAGAAGUAUCAGCAGACCCAAUCAAAUUGCUCAUGCAUACCAGCAAUUAUAUGCAUCACAUGAACAGGAUACACCAGAAAGGGAUAAAACUACGAGUUUCAAUUGAGCAUUUCGUCGGAUAACAAAUGGGCAUUAAAAAUUUCAUCGAGUCUUGGCUCAUUUAAGAUUAUUCUCAGCCCCAAAAGUUGCCAUCAACUUAGAAAACAGUCCAAUUGACACAUUCAGCAUGCGUAUUCGAAAAUCAUGAACCAACAAUCAGGCAAAUCGCAGCAAAAAUAGUCACGGCAGCAUGCUUCGAAGGCUUGAACGGAACCAAAAUUUUUAAAGGAAAAGAACAGCUUACCAGCUUCUGCUUCGCGAAGUUAUUUUUCAGGUGGUGGUGGGAAAUUCUAGUGAUGGCAGCUCCGGGUGGCAGUGGUUCCAACAACUCCUUGCCAAUAGACGAUGCUUGGCCUUUCCUUUGCGCUGAAACUUUCGCAGCCUUGCUCCUCUGCCCUUCUCUGCCGCUGCGGCCUCCUCCCUGAGCAGGUUCCCCAUCUGGGCUAGUGACAUCGAUGGCCUUGGCGUGGCCAUCACCACCUUGCUCCGCUUCAAACCCGACGGCUUCCUUCUUGCUUGUCCGUCGCCCCCCUCUGGAAUCUUUUAGCCGACCUCUUGCCUUUGUUUUCCGUUCUCUCUGUUUUUCAUUUUGCUCCUUCUUUGACGAAGCCCCCCAGUUUUUCUUUUUUGUUGCUGCCUGCCGAAACUGUCCUCCUAGCUUUUCUUUGGCUCCUUCAACCCACAGUCUCUCAGCCGCUACCCGUUGCUUUUCAUCAGCCGUCCACCUUUUCCUUCUCCAAUCGAAGCUCUCCUUGUCCGUCCGCCUCUGUUUUCUUCCAACCCAGAUGAAAACCUCCUCUCUGUUUUUUCUGACCGAAAGCCCUCCUUUUCCCUUUUCUGUUUUUUCUUUUGUUUUCCCCUGUUUUUUUCUUUUUCUCUCCGCAGCCUUCCCUCUCAACCCCUAGCCGUUCCUCUCUCCUAUUUUUCUUGCUCUCGUUGAAACCCUCCACCCUUUUUCUGUUUUUCUCUCAUCCGUGGCCUCUUUUCUUUUUUUUCUUCCCAUUCUCAAACCUCCCUUCUAAGCUAAACAAGUGUCCUCCUAAAUGUUGUGUUGUCAAUUAAACAAAAGGGACACUUGUCCCUCAAAUUCCUUAACCACUUGUCCCAUGAUUGUUUUGUACACUUGUUCAACAUGCACACUUCCACCUAUUUUGCCAUUUUCAUUCUUUUCCUUUUUUUUUUUCAUUUUCAAGAAAUUCUAUGCUAAAAACUUAAAAAUAAUAAUAACACAAAAAACUAAAAAACUAAAAACUAAAAAGUGAAAAAAAAACGAGCACAGACUAAAAAAUAAUUAGUAAAUGAAAUUACACCAAAAUUUGGUGUCUACAGCUAUGAUAGUUGGAUGCCGAAUUGAGCUAUUUUAAACACUCUUUUGUAUAGCUCCGCAUUGAAAGAAACCCUAAAUGUAUUUUGAUCCGUUCCCUCUUUUGGGUUGUAGAAUUGAAACCGUACAUGUGUAAAUGUGUUUGGUAUCCUUGGUAUGUUAUUUUGGCUUGUAAUUACAUGUUUACUUGAUUUAUAUGGUUUGUUUAUGUUUGGAGGGAUUUCGGACAGAUUCAGAUUUCAAACGGCAAAAGAAAAAAAUUUUGGCGGGAAGGACAGGGUCGAAUCCGGCCAAGAAUCUGGCCAGAAAUUGGGCGGAUUGCCCUGGGAAAAAAUGAAUCCGAGCAAUUAGCUACUGCCUCAUAUCCGGCCGGUAAUCCAGCCAGAUUCCGGCCGGAUUCUGACGUGUCCGGCACUGUUCAUGUCGACUCCGAUUUUCAUUUUUUUUUAUUUUGUGAUUUUGGCUUGUUUGAGCGCGCUUUUAUUUUUUCGGAACGUUAUAGAUCGUGUUUAACUGCUCGUUAGUCCUGGCGAGAGUUGGGCAGGCAGUCCGCUAACCUCUUUGGUUCACCUUAGGGGAAGAUGGGGCUGUCACAGGUGGUAUCAGAGCCUAGGUUUGAAUUGGCCUGAGCAUGUUAGGAAUACUGGACUUGAGGAUUACUUUGAUUGUGUCCCUUUAGAUUAUUUAUGAUUAUUUACUCUUUUGGUGUAGGAUGGACGGACAUAGUGGCCCUAGUGGUAGCCCUACUGGUGAGUGACCCCGGGGAGUGCUCCCGACGAUUAAGUACCAGAUUCGCCCAAGAGGGGCCGUCGUACGUUAGAGCCCGACUAACCGCUUCCGACGUUGUGAGUGCCGUCACACUUACGCCUACCCCAAUACCGUCGUGUUGGCCGUAGUAGAGGAACGAAAGGAGUUGGCGAAGGAUAACGCUAGGCUUGAGGCCGAAGUGAACCAACUAAGGGCAGCUAACGAGAAACAAGCCGAGCGAAUCAAGGAGCUAGAGUACGACGUGAUCGAAGGUCAAGAUAGGGUGGACGACCUUUGCGCCCAACUCGGAGAGGCACGUGAGCGUAUGACUAAGAGAGCUAGGAAAGUUAGGGUUCGAGCCGAGUCUAUCUUGAACCUUUGCGACGAUUUGCUUGAGGAGGAGAGUGACGAAGCUUUGUGUGCAGGGGGCGAGACUGGAGGUGAAUCCACCCCGUCGGGUAUGUCCACUAGCCCGACGAUGGACUGAGUCAUUAUUCUUAGGGUUUUGGAUGGUUUUGACUAUUGUGUAUAGGAUGGAUAGGGAAUAGUAGACCUGGAAAAGAAUCUUAGCUAGCCAUUUUUGUACGUUUGGACUAGCGAUGUAUAUACUCCUGUUGAUGAUGCUGUUCCCUUGUGGAUUGUCUUUGUUGUACUUGGCUGACUGUUAAUAUGUGCCUUAUAUGACUUUGUUUUGGUGACUUUGUUUUGGAAUGUGUCUAUGCUUUAUUGUAAAAGUUUUUGGUCUCUUACGUACAUGUAUUGUUAUUUUAUUGUUCUAGUUACAUUUGCCUAGAUUGAAUAGAUUCGAUGGAAGGCACCCGUAGUGGUCGGGGAUGUGGACGUGGGCGCGGGAGUAGGCAACCCACGUCGGAUAGGGGCGCUGGGGAAACUUUGUCUGGACCCAACCCUGAACCUAGGGUUGACCCUAACGUUCAAAUAGCUGCUACCAUGCAGCAAAUGACUAAUUUAUUGACCCAAGUGGUGCAGCAACAGGGUCAAAACCCUAACCCUAACCCUGGAAACCCUGGCAACCACGUGGAGAGCGAAGACAGAGCUCUCGAGAGAUUCCAGAAGUUUGCCCCACCGAAGUUCAUUGGGGGACCCGAUCCAGAUAUAGCUGAGAGGUGGUUAGAGAAAAUGGUGGAUAUUUUUGCUGCCUUGCACUACACCGAAGAGAGGCAGGUGACCUUCGCCGUCUUUCAGCUAGAAGGGGCGGCCCGUUCCUGGUGGAACGUCAUACGGCAAAAGUGGGAACGGGAGCAAACGCCUCGGACUUGGGUGAACUUCAUGCGUGAGUUCAAUGCUAAAUUCUUCCCUCCUCUAGUCCAGGAACGGAAGGAAGAUGAGUUUAUCCGAUUUCGCCAAGGGGCCCAGUCUGUAGCGGAAUACGAGAGUCAGUUCACCCGUCUAUCCAAAUUUGCUCCUGAGCUAAUCAUGACCGAGCAACGACGAAUAAGGUGUUUUAUCCAGGAUCUGAACGAAGAAAUUCAGAAGGACCUCGCGGUGGCCCAGAUUAACACUUUCAGCGAGGCCGUCGAGAAGGCGCAACGGGUAGAAAGCGCUAGGGUUCAAGUAAGGAACUUCCAGGCAAAGAAGCGAGGCUUUCCUGGGAGCAGUUCAGGACAGGGGGAGAAGAGUGCUCCUCCCAAGUACAGACGAGGAGCUGGAGGUGGACGGCAGUCUGGAGUAGGUAGAGGGACUCCGUCUAGAGGUGGUCAAGCUGGGCGAUGUCAAAGAGGAAAUUUCCAGGGGGUCUCAGCUUCAGUAUCUUGCGGUCCCUGUGGGCAUUGUGGGAAGCCAAACCACACGGAAGAUAAUUGCUGGAGGAAGGAAGGGAAAUAUUUACGCUGCGGGAGUGCAGACCACCAAUUGGCCACUUGUCCGGUCCUAAAACAAGAUGGAAGGGGGAGCCAACAACCGCCGAGGACCAAUUCUGGACCAGCGAAGGGAGAAUGGACUAAACUUAAGGUGCCGGCUCGAGUGUACUCGUUAGAGCCCCAACAAAUCCCAGAUUCCUCUGAGGUCGUAGAAGGUACGAUCUCUUUAUUCCACCGCUUUGCAAAGGUUUUAGUAGAUUCCGGUGCCACCCAUUCCUUUGUUAACCCCAAUUUUAUGUGUGACAUUGAUAUAAAACCUGCUAGUUUACCUUACGACCUAGAAGAUAGUACACCUACGGGAGAUUAGCGUUUGGUUACUAGUAUGGUUUAUAAAGAUUGUGAAGUUUGGGUAGGAGAGAGGAGAUUGUUAGGGGAUUUGAUAAGUCUGUCCAUUAAGGGGUAUGAUGUGAUCUUGGGUAUGGACUGGCUAGCCAAGUAUAAUACCCAACUGGAUUGUAAAAAGAAGGUGGUGGAAUUCCGCAUUCCUGGAGAGGCGACUCUAAGGUUGGAUAUAAGGGGUAGGUUAGCCUCAUCUGCUUUGAUUUCGGGUAUUCGGGCUAGAAAACUGCUAAGUAGAGAGGCGCAAGGAUUUUUAGCCUUUCUAAUCAAUACCCCCACGAAUAAAUUGAAGGUAGAGGAUGUGCACAUAGUACGGAAAUUUCUGGAUGUAUUCCCUGAUGAGUUAGUAGCCCUACCUCCGGAGAGAGAGAUAGAAUUCAAGAUUGACCUGUUAUCGGGAACCUCGCCUAUCUCAAAAACCCCGUAUCGGAUGGCCCCUGCUGAAUUUAAGAAACUGAAAUUGCAAUUACAAGAGCCUUAGGUACCUCUUCUCGCAGAAGGAAUGGAACAUGAGGCAGCGACGGUGGAUGGAAUUUUUGGAGGAUUACGACUGCACAAUCAACUACCAUUCGGGGAAGGCGAACGUGGUAGCCGAUACCUUAAGUCGCAAGGCUCAAAUAGCAGGGUUAAUGAUCAAAGAGUGGGAUUUGUUGGAAUCCGUUUGUGAGUGGAAACCCUGCCUUGGGAGUCAUAAGGUGAUUUUUGGUAAUAUUAAGGUGACAUCCACCCUACUGGAACGCAUUAAAGAAGCGAAAAAAGAGAAUUUGAUGGUACGAAAGUGGGGAGAGAAAGUGAAAAAAGGGGAAUUGCCCGACUUUAAUUUUAGUCCUGAGGGUAUUCUAAAAUACCGAAACCGAGUAGUGGUGCCUAAAGAUGAUGCGUUAAAAAUGGAGAUCUUAGAAGAAACUCAUCGGUCUAAGUAUGCGAUCCAUCCGGGUAGUAGCAAGAUGUACCAAAACCUAAAAGGAGCCUAAUGGUGGGACAAUAUGAAGAAGGAAAUCGCUCUGUACGUGCAGAAAUGUCUCGUUUGCCAACAAAUUAAGGCGGAGCAUCAAAAACCAUCAGGCUUACUACAACCUCUUGAGAUACCCGAAUAGAAGUGGGAAAACGUCACAAUGGAUUUCGUUUCAGGUUUGCCGCGAAUGCAACGAGGACACGAUGCCGUUUGGGUGAUCGUCGAUCGAUUAACCAAGUCGGCCCAUUUCUUGCCGGUAAACAUGAAGUAUUCCAUGGACAAGUUGGCUCAGAUGUACAUGGACGAGAUCGUAAGGUUACAUGGCGUUCCUGUGAGCAUCGUCUCUGAUAGAGAUCCCCAUUUCGUAUCCAGAUUUUGACAGAAAUUCCAAAAGACUCUAGGGACUAAACUCAACUUAAGCACUACCUAUCACCCUCAGACGGAUGGACAAUCGGAGCGAACAAUCCAAACUCUCAAGGACAUGUUAAGGACCUGCAUUCUGGAUUUUGGAGGUAAUUGGGGUCAACACAUGACCUUAGUAGAGUUUCGUACAAUAACAGCUACCAUUCGUCGAUUCAAAUGGCUCCAUACGAGGCACUAUAUGGACGAAAAUUCCGGUCACCGAUCUACUGGGACGAAGUUGGCGAGAGGAAGGCACUGGAUCCAGCAACUAUUCCAUGGAUGGUGGAGGCACGAGAAAAGGUCAAAUUGAUACGACAACGACUCCAAACAGCUCAAAGCCGACAAAAGAGCUAUGCGGAUAAUUGAAGAAAAGACUUGGAGUUCGAAGUGGGAGACCAUGUGUUUCUUAAGGUCACACCGUUACGGAGCAUCACAGCGGGUAGAGGAAAGAAGCUCCAACCGCGGUUCGUUGGACCUUUCAAGAUUCUCCAAAGGGUUGGUAAGGUAGCAUAUCGCCUGGAACUACCGUCCAGUCUCUCUCGAAUUCACGACGUCUUCCACGUCUCGAUGCUUAAGAAAUACUAUCCUGACCCAUCCCAUAUCUUACAGCUAGAGGAAAUCGAAAUAGAUGAAUCGCUCACUUACGAGGAGAAACCUGUACAAUUGCUUGACCGGAAAAUUAAAAAACUGAGAGACAAGCAGAUUGCUUUGGUAAAGAUAUUGUGGAGAAACCAUGGGGUAGAGAAAGCUACUUGGGAGGUGGAAGAAGAAAUGCAAAAGAAAUACCCUGAACUUUUCUUGAGUCAAGGUGAGAAAUUUCGAGAGCGAAAUUCUUUUAAGGGAGAGGGUGUGAGAUCCCGUAAAUUUUCUUAUUUUCUAGGGUUUAUUCUAUUUAAUCGCAUGCUUUUCUACAUUUUCUUUAUUAGGAAAAUUUUCUAGAUAAUUUUUAUGAGUAAAUAUAGUUUUUAGAUGAUUUUUCUAGUAUCGGUUAGUUUUUGAGAAAUUAAGAGCGUAUACCGGACGUGGGACCCGCUAGUGCGAAAAAUUCGGUAAAAUUCGGCCAGUUAGGUUAAGUUUUGGAUACUGGGUUUAUUUGAUCAGGUGUUAAGAGAUAAUUAGAGGUUACCCAAUGGAUGAGAGUUGGAGAGACAAAAGGAUAGCUUUGCAUUAAUGAAAGUGACAAGUGUCACCUUGUGAGUUGAUCUUGAUUUUGACCACUAUUCACCACUUUACCAAUUAAUCAAAAUUGACCCAAAAAUCAUCUUCAUUUGCAAGCUUCUUGGCCGGCCAUCUUCAAGGGAAAGAAAGGAAAAGCUCUCAAUUUUCUUGUCUCCAAUCUUGUUCAAUCCCUUAGUUCAACCGAUUAAACUUGGAUUUCCUCCACAAAAACCCUUAGUCUAGUGAUUGUGAGGUUGUUAGUGAAGUGGUUUGGAAGACCAAGGUGCUAAGUUGUCUCCUUUCUUGAGUUUGCAAGGUAAGUGACCAAGACACCUUUCCUUUGAUCUUAAUGAUGUUCAAUUGGUAGCUUGUGUGAGUUAAAGAGCUAGUUUUAAGUGAUAUUUCAUGACUUUUGGUUGAGAUUGGUGGAAUUUUCUAUUUAUUCAUGAUUUUUCUGUUUUUAUAUGUUUAAUAUUGGUUGGCCAUGGAUGAUGGAUGGAAAUGGUUUAGAAUGAAACUAUAGUGCGUAAAUGGUGGCUAUUUGCAGAAAAUUUCCGCUUUGAAAGGAAAAUUUCGGAAUUAGGGUUUGUAAUUAGGGCUUUUCUAGGGUUUCUUUAUAUCAAUUGAAUUGGCUUUGAUUAUAGACCUUUGGGACUCUAAUAAGGUGUAUUGAAGGGUUUAUGACUUGUAAUGGUAAUGGUGAUUGUGUUUGGAAAGCAUGGGGAAAUAUUUGUAGGUUGGAAACUUGGAAUUUUAAGGGGAAAUGCUGUCCAAAUUGAGGGUUCUUGUGUUUAAUGGACUUGAGGUGCUUUGGAGGUUAAAUGGUAACCCUAGGGUUGUCUCAACCUUUAGCACUAAGUGUUUUUACAUUACUUGCAAGUUUUUACGCUUUUACAUUGAUAAUGUGUAGCUUGGAUGUAUGACUCGUGAUCGAGUCUCAUUGUGCUUAUUUGAAUGUUUUAGAGCGUGACGGUGGUUCAAGACGCUCUUUGGGCGGAAGUGUAUGAAAUUUCAUUUGCUUGCUUGGUGAGUGUACUACUCACUUGCUUGUUACUAUGUGGCUUUGUUACACUUGAAAUGGAUGCCUUGAAUGUUUAUUUACACCAUUGAAAUGGAUUAAAGCGAGGGUGUACUUGAUCACUCUCACUCUUUAUGUCCUACAUGACUGUUUACGGUGUUACUUGAAUGGUAUAUGAAUAUACUGGAUUUGGUGUCGUUUGGACGAGUAUCCAACGGCCAUUACUGUUACUACUGAACUCAACCCCAUUGGUAGUCGAUUGAAUCGAGCCGGCGAGGGCUUGGUCGUGAAAAUUGACGAGCCAUGGGAACUGUUAUAUGGAAUCUUGUAGUAUGAGACUCUCGAUUCCGGUAUACUCGAGUAUUAUCAAAUUUAUACUGUUUGGAGUUCGGGCUCGGUUGGGGUGUGUUAGGUGGAAGGAAUGGAAGUAAAGUGGAUUCUACGUCUGGUUACUCUUUAAACAUUGACGGAGGGUCAAUGAGGUACGAUCAAGUAUGCAAGCGAGGAAAGGGGCUCCUGAGAGCCGUCCAUAUCCUUUUACCAAUUCUAUUAAUGUGUGAUCUUAGCUUACUUCCUUAUUGAAUGAAUUGGAAUGAAGGGCUUCAUGCUUAUAUGAACUUCGUUGCUUGAGUGAUAGUAUCUCAUUGGGUGUAAGCUCACCCUAUUCCUUUUGUUUUCCUUACAGGAGUUUGAACACUUUUGGAAAAGCUAUGAUAGUUGGAUGCCGAAUUGAGCUAUUUUAAAUACUCUUUUGUAUAGCUCCGCAUUGAAAGAAACCCUAAAUGUAUUUUGAUCUGUUCCCUCUUUUGGGUUGUAGAAUUGAAACCGUACAUGUGUAAAUGUGUUUGGUAUCCUUGGUAUGUUAUUUUGGCUUGUAAUUACAUGUUUACUUGAUUUAUAUGGUUUGUUUAUGUUUGGAGGGAUUUCGGACAGAUUCGGAUUUCAAACGGCAAAAGAAAAAAAUUUUGGCGGGAAGGACUGGGUCGAAUCCGGCCAGAAAUUGGCCGGAUUGCCCUGGGAAAAAAUGAAUUCGAGCAGUUAGCUACUGCCUCAUAUCCGGCCAAGAUCCAGCCGGAUUCUGACUUGUCCGGCAUUGUUCAUGUCGGCUCCGAUUUUCAUUUUUUUAUUUUGUGAUUUUGGCUUGUUUGAGCGUGCUUUUAUUUUUCCGGAACGUUAUAGAUCGUGUUUAACUGCUCGUUAGUCCUGACGAGAGUUGGGCAGGCAGUCCACUAACCUCUUUGGUUCGCCUUAGGGGGAGGUGGGGCUAUCACAGAAUGAACCAUAUGAGAUGACUCAAACUCUUAGGGCACAUUUGGUUCACGGACUAAAUGAAAUGGGAGAACUCAUUCUCAAAUUAUUAAUUCCGGUUGAGUCAUCAUCGGAUUAAUAGCUCUCAUUAUCUAGUGUUUGGUUGGUUCUGAGUUAAAUAAAAUGUGUUAAGAAAUAAUCCUAUCAUAUAUUUGGUUGGAAAUUGGAUGAGAUAGGAUUACUAUUUUAAAGACCAAAGUACCCUUUAAUUUGUACCAUUGUUUUAAUAAAACAAUUCAAUAAUUUAUUACUUUUAUUAAAAUAGAAUAGUUUGAAACUUUAGAAUGAUAAAAUAAAUCAAGGGUUUUGAUAUAUUAAAAUUUGCAUUUACUCAAACUCCGCCCACUCGAGCCCUUAAACAUAGGUUUUGACUGAAUUUUUGAACCUAAAUUUGAAAUCCAAUUAAUAAUGGGCCAAGUUUUGGUCAAAUUAAGGUUAACUCGAAUAAAAUCCAACCCAUUUAAAAGCUUUGGUCCAAACUGAGUUCAGACCAAGUAGAAAAUUUUUCUUUGGUCCGAACUUGAACUUAUUGAAACCCUUAUUCACAAAACCCAAAACCCAAUUGAUACAGAGUUAUGUAUCUAUAAAGAAUUUGGUUGAGCAAAUGAGUUUGGUAAGGGCAAUUUAGUCCAAGGAUAAUUUAGUCUAAGGGCAAUAUAGUCCUUUUAUUAUGAUAGUAAGGGCAAAUUAGUCAAAAUAUUUCAAUUAAUUAAUAGGGCUAAAUUAGUCGAAAUUUUAAAAUAAUGAAUAGGAGCAAAUUAGUCAAAAAAUUUUAAUAUAAUUAGUAGGGGAAAAUUAGUCCGUUUAUUAUCAUAUUAUUAUGUAAGAGUAUGAUUAUAUGAAUUUCUAUCAUUCGUAAAGGCAAGUUAGUCCAAAUAUUGUUAUGUUGAUAGCAGGGACAAAUUAGUUAUCAAACUUUAAAAUUAAUUAGUAUGGGCAAAUUAGUCAAUUCAUGUUAGGGUUAUAUAAUUAUGAGAAUGAAUUUGUAUUAUUUGUAAGAAUAAAUUAGUCUAAAAUUUUAUCAUCCCAUCUCUUAGUCAUCUCGGGAUGACUAAUACCACCUCCCCGGAUGACUAAUACCACCUUCCCCAUGGAAUUAUUUUAUCCCAUGAAUAGGGAUUAAUUCAGUUAGUCGGGAUGCAUCAUCCUAUGUAUAAAAUGCAAUUAAAUAUGAUAUGACACAAGAUAAUUAAUCCAAUCUUGUAUCAUCCCAUGAACCAAAUGGACCCUUAAUCUCUUGGAUGCAGUGAGAGUUUGUUAUGAAUCAUUGUUAAAUCAAACCAAUAUUUAUUCCUCAUUACUAUAUAUAAUGUCAAAUUCAACAAUGUCAGAAAAUUUAUCACCACUCAUCAUGUGAGUAGUUUUUAAGUGAUAAUGGGUUCUAGUACUUUUUGUGCACAAUUUUACUCCAAUAAUACAUGUUGUUAUUACAAGGUUGAAUGUAUGUUGAAAUUAUACAUUUUAUGAAGUGUAAAUGCUUUUAUAGUACUUAGUUAUAUAAUGUUUGAAAGUGUUUUCACCUAUAUAAUCCUAGAAGUGGUACCACUUCUAAUAAAAGUUUGGGAUUGCUGUAUAUGACCAUGAAUCUACGAUAGAGUGCAUUGCCGGUAAAAGUGCAAAAUUUGUGAACUGAUAAUUGUUUAUAGUACCUGUUUGCGCUAAUUUUUGGUAGCCUAUGACCUGUUACCGAUAUCAUGGUUGUUGCAGGCGUGCCAUCUGGUUUAUGUCAGGAAAACCAGGAAAACAAUAUGAAUGGACCAAUAUUGACAAAACUGUAGAUGUGUCGAUGAAUAUGAACUUCUAAAUGAUUGUUGUUCAUCUUGCCUUGAGCAGGACUUAAAUUUCAUUCCAAUAACAACUGAUUAAGAAGAUGUUGAUGAAGAAACUGUUAUGUAAAUAGAAAUUAAUGAAUUACUUAACAUGGAAUGUAAAGAGUGCUAAGAAUUUAUGAAUAUUGCUUGGAAUGUAAAGAACGAUUUAAACAUAAAGAUUGCUUGGAAUAAAUUUAGAAUUCAUAUCAACUCCAAUGAAAUUUAUAGAACCCAACAUUGGUUUGCUUGGAAACAUAAAACAGAAAAGAAAUGGUUGCAUGAAAGUUUGAAAUCCAAUGGAUUCUAAGAAAGCUUUGGAAAUCCUAAACUCUGUCAUAUGGAUUCUAAGAAAGCUAAUAAAAGGAGAGCAUUUUAAAGAAAAAAAUUAGACUUGUCUUUUGUGAAGUUGAAAGUCCUCUUCAUCUGAUGUUUUUUCUUUUAUUUAUAGUUGGAGUAUUCCUCCCAACAUUAGCAAUGGCUUCCUCUACUAUUGUUAAUGAGCCCUAUUUUCUCAUGUCUAGUGAAAUGGUCUUUUUCUCAUGCCACAUUAGCCACAUUAUUUCAACCACCACUACCUAGGUUUUAGGGAUAGUGUAACCAUCACAUCUCCAUUUUGUAGGGUCAUGAACCGGUCCAAUCCUCCUUCCAUACUAAUUACCUUUGUUGAUCAUAUCUUGACAGCAUUUAGUCAAUCCCUUUUGCAUCGGCACUCAUACAUAUCAGGGAGAAUGUAUCAACUCGUAUUUGUAUGUAACGAUGAGUAUGCAGAUAUCAAUCAUUGCUUCCAAUCUCAUAUGGAACCUUUACUGCUCACACUUUUCAGUCUUGAACCAUCACCACUACCACUCAAUUUCUAAUUGUCGAUCUACACAGAUUAAUUAGCAAUCAUGUCCCAUAUGACCUCCAAUUGUCAUGACUAAGAAGCUUAUAGUGACACAGCCAAUUAUCAACCUACCGAUAAGUGAUAGAUAUCACACCAACAAAUGCCUUUCUCAAAUAGUUUAUCAGCUUACAAACCACCAAUGAAAGUUUGAUUAUCAAUCCAACAUCGGCUUUUUUCAUGAAUCCAUCUUGUCCUUAUUUGCUCAACUGCUCCAACUGUUAGCAUUAAAUAAACAUUCCACAUGGCUAUGCCUAAUAAAUUAUUUCUUCUUCCAAGAAUCCUUUUUUGGAAUUCGAAAAAAUUUUCCUUUCUCCACAUGAAAGCCCAAUUUGGCUCCCUCAUUAUUACUUCAUGUUUAUUAGCACCUCAUUGAAUAAGGGAAUUAAAUGCCUACUAAUAGUAUCAUUUGGAUGGGUAAGUAUUACCCUACCAAGUUUAUCUCUACUUUUUAUUAUCUAGAUCUCCAUCAAACCCUUGGACAAUGCUUGCUUGUCGUUGUGUUCAGUGCAAUCUUAAAACUCUAUCACCAUCAGUUUAUCAUAUUUGUCAUUGGCAUCAUGCUUCAUCAUGUCUAGCUGGCCAUAUUUGGCUAAGAAGUCGAUAGGCAAUACUACCACCAUAUUAACAUGUACUGGUUAUUGAGUUCUGAAUCUGACUGUCAUUAACCCAUUACCACUUUUGGCCUUAUCCUCUUCCAAUUGACCCAUCGAUGAGUGAUUAGUACCCUAGCACUCUUUUUUGGAUCAUUGAGUAGUUUAGUCUUUUUUUUUCCAUCCGCUCUUGUUGCUUCCACCUGUGCCAAUGACUUUUUUGAGUUUUGGCCAUCUAGCGAGGAUUCAUUUCUCGCAAGAAUAUUGGAUGUCUUAAGAUUUUGCCAUUGGCCAACCCUUGUAUUUAUAGAAUUCACAAACCUUGUCAUUGCUUUUUAUCUUGCCCCACCACUGAUCUCUUGCUUUGGCCGAUUUCUUCAUGAUCAUUUGCCAUUGAUCGGUCACCUUUUAAGUCAAUUUUUUGUUUCAUAGUCUUGUCUCCAAGCUUUUUCCUUGACCAACUGAUAAGUUGCUAUCCUCCUCAUUCUUUUAGCUGAUCUUUAACACUUCGCUUGGCUGGGUAAUCGGCUCAAGGGAUGUGCUUCAAAUUACGUGCGACUUUUUAUUCAAAUCCUUUGUAGGGUGUCUGAUCAUUGUAUUGGCAAAUUGGUCGAUAAGUUGAUAGAUUUGCAUUUCAGGCUAUUUCCUUUGAACCCAAAUCUGGGGCUCAUUGUUCACCAUAAGUAUCACUUGUUCAGUAUCAAACUUCAUGCACCACCUCAUUCUGGGAUUGUGUGAUUUGGGAAACAACCUGUGCUACUUGCUGCAACUAGUCAAGGCACUAAUUGCACCGCCGAUUCUCAGAACAUUUAGUAACGGCUUGAGAACUAUCCACUGGAUUGGGCUAGUGGUUCGCUUGGUUAUUCUUGCUAAAACAUGUCAUAUUGCAGAUAUUGAUUAUAUUGAUAUUGGCAAAACAUUGAAAAGUCUUUGUCUCUACUUCUGUCUACCCACCAUGAUCAUCAGUGAACUUGAACAAUCUUUUCUUAAUUGCUCUUUGAAUGUAAUUCCAGAAUACCAUGCAAUUAUUAGUGGAAUGUGAAAAAGUUCCAUGGUAUUUGUAGAAUUUCUUGCCAGCCAAUUCUUCAGCUGUAGGAUGCCAAUAAUUCUUAGGGUAUUUUACCCUUCUUUUAGCCUGCAAAAAAUCAAAAAUAUCUUCUGAAUGUGAAUCAAAGCUAUACCUCUUAGUUCCCUUGGUAGGUUUCUUUUUUAUUAUUGCCGAUGAGUUUCAAACCGGUGACUAUUGUGCUAUUGUGAGGACUCGAAAAUUUACUUAUUUUAAAUUCCUAUUACUAGUUUAUUUAAAUAUUUAAUUGUCCGUUUACUCCGAAUAUUUUAUUUCAACUUUUUUAGAUCCAAUUAUAUGGAACUAUGACUUACUUAUAUUUUUAAAAUGAUUCGUUUCAAAAUUUAAUUUUUGAAAGCUCGUUAAGUGAGAAUAGUGAAUACGCGUUUGGAGACAAUAAACGAUUUGAGGAUACAGUGAGCUUGGAGAGUAAAGACUCAUACAUUAGCCUCAAAAUAGUUAUUUUUAUGUUUAAGUACUCAAGUAUUAGUUAGUAAUACCAUCGUUAUAAGAAUUGCUUAGAAAUUUCGCUCUAUUGUGCACAAAUCGGAAGUACGCGUUUUCGCGUGCGUGAUUAAUCGAGGGACUUUAGACCUUUUUUUUUAGACUAUUUAGAGUGAAUAAUAAUAGUAUGGAUGGAAGUGCAUUAGAGGUUUAGUGCACAAGUGAAACAAAUCCGAGAGGAAACUAGCACGAAACCCGCGCGAACGCGCACUAUUCCUAAUUGACUUUUGGAGCACUUUUUGGCCACACACUUAAGCUUCUCAAGGAAGCUUCAUCAUCAACCAAACACACUCUCUCUCUUUGUUCUUGCUGGCCGGCCACCCCAAGGAAGAAACAAGACCAAAAGCUCUUCAUUUUCGUCAUUUUCUUGCUUCAUUUCUUGUCCAAAUCACUCCAAAAUUUUACUACACCUUGCAAACCACUUGGAGAUCAACUCAAGCUAGGAAAGGAGCUUCAUUUGCACGGUUUUCUUGAGUUUCAAAGGAUCAAAAAUUUCUGCUUUAGUCAUCUAAGGAGGUAACAAAUAAUCAACCUCUUGAAACUUGGCUUUUAUAUAAGUUAUAUUACACUUGUAAGUUUAUAGUGCAUGUGGGUAGCUCUAUAUUGUUGGAAAUCUUGUGAGUGGGUUCUAUGAAAUCCCACAAUGGACUUGAUGAGCUGGUUUGAUGAUAUUGGGUGUUAUUUAUGUUGGGUUAGUGCUUAAUCUAGUGGAUAUAAGUUGUAUUAUGGAAGAAAACUUAAAGGGAGUGAAAUGAGCAAAAGGGACGGUUCUACCCCUGUUUUGCCGUGCCCCUUUAGUGCAAUUUUUGUGGUCCAAUUGACUUGAUUUUGAUGUAAAUGUGUAAUAUAGGUUGUGUAGAAAGUUUCCUCAAAUAAUUACUUGAUUUGGUUGGGUAAAAGUUGAGAUUUCGAAAUUUCACCAAAACUGGAAAACGUGACCAGAGUCUCUUUGGCAGUGAUUUUGUAUCGACCAUAACUUUUUGCUCCAAUGUCGAAAUCGAGUGCCAUUUGUAGCAUUAGAAACUAUUUUCCAUCGAUAUAAAAUGCAUUCCCUGAUUCCACAUGAGUGAACCAUACCAAUCGUUAUGUGAAAUUGUAGCCUUAUGAAAUUUAUUUUUCAACUCUGACAACCACUCUCAAUUCCAAGUUGAAUAGAGUGAGUUAUGGCCAAAUUUCAAACCUGCCUCGUUGCUUCAAAACCUUAAAUUUGGGCUGGUCAAUGGCUAAUCUUGAUUGGGAGUUGUUAUUUCGAAACUCUUGGUGUUAAUCACCUAUCAAACACAUUUUUUUGAUGUCUCUUAGACAUUGUCUUCAUAAAUGGACCAUGUUUGAAAAGAUUUCAUUGGCCAAAUGAUUGAGAAAAGAAAAACGAAAGUGCAAGGCAGAUUUGCCUUAGGAAAUCGUGGAACUUUAGCGACUAUGCUACCCAACUUUUCGUGUGAAUUUUUACAUGCAAAUUGACAGAGGAAUAGCCCUCAUAUGGUAGGGUAAUACUACCAAAUUUUAUGCCCUUCCAGAUCCAUUUCGAUGCUCAACCAAAGUGUUAAAAUUCCCAUUUUAAAUCUGAAAAACCCUUGUUUGGUGAGGAAAUUUCAGUAACUUUGAGCCACUAUAUCCUGGUGCUCGAAAAUCCGAUUCUAGUUUCACUUAUUGUGUUUUAAACUUUGAUUAUAACUCUAAUUGAGUUCCAAAUUUCAGAGGCUAGUUCGCAUUGUGUGAAUUUUGCCGAAUUUCUAAACUUGCCGAAAAUCAACCCAAAUCUGUCUUGGAAUUCCAAAACAGCAUCUUGGACCCAAAAUUUGAAUAUCUUCCAUUUGGAAUCAUGAAAAAGUGCCUUCUAAGAACUUUUAGUACUUUAGAAGUAGUUUCCAACGGUACCAAGUUUUCCAAUUUUGGACCUACCGAUUGUGAGUUACGAUUUUUCAAAGAUUGCGUGUCGAAUCUGAAAUUUUUAAACUUAAAGGAAAUUGAGUUUUUAGAACUUUCCAUUUUUCCUUCGAUACCACUUGACCGUUUUACACUUGAUUUCAAAGAUAAAAAUCAGAUUUUUCUUGUGUUUUAAAAUCUCACUUUUGAGUCUCGAUUUACGAGUAAUUAAAAUUCAUUUUCGCGAUAUCUUCUUAGAUUGUACGCUAGUACAAUCUUCUUCGAUAAUUAGGGGUCUUAAGCGAUAAUGUGUAAUAGUUUAUUAUUAAUUGCUCAGGCACUUAAGAGAACCUUCGAGAGGAUCCCACGGUGAACACCUGAACCCUCAAGUAUACUUUACGUUUUGAGUUGGUGAGUGUCAAGUGCAUAAAUAGUUGAAAUUAUGGGAACGUGAUACAUGUUCAAUUGUUAUUGUCGAUUGGAAAUUUUGAAAAUGGAGUCGAGUGUGUACUUUACCGCACUCGUAAAUUGAUUCGGGUGCGACACAUUUCUUUGUAAACACUAAUUUCAUGGGCGGAAUAGACUUGAAACCAAUUAAAUUACCUUAUGACUUAGAGGUUAGGACACCUACUGGGGAUCAAAGUCUAAUCGCUAACUUGGUAUAUAGGAAUUGUGAGAUCUGGAUUGGAGAACGGAAAUUAAUGGCCGAUCUGAUAGGUUUAGCGAUUAUGGGGUAUGAUGUGAUCCUAAGAAUGGACUGGUUAGCCCGUUACAAUGCCCAGUUGAACUGUAAGACGAAAAUAGUGAAAUUGUGCGUUCUGGGAGAGGCAACCCUGAAACUGGAUGUAAGAGGUAAAUUAGUUUCGUCUGCACUUAUCUCAGGAAUCCGAGCUAGGAAAAUGUUAAGUAAGGGAGUUCAGGGAUAUUUGACUUUUCUAAUCAACAUUCCUAGUGAUAAAGUGAGAUUGAAGGACAUGCCUGUAGUGAAAGAGUACCCAGAUGUCUUUCCUGAAGAGUUAGAGUCUUUACCUCCGGAAAGGGAAAUAACUUUUAAGAUUGAUGUGACUCCGGGAGUAGUAUCUAUCUCUAAGACACCAUAUCGGAUGGCUCCAACUGAGUUGAAAAAAUUGAAAUUACAAUUGCAGGAUUUGUUGGAACGGGGUUUUAUAAAAGAGAGUGACUCACCGUGGGGAGCCCCGGUCUUAUUUGUUAAGAAGAAAGACGGGAGUUUAAAGUUGUGCAUAAAUUAUCGAGACUUGAAUGAUGUCACUGUUAAGAAUAAGUACCUGUUGCCCCACAUUGAUGAAUUAUUUGACCAAUUGCAAGGGACAGUGGUAUUCUCGAAGUUGGAUUUGAGACUGGGUUAUUAUCAAUUGAGGAUUUUGGAGAAAGAUAUACCCAAUACUGCUUUUAACUCGAGGUAUGGACACUUUGAGUUUACAGUAAUGCCAUUUGGACUGACCAAUGCACCUGCGGCAUUUAUGGAUUUGAUGCACAAGGUCUUUAAGCCUUAUCUGGACCAAUUUGUGGUGGUCUUUAUUGAUGAUAUUUUGGUAUACUCCAAGAAUGUGAAGGAUCACGAGAAGCACCUGAGAAUUGUUUUGCAAACCUUGAGGGAACACCAUGUGACAGCCCCACCUUACUCUAAGGUGAACCAAAGGGUUCGGCUGACCGCCUGCCCAACUCUCGCCAGGACUACUAAGACAGUUAUACACAAUCUAAGACCUUCCGAAGGAAAAUAGCGCGCUUAUAUGAUUCAAAAUCGCAAAACGAAAAUGAAAAAAAGUCGGAACUGCAAAUGAAUAGUAACUGCCACGUCACCAUCCAGCCAAAAUCCAAUCGAAUACAGAUAACGUCAUAUAACUCAGGAGAAAUCAUUUCCAAACCAAAUAGGAUACAUGAACAUGGUUAAACAGUUUUAUACACAUACGUUUCAAAUUUACAAAUCCAAAGGGAAAUAUUUGGAUCAAGGUACAUUUAGGGUUUUCCAACUUCCAAGGAGCUAUGCAAAAAGGUAUUUAUACAAGCUCUAUUCCUUCUUCAAAAUGAUCAUUGGUCCAAAAGAUGGUUCCCUGUAAGGAAAACAAGGAUAACGGGACGAGGUGAGUUAGAAACUCAAUGAGGUACCAAAAUUAUAAACAGUAGAAAUCAUGAGAAAAUACUUUUAAGGCACUUAUUCACAUCAAAUACGAGAAAUGAAUGAACACCACAAUGUAAAGGAUACAGGUGACUCUCAAGAGCCAAAUUCCCGUUGCAAUACUUGAUCCAACCUCGUUGACCCUCCGUCAACGUUCAAAUAAAGAAACCAGUCCAGUAGAACACCACUUUAAUGCCAAAAUCCCGUUCACCAAACAUACCCCCUUACUGGGCCCGAACGCUAAACAGGAACAAGAAUGGUAAUACUCGAGUAUACCGAAAUCAAGAGUUUCAAUACCCAAAGAUUCCCAGAACAGACUACCGUGGUUCGUUAUCUAAUCGACCAGACCCUUGCCGGCUCGACUCGAAUAACUAGCCACAGGUGUUGAGCUCAAAGGUCACAGAAAGGUCAUUGGAUACCAACCUCCAAACGACGUCCGAACAGAUUCAGAUACAGAUAACAGAUUAUACACAGUAAAUAGGCAUACAGACAGAUAGUAAAUAGGCAUACAGGCAGACAAGAGAACGAGUGUGAUAAAGUACACUCUCGUCUCAAACAGAACAAACAGAUAGUACAAUAAUUCAGAUCACAGAUUGCAAGUGCAGAAAUCAAGUUAAGCAACAAAUGAGGGGAGUGGUACACUCACCGGUUCCAGUUCAGAUACUUCAAAAGUUUUUAGCCACGAAACCCUAAAAUAAUCAAGAUAAAACAAUUAUAGUUCGCACAUCCACAAAUCCAGUAAAUGAAAUGCAUAAAUGAGACUCGACUACACCUCGUACGCCUUUCCAGGUUAAGUACUAGUACAGAAGAAUAAAAAUAUGACUUUUGAGUAAAAAAAAUAACAGUUGGUCCUAGGGUUACAAACAACUCCCAAAACCCCUUCAUUUUUACCAAGAUCAACUCAACUUGAAGGAAUCGCGUAGCCCUAAAAUUUUGGGUAGCAUGCCCUCUGUAUUUACCUAUUUUUCAGCCAUUUAUGGCUUCAUUAUUUUUCCUCAACUCAAUCCAAUCCAACACAUAAGAAAUCUCAAUACAAUAACCCUUCAACUAGGCUCAAGUUCAUCCAAAUACAAAGCAAGUCUAGGAAUGCAACUGGAAAUCAAGUUUUAAAGACAAAAGCUAAAUAGCAUGUUUGACGUCUCUUAGCGUAUCGGUCAUAACCGAAGCUACGCUUAUCGGAUUACGGUGAAAUUUAUACCAUUUCGAAGCUAAGAUAAAGGCCUACAACUUUGAUGAAAACCACUUAGUCCAGUUCGUAGUGUAUCGAGGUCAAAAUUUCAAAUUACAGAACCAGUAUCUCACAAUCAGACUAGUUAAGCAUACUAUGAUUAAACGACAAUAACUCAGGCUACCGAAAUCCGAUUGAGGUGUAUCUUAUGGCGUUUCGAAGCCAAGACAUAUACCUACAUUUCUUAUGAAGACCUACAAAGCUAAAUUAUGCGUUUUCAGAGUCAAAAAUUGAAAUCCCCACGAAGACAGAAAACUAUCCGCGAAAAUAGGGCUUUUGGGCAGUCAAGGGUAUUUCGGUCAUUUCACAUGCUACGGUACUCCAAUUGAACUGAAUUUUACAGGCAGCUAUAAAACAUCAUUUCUUACAACAUUUAUGUUUUGUGCUAAGCCUAAUUCGGCCUCUAACCUAGUCAAACAGAACCGGGCAGAACAGGGCAAAUUGGAACCCUAACACUGAAAUUUUCCGCACAAGCUGAAAUUUUCCGCAAAUAAUCGCAAUUAACGCACGAGAGAUCCAUUUAACACAAUUUAGAGCCAUCAAUCCAAGGCCAACCAUAAUCAUCAUAUGAAAAUAGAAAAAUCCCAAAAAAAUUAGAAAUUUAGCUAACUUCACUUUAAUCCAUGAAAUCUUCCAUAAAAUCUCUUAGUUAGCUACCAUAAGUCACCAAUUGACCAUUAUUAAGAACAAAAAGUGAGUUCCAAGCAAAAUGCCUUAACUCCUCAAGAAAGGUAGUAGCUUAGGGGUUUUUCUUCCAAAACAACUCCACCAAGACCUUUGUUCUUCCUUAGAUAACACUCUUAUGGAAGGGUUUGCGAUUCUAUCGGUUGAAACUCCAAAUUUUAGCAAGAAAUGGAAGGACAAAUUGAAGGUUCUCUCUUGGUUUUUCUCCUUACAAGGGCUGGCCAACAAGCAUAAGAAAUGAAGAUGAUUUUGGUCAAUUUUGAGGUUUAGUAAAGGUGAUGAAAAUUAGUCAAAGUCCAACUUGCAAUAGGGUCAUGACACUUGGCACCUUCUUAAGUUAUUCUUAUCCAUUUGUCUACCAAACUUAACCUAGAUAACUAUUCUCUAAUUAUCUCCUAACACCUUGUAAAAUAAUAUCUCUUAAUACAAAAUUUCAAUUAAUCGUCAAAAUUUUAUCGCACUUAGCGCACUAGCGGGCCCCACAGCCAUGCUACGCUUCAAACUUACUAUGAACCAACUCAUACCAGGAAAAUGAUUUGAAAAAUGAUAUUCACUUAUAAAAAUGUAUAUAAAGUUAAUAUAUUGAAGGAAAGUAUAAAAUUGUAGACAAGGAAAUAAAAUAAUAUCUAGAAAAUAUAAAAAUUUUCGGGUUCUCACACUCUCUCCCCCUUAAAAGAAUUUCGUCCUCGAAAUUCUUCUCAUACCACAAUCUAUCCAGAAAGAAAUCAUAACAAUGCUAUGACUAAAACGCUAUGCUAAGAAAAUCAGUGAAGACAUAGGGAGAAUUCACUCACAAUAUCAGGUAUAGAUCUACUUGCUAUGAGGGAUAAGGGGAGGAAGAAGGAAAAGAAUGAACACUUCAAGAAGAAAUGUGUGGCUGCUAAGUGUGAAACAUGUAACAAAAGGCAUACGGGAAUAUGUUAUGUGAAAAUUGGUGCAUGCUUUAGAUACGGCCAACUGGGACACCAAGUGAGGAACUGCCCAGAACAAAUGAAUUUUGGGAUAGUGAAGCUGCUAUAAUAGUUAAAGUCGGCAAGUAGUGAUGUGUUAGCUGAAAUAAUUGUAUUGAAAAAAAUCAAAACAAGUAACCAAGUACACUUGGGACUUUAACCAUAUAACUGUUAAAUUUCCUCACUCCCAAUCCAACCACGAAAAAUCAAACUUAGAAGCAUACAGGUAUAGAGGCCAGAUUCUUUCUCUCCAAUUUCAUACCUAAUUCCAAACUCUCGAUCUCGACACAAUAAUAAUCAAGUCAGGUCUACAUUUUGACAUCAAAAGAUAAAUGUCAAGAAAGUAUAAAUCUCACAAGAGGGGUAGAAAGUACCUCUAUGGUUGUAGCUAGACUAACUCAAAGUCAAGUAAACACUUAUCACGUCCUCACGGUCAUAGCAAAAGGGAACAUGUCUUAGGUGCGAAUUCCCUUACAAUCUAGCCACCCUCGAGAAAACCCGAGCCAGACUUGUACAAGAGUAGUCCAUGAUAACACUUCCAUAUCAAACCCCCCCUCGAUCAAUCUUGUUACGAGGUCCAAUAUAAAAUCUUCCGUGCCUUGGCCUUUGCCAUCUAGACUUACCUCAAGUUCAAUCAAGAUACAGACCUUUAUUCUCGCGCUCUCCACUAUUUGGUACUCAAGUCCAAGAAUCCACAAUAAGAUAAUUCACAACUCGAGCCGGCCGGUUCCAAGAGUAAAUCAUCCAUAUUAUAGAUUCCUACCCGACAUACAUAUCUAUCUUCCUCAAAUUCCAUGAUAAAGAUUUUUACACUUAUAACAUGCACGAUUCAUAACUUAUGCUCAAACGAGCACUUAGACUCAUUCACGAAAUCAGGACUAUAACACCACUUAGCUCAAACUCAUUCCGCGUAGAGACCACGCGAAGCGGCUCUGAUACCACCUGUGACAGCCCCACCUUACCCUAAGGCGAACCAAUGGGUUCGGCGGACCACCUGUCCAAUUCUCGCCAGGACUACUAAGACAGUUAUACACAAUCUAAGACCUUUCGAAGGAAAAUAGCCCUUACACGAUUCAAAAUAGCAAAACGAAAACGAAAAAAUGAAAAAAAAUCGGAGCCGCAAAUAAAUAGUGACUGCCACGUCACCAUCCAGCCAAAAUCCAAUCGAAUACAGAUAACGUCAUAUAACUCAGGAGAAAUCAUUUCCAAACCAAAUAGGAUACAUGAACAUGGUUAAACAGUUUUAUACACAUACGUUUCAAAUUUACAAAUCCAAAGGGAAAUAUUUGGAUCAAGGUACAUUUAGGGUUUUCCAACUUCCAAGGAGCUAUACAAAAAGGUAUUUAUACAAGCUCUAUUCUUUCUUCAAAAUGAUCAUUGGUCCAAAAGAUGGUUCCCUGUAAGGAAAACAAGGAUAACGGGACGGGGUGAGUUAGAAGCUCAAUGUGGUACCAAAAUUAUAAACAGUAGAAAUCAUGAGAAAAUACUUUUAAGGCACUUAUUCACAUCAAAUACGAGAAAUGAAUGAACACCACAAUGUAAAGGAUACAGGUGGCUCUCAGGAGCCAAAUUCCCGUUGCAAUACUUGAUCCAGCCUCGUUGACCCUCCGUCAACGUUUAAAUAAAGAAACCAGUCCAGUAUAACACCACUUUAACGCCAAAAUCCCGUUCACCAAACAUACCCCCUUACCGGAUCCGAACGCCAAAUAGGAACAGGAAUGGUAAUACUCAAGUAUACCGGAAUCAAGAGUCUCAAUAUCCAAAGAUUCCCAGAACAGACUACCGUGGUUCGUUAUCUAAUCGACCAGGCCCUUGUCGGCUCAACUCGAGUAACUAACCACAGGUGUUGAGCUCAAAGGUCACAGAAAGGUCAUUGGAUACCAACCUCCAAACGACGUCCGAACAGACUUAGAUACAGAUAACCGAUUAUACACAGUAAAUAGGCAUACAGACAGACAGUAAAUAGGCAUACAGACAGACAAGAGAACGAGUGUGAUAAAAUACACCCUCGUCUCAAACAAAAUAAACAGAUAGUACAGUCAUUCAGAUCACAGAUUGCAAAUGUAGAAAUCAAGUUAAGUAACAAAUGAGUGGAGUGGUACACUCACCGGUUCCAGUUCAGAUACUUCAAAAGUUUUUAGCCACGAAACUCUAAAAUAAUCAAGAUAAAACAAUUAUAGUUCGCACAUCCACAAACCCAGUAAAUGAAAUGCAUAAAUGUGGCUCGACUACACGUCGUACGCCUUUCCAGGUUAAGUACUAGUACAGAAGAAUAAAAAUAUGACUUUUGAGUAAAAAAAAAUAACAGUUGGUCCUAGGGUUACAAACAAAUCCCAAAACCCCUUCAUUUUUACCAAGAUCAACUCAACUUGAAGGAAUCGCGUAGCCCUAAAAUUUUGGGCAGCAUGCCCUCUGUAUUUACCUAUUUUCCAGCCAUUUAUAGCUUCAUUAUUUUUCCUCAACUCAAUCCAAUCCAACACAUAAGAAAUCUCAAUACAAUAGCCCUUCAACUAGGCUCAAGUUCAUUCAAAUACAAAGCAAGUCUAGGAAUGCAACUAGAAAUCAAGUUUUAAGGACAAAAGCUAAAUAGCAGGUUUGAUGUCUCUUAACGUAUCGGUCAUAACCGAAGCUACGCUUAUCAGAUUGGGGUACAAUUUAAACCGUUUCGAAGCUAAGAUAAAGGCCUACAACUUUGAUGAAGACCACUUAGUCCAGUUCGUAGUGUAUCUAGGUCAAAACUUCAAAUUACAGAACCAGUAUCUCACAAUCAGACUAGUUAACCACACUAUGAUUAAACGACAAUAACUCAGGUUACCGAAGUCCCAUUGAGGUGUAUCUUAUGGCUUUUCGAAACCAAGACAUAUACCUACAUUUCUUAUGAAGACCUCCAAAGCUGAAUCAUGCAUUUUCAGAGUCAAAAAUAGAAAUCCCCACAAAGACAGAAAACUGUCCCUGAAAAUAGGGCUUUUGGGCAGUCAAGGGUAUUUGGGUCAUUUCAUAUGUUACGGUGCUCUGAUUGAGUUGAAAUUUUAUAGACAGUUAUAAAACAUCAUUUUCUAUAACUUUCAUGUUUUGUGCUAAGCCUAAUUCGGCCUCUAACCUAGUCAAACAGAACCAGGUAGAACAGGGCAAAUUGGAACCCUAACACUGAAAUUUUCCGUUGAAGCUGAAAUUUUCCGCAAUUAACCGCAAUUAACGCGCAAGAGAUCCAUUUAACACAAUUUAGAGCCAUCAAUCCAAGGCCAACCAUAAUCAUCAUAUGAAAACAGAAAAAUUCCAAAAAAAUCAGAAAUUUAGCUAACUUCACUUUAAUCCAUGAAAUCUUCCAUAAAAUCACCUAGUUAGCUACCAUAAGUCACCAAUUGACCAUUAUUAGGAACAAAGAGUGAGUUCCAAGCAAAAUGCCUUAACUCCUCAAGAAAGGUAGUAGCUUAGGGGUUUUUCUUCCAAAACAACUCCACCAAGACCUUUGUUCUUCCUUAGAUAACACUCUUAUGGAAGGGUUUGCGAUUCUAUCGGUUGAAACUCCAAAUUUUAGCAAGAAAUGGAAGGACAAAUUGAAGGUUCUCUCUUGGUUUUUCUCCUUACAAGGGCCGGCCAACAAGUAUAAGAAAUAAAGAUGAUUUUGGUCAAUUUUGAGGUUUAGUAAAGGUGAUGAAAAUUAGUCAAAGUCCAACUUGUAAUAGGGUCAUGACACUUGGCACCUUCUUAAGUUAUUCUUAUCCCUUUGUCUACCAAGCUUAACCUAGAUAACUAUCCUCUACUUAUCUCCUAACACCUUGUAAAAUAAUAUCUCUUAAUACAAAACUUCAAUUAAUCGUCAAAAUUUUAUCGCACUUAACGCACUAGCGGGCCCCACAGCCAUGCUACGCUUCAAACUUACUAUGAACCAACUCAUACCAGGAAAAUGAUUUGAAAAAUGAUAUUCACUUAUAAAAAUGUAUAUAAAGUUAAUAUAUUGAAGGAAAGUAUAAAAUUGUAGACAAGGAAAUAAAAUAAUGUCUAGAAAAUAUAAAAAUUUUCGGGUUCUCACACACCAAUUGUAUGCUAAGUUUAGCAAGUGUGAGUUUUGGUUGAAAGAAAUGACAUUCUUGGGUCACAUAAUUUCUAAGGAUGGGAUAAAAAUGGAUCCCGCCAAAGUUGAAGCUGUUUCAAAGUGAAAAAGAUCGAAAAAUCCUAUAGAGGUUUGAAGUUUUAUAGGGUUAGCAGGGUAUUACCGGAGAUUCAUUAAGGAUUUUUCUAGAAUUGCUGGACCCAUGACUGAGUUGACCAAGAAAGGUGGGAAGUUUAUAUGGAGUUCUAAGUGUGAAGAGAGUUUCCAAGAGUUAAAGAGACGUUUAACAAGAGCGUCUGUGUUAGCUCUACCGAAUGGAAAAGAUAGUUUUGUGGUCUACACAGAUGCUUCCAAGGAAGGCUUGGGAUGUGAUUAAUACAAAAUGAUAAAGUGGUAACAUAUGCCUCUAGGAAAUUGAAACUGCAUGAAAGAAACUACCCAACUCAUGAUUUGGAGUUAGCGGCUGUGGUGUUCGUUUUAAAGAAAUGGAGGCAUUACCUGUACGGAGUAACAUUUGAGAUUUUUACUGACCACAAAAACCUUAAAUAUUUAUUUUCUCAAAAGGAACUAAAUUUGAGGCAAUGUAGGUGGAUGGAAUUUUUGAAAGAUUAUGAUUGCACGAUAAAGUACCAUCCAGGGAAAGCCAAUAUAGCGGCCAAUACUUUAAGUCGUCAAGUGCAAGUGGCCGGAUUGAUGAUUAAGGAAUUACACUUGUUAGAAGAAAUUAGUUAUUGGAAUCUUAGACUUGAACCGAGGAAAGUAAUUCUUAAGAAUAUUGUAGUGAAUUCCACUUUGUUGGGACAUAUUAAAGAGACUCAGAAAAAGAACCCUGAAGUGCAAAGGUGGGUGGAGAAAGUCAAAAAGGGAGAAAAGUCAGAUUUUAACUUGGGGACGAAUGGUAUAUUGAGAUUUCAGAAUCGGAUAGUAGUGCCAAAGGAUGAAGGGCUUAAGAAGAGACACACCGAUCGAAGUUCACGGUACACCCAAGAGGGAAUAAAAUAUACCAAAACUUGAAGAGUCUGUAUUGGUGAGAGAGCAUGAAAAAGGAGAUUGCCCGAUUUGUCCAGACCUGUUUAGUUUGUCAACAAAUUAAAGCUGAACAUCAGAAACCAUCAGGACUUCUACAACCUUUGGAGAUACCGGAGUGGAAAUAGGAAAACAUCACCAUGAAUUUUGUAUCAGGAUUACCGAGAACACAAAGAGGUCAUGAUGCCAUUUGGGUAAUAGUAGAUAGAUUGACCAAAUCGGCUUAUUUUCUGCCGAUUAAUAUGAAGUACCCAUUGAAGAAAUUGGCUAAAUUGUAUUUGGAUGAGAUUAUCAGGUUACAUGGGAUACUUGUAAGUAUUGUGUCCGAUAGAGACCCAAGAUUUGUUUCAAAAUUUUGGCAAAAGAUGCAAGAAGUAUUGGGGACUAGAUUGAACGUUAGUACUACAUACCAUCCCCAGACCGAUGGACAGUCUGAAAGGACGAUUCAAACCCUUGAGGACAUGUUAAGGACUUGCGUUUUGGAUUUUGGAGAGAGUUGGAGUAAAUUUUUGACAUUGGUGGCAUUUGCCUAUAAUAAUAGCUUCCACUCUUCUAUUCAAAUGGCUCCAUAUGAAAUACUUUAUGGUCGGAAGUGUAGAUCUCCGAUUUGUUAGGAUGAAAUAGGUGAACGCAAAAUUUUAGACCCAACUACCGUGUCUUGGAUUAAGGGGGCUAAUGAAAAGGUGAAGUUGGUAUGGCAAAGGAUUCAGACCGCACAAGAUCGUCAGAAGAGUUAUGCAGAUAACCGAAAGAAGGAUUUAGAAUUUGCGGUUGGAGAUCAAGUAUUUCUUAAGAUUACACAUCUGAAAGCAAGUUUAAUGUCUGGAAAAGAAAAGAAGUUACAACCGAGAUUUGUAGGGCCGUACAGGAUUAUUCAACGUGUAGGAAAUGUGGCCUAUAAGUUGGAAUUGCCACCAAAUUUGUCUCGGAUUCACAACGUUUUCCACGUGUUCAUACUUAAGAAAUAUCACCCAGACCCUUCUUAUAUUUUGCAACCGAAAAGUAUUGAAAUUGAUGAGACACUGACUUACGAGGAGAAACCAGUAAAACUUUUGGAUCGUAAAGUGAAAGAAUUGAGAAACAAGCGGAUUCCAUUGGUGAAAGUUAUUUGGAGGAAUCAUGGAAUAGAGGAAGCAACCUGGGAAGUUGAAAAAGCAAUUCGAGUAAAGUAUCUAGACCUGUUCGCAGAUCAAGAUAAAUUUUGAGAACGAAAUUUUCUUAAGGGGGAGAGGGUGUGAGGACUCGAAAAUUUACUUAUUUUAAAUUCUUAUUACUAACUUAUUUAAAUAUUUAAUUACCCGUUUACUCCGAAUAUUUUAUUUCAACCUUUUUAGACCCAAUUACAUGGAACUAUGACUUACUUAUAUUUUUAAAAUGACUCGUUUCAAAAUUUAAUUUUUGAAAGAUCGUUAAGUGAGAAUAGUGAAUACGCAUUUGGAGAUAAUAAAUGAUUUGAGGAUAUAGUGAGGUUGGAGAGUGAAGACUCAUACAUUAGUCUCUAAAUAGUUAUUUUUAUGUCUAAGUACUCAAGUAUUAGUUAGUAAUACUAUUGUUACAAGAAUUCCUUAGAAAUUUCGCUCUAUCGCGCACAAAUCGUAAAGUACGCGUUUUCGCGCACACGAUUAAUUGAGAGACUUUAGACCUUUAUUUUUUUAGACUAUUUAGAGUGAAUAAUAAUAGUAUGGAUGGAAGUGCAUUUGAGGUUUAGUGCACAAGUGAAACAAACCCGAGAGGAAACGAGUACGAAACGCGCGCGAACGCGCACUAUUCCUAGUUGACUUUUAGAGCACUUUUUGGCCACACACUUAAGCUUCUCAAGGAAGCUUCAUCAUCAGCCAAACACACACACUCUCUCUCUUUGUUCUUGCUGGCCAGCCAUCCCAAGGAAGAAACAAGACCAAAAGCUCUUCAUUUUCUUGCUUCAUUUCUUGUCCAAAUCACUCCAAAAUUUUAGUACACCUUGCAAACUACUUGGAGAUCAACUCAAGCUAGGAAAGGAGCUUCAUUUGCACGAUUUUUUUGAGUUUCAAAGGACCGAAAAUUUCUGUUUUAGUCAUCUAAGGAGGUAACAAAUGAUCAACCUCUUGAAUCUUGGCUUAUAUAAGUUAUAUUGCACUUGUAAACUUAUAGCUGCAUGUAGGUAGCUCUAUAUUAUUGGAAAUCUUGGAAGUGGGCUCUAUGAAAUUCCACAAUGGACUUGAUGAGCUGGUUUGAUGAUAUUGGGUAUUAUUUAUGUUGGAUUAGUGCUUAAUCUAGUGGAUAUAAGUUGUAUUGUGGAAGAAAACUCAAAGGGAGUGAAAUAAGGAAAAGGGACGGUUCUGCCCCUGUUUUGCCGUACCCCUUUAGUGCAAUUUUUGUGGUCCAAUUGACUUGAUUUUGAUAUAAAUAUGUAAUAUAGAUUGUGUAGAAAGUUUCCUCAAAAAAUUACUUGAUUUGGUUGGGUAAAAGUUGAGAUUUCGAAAUUUCACCAAAACUGGAAAACGUGACCAGAGUCUCUCUGGCAGUGAUUUUGUAUCGACCAUAACUUUUUGCUCCAAUGUCGAAAUUGAGUACUGUUUAUGGCAUUAAAACCUAGACAUUUUCAGUUUUCCAUCGGUAUAAAAUGUAUUCCCUGAUUCCACCUGAGUGAACCGUACCAAUCGUUUGAAGAUGCCUAUCCUGUUUCACGGAUUUACUGGAGUGCAUGUUAUGAGCUGCAACUUGAUGUGCGAAUAUGAGUUAGUUGUGGAUAGAAUUUUAAAAUGAUUCCUUCUGUGAAAUUGUAGCCUUAUGAAUGUAGUUUUCAACGCCAACAAGCACACUCAAUUCCAAGUUGAAUUGAGUGAGUUAUGGCCAAAUUUCAAACCUGCCUCGUUGCUUGAAAACCCUAAAUUUGGGCUGGUCAAUGGCUAAUCUUGAUUGGGAGUUGUUAUUUCGAAACUCUUGGUGUUAAUCACCUAUAAAACACAUUUUUUGAUGUCUCUUAGACAUUGUCUUCAUAAAUGGAUCAUGUUUGAAAAGAUUUUAUUGGCCAAAUGAUUGAGAAAAGAAAAACGAAAGUGCAAGGUUGAUUUGCCUUUGGAAAUCGUGGAAAUUUAGUGACUUUGUUGCCCAACUUUCCGUGCAAAUUUUUACAUAAAAAUUGAUAGAGGAAUAUCUCUCAUAUGGUAGGGUAAUACUACCAAAUUUGAUGCCCUUCCAGGUCCAUUUUGAUGCUCAACCAAAGUCUUAAAGUUUCCAUUUUAAAUCUGGAAAACUCUUGUUUGGUGAGGAAAUUUCAGUAACUUUGAGCCACUAUAUCUUGGUGCUCGAAACUCUGAUUCUUGUUUCACUUGUUGUGUUUUAAACUUUGAUUGUAACUCUAAUUGUGUUCCAAAUUUCAGAGGCUAGUUCGCAUUGUGUGAAUUUUACCGAAUUUCCAAACUUUGCCAAAAAUCAACCCAAAUCUGUCUUGGUAUUCCAAAAUAGCACCUUGGACCCAAAAUUUGAAUGUCUUCCAUUUGGAAUCAUGGAAAUGUGCCUUCUAGGAACUUUUAGUACUUUGGAAGUAGUUUCCAACGGUACCAAGUUUUCCAAUUUUGAACUUACCGAGUGCAAGUUUUGAUUUUUCAAAGAUUGCGUGUUGAAUUUGAAAUUUUCAAACUUAAAGGAAAUUGAGUUUUUAGAACUCUCCAUUUUUCCUUCGAUACCACUUGACCGUUUUACACUCGAUUUCAAAGAUAAAAAUCAGAUUUCUUUUGUGUUUUAAAACCCCACUUUUGAGCCUCGAUUUACGAGUAAUUAAGGCUCAUUUUCGUGAUAUCUUCUUAGAUUGUACACUAGUACAAUCUUCUUCGAUAAUUAGGGGUCUUAAGCGAUAAUGUGUAAUAGUUUAUUAUUAAUUGCUCAGGCACUCAAGAGGACCUUUUAGAGGAUCCCACGGUGGACGCCUGAACCCUCAAGUGUACUUUACUUUUUGAGUUAUUUGGUGAGUGUCAAGUGCAUGAAUAGUUGAAAUUAUGGGAAUGUGAUACAUGUUCAAUUGUUAUUGUCGGUUGGAAAUUUUGAAAAUGGAGUCGAGUGUGUACUUUACCGCACUCGUUCUCAUUUGAAAUGAAUAACUCAUGAAUGACUUGCUUGAAAUGAAAUGAAUGAUUGAAUGUAUUGAAUGCUUGAAUGACAUGAAAUAGUAUGCUAUGGUUGCAUACGUCGUGGAGUGAAUCUCCUCGACUCACAAAUGUUACAUGGGGGACGCCCAAACUCAUAAGCCGACCUUGGGACUCGAGCCGGCAUGGGUUUGGUCGAGAACCUCGGUGAGCCAUGUGAAUAACAUGAUAAGCUUGAUCUAUUGGAGAGAUCUUGCUUGGCCUACUCGUGCAGUAGCGCCUUUAUCGUCGUUCGGGCCCGGUGGGGGGUUGUAAGGUGGAAGGACAUGUGAAGUAAAGUGGAGUCUACGGAUUGGAAAUACCGACCCGGUUAACGGAGAGUCACCACGGGAAGAUAUACAAUUGAGAUCUGGCAAAGCAAGUGGAACUUAGCUCCUGAGAGCUACCAUAUCCUUGAAUUGUUUCUAUUUAUAUUUCACUUGAAUUGUUAGUUACUCGAUUAUUAUCAUUUUUCUUGUGAAUUGGGAUUGUUAUUUGGACAACGUACUUGCAUGUGUGUUUCUUGGCCUCACGAGCGAUUGCUCACCCCAUAGAUUUGUUUUCCUUAACAGGAAUGGACGUGGAGUGAGACUCGAAGAAACCUUUCUGUUGUACUUUUGUGUUAAGAUUCCAAAUAUAAUUGACUAGACAUUGUGGCUGUUGUAUAUUUUGGAAGUUUAUGUAUCUUUUGGGAACCAAUGUAAGAAUUGGAUGAUUGAUGUAUUUUUGGAAUUAGUGGUGUAAGUUUUAAUGUUAUUUAUGGGAGCGACUUAUCUUUCUUACAUUGUUUUGUCGUGAUAGCUAGUAUUGUAAUAAGUUUGAACGGGAGUUAUACCGAGUCCUGGCGAGAGUUGGACAGACGUCUCGCGGAUACUCUUUGGUUCGCCUUAGGGAGAAGUGGAGGCGUCACAGCCACCACUAUAUUUCUCCCUAAAAGAGCAAAGUUUGUUAUACAUGAUGUACUCCUCUCCAAGUCUCAAAGAAAUUUAUUCAAAAUAUAUCAACAUAGAUAUCAUAUUGAGACACUAAAUGAGACAAUAAUGGGAAUUACGUUUAGAAAUCAAAUGAGACAAAAGUUGAUUAUAUCCCAAAACCCAUUCGAGGAACAAAUGGUUAUUGAUAUAGUUAUCUUCAUUCUCACUUGGUUAAAAUCAUCACCCACAAUAAAUUAGAAGUUUACAAUGCUAGUGGACUUAUGAUUUGGUAAAAAGUGAGAAUUUGUAUGAUUUUAAAGGUUGACAAAUACUCAUACAUACCCCUUUAUAUUAUAUGUGGUUUCAACAAAAAUUUGAAAAUCUAUGUUGGGUAUGGAUCACUUUUUAUAAUUAAACAUCAUAAAAUAUUGAUGGGUGAUCUAUUGAAUGAUUUAUUGUGGAAAAAUGAUCAACUAAAAAAAAUCACUUAGAAAAUAUCAUUGGAUUUCCUUGAUUCUCAUACCAAGAAAUAUGAACUGAAAGUUUAAAAGAGUAUUCGUUUGCAGAAAAUUGCAAAUCAAUUGUUAGAUAUGUUUAUAAUCUCCAGAAGAGUUAUUAAAUCAAAUAUUCUUGCAAAAUAUACUCUAGUUAAAAUUGAUGUUCAUGAAAGAUACAUACGAGUGUUGCAAAUGAAUUUAAAACCGGCUUAUCUAAAUAGAUAUCCUGGUUUCAAAUAUUUUCAAAAAUUAAAUAAAUGUUAGCACAAAAUUCAAUUUCCUGAAGAAAUCACUCCUAAAGAGCUUACUCUUAAAGAGCAUGAAAACAUAGGCAAUUUAAAGUUGGACCCUAAAUGAAUAUAAAUAAAUACUUUUACAUAUAGUGUGAGAACCCGUAAAUUCCCCUAAUAUUUUCCUAGGGUUUUUCCCCUUUAAUGGCAUGUUUUCUGCAUUUUCUGGUUUAGAAAAAUUUUCUUGGUGGAUUUUAUGAGUAAUUAUAGUUUUUAGAUGAUUUUUUCUAGCAUUGGAUAGUUUUUGAAAAAUUACGGAUAUAUAACGGACGUGGGCCCCACUAGUGCGAAAAGUUCGGAAAAAUUCGGCCAAUUAGGUUGAGUUUCGGAUACUGGUUGAAAUUUAUCGGGUAUUAAGAGAUAAGUAGAGGAGGUGAAGUGAUUGAGGUGAGAGGGAAAAAGAAGGAUAGACUUGCAUUUAUGGAGUGACAAGUGUCACAUGGCCAUUGGUUGUCUUUGUUGACAACUAUUCACUUUUUGACUUGUCUUACCAAGUGAUUAAAUAUCUCAAAAAAAUCACCAAAAUUCACUCUUUCUUUCUCCCUCUUGGUCGGCACUCUUGAGCAAAGGAAGGAAGAGAACUCUUCAAAAUUUUAGCUACCAUCUAGUGCAAAUCAUCCAAACCAAUUGCUUAAAUUUGUUUCUACUCCAUAAAAUCCCUCCAUUUGGUGCUAGUAAGUGAUUUUGUGGAAGUGUUCAAGGAAGCUAAGGUGUCCUACAACUCUCCCUCUCUUGUUUACUAGGUGAGUGGUGAUUGAACUUCCUCCUACACUUAAUGAAGCUUAAGUUGUGCUUAGGGGUAGCUAAAGUGCUGAAAUUUGUGGUUUAUUUCUUGGUUUGAGAUGAAUUGGUGAAGUUUUUAAUUUAUUGAUGAUUUUGCUGGUUUAAUUUGAUCAUGAUGUUGUGGUUAUCUAUGAUGGUUGGUAAUGAAGGGUAAUGACUCUAGUAGGUGUACAUGAUUGGUAAUUGCAAGCAAUUUUGGGUUUGGAAGGAAUUUGAGAAAGUUAGGGUUUUAUAUCCCCAAUUCUGUCCGGUUUUGUAUCUCAUGGUUAGAGGCCGAAUUGGCCUUGGCUUAAAACAUGAAAGUUGUAGGUAUUGAUGUGUUUGAGGUUCCUGUAAAAUUUCAGAUUCAUCGGAGUUGUGUAGAGUGAGAAAAGUCGAUUUUACUGUUGCUGUUCUGGGUUCUUCAGGAUGGCCGAACUGCGCCUGUAAUUGGCUGUUUUGACUGGAAUUGCUUUGGAUUUGGUUGUUGAGGUCUUCUGAUGAAAUGUAGCUUGAUGUCUUAGCUACCAUAUGCCUUUGGAAUCAAUGAAUUUGGACUUUUAUAGACUGAGUUGGAUUAAUUACAGCAUAGUGUAAUUUGUAAACCUGCAAUUAAGGUUCUGGUUUGGUAUUUUGCAUAUUUGACCUAGUUGUGCUAGGAUUUGGACUGAGUGACCUUCUACAUUGUUGUAGCCCUGUCUUUUAGCUUCGAGAUGGUGGGUCUUGUACCCUCAUCCGAUAAGCGUAGCACAAUUUGUGCCAUUACCACAUAAUGAGGACAAAACUGUUUUUGUUGUUAGGGCCAAGUUAGUUACAUUUCCUGAUUUUCUGGUUUGCUAUAAUGCUUAUAUAUGCAUAUGAAACCCUAUUGGGGUUGUGAUUGGCAUGGCUUUAUGACUCGUUAUCGAGUCUCAUUGUAUUUGUUUGUAUGUUUUAGGACGUGACGGGGGUUCACGACGUCCUUUUAACGACGGUGCGUGAAACAUCACCUACUUGAUUGGUGAGUAUACUACUCACUUGAAUGUUUAUAAUGUGGCUUUUCUAUAUGUGAUUGUGAUGCCUUGAAGGCUUGUUUGGCUAUUGGAAAGGAUUAAGGUGGGGGUGUACUUGACCGCCCUCAUCCUUUUUAUCUUGUUAAUGACUGUUUACCGUUUCACUGUAAUACUGCACUUGCUAUAUGAGAUAUUGAAUUCCAUUCAUGGGAAACUGAUUGGGUGUCAGUUGGACGAGUAUCCAACGGCCCUACUGUAUUACUGAGCUCGACCCCGUUGGUAGUCACUUGAAUCGAGCCAGCGAGGGCUUGGUCGUGAAAAUUGACUAGCCACGGGGACUGAAAUGGGAAUCUUGUGGUAAUGAGACCUUUGGUUCCGGUGUACUCGAGUAUCACCUAAAGUUUGAGCGCGCUUUUACUUUCCCGAAACGUUUUAGAUCGCGUGUAACUGCUCGUUAGUCCUGGCGAGAGUUGGGCAGGCAGUCCGCUAACCCCUUUGGUUCGCCUUAGGGGAAAGUGGGGCUGUCACAUAUAGCGUAACAAAUGAUAUUAUGAAAGGAAAUGAGGAUCAUGAUAAUAUAUCGAUUGAUGAAUAUUGGCAUGGAAAUGAUUGGUCAAAAGUGAAAGAUGUGAUCCAAUCUAAAUCAGAUGAUUCAUUAGCAAAAUAAAAAGUCUUUGGACCCGUGGUCUAUACACCCAGAAAGUGUAAAGUCAGUGGGACAAAACUGAAUAUUUAUAAGAAAUGAGAAAAUGAAAUUGUGAGAUAUAAAAUAAGAUUUGCAAUCCAAGGACUUUUCACAAAAAUUUGGAUUUGAUUAUGAUGAGACAUAUUCACCUAUAGUGGAUGUGAUCAAAUUUAGAUACCUUGUAAACUUAGUAGUGCAUGAAUAGCUAGAUAUGUGUCUAAUAAACGUCGUCAUGCCUUAUAGAAAUUUUGAUAAUGAUAUUUACAUGAGAAUCCCUGAAGGAUUGUAAAUCAAAUCCUAAUGAAAUUUAAUCCAUCAAAUUACAAAGACCUUUGUAUGGGAUCAAGCAAUUUAGACGUAUGUGGUAUGGUUACCUUAGUGAGUGCUUACUUAAGAAAAGUUAUGCAAAUGACCCAAUAUGUUUAUGUGUUUUCAUAAAGAGAGAUGGGCCAAAUUUUAUAAUUAUUGCUGUAUAUGUUGAUGAUUUUAAUUUGAUCGAAACUCCUAAAGUGCUCACAUGGAAGAUGAUAAUUUUUGUUAUCAAUCUGCUUAUAUCCAGAAGAUAUUAAAGUGAUUUUAUAUAGACAAAAACAUCCAUUAAGUAUCUGGAUGGCCAUAUGGUCAUUUGAUCCUGAUAAAAUCCUUUUAGACUGCAAGAAAUAGAUAAAGAGAUACUUGUAUUGAAAUACUAUAUCUAAGUACAAUUAGUGCACUAUUAUAUCUUGCUAAUUGUACAAGACCGGAUAUAACAUGUGUAAUGAAUUUAUUAACAAGAUUUAGUUCCUUUUCUACAAGAUAACAUUGAAAUAGUAUCAAAUAUAUUUUUUGCUAUCUCUAAGGACCAAUUGAUUUUGACUUAUUUUAUUCAAAUAAAUCUCACUCUGAACUGCUUGGUUAUGCAAAUGUUGGAUAUGUAUCUUACCCAUAUAAAGUAAGAUCUCAAGUGGCUUGUCUAUUUACAUGUGAUGGUAUAGCCAUUUCAUGGUGAUCUACAAAAUAAUCGAUAACUGCCACCUCUUCAAAUCAUGUUGAAAUAAUAACAGUACAUGAGGCGAGUCGAGAAUAUAUUUGGUUAAAAUCAAUGGUCCAUUAUAUUCAAAAAAAAAAUAGUGGAUUAUUCUGUGAAAAAGAAAGUCCUCCAAUUAUAUUAUAUGAAGAUAAUGCGCUUUCAUAAUUCAAUUUAAAGGAGGAUAUAUUAAAGAAAAUAAGACGAAACAUAUUUCAUCAAAAUUCUUCUUUGCUCAUAAUCUAAAAAAAUGAUAAAAUUGAUGUGAAAUAAAUCCAAUCUAGCAAUAAUUUGGCAAAUUUAUUUAUCAAGGCAUUUUCGAAUGCAACGUAUAAGCAACUAGUGAAAAAUAUUGGAAUGCAUCGGCUAAAGGAUCUCAGUUGAUAUUUGGAUCAGGGAAAGAGAUUAAAACACAAGAAUAGUGUAUUCUUUCCCUUCACUAGAAUUUUUUUCUCACUGAAUUUUUUCUAGUAAAGUUUUAAUGAAACAUAUUCUUUAUGUAAUAAACAUUCAAAGGGGAGUGUAAUCAAAUAAUCAAAUAAUGAAUGGAUGUCUAUCAGAAACUAUCGCUAUUUUCAAGAAGAUAUAGCCACUAUCUUGAUAAGAAUUAUAUUUAGUUGAUAUAUUUUGAACUCUCCUGUACUCCCCUAUAAACAGGAGUCACCUUGUGUUGUAUAAGGUAUAUAUAACUCAAGAUCAUUUGAAUCGAUAAAAGAAUAGUUCUUCUUUUUGUUUAUUUUUCUCUUUUCCUAAGUUCGUUAGUUUUCUUGAUUUUUUAACAUAGUGCCCACUAUAUAUACAACACAAAUCCUACAUCACAUUAGUAUUAGUUUUAUAACAAUAUUUUCAUAAUUACCAUCUGUUUGUUUAGAUAACAUCUGAACAUCCUCAGUUGAAGCACACUAAUAGUCAUGUUUAAUUGUUUAAUUGACUCAAUUAUAUAUGUUUGGAGUGAUUAAGCAGCAGUGACAAUCACUUACAACAAGGCGUUAGGAUAAAGAUUUGUCUUUCACUCCACCGAAAAAAAAAAAGCUUCAGAUGGGCCUUUUUCUUUUAUACUGUUCCAAUCCCAAUUAGUUUUUAAAUAGACAUUGGCAACAAUAGCAAUUUUGUUUUUAUAUCUUAAAAUUUGUUACAUGGCUUUCUAGAGGCUUGGAAAAAUUAUAUGGUCGUACUAUAAAGAAAGCACAAAAGAAUCUUUCUUCAAUGCCUUAAGUGAAACUUUCUGUUUUUCAAAAUUGUUAAAAGAAUCAUGAACUUGUCCUUUAACUCUCUAAUCCUUCCCGUUUGAGAUAUAUGACAAAAACCAUUUUUUUAAAAUGUAUUUCCCUUCUCAUUGCUGCAAUAACUACUACCAUUGUAUUUUUCUCUGAUAUGGGGACGAAAUGAUAAUUAUCCAAUGUCCAUGAAAAUUGUUUUAGGAAUACCGUAUGGCUCGGACAUAUGACUUGUGGUUGUGGGUAACAUAAUCAUUCGAUUUUUAUAAUUUUGAGAGAUAGAGAGACCAUUUUUAUAAAGUACUUGGUUCAAAAAAAUAUUUGUUACAAGUUGGACAAACCAAUUGCCCGAUUGGACGUGCUUAUCUAGUAAAGCCAUAAAGGCUAAAUAAGUAACCUUGUCAAUGAGGAUAAGUGUUGCUACGUCGCAUCAAUGCGGCCACAUCACGUCCGGAGAGAAAACAAAAGCUACUUAGCUUAUCAGCAUAUGAAAAAUGUUUUUUCUAUUUUGGAUAAGCAUACAAGGGGAGGGAUGAGGCCAUUAUUAUUCGUUGGUGAAUUAAGUAUAAACUUUUUCCUUCAAAAAAAAAAUUAAGUAUAAACGUAAAUCUUUUAUUGACUCCGUAUGGCUGUUAUCAUGUCUCCUAAAUACAUAAUAUAAGAACUUCCAAAAAUUAGACUAUUAGAAUUUUUUAACUAUUGAAAAGCCUUCUCUAUAUAUUACCCUAAUAAGAACACUGAGUAAGUGCAAAGUAAAAAGGGAAAGUAAACUCACUAUAAAAUUUUAAAAUCAUUUUAAAAUUUUGUAGAGUUUAAAGUUUUACAAAUAGGUAAUAGUUACUUCUGCUUGGUAUUCAUUUUGCUUAUGAUACAAAAUAAAAGAACCGCUAUUGAAAUAGUGACAAAUUUAUGGAUUUAUACUCUCGUAAAUAUAGAUUCAGAUUCUUUGUAAUAACAAUUCACGGUAGAAGAUGAAUUAAUUUGAAAUUUGAUCGUUUGGAUCAAAUCGUGGACAUAAAUUUUAAUAGGGUUAAUUUCAAAAACCUUCUUUGAGGUUUGUGAUAAUAUCACUUAGUACUUUUGAACUUUAAAAAAUAUCACCUCCUUCCCUUAUUUUUGACUUUUUGUAAUUUUGUCAAUCCAUUUCAAUCUAUAUUAUUAACAAAAUCAUUUUUGAUGAGAGAAUAUGUUUUCAUGCCAAAUUCGCCCUUUUGUUUCCUACUAAUUUUCCAAAAUUAAAAGUAUGUUACUAAAACUCUGAAAAUAAAAAAAUAAUGUAAAUGGGUAAUUCUUAUAGGAUAAAAUAUACAGGUACGUUUCUCUAAAGUACAAAAAAUUAGACUUUAAAAGUAUGUUUAAGGUGUUUCGAGGUGAAAAAAUUAUUUCAUUUAUUAUAAGUUGUUUUCAAUUAAUUUGAGGACUUUUAUAAAAUUUUUAAAUUUUUUGAAGUUUCAUAAUUUUUUGUAUAUAUUGAUGCCUUGAGUGUUAGAAAAAGGCAAAAUAUUCAAAAUUAUGUUUACAAACUCAUUUGAGGUAUUUUAAAAAAUGAACAACUUAAUUUCUUUAUUGCAAAGUAUUUUUGCAUGAAUUUAAGGAUUUUAUAAAUUGUUUAUAAACGUUUUCAAUGUUCUAACCUUUGUGUCCAAAUUGAUGGCUUAAAAACAAGAGAAAGACAAAAUUAUUAAAAUAUAUUUAAAAUCACCUAUAAGGUCUUUUCAAUGUACAAAAUCCUUCAUUAUCAAAAAAUUUAGGGUUACUUUUAUGAGUUUCCGAAAUUAUUUAUAAUUUGUAUUUUUUUUACAUUUUCUAUCCGAGGCGAUGAGAUUGAAAACUGUAAAAGGUAAACUCAUUAUUAGUAAUUCUUCAGGAAAGUUAACAAAUUAACUUGAUUUGUUAUGAAAACUAAAGGUUUACAAGAAAAGGUCAAUUUUAGAAUGGAACUAUCAUAUCUCUCCCAAAAUGAGUUUUUAAAUCAUAUUUUUCAAAAUAAGUUGAUAAAGCUACAAAAAGUUGGAAAAUAAGAUAGAUAGGUGAUUCUUUUCAAAAUUUAAGGAUACUAAGCGAUAUUAUAACAAACUUCUAGAGAAGGUUUAGGAAAUUAUUCUCGUUUUAAUAAGUGAAAAUAUUUGUUGUUUGUAGUUAUUUUAGUGCCUUAACUAAUACUUAUUUACUGCAGUUUGACAAAAAAAAAAAAAACUAAUACUUAUUUACUGCAAGUUGGUCUACGUCCUGGAUCCCAUAAAUUUGCGGUCCUACCAAAGCUAACACGAAUAGCGCGCAAUAGCGAUGGAACAUUGAAGAUUCCAUUACGCUAGGAAGACGUUGAACGUUCCUGCCGUAGGUACACCUGCCAGAAAUAACACGUGUUGUAGUCCUAUGUGCUGGUCACGUGGCCGUUAAAUCAGAGAGGGAUGCCCAACGCGCGUGGACAUGAAACAAAAUGGAACGUGUCCGGAUGCAAGGAAAUACCAACGAAUUCCGUAUGCUGGUGGCUGCUUAGGAAAGUAAAAGACGGGAUAAUUGCAGGAUUGUACCCAUAGGUAAAUGGUAUUUGCAAUGUCCCUUUUUUUAUCAUAAAAAUAACAUUUUUAUUAUCUAAUAUAUACUAUUUUAGGGGAAGGGAAACUUAAUCGACAAACAUCAUUGAAAAGCAAUAUUUGAACCCUUAACCUCUCACCCGCAAUCAAAUCUUAAAAUUUUGGUAGUGAUCAAUAGGGGUGUGCAAAGUCGAAAAAUUCCGAUUUUGAGAUCGAUUUCGAAUUGAAUUCGGAAUUUCGAAUUCGGAAUUUCGGUAAUUUGGAGUUGAAUUCGGUAAUUCCGAUUUCGAAUUGGUCGAAAUCGGGUCGAAUUCGAAAAUAUAUUUUUUGAAAUCGGAAUUACCGAUUUCGAAUUGGGGAAUUCGAAAUCGGAAUUCGAAAUCGGAACUAUGAUUUCGAUUUCGUUUAAUAAUAUAUAUAUAAUAUAAUAUUUUUUAACAAUAUAUUAUUUAUGUAAUAUAUAAUUUAUAUUAUAUAACAUAAUAAGUUAAUAACAAUAAUACUAAUACAUCUAACAAUUAACAAAAAUUACAAAACAACCUAUCAACCUCCAAAAUGACAAAAAAGCAAAAGCGCAAAUUGAAAUUGCAAAACCUAAUCUGUUAGCUCUUCCGCCUCUUCCUCAUCGUCUCUCAAGUCUCACUAUCUCACCGCCUUCCUCCGCAUCCACCGCCUCCACCUUCCUUCCUCAUACUCUUUAGUCUUUAUACUCAUACUCUUUAUCUGAUCUAAGGGUGGCAGAAUACACAUCUAUAAUUAUGAUUGGUUCUUGAAUGGUAUCACUACUUCCAGGAUGGGAGCCAUGUGAAGCCACCAAGCAAAGCUCUGCCAUUCCUCAGAAACACCCACAGUAUUCGGUAACCCUUCUUCUUCUCUUUCCAAUAGCUUCUGAUAUCAAAGCCUCUGCCUUUUUGCUUUGGAUUGCUCUGUCCCUCCCUAUCUUAGACUCAUCCUCUCGUGGAUUUUAUUUCAAUUUUGAACCAUCGGGUAGGAAACAAUAACGUCCGCAAUUUUAAAAAUAAGGGAAAUGUAUCUUUUUUCAAUGUUUUCUUUUGGUAAUUUUAGAUGAAGGGAAGUCAAAAUCAUGGACAGGAGAACCUGAACCUGUGACCCAAAUUGGGGUAACGGAAACUGUUGCCAUGUUGGAUUCUUAGUCUAGACAAAAAAAAAAAAGAGGAAAGGAUCCAAUUUGUCCUUUUUCCCCUUUGUUGGAUUAACCAUUCCAGUACUGUGUUCCACCAUUCCAGUACUGGGGAAGUUAUUAAAUACGAACAGGUUUUUCCAUUUUUGAACAGGGGAAAAAAAAAGGGAACAGGUUUGAAUUCGGUGAAUUCGGAAUUCACCGAAUUCCGAAUUCAAUUCGGAAUCGAAUUCGAAAUCGGAAUUGGCCAAUUCGAAUUCGAAAUCGGUCGGGAAAAUUCAUGUCCAAAUUUCGAAAAAUUUCGAUUUCAAGCUUCCGAUUUACCGAAUUCGAUUUCGAUGCACAGCCCUAGUGAUCAAUAGACCAAAUGGUUAUUGGCAUUUGCAAUGCCCCUGACGAGGAAUGAAAAAAUGUGCCAACCCCCCUUAAAAGUAAUUCAGUCUAAAGAAAGUAAUGAAAUUAAAAUGAAUAAUAAUUAAAAUUUUGACACGUGUGGGGAGAAGAAAUUGGAAGGACAAAAAUUUGAGGUCAAUGUAUUAGUUGUGUGUACAUUUAAAAUAAAAAAGGAGUCAUCUAUUUAUAUAUUAUAUAUUUGAAAACAACUUUUUAGCCUGAGCAUCCCAAUGAGCUUUCAACUCUCCAUUCUUUUUUUUUUCUCAAAUUUUUGAUUUAUUUUAAAUGAUCAAAAUAUCAUUAAUGCCUUUUUUAUUUGGAUUGAAUCUAAUUAUGUGCUUUUAUUCGUUAAGUUUAGUCUCUAAAACUAUACACUUCCAAAUAUGGCUUAUCAAAAAUAGGAAAGAAAUGUUAUUUGCCUAGAAUUAACAAUCUAAAAUUUUAUCUCUUACUAACGUUACCAAAAUUAGAAUCAACAAUUAAAUUUUAUGAACUCAUAUUGAGGAAACCUCUCUCAAUUCCUUUAUUCUUUUUAUUAAUCUAACCAAAAGUAAGCAUGACAAUCUGAUAACUAUAAUACGAAACUAAGGAAAUAUAUUUGGAAUUGGUUGAUUUUACUGAAAAUACCCGUGAACAAUUUAAUGAUUUGAACACCAUAUUAAGGAAAUUGUUAAUAAUUAAAUGAUUUGAAACUAAAUUAAGGGAACUUCUUCACUUUUUUGCAAAGCCCCAAAUUGGGGUAGGGAUGCCAUCCCCUAAUUUAUUUAUACCGAAAAUAAAAAAGAAAAAAACAAAUUAGAGGGGGCCAAACCUGACCACUGUUGAAGUAAAAAAAGAACACACGAACGAAAUCAACCACACGAGGGAGCCCCACAUUUGUGAGACUGUGAGUGAGCAUGGGCCUUUGGUUUAACAUCUUGACGUGUUUGCAUUGUUUUACCUUGUUUUGAGAGCUGCUUCCUCGUUUUCUUUGAUAUCACUUGGGUAAACUGCUCGUGAAUUAGAGUCUGGUCGUGAUAUUCGUCUUUAUCACGUUGCGAAUCAUCCUUUCCCUCUCCAUUUUGGUCUGAAUGAAGAAAAGGUUUUAGAUGAACGAGAGGAAUCUUCCCAUGUAAUUUCUCCCAUUGAAACUCUUCGAACACAUCUUUAAACUGUGGCACAUUUUCAAACUGGGACUUUUCCGUUUCUGUUCUUGUAAUUGUACCCACAAGGGGUGUGGCUCCAACUAAUACCACAUUAUGUGAAUCAUGACUUUUGGCUACCUUCCCAAGUGCAUCGUUUCCCACCUUAGAUGUAAUUUGCUUACGUUCCAUCGCCUUCUCUGUCGAUGCAGCCACUGUGAAGGUUCCAUUAGCUGGUGAAUGGCCAUCCUCAGCCUCCGACUCAGUGAAUUCCCCCUCAUCAAGUUGGUUCGUAGCUUGGGGCUGUACCGACCGCAUCUCUUCUGUUUCCCGAACCACCUGAUCAGCCAACUUAUGAAUGAUUUCACCUGCGGUAGAAACAAUGGUCUCCUCUACUAACGCAGCGACAGCCAACCCAGGCUGCUGGGGUUGGGUCCCUGCCGAUGGAUGCUCAACCCGCAACUCGCCCUCUUCCAGCGCGCUUUCCAGAGCUUCCUCUAAGGCAUUGCCCCCAGGUCGCUGCACCUCCGGAGACAGAGUAGGAGCCCCAGGCCUCUCCGUGGGAGUCACCGCAUCUCCCAAAGUUAUCUUGUCCAACUCCUCAUUGCCGUUUGUCUCCUCGAUAGCUGCUGUCGUACCCUCGCCAACCGCAUCUGGUUGCUGAAGGAGACGCUGUGGACCUGCUGUCACCGCCAUCCUUCCCAUUUCUGAAAUCACCCGUGGAACAUAUCUCCGCCGCUGCUGCUGGCCAUUAGCCACUGGCCGCAGAGAUGGGUCCUUCCGAAAGCACGAACCAACCCCGUGGCCAAACAUACUACAAUAGGAGCAGUACUCAGGCAAUCCCUCCAACUCCACCGGCUGCCAAAACCCAUAGUUAUCGUCACCUAUCCAGACCCGCUGCACUGGCGGCGCCGAGAUGCAGAGCUCCACCAGUACCCGCGCUACCGAGGGGCGCCUAAGGUCACUGGUAGCAGCGUCUACUCGCAACGGCCUCCCCAAUGUUGCAGCAAGCCGCAGCAGUUGUUGUUUUUGAAAAAAGGGUAGGGGCAACUCAGGAAAGGCCACCCACACCGGAGCAAUUGCCAACUCCUGAUUUGCUUUGAACUCCAAAGACCAUUUGGAUAUUGACAUCGGAGAACUGCGUACGUACCACACCCUCCUUGCGAAAAGCCUGGUGUAAUCUUCCUCCAACGCCGGCCGAAGCAGCACAUGUUUUUGAUCCAGCAAUCCCACCGCACACUCCCCUUUAAGGCCUAGAGAUGUGAUGAACUUUCUGAUGAGUUCCAUUGAAGGCCUGGUGAACGCAAACCUCCCGACAAGAGCAUUCUGGAAAGGUUCGGCAAGCUUGGCGAUGUCCUGUUUGGUGAGGCGGAGAGCAGGUUCUCCCCUGAAGGUGGAGACCUCCCCCAACGCACCUGAGGCUGCAACCGCAGCCCCACCUGAGACAACCGCCGCAAACGACCUGCCCUGCGGCGGCCCUCCCUCUGGAGACGACUCCGACGACCCGUUGGCCGCCAUGCACUAGUUAGGAUAAACCCUAGCUGCCUGCUGAGAUCCGAGAUUUUCGCUCAUAUUAAUCUGAGUAGACAACGAUAGUUCUUAUACCAUAGGGAACUUCUUCACUUAUCAUUAUUUGAACACCACAUUUGAUCUUAGAUAAAAAAUCAUAACAAAUAGAAAAUUUUUCUAUUUCUUGAUGUUUCCUAGCAAAAUCUAUCAUUCUCCUAAGAACAUGGCUCCCUUGCUUCUCAAUUCCUAGUCUUGCUCUAUGCAUUGAGGAUUUUGCUACUUAAUUUAAACAACUACAUGCAUUUUGAUAUCAUAUAGCUUGCAUAAUCAAAUUAAGCAUUUUAUGCGUUUGUUAUAUUAUAAGAUGACAUGUAUGAUAUUACAAGAUGACAUGUAACUUUUUUCAGAAUUCUUUUGUUAUGACAUUUUAUCUCUUUUGUUGAAGACUACACAAAGGGAAGUGGUUUAUCGAUUAUAUGUUAAACUUUCAACUCAAAUAGUCUUUUUUUUUUUGGUUAAAAUCAUGCAAUAAUUGUGAGAACUCGAGAAAAAUAUGUAUAAGCCCUGAAUUUAUUUCAUUUUAUUUACUUUGUUCUUAGAAAUAUUAUAUAUAACGAAUAGUUGGUUAAAUUAAAUGGCUAAUUGAAUUUCUAUAAAAUUGAAAAUAAGGAAAUAUCCUAGAAUGGUGUAAAAAAUUUUUUUAUAGGGGUAUGCAAAUUGGAAUAUACAAAAGUUUGGGGCAAUAUUUGAAGAUGAUAAAACAACUAGUAAAUAAAUCAAAGUUAAAAGACCAUUUUAACGCUAAAGCUUGAGCAAUUAACCAGCAACUAAGAGGAUCGCCUUCUGGAAUGAAAUCGAAAGAAAAAUGAGAGUUUCUACCAAUACAUUUGGGCCGUGGUUAACAUUUGCUAAGUUAGGUAGUGACCGAGAGGAAAAGGAGAAAACUAUUUUGCUAAAAAUUUGGGCGGUGGCUGAGAACAAAACUUCAGUUUCCCUCCUUACCAAACCAACCUUGAGCUCGGUCGAACUACAUGCAGCCAACAAAAAUAAGCCAUCAGAUUUUUUGAGCAGAAACCGAGAGAAAGAAACAUGUGGAGUUUGGCUUGAGUAGGAGCAGCCUAGAAGAGUGUACCACCGACUGGAAACAUUGACCACCGAGUAGCAUAACUUCCUUCUGAUCCUUAAGUCUUCUAAGCAGAGAGCUAAGUGAGUAUAAGAAGAAAAAUUCGUUGGCUGUACCAAUUCACUGACUGCAGUAGAGAGCAACGAACUAGACAGUUCAUUCCUUUCUUCCUUUCUUGUUUUCUUUCUAAAAUAGAAUCGAGUGUGAGGAAAAAGAAUUUUGCAAGCUUCACCAUCAGCUAACCAAAAUAAAGCAAACAAAGGCAGAGAGACAGGAGAGAUAGCUGGUGCAGACGUGAGGGAACAAGCUGGAAAGAAAAUCUAAUCCUGUCUGCAAUUCCUAACACUAAAAGGCAAAAGGUAAAUUUUUGUGACUAAUCUCUACUUACUGAGUAUAAAUAAGUGUAUAUUCGAAUUGUAAGCCGAGUAUUAGCAGAGGAAAUUGAGCUUCGACUGAGGAAAAAUUCUGGUUUGAAAUCUGAAGGUUCACUGACUGGACCUGUGAGAAUUGAGUGAUGAUCGACUGAAAUUGCAGGUUGUUAUCAAAGGAAAAUGGAAGAGUGUUGUAGAAAAUGUAUGAAAAUGCCUGUUUCUGGCAUAAAGUGAAAUUUAGCUGUAGAAACUUGUAAAAGUUGGAACUUUAAGCUGAAUUUAUUGAAAGAAACCUGAUGAAAAUCUGUUAGCUUCACACGAGAGAAAUGGAGCUAAGAAACAUUAGCUGUCUUCUGCAAAUUUGGCUUUUAAACUUUUGUAUCAAGCUGUGAUGUGUUAUAAAACAUCUUAACUUCGUCAAGCAAGACAGAAAUGAGUGGAAACUAAAGUGAACGAAGAAUGAAUUUAAUUGACUGCAGGUAGGUUGGCCGAGGGAAUGAAGCAGGCUAUGCAACUUGUUGUUGCUGAUUCUGGAACUUUUAUUAAUGAACACAUAGAAAAUAUGUUAAUCCCUUGAUUUAACAGAUAGGUGCCUUUGAAAUUAGCAACCUUAAGAAAAGUCUAGCUGAAUUUGGUAAAAGAAAGCUGAUGCAAUCUGCUAUGAUACUAAAGGGAAGGAAAUCAGCUUUUGGAGCAGCUUGUCUUCUAAUGUCUGAUUCUGUGAACUUCCACAGGUAGAACUAAGGUUACUCUGUGGUUUAGUAACUAUGACUAGUUCCAUGAGUAGAGUUGAACUAAGGCAAAUAGGGAGGAAAACUAUGAAAUGUGCUGCUGAAUUACCUCAUGGCCGAGAGAAGAAGGGAAGAGUUGAUCAGUCUUUUCCUCUAAGUUAGCUGCAAAAUUUUCCACGUUCUGUACAGGGUUACUUUGUAGCUUAAUAAAUGUAAUUAACCUGUCUAGUUGGGAUAUAAAAUUGGAAGGAGGAACUUGAGAGAAACGGCAAACGUUGGACUGAUAUAUUGCUAGGAAGCUACUUGAAGGCCACGAUAGCUGAUGGCAGUUUUUGUAGGGGAAUUUGGUCGAAAAACCUGUUGAAAUUAUGAGUCAUGUACCUUAAUUCAUGUUGGACAGAAUGUGUAUUGUGUGUUUGGUGAUCUAGGCAAGUAAAAGUUAGAAACUCUACCAAAAACUUUGAAGUAAGGUUGCUGGAAAUUUGUUUAAUGGCCGAGAGAGGGGCUGAAACUCUCAUGUGAUAUUUGGAAAAUUUCAUGAUAAUUGGCUACCAUCUUGAAUGAGACGUUGUACAAUAUCCUGUCACUGUUCUUAUGUGCACUCUAUUGACUUUUAACAUCUGAAAGGUUGGUAAAACCUUAGGAAAUUCUAGCUAAAACUAGUAAAGAAAAGCUGAGAUCCAAACUAUUACAUUGUUGGAGAAACUAACGUUUGAUGGAAUGGAUUGCUGGAAAUAGAUGCUGCUUACCUUGAUCUAUGCUAGACCGAAAGUACAUUGAAAUACUUAAAACUGUAAGCAAGUAAAAGAGUAAAGUUUUAUUGAAAACUUGAAGUAUACAGCUGGAAUUUCGGUUUGUUGGUUGAAAUGGGGGUUAGUUAAGCUUUCUAUGAUAUUUUUGGAAACUCUAAGGUAACUCGUUAUAGCUAUAUACAUAACAUGGUUUCAAAUCACCUAAUCUUGUCCUCACAAGCAUUUUAAAGAUUUUAGAACUUGAAAGAUUUUAGAACUUGAAGGACUAGUAUAGAGAAAUAAAAUCUAAAUUACAAAUGGCUUAAAGUUAAUUAAUAAAAGGGAAUCAAUGGAGUGUUCCUAAGCUUUAAUCUUAGAAUAUUCAGUGGAAAAUGGUUUAAUUAUAAUUUAAAUAUUUUAUAAAUUAUACACUUGGAAAAUACAUAUAUUUCUUGGUUUAAAAUGAUAAAGUCAAAAAGUCGCGAAAUGAAAUGUAGAAUAAAUAUUGAAUAUAUUAUAUUUUGUAUUUUGAAGUCAAACUUGAUUUUAAUAGUUCAAAUAAUAGGGUAAUAAAUGGUAAAUGAACAUUUACAAAUUGUAUAUUUAUUUUAGAGUUAUAAAUUGUCUCAGGGGAUAGCUGUGAGCCAGGAAACAAACCCGAGACUCGAGAGUAAUUUAUUUGGAUAUUUGGUGAGUGUUUCCAAAAUUUAAUGUGUUUAACUGUUUAUGUUUACUGUCGCGCCCCUUUUUUUGAGAAAACUAAAUAAACGGUUUAAAAAGUGAAUUUUUGAUUUGAAAAAUGAAUCUUUGAUUUAAAAAGAAAAAUGGGCCUAAAUGGGACUUGUAAUGCGACGAUUUGGGCCCAAAAUAAGGUUUAAAAAGGGUUUUUGAAUAGAAAAUCGGAGUCGCCACUUGGUAUUGAGUUAAGGUGUACCAAGUCACCUAAAAAUGAAUUUUGAUGAAAUCAUGUAAAACCCUUUUUAAACGACUCCUAAGUCUACGAAAAUUAGAGAAAAAAGAUUCGGGAGUCACAUUUGAAGAAAGGGAAGGCAAGGACAAAAAUCCGAGGCAUCCUUUCAACCUAGCCAAGGCUAGUUGCGUGAUUUAGUCAAAGAUUUUCUUGUUUUAACCUAAAGAUUUAUCACAUUUGAAUGUGCUAUAUGAAUGCAAACUGUAGACACCAAAUUUUUACUCUUUUAUUUAUUUAUUUACUAUUUUUGUUUAAUUUAUCUCAAAAUUUCAUUUUUUUAGCAUUUUGGACAUCAAAUCUUUUAAUUUAGUUUUACUUGUUAAUUUUAUUCAUUUUUGCUUAUUUGUCUAUUAGUUUUAAGACGUUUAAGCAUUAAUAUUUUUCGGGAAAAAAGAGAAUUGCUCACAAAAAAAAUAUUCUUUAAAUUUUAGAUUCAAUUUAGGGAGGUUUGCUAUUUAUUUAUUUUGUUAAAAAAAAAAAAGGGCUCAUGCACCAUGCGGCACUGGAUCCAAGCUCUUUCUCAAUAUUUCAAGGCAGAAACAAGCUUCAGACAUCACAAAAAAAUUGCAGCUGGCUUUUUCUUCCCAUUUGAUUCGUUACUCCAAAGGGUUCCCAGUACAAACGGGAUCAAAGGGGCAAGAGCAGGCCACAUAAACCCAUUUCUGGGGUUUGACAUCUCGGCCUUCCAUCGUAGGUUGAGGUUUUGGGGUUCCUUUAAAUGCUAGAGCCGCAGCCAAGAAGGGGGGGUAACAACUGACGAAAGAGAGUGGGACGGCUAGGAAAAAUCUGGGACAAAGAAAUAGAGCGGUGGCGGAGACAGAGAGAAAAGAAAAACCAGGGGAAUGAGGAGAGCUUGAGAGGCUAGCGACGGCUGGGAGGUUGAACAGUGGCGAGGUUUUUGAUAGAGAAAGAAACUAAGAAAACGCAGGGCUGUGGGUGGUUGACGGCUAGAAAAGAAAGAGACUAGAGAGAGAGGAGGCUGAGGACGGCUAGGAAAAAGAAACCAGAGAGGAGAAAGGUGCAGCGGCUGGGGUCUUGGGAAUCUGGAGCUGACGGCUAGGGUUCUGGACAAGAAAGCUAAGGGUUUCAGAGAAGAUCUGGGGAAGUAAAGGGGCGGUAGAAAGAGAUCUGAAAGGGAGAAAACAGCAGAGGAAAAGGGAAAACGAGGUGCUGCUACCGCUGCAACAAAUCUGCCUGGGCGUUGUUUUUCCCAGAAACCAACGUCACUUUCCUGAGCUUUCCCGUUUGAUUUACUUCACAGACGUUUGCAGGUGACUCUAGCCUUUCUUGCUGCCAUUUUCAUACCAUUUUGUGAAGAUCUGGGGUUCAUUGCAUGAAUUUCCUCCUUGUGCAUGCAUGUUUUGUUCCCUUUCUUUGUGGUUUCAUCUCUGGUUCUUUGUAGAAACCCGUGUGGCCAUGUGGUAACUUGUUUCAGCUCUAUAUCUCUGUGUUUGAAUCGUGUGUUGUUAUAGUUCAUGAAACCCAGGGUAUAGGAAUCAUUUCCAGCCUCCCCUUAGUCGAUGAUUAGUCUUCAUUUUGCCGAAAGGAGGUUGUAGAAAUUUUGGCAGGCUCUUUUCCUCUAAUUUUUGUAUUUAAACAUGAGAGUUUUGUGGCUCAAAGUGAAAAAUGUGCGGUCAUGUUGUAACUUUGAUUCAUGUUUCAUCGAUUAAAUCCAGUAGUGGUGUUUGAAUGAACAAAACCAGAAAACUGCAGCAAGAAACAGGCUACAGACGCAAAUGAAAGAAAGCUGCAUUUCUUUGUCAUGUUUUGCUGCUUUACUUUUGUCCUGUAACAGCCCACGAAGUUGAGUUUCCUCACUUUGUUUGCAUGCUCAAUCUUAUGUCAAUGAUAGUUGUAGAGAAAUUGAUGAGGCUUGGGUUUUGUUUAUAGCUUUGGCCAUCUUUCUGGUUUGUUAACAAGCUGCGAUAUGGUAGGAAAAAUGCAGCAGGCCUGCACUUUCGAUUGCUGAAGCUUUUAGUUUGAUUGAAAUUUGUGGUUUUAUACCAUGUACAUGCUCACACUGAGUUUCCUACUCUUGUAUCUUUGCUGCAUUUUUCACACACGAGCACUUUAGGUGAAUGUUUAAAUGUUGUUUUGAUCAAGCUUAGCUAGAGGUUGCUGAAAUUCCAAAGUAGCGGGAAAAACCAUGAGUUGUCCAGAUUUUGUAUGCCCUUUUGGCCAACUUUUGGUGUUUAAAAUGAGAGGAUAAGAUAGUGGUCUUGUUAUUCUAAGGGUGAAACUUGUUAAGAGCUGCGGAAAACCUGCUAUUCUACAAAUUGCAGCAGAGAUGUUGGCCGCAAAUUGCAGAAAGCUUUGCUGCGCCUUUUAUUCUUCCUUCUUUUGCUAUUUAAUUUUUUUACCCUUGAUGGUCAGCCUCAGUUCUUGUUUCAAUCCUGCAAUGAAGUUGCAUGUUUAGUCAAUGAUUGAUACUUUAAAUCCUGGCAUUUGGUGGACAUGGUUGCAUGAUGAACUGGAAAGAAAGUCACGGCAGGAAUGGUGCAGAAAAGAAAACUCCUUCUACGUUGUUUGCAUGCAUGAAAUAAAGGAAAAAUUGCAUUUUAACCCUUUAAUUUGUGUUUAAUUCUAUUAUGGCCUGGAAAAUUGGGAAGACUAAUCAAUUGGGUCCCAUAAAAAUGUUGUCUUUGAUUGAUAUGUUCAAUGUAGUUCUUGGACAGAUCAUUCAUGAAUUUUAGAACGAAUUUUUGAGGUUUAAUCGUUUGAGGGCUUUAUGAUUUUGAUGUGUUUUUUUUUAGUGAAAUUUUUGAGUUUUGUUGUUUAAUUGUCACGAGUGAUCACUUUUUUCGUGAAUUUUAGCAUUUGAUUGAUAGGUCUCAUCUCAAGCCAUCAAUUUUGGUAUUUUAUUGUAGACCCUUAAAAUAAUUUUUUUUUAAUUUAAUCAUUUUAUUUAGGACCUUGUUUGCUUUAAUUUCUGGCAUAUGGAUGGUUUAUUUUAUGUCAAUACCCUAAGUGACUCCAUUUCGUGUUUAGUUUUCAUUUCGUGUUUAAUUUCAUGUAAUUAAUUAUUAAUUAAAGUGAUGCCUUGACCCUUUUUUUAUUUUUUGGAG